rnacentral:lncRNA from 1 species
AUGCAAAGAUUAGAAAUCGGUCAGGUUUUUAGUCUGGACAUUAAAGAAAAACCGGUAAAGAAACUUUUUGCAAAAUCUUGCAAUUGAUAAGUCGAUUGGAAAGAGAUGUUCAUGGGGAAAUUUCUUUGGUUGAGAGCUUUGAAAGGAAGUUGGCGAUUAAUGGCUAUAACUGGAAUGGUUUGAAUCGAGGAGAUGAGUGCGAGUUUAUUUGUAGCUGGAUGGGUGAGGAAGUCUGGAAUGAGGUUUUAGUUGCCUUUUAUGUGUUGAACAGUGAAAUCAUAUUUAGCAAACCAGGUUUUGAGACUGAGUAAUUGCUUGUCAGGUAGCAAUUUGUUCUUGAAGUCAAAGAUUCGGGGAAAAGAUGAAUUAUCCAUGGUGAUAAGGAAUUUGUGGCUGAUAAGAUGGAACUCAAAUUUUUUAAUGCCAUACUUAACUGCCAAAAUCUCUUUGUAGAUCACAUGGUAGUUCUUUUCAGAGUCUUUGAACUGUCCGCUUGCAUGAGCACAGAAAUGACGCACGCCAUUGAUGUCUUCGAGGAGAAUGGCACUCCAAUAAUCAUCGCUGGCAUCAGUCUGGAGGAUGCGUUGUCCAUUUGUGGGAAUACGGAGUGAAGGAGGUGAUUGUGCUAUUACCUUUAACUGCUUGACAGCUUCGGUCUAAGUAGGGCCCCAUAGAGGGCAUUGUUUUUUGAGCAUGCGUGACAGCUGCUGGUGUGAAUUGCAACUUUGGGGAUAAAAUCACGGACAUAAUUAACAAUCCCGAGGAAUUGUUGUAUCUGCUUCCUGUUGAGAUGUGUUUCCGGAAACUUUAAUAAUUCGAUUGCAAUAUGUGGACCAGGUUGAUACUGGCCGUCUUUAAUCACCAUGCCAAGAAAGUCAAUUGAUUCAUUUCCUAUGCUGUUUUUCUUUUCGGAAAGCAUGAUGCCAUGUGCCUGCACAAUGUGAAAGAAAUCCAAAAGGAGCUUCUGGUGGCUCUCAUGGUCAGAAGAAAAUAAUAAAAUAUCAUCAAUGUAAACCAAUACAUGAUGGAGAAUAGGACUAAAGAUUUUUGUCAUGGCUUUUUGAAAUAAGGAGGGAGCGACUUUAAGACCAAAAGGCAUAACCGUCCAUUGGUAAUGGGCAUCAAGAAUGCAAAAUGCAGUUUUGUGUCGGUCAACUGGUGAAAUACAAAGUUGCCAAAAACCAGCUUUUAAAUCAAACUUAGAGAAGAUACGAGCCCCUUGAAGAUGAACAAACAGGGUCUAGAUUUUCGGAAGGGGAAACUUAUCAUCUUUAAGAAAAGAAUUGAGUGGCUGGUAAUCAAUUACUAAUCUCUUUUUUCCACGAACUAAUUCAUAUCGCUUUUCAACAUAAAAGGCUUGAAAAGCCCAAUCUGAAUCAGUAGACUCAAUAAGACCUUGUUGAAGUAACUGAGAACAUUCUUGCUUAACAAGCAAGAGAUCUGAAGGAGACAUACCCGGGUGUGAAACUUUUGUGGGGUUUAUGUCUUCGUUGAGUUUAAAAGGAAGGUGAAUGAAAAAUUGUUCAAUUUUCCAAAGAGGUGAAGGAUGAUGGAACUGUGAAUGGUUUUCUGGACAGAACUCUAAAAACUUUUGUGAGAUUUGACUGUAUGGAGAUGAUGUUUCAGAAAGUGCAUACAGACGUAGGGUAUCUGUAUAAGGUAAGAACGUCUGUUUGUAGCGAACUCCAAAACUGGUGAGGAAUAGGUUUUUAACCAGAUGAAGAAUGUCAAAAUCUAUAAGCAAAUCUUUAUCGGGGAGUUUGGAAGCUACAAUCUUUUUCCAAAUUAUGCAAUUCGAAAAAAAUUGAAUACCAAUGGGUUUUUUGGUAAUCAAGGUAGUUUCAAAAGUUUCACCAUUCACUGCUCUGAAGAGCUUGGAAUGACGUUCCCAACAGUCUGAGGGAAGACAGAAGGAUCAAUCAUACUAGUGUCUGCACCAGUGUCAAGAAACCCGAUAACAGGAACAAGUUUAUGGAAUUUGGAAGAAAUGAUGGAUAUCUUGAGAGAAGGUCUAGGAAUAGUGGAAACAUGGUUAACAGUUUGGACUGUAGAGAUGACUGAAAUAUCUUCAGAAUCUGAAGAUUCGCAAGAUUCUACGAUAAGAAAGGCAGUUUGAUCAUCUUGUGCCGACUGUUCUGAAAAAUUUGAUUCGACAUCCUCAUUCUCAGAUAACAGAGAAGAAUGUUGAAGAUGUUGCAUAAGUCAAACAACUUUGGCUGAUUUGUGAGGACAACUUCGGGCAAAGUGACCGCCUUUCUUGCAGAUGAAACAACGGUUGGAUUUUUUCUUUCGGAACUGAGAGGCAUCUUUCUUUUUGAAAUACCAGAAAGUUUUUUUAGAGGAUGUUUUUCGGUGGAAGUAUUUCCGGAAAUGGUGUUUCUUUGUGGUUGGACAAACACAUUUCUUUUCAUCCUUACACUCGAUUUUGAGAUAAGGUUUUUUACAAGCUUCAGAGAAGGGUUUCUUGUCUUCCAUGAGAUCUUUGAAGAACUCUUUUUGUUCACAGAUUUUAGCAAGAGAUAGCAUGGCCAUCUGGAAAAUCUUUCCUAGAAAGAUAUCAACUAUGCUCAGAUUUGUGGCUGUGAGUUUUCUUUAAAGGUCAGGUUGUAACUUAGCAGGAAGAAAGGUGAUAAAGACAUGUUUAAGAGAUGGCUCAUUAAACCCAUUUAGCUUGUAGAAUAGAAUACUCAUUCUUUUGUAAUGAGCAUCCAGAAGAUGUCUUUUAAGAGAACAACAUUUCAUCUGAUGGUAUUCUUUUCUGUUUGCUUCAGUGGAAGCAGUUUUUUCACCGAUGAAUUGCUCAUGAAUAAUAUUGAGGGCUGUACCAAUCAGAGAUUCCAUGAAUUGGAGCUGUCUGUAUUCUCCUAAACUUUCUAGCCAGUCUCGUAAAGAACCCGUGGAGCGAGCCAUGAAUUCACAAAGAACGGCUUGAGGUUGAGCAUUAGGCUUGGUACCUUGGAGAUCAAUCCAAGCAGUAAAUUCUUGAAGUCUAGCCGCCCAUUUGUGACGGGGAAUGUCAUCAAAUGUAAACCAAGAUGCUAAAGAUGGUUUUGUUGAGUGUUCAUGAACUGGUAGCGGUACUGGGUUUGUUUGAGAAGCUUGGUCAGAAGGAUUGUCAUCAACAAUAGGUGUUGACGUAGAGGCACUUGGAUCUGCAGUUUCAGUGGCCAUUAAUAUGCCUGUAAUGUCAGCAUAUUCAGACUCAGAGUCAGUGGAGCCUUUUGAUGAGUCAUAAGAGGAGGAUGAAGGUGAAUUAUUUGUUUCAGGCUCAGAAGUGUCGAAGGAAUCUGAAGAUUGGAUCUGGACAGUACGAUAAUGAUACUAGUCCAUUGGAUCUUUAUCUUUUUUAAGAGGCUCGGGAUGGUCUUGUGGUGAGUCUUCUGGAGGGAUUGUAGAUGUAGAGGAAGAGGAAGUGGCCUUUGGAUGUGGUUUAGAGAUUUUGACUUUAGAUUUUGAUUUUUUGGGUGAAGAUGGUUGAGGAGUUGGUUGAAGGUGAGAGAAACCAAAGAACUGAUUAUAAACAGGUUGUUGAGGUCGGGAUGGUGUGUAGAAAUGUGCAUAGGUUUCAAAGAUUGGAGGAGAUACUGGUGUAGGUUGUGGUUGAGUAAAAAGAGAAGGUCGAGUCUUUUCAGCAUCAAUCCUGGACAAUUCAGCUUUGAGUUUUCUGAUCUCAACUUCUUUUUUAUUAAACUCUGGACCCCAAAUAUGAUUGUUGAUCAUUCGUCUGAGAUCGGCAUCGAGCUCAGAGAUCCGGUCCUGAAGAUGUAUAUAUAUCUGAUCAAGACGACUGCUGAUUGAAUCAACUUUUGUUUCCGUCUGAGAGACUUGAUUGGCAACACGGUCAAUUUUCUUACCGAGUUGUUGAAGAGUAUGAUUUUGAGCAUUGGAAUUUUUGGUUUGCCAAUUCAAAAUAGCUUCAUACUAUUUUGGUUCUUCAAGUUGCCCAGAGGUUGUAAUCGGAGAUUGAACAAAAGGUUUUGAGGUGACACGGGUUUGGGUGUCGGUUUGUUUUUCAAGUGGAGGAAAUGAUUCAUCAUAGGAAUGACUUGAAAACAUAAGGCAUGACCUGAUUAGGUGAACAAGAGGUUUUGGAUCCGGUGGAGGCUGUGGAAGAAAGGAUUUGCAGGGUGGUGGAGGAUAAGAAGAUUUUUUUUUCUUCUUUUUCUUUCUCCGCAUAACUUCCAAUUCUUCAUCAAUAUCCGUAUCCUCCAAGCAAAGACAAUCCGGAUUGCACAUAUGGGCUUCAGGAACAUCCUAUAGGAAAUGACCAUUGAGUUUAUCAGGAUAUACUGGAUACCCUUCUGAUGAAAAAUUAUGAAUAGGAAGUUUCUUUUCUUGACCCAUUUGGACUACUGUAAUCAUAGCAGUAUAAGAAAGCUGUGGACUGUCCGAAACGGGCUUGGUGUCAGGAGUUUGAAAAGACAGUUUGACUUGACCAUUUGGUCGUCUGACAAAUGUAGCUUCUGUGGUUUGUACUAGUUCAGAAUUUUGGUGAAAGUGCUCAUAGUUGGUUAGCCAUUCAAGAGGCAUGAGUUUGAGCAGAUCUUGUUUCUGGAUUUGUUUGGGGAUUUGGAUGAUGGUUGGAAUUGUGUCUGUGUCCGCCAAUAUCAUCAGGGCAUCAGAAGAUGUGUAUGGUGUGGAAAGAUCUAGUGCAUGAUUUUGUAAUCGAUACACUAUUUGAUGAUGGAGGGUUGCAAUCUUUGAUGUGGGUGUUUAUUCUGCUCCUUGGAGCUGAAUCUGGACUUUAAGGGUAGUUGGAAGAUUGGGAUCCUCAAGAGAGAGGUUGAAAUUUGGGUAAAAGGUUAAUAAGACACUGCCAGCAUGAAGGGUUGUCAGAACUGUUCCAACAACAGCAUGUUGGUACUCCUUGAACCUGGUGUCUAGGAGAGCAAUUCUAGCUGUAACAGGUAAGCCUUUCCGACCAUGAAGAGUGAGAAUUAAACGUAUACCACCAAGAUGGAGGUGUGUGUACCCUUCUCGUUUCCAGUUGGCGACUAGAUCUGAGGGUAUUUCCAUAGUGACAUAUUGUUCACUCUGUGAGGCUUGGAGAGCACACUAAUCCAGUCUAGAAGACUGAAUAUAUUCCUUUGGGAGUGGUCUUUUAGUGGAGAUGAGGGUUCGAAUACUUCUAGUAAGAGAAGUUUUCUGUUUGUAGAGAUUGUAAGGACUCAUGAUGGGAAACUGGGACUCAUUGAUUUGAGCAGAUUCUGGAAUAUAAGAAUAUUCAACAAGAUUCUCAAUUUUGGAGGCUAUAUGUUUAGAGCAUGAUUUGGGGAGAGAGACUGUAGAAGAAAGAGAAAUAUGAGAUGAAGAUAAGGUAAGACUUGAGCUUGAAGAUGAAGUUAUUUCUAUGGGUUAUGAAUCUUCUUCUAGGAGAUCAAAUAACAUUAUUCAAAUUACUAAUGAUACCACCUCAGAGCCACACUUCAUGUUGAGAUGAUCAAAUUGCCUUUCUUAUCGCAGAAUCUUGCGAAUCUUCAGAUUCUGAAGAUAUUUCAGUCAUCUCUACAGUCCAAACUGUUAACCAUGUUUCCACUAUUCCUAGACCUUCUCUCAAGAUAUCCAUCCUUUUUUCCAAAUUCCAUAAACUUGUUCCUGUUAUCGGGUUUCUUGACACUGGUGCAGACACCAGUAUGAUUGAUCCUUCUGUUCUUCCCUCAGACUGUUGGGAACGUCAUUCCAAGCUCUUCAGAGCAGUGAAUGGUGAAACUUUUGAAACUACCUUGAUUACCAAAAAACCCAUUGGUAUUCAAUUUUUUCGAAUUACAUAAUUUGGAAAAAGAUUGUAGCUUCCAAACUCCCUGAUAAAGAUUUGCUUAUAGGUUUUGACAUUCUUCAUCUGGUUAAAAACCUAUUCCUCACCAGUUCUGGAGUUCACUACAAACAGAUGUUCUUACCUUAUACAAAUGCCCUACGUCUGUAUGCACUUUCUGAAACAUCAUCUCCAUACAGUCAAAUCUCACAAAAGUUUUUAGAGUUCUGUCCAGAAAACCAUUCACAGUUCCAUCAUCCUUCACCUCUUUGGAAAAAUGAACAAUUUUUCAUUUACCUUCCUUUUAAACUCAACGAAGACAUAAACCCCAUAAAAGCUUCACACCCGGGUAUGUCUCCUUCAGAUCUCUUGCUUGCUAAGCAAGAAUGUUCUCAGUUACUUCAACAAGGUCUUAUUGAGUCUACUGAUUCAAAUUGGGCUUGUCAAGCCUUUUAUGUUGAAAAGCGAUCUGAAUUAGUUCGUGAAAAAAAGAGAUUAGUAAUUGAUUACCAGCCACUCAAUUCUUUUCUUAAAGAUGAUAAAUUUCCCCUUCCGAAAAUUCAGACCCUGUUUGUUCAUCUUCAAGGGGCUCGUAUCUUCUCUAAGUUUGAUUUAAAAGCUGGUUUUUGGCAACUUUGUAUUUCACCAGUUGACCGACACAAAACUGCAUUUUGCAUUCCUGAUGCCCAUUACCAAUGGACUGUUAUGCCUUUUGGUCUUAAAGUCGCUCCCUCCUUAUUUCAAAAAGCCAUGACAAAAAUCUUUAGUCCUAUUCUCCAUCAUGCAUUGGUUUACAUUGAUGAUAUUUUGUUAUUUUCUUCUGACCAUGAGAGCCACCAGAAGCUCCUUUUGGAUUUCUUUCACAUUGUGCAGGCACAUGGCAUCAUGCUUUCCGAAAAGAAAAGCAACAUAGGAAAGGAAUCAAUUGACUUUCUUGGCAUGGUGAUUAAAGACGGCCAGUAUCAACCUGGUCCACAUAUUGCAAUCGAAUUAUUAAAGUUUCUGGACACACAUCUCACCAGGAAGUAGAUACAACAAUUCCUUGGGACUGUUAAUUAUGUCCGUGAUUUUAUCCCCAAAGUUGCAAUUCACACUAGCCAGCUGUCACGCAUGCUCAAAAAACAGUGCCCUCCAUGGGGCCCUACUCAGACCGAAGCUGUCAAGUAGUUAAAGGUAAUAGCACAAUCACCUCCUCCACGCCGCAUUCCCACAAAUGGACAACACAUCCUCCAGACUGAUGCCAACGAUGAUUAUUGGAGUGCCAUUCUCCUCGAAGACAUCAAUGGCGUGCGUCAUUUCUGUGCUCAUGCAAGUGGACAGUUCAAAGACUCUGAAAAGAACUACCAUGUGAUCUACAAAGAGAUUUUGGCAGUUAAGUAUGGCAUUAAAAAAUUUGAGUUCCAUCUUAUCAGCCACAAAUUCCUUAUCACCAUGGAUAAUUCAUUUUUUCCCCGAAUCUUUGACUUCAAGAACAAAUUGCUACCUGACAAGCAAUUACUCAGUCUCAAAAUCUGGUUUUGCUAAAUAUGAUUUCACUGUUCAACACAUAAAAGGCAACCAAAACCUCAUUCCAGACUUCCUCACUCGUCCAACUAUAAAUAAACCCGCACUCAUCUCCUCGAUUCAAACCAUUCCAGUUAUAGCCAUGAAUCGCCAACUUCCUUUCAAAGCUCUCAACCAAAGAAAUUUCCCCAUGAACAUCUCUUUCCAAUUGGCUUAUCAAUUGCAAGAUUUUACAAAGAAGUUUCUUUACCGGUUUUUCUUUAAUGUCCAGACCAAAAAACCUGACCGAUUUCCUAAUCUUUGCAUGGAACACCUGUUUCUCACAGGCCUCACUCUAUCCUCUCUAUCCAUCUCCGAAGAUGAGCUUUGGUAUAUGUGGUGUCUCAUCACCUUGUAUGCUACAAAGCUAGUUUUUCCCAUCAAGCCAGUCCUAACUCACCUUACCACUCCCGAGUUCUCACUAGACCUUCUAUGGACUCUCUUUGAAUGGUAUUCUCCCCUCACUUGGUGGCGCCAGCAACUCCAACAUUUGUGUACCUUUCAUGGAUUAGACAAAAUGCCAGACCAAGAAGCUAACAUGUGGACCACGGCCUUCAUCGUCCACAGGCCUUACUUCCAGCAUCCAGAAACCCGAGACUACUGGACACAGAACAUGGCAUAUGAAUGGAGAACUUACCCUCAUCCUUAUACCUUCAUCCACAAUACAUCCGUCACCGCCGUUCUCAAAGCCUAUCACAUGGAACUUAACAAUGUUCCUCCACCUGCCACAAACAUUCAUCACACCUCCAUUGGACCGUCACACAUCCUUGAAAUAAUUCCAAAAACACAAGGUUGUACUUCAGGAUCAAGUUCAAGUCCCCAAGGAAUCCUUGUCAUGGAACAACGUCUUGACUACACCAAUGUCUUAUUCCAAGACGCUCAAGACCCAUGGGAAGACUUUCAGUCCCUUCUCUAUACUGACACUCCCCAUUAUACUGUCACCAACCCAGACUCUCCUGCUGCAUCUACCUCCCAGCACAUGUCUGAAGCUGAUGAAGAAAGUAUCAGCAAGCUGAGGCGUAUCUCGACCAGAGACAGCGGCAUCGGCAUAAGCGACAAUAUGAAAAAGAGACAGGAGACGUGUCACCAUCGCGCUAUCCAUCCUCUCCAUGAUGACACUUUGUCGUUCUCACCCGGCUUUUGAUGCAAUAAUCCAAGUGACUCCCAUUUGUCUUUUGUAAAAGUCCUUGUCGGUAUGUUUUCCUUUUGUUAAAGUCCUGAUCGGUGUGCUUUGCUUUCCAAAAAGGUGUGCCAUGUGAUAUGAUCAUUCGAGAGGUCCUGUUCUCAAUGGUCCUCUAUAAAAGGCACCUUUGGUCUAAGUUGUAAGGGGAGCCAAUUUGAAAAUAAAAGCUUAAGUUUUAUAUAUUAUGUUUCCCUAAACCUCUCUCUCUUCUAGGAAUCAAAGAAAUUAUUUGAAUUAAAAAUGAUACGCUCACCUCAAAAUUUCUAAACUGAGUAUGCUCUGCACUUGCCUCAAGCUUGAGGAUACUAUGCAUCAGAAAGGUCCUGUUUAUCCUCCAAAACUGAUUUUUCUAAAAUGAAUGUUUUCUCACAACGUUCACCCUCUUUGAAGGUUUUCGGGUGGUAUUGUGAAAAAAUUAUUUUCAAAAAUAAAUUUCGGAUUUGGUAUUAACUGGAUAAGUGUAUAUCGGCUGGAAACCAAGGUGUGUAGACUACUGGUCCAAAGGAGAUUUAAAUAUCUUGGCUUGCCAAGGAUCUCAUCACUCUGGUAAAACAACGCCACGUACAACUGCCCACUGGUAUCAAAAGCUAGACUAAUUUGUUGGGUGUUACUUUUGCAGGAAUUUGACUUGGAAUUCAAAGAUAAGAAAGGCAUAGAGAAUGUUGUAGCUGACCAUCUCUCUCAUCUCCAUUUUAACACAAUUACAGAACCAUUAACAUUGAAUGAGUCAUUCUCAGAUGAACAAUUAAUGAGUGUGGAAGUAUUACCAUGGUAUGCUGACAUCGUGAAUUAUCUUGUUACAGGUCAACUUCCAGAGCAUUGGACCAAGCAAGACAAGGCCAAAUUUUUUACAGAAAUAAAGAAUUUCUUUUGGGAUGACCCUUAUUUGUUCAAGUAUUAUGCAGAUUAAAUUGUUAGGUGAUGUGUCCCCGAAAGUGAAAUUCAGAAUAUACUUUCAUUCUACCAUGAACAAGCUUGUGGAGGCCAUUUCAGUGCUAAGAAAACAACGACUAAAGUUUCACAAUGUGGUUUCUAUUGGCCAACUAUAUUUCGAGACGCUUACACUUUCUGUUCUUCAUGUGAUAGGUGUCAACGAAUGGGGAGCAUUACAUGAAGGAACAUAAUGUCACUAAAUCCAAUUUUAGUGGUUGAGGUUUUUGACGUAUGGGGUAUCGACUUCAUGGGACCCUUUCCCCCUUCUUUUGGCCAUCAAUACAUAUUGGUUGCUGUUGACUACGUAUCAAAAUGGGUAGAAGCAAUUCCAUGUAGAACCAAUGAUCACAAAGUGGUGAUAGCAUUUUUGAAAAGCAACAUUGUUUCACACUUUGGAUUCCCUCGAGCGAUAAUCAGUGAUGGUGGUGCCCACUUUUGUAACAAAGUAUUCAAAGCUCUUUUGACAAAGUAUUCAAUCACUCAUAAAGUGGUGACCCCAUAUCAUCCGCAAACCAGUGACCAAGUUGAGAUCUCCAAUCGAGAAAUAAAGCACAUAUUAGAAAAGACGGUGAGGCCAGAUAAAAAGAUUGGUCAUUAAGACUUGAUGAUGCAUUAUGGGCAUAUAGAACGGCUUUCAAGACCCCAAUUGGGAUGUCACCCUACAGGCUAGUGUAUGGAAAAGCUUGCCACCUACCUGUGGAACUCGAGCAUCGUGCAUAUUGGGCCAUCAAGAAAUUCAACUUUGACAUGCAGCAAGCUAGCUCAAAAAGAAGAUUACAACUGGCAGAACUUGAAGAAAUUCACAAUGACGCAUACGAAAAUGCCAAGAUUUACAAGCAGCGAAUGAAAGUCUUUCAUGACAAGAAAAUUAUGGGAAAAUCUUUCACUCCAGGUCAGAAAGUGCUUUUAUUCAAUUCUCGCUUGCACCUAUUCCCAGGUAAGUUACGCUCUCGAUGGUCUAGCCCCUUUAUUGUUCAUACUGUUUUUCCACAUGAGGCAAUUGAAAUUAAGGACCCACAAUGUCACGUUUAAAGUUAAUGGUCAAAGAUUAAAGCCAUAUCUAAGGUACCAACCACAUGGAGAGGACACCGAAAUAAAUUUGAGUGACCCACCAAAUUUGAAUUAAGUUUUUUUUUCUUUCUUUUCAGUGAUUUGAUUUGAUUUUUUUUCUUUUAUUAUUCUUUUGAAAUUAUUUUGCAUAAGUGUGUUUGUUUAACCAUUAAGUUUUCUCUUAUCAUUAUUAAUCAUGAGUGUCAUAGCUAAACAGUUCCUCCUGAACAUUCUUAAAUCACUUCAACAUGUAAAAUCUCAUCUCAAAAGACAGAUUCAAUUUUGUAAGACAUAUCGUAUUUGGGCUCUGCAACCACCAGAGUUAGUAUCCUAUGUUGAGGAUUUAGAAAGCCAACUCAGAGACAUUGAGAGAGGUGUCUACAACAUCCAGUUGGAGCUUGAGGUAAAUUCAAUAAGAGGACGAUUUUAAUUUUCUUUGUGUGUUUUAAUUUGUUUUUCUGUUUGUGUGCUUUAGUUUGUUACCCCGGUGAAGUGGUGGAUAACGGUACUCCGUGACAAUCAAGUCGGUUACUUCAGUUUCCCAUAAUAACUGAUAUUUUGAGGCGAAGGUAUGGACAAAAAAUGAGAUUCUAGCAAAGCUUCACAAUCGAUUCCCUUCACUUCCUCAGAAUGCCCUCCUUACAAUCUAUAAAGCUCGGUCUAAACGCAUACGAUUGCUCAUGAAGAAUAACAUACCUGCUUACAUCCGUUGGUUAAUCGAGGCUAAAGUACAAUUGGCAGGUGAGUUACCUCCAAAAUUUAUUGCAUACAUGCCUGGUUGUGGUAAAGGAAAUUAUGCAAGAAAACGAAGAGCUCGAAGAAUUUCUGUUGCUUGUCAUAAGUGUGCCAAAAUGAGUUGCGAUAAAAAACCAUGUUCUUUAGGAAUGAUGUCUGAUAACAGGGAAGAUAAGAUUCAAUUCAUUAGGGAUGGCUUGAAUAAGGAGUCAUUGGAUGAUAUCCUUUUGUCUCUUGAAACGCAUCCCAUUGGAUAUGUGCAAGGAGCGAUUCUCCAGUUAUGGCCAUUAUUCCAAAAAGAGCAUGCACGAUAUAGUCUCGGGAAUUUGACUAUAAACGACCCUGUUUGCCAGUUUAUAAGAAAACUGGAUGGGAAGCCUAUCCUCGACCCAUAUAAGGCGUUCAAGCCGUUUCUGGACGUAAAACCAGAGGAAGAUGUGAGCUACAGUCGCAACUACCUGUAAAUAUCCUUUUACUUCACUGUUAUUUUAUUUCACUGUUGUUUUAUCAUUUGCAUUAUUGUCUUUAAUAAUUUUAUCAUUGUUUCUUUUUCUUUUUACUGUUUCCUUUUUGACUCGCGAGCCAUGUGCUUUACACGUUAUUUGACAAUGACAUGCCACCUCAUACACAGUUGUGACCCACUGUCACCAAGAUUCUUAAAUAUGACUUUUUGUUAAGCACUCACAAAUUGUUUUUGAGAAAUAUUCCAAUGGCAGCUACUCCCAAUAGACAAUUCAAGAACAUUUGUAUGGUUUUUGGAUUUAACUAUGGCAAACAUAAAGAGUUCAUUGAGGCAGCCAUAGAUCUUGGUCGAAGUAUAGCAGAGAGAAAAUUACACUUGGUGUAUGGAGGAGGUAACCGAGGGUUAUCAAAAUUGGUCUCAGAAGCUGCUUCUGUCAGAGGGAACCAAGUGUUAGGCAUUAUCUCAGGAGCCCUAAAACCUUUGGACAGUUUGUCAGACCCACCGACUGGAGAAGAGUUAGUCGUCUCAGGCAUGCAAGAAAGAAUAACUGAAAUCCAACACUAGAGGCACUUAUCACACUAGCAUCUUGGGCCCAUCUACAUAUUCACCAUAAACCCAUCGGUUUGUUAAAUGUCAAUAACUUUUAUGAUGGCUUCAUCGCAUUUCUUAACCAUGCAAUAAAAAACUAUUUCAUUCCUUCCACAGCGAAAAAGCUUUUUAUUUGUGCUCACACAGCUAAUGAGUUACUUGAUCUGUUACAAGCUUAUAGACCGGAGCCAGACCCCUGGACCUUUGUGUUGGAGCCUCCAAAUAAUGACGGUAACAGUAGCCGCAGUAAGAAGUACAAAUUAGAUUUAACUCUCCGCCUGUAAAUAAUUACUUCUGUGUUGCACUACCCAGGUGAUGUCUUCUAAACUCUACUUCUUUCCUUUAAAACAUUGAGGACAAUGUUUCGUUCUGGUUGGGGGGAGGGAAUAGUCGACAAUUGUGGAAUCUUAGUUAAGUUUUUACUAAUUUUUUGUUGUAGAAACUAACUUUUGCUAACUUUUUGUGUUGAAGAUGGCUGAAUAUGGAGUGUAGUGACUCUAGAAACGCAUCUCAUCAUUUGAAAAAAAAAAUUAAUUUAAAAAAAUACAAAAAAAAAUUCAGACAUUUUCUUUUUCUUUAUUUAUCUUUGAUAUUCAUUUUUCUUCCUCUUUUUAAUUUAUCCUUUAUAAAUAUACAUUUUCAAAUUUUUGAGUCGAAGAUGACUGAAUAUGGAGUGUAGUGCCUCUAGAAACGCAUCUUCUUAGUUAAAAAAAAUUUGUUUUCUUUUUCUAUCAUUUUAAGUGUAACUUUUCUAAUUAGUUUUUCUGCAUCAUUUUCACAUUUCUGCAUGCAUAUUUUCCCUUCAUGUUUAGAAUAGGUUGGGGGGUAGGAUGUUGUUUGAAAAAAAAAAUUGUGUGAAUUGUUUUAACAUUGGAUGACAUGAUUAAUUUCAAAUUUUAGUAUUUGUAUUAUCUUUGGUCUUAAGUGAUGUUACGCUAUGUUUGCUACUCUACAUGUUGAUUGCAGAGACAAAUAUGAGUUGCUUGAAGGAAUGAACAUGUCAUAAUAAGUACCAAGUGAGUUUUUGAGCCUAUCAUUUUUCUUGGAGAGUAACCCUUUUGCCCAUUCUUUAUACAGCUUAGCAGUUUAUUAUUUUAUACACGAUCUCUAGAUUUCUCUUGAGUUAAACCUUUAAAAAAAUUUGUAAAAUUAAAAAAAAAAUAUGUGUUGCUACAUUUGAAGACCCAUCUAACUAGUAGAUAUAGAAGAUUCUUUAAAGCCCUAAAAGACGAUGGAAAGGCCAUCUUUGAUCCGUUUGAGCCUUUCUAGCCAUCCCUUUUAUGAAAUAUCCAUAGUUAACCCUUUUGAGCCUUUAAAAAUAAUAAUAAUAAUAAUAAAACCUUUUCUUUGUCAACUUAUCAUCUUGACCCACUCCGAUUUGGAAUAUUACCCAAUGUCUUAUAAGUUCCAUCACCUAUUUAUGUUUGAGAAAAAUGUAAAUAAUUAUUUUGUUCAGUGACUUUGUGCCAAACAAAAGCAAAAAAAAAAAAAACAAAACAAAAAUCUCUGCAUUUUUCUCAAACAUACACUUUAUUUUCUUUAUUUCCCCUCCUUUGUUAGCCAUGUCCCUAGCUUACGUUACGUCCUAAUAAAAGUCCUUCUUGAUUUUAGGGAACUAUAGUCUGAAGUAGAAGCUAGUUAUAUGAGCUAAAAAGAUGUAGUGGUGCAUAAAAAAAAAUAAAUAAAUUGGGUUGACUAGCAUUUUUAUUUGACUUGAGAUCGUAUUAUUUCUAAGCUGAGGGCAUAUUUCUUACAUCUUGGUGAGAGCAUGUGAUAUCACUUCUUUAUUAUUUUCUCUCAAUUACCAUUCAUUGGAGUGACUAUUUUUAUUGGCUUUAAUUUCUUUAUGAGAGUGUCACUACUUCCAGUGAGAUUUUGGGGUUUGACAUGUCAUUCUUGAAAGUAGCAAUGACAAAGUCUACUGGGCUGAUUCAUGUGGAUGGUUGAUGUGGGUGUGAUGUUUCUUUAGACUUGAGAUAAUGCUUAUACAUUUAUUUGAUUGUUAUCAUUAGUCUGAUUGAAUAACCACGAGUGUUUAAAAAAAAAAUCAUUUUGGAUUUGAAUUUUGUUUUCGCUUUAUUUGCUAUGGACUAGCAAUAAGCUGGUUGGAGGGUGUGUUGAGUGUUAGAAAAUGUAUAUUUAUAAAGGAGAAAAUCAUCAUUUUACAUUUCAAGUCUUACUAACACCCUUACUUUUAUGUAUUUAAGCUUCUUGUCAUUUAAUUAUGUGUGUUGUAUUAUAAUUAAGUAUUUUAUGUAUUUUAGGGGCAUCAUAGUCAUUUCGCAAUGAAUGAGAGAUCAGACGGCAAAACAAACAUCACUUUUGAACUCAGGACAGUCGAAAACCUUAAGAAGAGCAUCAAAGGAAAAAAUGGUACUGUUCACAUGUACGGUACUAUUAACAUGAACGGUACUGUCUACGUUACUGUUCACGACACUGUUCACAUAGACGGAUCGAUGACGUGGCAUUGACCAAUGAUGUGGCAUUGACUGAUGAGGUAUCAAGAUCCUGUUGGACUAAAAUUCUUAUGCACUGUUGAUCGAUGACGUGGCAGCAUGUCAGUGGACCAAAAAUCUCGCGUACGAUACAUGCAUUAUACAAGAUUAUUUUCAACCAAACCGCGUCACUGUUCAACCCGAGUCAAACCGUGUUACUGUUCAAACCAUGUGGUCAAACCGCGUACUGUUGACUGAUGACAUGGCGUAAUCCUAAGCGUCCGAAAUGUUUUUGAUCCGAUGGCCAUGAUUUACUCAAUGUAUCUAUAAAAAGGGGGCUCUCCCCUCCUAAGUUGAUGUCUCUGAAUCCAUUUUUGGACUCCAUUUUCUAUAAUUCCUUCUCCUUCUUGUAUUUUCUACGUAUUUUAAUAAAUUUCUAUUUUGCCCCUAGUUCAAUUAUGAGUAGCUAAUUUUCUUUCAAUCUUGGGUUGAAGGUGAAGUCUCAACAUGUGUCAUGGGCUUUAUUUGGUAAAUAUAUUUUCUUUUCCCCUCUAAUUUUUGUGGAUGAUUUGACUUUUCGUCAACAAAUUAUAAUAAUCUUCUCUAGAUACCGCCUUGGUUUCACCGGCUUCUUAGUACAAGGUUUUAUUAUUUGGCACGAUAAGCCCUUAGCACCAUAUUGAUUAGAGUGUGGUUCAUGAUGUGUGGAUACCCCCCUCAUGAUUUAAUUGACAUUAAUAAGAAAUAUUUAGCCCAUGGUGCAUGUUGAUACGGAUCCAGAUACCCAAGUACGUCAUUUCAAUAAAUUUCUCUUCAAUUUAUUCUCGCCAUUUCAAUUCCAAUUUUAGGAUAAUCUAAGUCACUUUCACUACAAAUCCAACCACCUUCAUACAAAAUUAAUUAUACAUAUAAUUAAAAUCCACCUCCUCGUGGGAUCGACACUCGUUACCAUUGAUCUAUACAACAAUAGAUUCGUGCACUUGCGAGUUUAAUAAAAUUUGCACAACAUCUGCUAUCUCCCAUAUCCUGGCUACAUAAUGCAUGAGCACAUGUCCUAUCAUAGGUAGGAUAGUUAAGGGUUGUUCCACUCAAUUUCUCACCAAAAUUGGCAAUUAGACGUCCUUCUUGCAUCAAAAUAGCUCCAAUACCUACAUCUGAAGUAUCACACUCAAUUUCAAGAGUUUUAUCAAAAUCAAGUAAAGUAAGUAAUGGUGCAGAAACAAUUUCUCCUUGAUUAGAUUAAAUGCCACUUCUUGUUCACUACCCCACUUAAAUCUCACAUUUGUCUUCACAAUUUUAGUUAAUGGUGCAGCAAGGGUGCUAAAAUCUUUCACAAAUCUUCUAUAAAAACUAGCCAAACCAUGAAAACUUCAUACCUCACUUACAUUUUUAGGUAUAGGCCACUCCUUAAUAGCCCUUACCUUCUCUUCAUCGACCUCAAUUCCUUUAGCACUUACAACAUAACCAAGAAAAACAAUCUAACUUGUACAAAGGGAACACUUCUUCAAAUUAGCAUACAACUUUUCCUUCCUUAAAACAGUCAAUACACUUUGCAAAUGUUCAAUGUGAACCUCUAAGCUUUUGCUAUAGAUCAAAAUAUUAUCAAAAUAGACAACUACAAACUUACUAAUAAAAUCAUGCAAAACAUGGUUCAUUAACCUCAUAAAAGUGCUAGGUGCAUUAGAUAACCCAAAUGACAUCACUAACCACUCAUGUAAACCAUAUUUUGUUUUAAAGGUAGUUUUCCACUCAUCUCCCUCUCUAAUUCUAAUAUGAUGAUAUCCACUUUUAAGAUCAAUUUUACUAAACACAUAAGAACCAUGCAAUUCAUCAAGCAUAUCAUCAAGUCUAGGAAUAGGAUGUGUAUACUUUACAAUAAUUUUAUUGAUUGCACGACAGUCAAGCACAUCCUCCAUGUUCUAUCCUUUUUGGGCACUAGUAGAACUGGUACCGCACAUGGGCUCAUGCCCUCUCUCACAUAUUUCUUUGCUAAGAGUUCUUCAACUUUCCUUUGAAGCUCCUUUGUCUCCUUGGGGUUGCUUCUAUAUGCAGGCCUAUUAGGAAUGUUAGCUCCAGGGAUAAAGUCUAUUUGAUGCUCAAUUCCCUAAUAGGUGGCAAAUCAUUAGAAACUUCAUUUGGAAACACAUCUUCAAAGUCUUGUGAAAGAGUCACAAUAGCACUAGGCAAAGAAGAGUUAAUCUCAUUAGUAUGUAAAAAAAGCCUCUUUGCACAAAAGUAUAAUGAUAGGCUGUUUUGAAAAGAAAACCUUCUUAACGUCGCUCUCUUUUGAAAACAAAUUCACUUACUACCUCUCUUUUCUAUCAACAAUAUUCUCAUUUUUUGGGAUCUUUCCAUUUGUUUUUCUCUCAAUCUCUCUUUCUUUUGUACUCCCAUUUUCUUUUUUUGUAUCACUCUCAGUUUUUUAUUGACAUUUGAUCCUCAUACACUUGUCUAAGUGUUAAAGGUACAAGAGUGAUUUUCUUUUUACGCAUUACAAAAGAAUAUCUAUUUAAGUAACCAUCAUGUGGCACACGCCUAUCAUAUUGCCAAGGUCGCCCAAAAGAAUGUGUCUAUCAUGCAUGGGGUACUACAUCACAUACAACCUCAUUCUUGUAUCUCCCAAUAGAGAAUGAAACCAGCACUUGUUUAUUCACUUUAACUUCCCCACAAUCAUUUAGCCAUUGUAGCUGAUAUGGCCUAAGAUGUUUCAAAGUUUUCAAAUUUAAAUUUUUAACUAAACAGUGCUAUCUACAUUAGUACAACUUCUACCAUCAAUUAUCAUACUACAUACCUUAUCUUUGAUACGGGAUCUAGUAUGAAAGAUGUUAUCACGUUGUACCUCUGCAUCUUCUUUUACUUGCAUAUUGAGAGCACACCUAGCAACCAUCAAUUUACCAUCAACAAGAUACUCAACACCAUCAUUAGCAUCCUCAAAAGGUGGCAUAGGAUCAUCAUCUAAUUCACUCUCGGUUUCAACAUCACCAUCAUCCCUUAAGAUUAUUGCUCUUUUAUUUGGGCAUUGAGAUGUAAAUGACAUGUCCCCAAACAUUUAAAACACUUAAUAUUUCUAUUUCUAGAGUGUUGGGAAUCAUAUUAACAUUUGCUUUGGUUGCCUCCCUCUUUGUGAUCCUUGAAUGGCUCAAUCUUAAGCUUUGAAACAACCUUUUCAUCUUUGCUCCAUUUUGACUUCCAUGAGGAAGAUGAGCCCAAACUGGAACCUUUCUUUUUUAGUUGUUGUUCCACUUUCAUGGCCAUGUGAACCAUGUCUUCCAACUCAACAUAGUGCUACAGGUCAACCAUGUAAAAAUCUUGCCACAGUGGCCUCUCGUUCUUCUUCAAUGUUGGCUCAAAUCAUGAUUAUUUCCAUCUCCUUAUAGUAAUCUUCCACACUUUUAGAACCUUGUGUAAGACUUUGAAGUCUUUAGUGCAACUCCCUAUAAUAAUGACUAGGAACAAAUCUCCUCCUCAUGAUGGUAUUCAUCUCCUCUUAAGUGUCUACAAGCCUUUCACGAUUUCGUCUCCUACUCAAAACAAGUUGAUCCCACCAAAUAAUAGUAUAAUUAUUAAAUUCAACAGCAGCUAGUUUUAUCUUUUUUCUCCUCAGAGUAGUUGUGGCAAUCAAAUACUAGCUCCACCUUUUUCCCACUAAUGGAAGCCCCAUAAUGAAACUUUGAAAACUCACACUUAAUUUGAAGUUUCAACUUCCUAAGAAGUUUUAAACAGAUUUAAGCUUAAACAAAAACCUUGACCCAAUGUUUAAGAAAACAUGAACCAGAGGUAUAGAGAAGGAUAUUGAUGUCACACUCAAGAUUUAGAUGAGAAGGUGAGUGAUAAGUCUAUUUUGGAACGCCACAAGAAUGCAAAUUCUUUAUAAGUUCACUAGUUCUCAAAAGAACUAAAAAAAGAAUGAUCUUGAAUAAUAUUCAUCUAUAAUUGUCUUACAUAGCAAGGUUGUUGAGUUUAAAUAGGCUAAUAGAAACUCAAGGUCCUAAAAAUAAAAAUGGAAACAUUGGAACAACCAAGUUAGGUUUGUCAAAGGAUGCUUCAAAAGUCUUCAUCAACCCACCAUUAUUAAUACUAGUCAUUGACAAACUUAAUGCUAGCUACCAUAAUUAAUGCUAUCAUUGACAAACUUAAUGCUAACCUGCCAUAAUUAAUGUUAUCAUUGACAAACAUAAUACUAGCCCACCAUCAUCAAUGGUAGACUUACCUAACACAUUGACAAACUUGAAACAAAACAAAUAAAUGAAGUUGAAUGAACAAAGGAGUCGUUGGAAUUCCCCAAGCCUGAAUAUCUUGCAUUCUAGAGAACUCAUUCUAGAGAACUCUAAAUCUUGCAUUGGAAAGCUAACUUAAUUAUCUUUUCAAUGAUAUGCAGCUUCCACAUUAGUUAUGGCUCAAUCCAUAACAAUUUUUUUUUCUAAAUUUGCCCUUUUUACAUUGAAUUCAAAUUGUGUAUUUGGCUACCGAAUAGCUUGAAUAAUGCCAACAAUGCCUUGUCUUCUCUCCAAGCCCAAUUCAUGAUGUCUUGCAUCUUGAAUUGCAUUUUCAGUCCAUAUUCUCUCAAUUAAUCCAUUUAAGCAGCUUGCAUCUUUUUGGCUCUAGCUCUUGUAAUUGGGCCCCCAUGAAUGCAAAGGAUCACUUGAAGCUUAAAUGGUAUUCCCUUUAUAGUUCUCAUCACCCACUCCAAAUAAGCUUCAGAAUUAUUUUUACCUUAAAAAGAAGGAAUUUUUAGUUUGAUACUCCCUAAGUCACGAUAUAUACAUCUUGCCCUUCUAUUAGCUCUUCCAUGCAUGUCAAUGGUGGCAUGAUCAUCAAAAUUAUCAAGGUCAUCCCCAUCUUCUUCUCUCAUGGCUGCAUGCCCUUGAUUACUUCUUACAUUACGAGUUACUGGUUGUUGCCCCAUUUGUAGAUUGGCAAUGGCAAUGUCUUGCCUCUCUAAUUUGUCACGGAUCUCCCGGACAUUAGAUUCAUGUGCUCAAUUGUUGUUGCAUGGCUUUGAACAUGAUUGAUUGGUCUAUGACUUCUGAUCUUUGACAUAUUUGUGAUAUGAAAGAUAAUGUUAGCAAAAAGACCUCAUAACACUCGCUCACGUGUUUCACUCAAUUUGUUGUCACUUAACUCUCGUGUUUAUCACACAAAUUGGCUUUUAUACUCUAAUCAUCUCACAAAAAUUUGCCUUUUACCACACUUAAUUUUCUCUUUCAGUUCUUUAUUGAACUGAAUAAAAAAAAUCAAGAAAAACCCAGGUGGCACACCAAAUAUGACAAACUAGCACACUAAACAAAGAAAAUGAAUUAAGAGGAUGCAAAGAAUGACAAAGGAAAUUGAACAAAAGAAAACAAGCAAGCAAAAGAACACAAUUGAUAUUAUGUGUAAACAAUGUCAAGGAAAAUGAAUAACUAAAAUUCAAUUUGAUGAAAGUAAGAAGACUUGAAUCCUUUUGUAAUUUGUUUUUUUUUGUUGUAUUUUUUUCUUUCUUUUUUCUUUAUUUUUAUUGAUAAUCAAAAUAAAUAAGACAUACAAACAUGAUUAGAAACUAGCUCUGAUACCAAAUGAUGCGAAUCCCAUAAUAAAACUUUGAAACUCACAUUUAAUUUGAAGUUUCAACUUUCCAAGAAAGUUUUAAACAAUUUAAGCGAAACAAAAACCUUGACCCAUUGUUUAGGAAAACAUGAACCAAAGGUAUAGAGAAGGAUAUUGAUGCCACACUCAAGAUUUAGAUGAGAAGGUGGGUGAUAAGUCUAUUUUGGAAAUCCACAAGAAUGCAAAUUCUUAAUAAGUUCACUAGUUCUCAAAAGAACCAAAGAAAGAAUGAUCUUUCAAAUUCAAAAUAACAUCUAAUUGUCUUACAUAGUAAGGUUGUUGAGUUUAAAUAGGCCAAUAGAAACCCAAGAUCCUAAAAAUACAAAUGGAAACAUUGAACCAACUCUCCAAGCAUAGGUUUGCCAAACGAUACUUCAAAAGUCUUCACCAACCCACCAUUAUUAAUGCUAGUCAUUGACAAAUUUAAUGCUAGCCUACUAUAAUUAAUGCUAGUCAUUAACAAACUUAAUGCUAGCCCACCAUCAUUGAUGAUAGACUUACCUAACGCAUUGACAAACUUAAAAUAAAACAAAUAAAUAAAGUUGAAUUGGAAUUCCCAAACCUUAACAAGUUAUAAUAAAUUGGUCAUAACACCUUCUAGAGAACUCCAAAUCCAGCUUUGUAAAUUGCAUUGGAAAGUUAACUUAAUUAUCUUUCCAAUGGUAUAUAGGUUGAACAUUAGUUCCAACUCAAUCAAUAUCAGUUUUAUUCUGAAUUUACCCUUUUGCGUUUGACCCAAAUUGUGUAUUUGACUGCACAACAACUUGAAUAAUCCCCACAAUUCUUUAAUGGUAUUCUCUUGAUGGUUCUCAUCAUUAUCACCCAAUCUUUGCUUCUAGCAACUAGGUUCACUAUAGAGACAAAUACAGCAGCAAUGGUGUUUUCUCCUUCUCUCUCAGCCAUAUUCGCUUUAGCAGGAUUUUUAUUGAAUCUUAUUUGCUCAUCUUUAUCUCUGUAUUGAGAGGCAUAGUGCACAAAUUUUCCACAGACAAAGCAAUGAACUUUCCUUUUAGUUAUCAGAUUUUGGUUUAUUAGGGUAUCUUUUGUUAGUUUUUUUUUUCAAAUGACACUGAGGAGUGUUCUCAAUUAUGAGACGCAUCUCUAAUUUUAUUUCUCCUUAAUCCUAAUAUGAAUAAUAGCAUCUUCCAAACUCACUCAUUUCUUCUUAAGUUUCAUAGUUUUAAUAAAAUCUUUCCAUGAUUUUAGAAUUCUUAAUCAAACAACUAGAUACAAAGCAUUCAAAAAGAAAUAUUUUCUUCUUUUUUAGAUAUUAACCAACAAAUGAUAGUCAUGGACUUGGUUAGACAUAGAUUUACCAUUUUUCAUCCUAAAGUGUAGGAAAUUACCCAUAUAAUAUUGUUAGGUCCCAGUAUCUUCGACUAUAUAUUUUCUAUUAAGUAGUUCCCAAAUCACAAAUGCAUUCUUAUAUGGAUAAUAAGCAUCAUAUUGGGAACUAGCAAGAGUGCUCAAUAUUGUGUACCCAUAGACUUUAUUACUAGCACUCUAAGUCUAUAAUUUCCUGUCAUAAUAUUCAGCACCCUCUUAUGGCAAGUUGUUUGCCCUUGAAUGGUUUAAUUUAGAAGUAUCUGAUAAGUUCUUCGCAAUUAUGACAAUGAAAGCAACUACAGGCAAAGCAGCAAUAGUUAAAGAAUUAUUGGGAUCUUGCGGUGGAUGUAUAUCACUCAUAAUUUUUCCUUAAGACUGUUGGAAAUAUGAGUAAUGCAGCAAAGAGGAGAUUAAAGUAGCAAACAACAAAACAAUCAAGGCAUGUGAUAACAUUAUUGAUGUGAAACCCAUAGUGAAACUUUGAAACCUACAUUUAUUUUAAAGUUUCAACUGCCCAAGAAAGUUCUAAACAAAUUUAAGCCAAACAAAAUCUUAGCCCAAUGUUUUAAAAAACAUGAACCAAAGGUAUAAAUAAUGAUAUUGAUGCCACACUUAAGAUGUAUAUGAGAAGCUAAGUGAUAAGUCUAGAUUGGAACGCCACAAGAAUGUAAAUUCUUAAUAAGUUCACUAGUUCUCAAAAAAACCAAAGAAAGAAUGGUCUUUCAAAAUCAAAUAACAUUAGUCUCUAAAUAUCUUCAUACACAGCAAGGUUGUUGAGUUUAAAUAAGCUAAUAGAAACCCAAGAUCCUAAAAAUACACUUGGAAAUAUUGGAACAACCCUCCAAGCAUAGGUUGUUGUGUAGGAGAUAAUUUGAACAACCCUUCAAAGGAUGCUUCAAAAUCUUCACCAACCCACCAUUGUUAAUGCUAGUCAUUGACAAACUUAAUGCUAGCCUACCAUAAUUAAUGCUUGCCCACCAUUAUUGCUGAUAGACUUACCUAACACAGUAACAAAUAAAUGAAGUUGAAUAAACAAAGGGACAAUUGGAAUUCCUAAGCGCGAACAAGCUAUAAUAAGUUGGUCAUAUUGUCUUCUAGAGAACUCCAAAUCCAGUUUGUAAAUUGCAUUAGGAAAGUUAAUUUAAUCAUCUUUCAAAUGGCAUAUAAGUUGCACAUUAAUUCCUAUCAAUCAUACCUGUUUUGUUUUGAAUUUACCCUUUCUGCAUUUUACUCAAGUAGUGUAUUUGGUUGUCUAAUAGCUUGAAUAAUGCCCACAAUGCCUUAUCUUCUCUCCAAGCUAAAUUAAUCAUGUUUUCCAGCUUGCAUUGCAUUUUCAGUCAAUAUUUUCUCAAUUAAUCUAUUUAAAGCAACUUGCAUCUUUUUUGCUCUGGCUCUUGUAAUUGGGCCUCUGUGAAUGUGCAGAGCAUUAGUUAAAGCUUUAAUGGUAUUCCCUUGAUGGUUGUCAUCAAUUAUCCUUAAGACUAAAUUUCGUGCCUUAGGGAUUGAUAACCCAAUGCAAGAACGACAAACAAAGCAGUAUGGUCUCCAGGAUACAGUGACUGCUAUCGCAAGUCUGAACUCUAAGCAUAAUAGACUAAACAUUAAAAAGACAAAGAAAAUUAUAGAAAACCUAGAGCUACCCAUUUUUGAGUGCCAAAUGUAUGGUAUAAGUAGUUUUUUUUGUACACACAGGCCUUAGCCCUAUUUUCUCUUUGAUUUAAAACAAAUCAUAAUUCGAAUAGGAAUCAAAUACUCAAUAUAACUCAAAUUAAAAUACUAAAAUAAGAAAUCAAUAUAACUCAAAUUAAAAUAUAUAAAAUAAACAAAGAGAAAAAACAUAAAAUUAGGUUAAGCUCGCGCACAUACACGACAUUUUGUGGGGGACAGAGAGAUCCCAUUGUGUAUGAGAUUUUGGGCUCGAGCGCUUAGUUAAAAUGUUUCUAGAAUGGGAUCCUCUUUUGGGCUUGGAUUCAUGCAUAUAUGCGUCCUCCUAAUAGGCUUUGUUACCACACCAUAUUUGGAUUCUAUAUAUGAAUUAACUUUUUCUCUCUUCUUUUAGCAAUGUAAGAUAUUGAUAUUUUGAAAUAUCAACUCAGAUAUCUAAAACUUUUACUUUUGUUCAAAUUAUUCAUUUAAGACCCAUGACUAUAUUCAAUAUAUUUUUAGAAUUUUUUUUAGUACUAAGCUUCAUAGAAUACUUUUGCUUUAGUUCAAAUUAUUCAUUCAACACCAUAGCUAUAAUCAAUUUAUUUUUAACAUCCCUUCCAUCUAAUUCUCCAUCUUUUACUUAGGGCACUCAGCUUUCACACUAAUAUUUACAGGUAAGUCAAUUAUUUGAUUUAUUUAUUAAACUAUGAUUUAGUACAUAUAGUGUCACUAUUUUUAUUCUUAACAUAGGAAUCAUUAUGCCAUCAUCACCUAUCACAGGUGUAACUCCUAAAAUCAUAACUUAGCAUAUCAACACCCUAUUCUAUUAUAGGUUGAAAUCCCAAUUCAACACAACACAAUUGAAGAAAAUGAAAGCAUGUCUAGACAAUCAAUUUAGGACACGUGGAAGUGUUGAAAUCUCACAAAAAAAAUCAUAUAGCUUUUAUCUCAAAUAUUGAUGUUUUCACAACUUUUUACAUUUUCAUAUUGGUUGCAUGACUCUAGUGAUAUUUUGAACAAGUGUAUCUACUAAUUGAAAUGGACCAAAAAUAAAAUAAGAUUCACCUUUUUAUAUUUUGAAUACAUCAUAUAAAGGUUGCUAAACCAAAGAAAUUUUGACAAGAAAAUAGUCACAACUAAAAUGAUCUAUUCAUAUCUACUAUGUACACUCAAUGUUCUAUUUGGCAAAUUAGUUGUGCAGUAUAAAUGCACAAAUCAUGUUUAUGAAUACACAAAUAUUAAUCAAGCAAAUGGUAAUCUUUUUAAUUACAUUAUUUUAAGGGCUUCCAAGCGUUAGAGUGAUCAAAACUGGAGAUUUCUUUAUCAAAGAUGCAAUUCCAACACUUGUUGGCUCUCUAGGAACCAUCAAUGUCAGUUUGAUCUGUAAAUUAAAAGAAAAUAGACAAUUUAAGUGAUAUAAUCUAAAGGUUCGUGUUUAUAUUUUCGUUAAAAUCUAUUCAAUUAUUAUCUACCUUUACUUGUUAUCUGUUAGGUUGAUUUUAAUUUUAAUGAAACAAAAAUAUUAUUUUUAACCUUAAAUCAAAUUCAACAGUUCUAAAAAAAUGACAACAUGAAUAUUUUAUUUUUUUAAAAUUAUGUGAAAAAAUGUAUAAUUAACACAAACUAUAGGGAGUAAGAUAAUAUUAUUUAUCCUUUCUUUAAUAAGAAACAAGAUUUGUAGUUGAGAAUGGAAAUCUCAAUCUAGCUACUUAACUAGAAUUAUAUAAUUGAUCUACUCCAGGUUGUAUAUAUAAAAACCUUAAUAGAAAGAAAGGUCCAUCAACUGGGCUCUUGGAUCAUCUCCUUUCUCAUUAAUUGUAUCUCUUCUUCUUCUAUCAUCUGCAAGUUCAUCAAAUUCAAAUGACGACUUGGACACGAUGUUAAAUUAUAUGCAUAGAUACAUGGUGAGCAUUUAGAUAUAUACGUGGUGCUAUUUUGUGAUUUUUUGUAAAUAAUAUUGAAGUAAUAGAUUAACUAAAAAGUACAAAAUGAUAGUGUCACUCCUAUAAGGUGAGCACUUGCUAAAGAGAGAGUAGUUAUAGCUUCUGUAACUUCUCUACUCUUUUCUUUUGUAGAUUCUCAAGAUAUAGUUUUGUUGCAACCUGUCUGCAUCAAAGAGCUCGGAAAAGGCUUAUAAUAUGACUUAAAUAAUAAGUUAUAUAUUGCAUACUCACAUAAUAGUUGAACGUUGCUCAUUUAACAGUUCUUUAUUGAUUGAGUGUGAACUCUCGUGGGUUUGUGUUUUCUUUUGCCUGUUAUUGAAGACAUGCAUACAUACAUGGGAUCUAUCUCUCAAUUAUACUUCAAAGAGAGAUUGUAGGAUUGAUAUUUGAUUAAAACAGAAUAAGACCUACCUUAUAAUGUUUGUUACAAAACUCUUUUACCUACCAAAAAUUCAUUUCUUGCUAAGGCCCGGCUUGGAACACAUACCAUACCCAUGCGUGUUGUGUCUAUGUGUGCUAUACUGUGUGCCGUGUUGUGUCGUGCCUAAGAAAUAAGCACAACAAGUUUUUUUUUCUUUUGUAACUUUUUUAAAAGGGCAUACAAAAUUGUUGGCAUAAUUUUUUUACGCAUAUGUACAUUUUUUGGGUCCAUGUGCCUUUAGUCAAAUUCAAUAGAAUCAAAAGUUUAAAACUCAAGUCUAUUCAAUAAUAAUGAACUAAUAAUAAUAAGAGAAUGUAACAUUAAUUACUGAGUUAGACCCUAUGAUAUUAGAAUUUUAAUACUUAACAACAACAAUAAUAAUUCAUUUUUCUUAAGGAUUAACUUAAUUGUUAACUUGAAUUUAUAUAGAGUUAUAGAUCAUAGUCCGUAAUAACAUUAAUACAUACAUUUUACAAUACAAUAAUAAUAACUAAUAAUAAUAAGAGAAUUUAAUAGUAAUUACUAAGUUAGAUCCAUGAUAUUAGAGUUUUAAUGCUUAACAAUAGCAAUUAUAAUAAAUUUUCUUAAGGGUUAAUUUAAUUGUUAACUUAAACUCAUAGAGAGUCAUAAAUUAUAGUUCAUAGAGAUUGUAAUAUUUAUAAUUUUAUUUAUUAAAAUCAUAAUAUCAUCUAUUCAUUUAAUAAAUUAUAAACAUAAAAUAAUCAGAAUUUUUUUUAAUUAAGAAUUAAAUGAAUUUAAAAAACUUGUGCUAAUAAAAUAUUUUAAAAUAUUCAAUUUCAAGUUAUUUGUAAAAUCAUAAAAUUUUAAAUUUACUUUCGUUAAAAAGUGAAACGUGCUUAUUGUUGUUGGUUUUUUUAUGUGUCCUCUUUAGCCUAUCUCUAAUCAUGUCGUGUUUUUAAGGCUCAUGUGUCUAAAAUUCUCAGCCUAUCCCAGCUCGCUUACGUGUAAUGUCAUGCUGUGUACCUACCAAAACGUGCUCGUAUCAUGCCGUGCCAUGCUGUACGGACAUGUUUUGUGCCCGUGUCAUGCCCAGUGCUACGCAACUCGAUGCUACCCAACCUGUUGGUUGUCUCUAAAUAAGCCAACUCGGAGCACUGUACAAUAUCAUUGUUUUUGUCACUCUGAUGUCAACCAAUAUCGUCAACUAUUUUUUAUUUGGUUGAGGCUAUUUGCAAUCUAAAAAUUAUUCUGAAUACUCUUAUUUAAAUAAAAUAAUUUAUUACAAAAUUACCCAUCAUAAAAAUUACUGUUAAGGACAAUUUGUUUAGGAGCUAAUAUAACUUAAUUACUUUAAAUACUCAUAUAGUGUACUCAUUAUUCAACGUAUAAUCUUUUAUUUCUAACAUCUUAAAAAAUACUUCAUUUGAACAUGCAGCAAAUCAAUAUUUUAAGUUUUUUUGAAGACAAAAUAUUUGCAAUCCUUACAUUUUUCAAGAAAUAAAAUGAUAUGAAAUUAUUGCAGAGGUGCUCAAAUUUUUUUGUCUUUGAUUUUAAAAAAAUUAAAAGCACUCUAAACCUAAUAUCCCAGUCAACGUCUUAUUCUUCUUCCCUUUUGUGUCAGAUGGCAAUUUGUUUUUCAAUUGUUAUUCCGGUAGUUAAAGUCCAUAUCUCUUAAUCUUAAAGAAUUUGUAGGUGCAAAAAUUGAUCUAUGGAAUACAUUCUUUAAUUAAUGAUAACUAAUAAGUAAAAUUAUUUUAAAAUAUUUGUUUAAAACUUGACAUAAUUCCAUUGUUGCAAGUUAUGUUAAAUUUCUUUUAAAAAAAAAUCUUUGAGCUUGUGGAAUAGUUUUAUUGGUGUUUUGAGUAAAUUAAUUUAAAUGACUUAAGGAGGAACUUUUUUGGGAUUUUAAAGAGUGUAUAGAGAAAAAAUUAAAUUUUAGAAUAUGAGUGUAUAAAACCCCUUCAUUAAUCUUAUAAAACCUCUGCUAUUUCACAAUUACAUUUAAGGACAAAUAUAAAUAGAAUUAAGCAAUUUAUAUUUUUUUUCUCUUCAAUUUUAUUUUGCUUGCACAAUAUAAAUAUCUUUUAUUAUCAUUAAAAUAAUCUGAAUUUAAAAAAUAAUUCUCUAAGCCAAAACAAAAUUCUUGUAAUAAACAUAACAAUUUAAUUAAGAUACAAUACAAUGGAAAAAUAAGUUAAAUAAAAUUUUAUCCCACUACAAAUAAUUUUUUAAGAAUUCUCAAACUAAUUUAUAGGUGGGAUAAAAUUGUAUUAGACCCAUAAAUUAUUAUUACUUUAUAACUAUAAUUUUUCAUUUUUUAGAUUUUUUUCUUCCAAAUUUUAUUAAUAAAGAAAAUUUGAAGAGAGGAAUACAAAUAUUAAGAUUGAAAGAGUGAGAAAAAUAUUAGAAACUGAAAAAUUCAUAAAUGAAAAAGUGUUCAUUAAAAAAAAAAGAUAUUUUUGGCAUUAAAUGGAAUAUAAUUGAAAAAGGAGUUUUAAUAGGAUUUUAGAGAGGUGCUAAUAAUCCGACUCAUAAAGUAAUAGAGUGUGCAGAGUAACUGUUAGAGUCCUACCCUUUUUAUUUUAGACUCAAUUAGAUCUGACAUAGCAAAAAAAAUUGAAUGGGCUUUUAGAGUUAGAUAAUUUUAAUGUAUCUCACCAUUCUAGUUGCCGAGGAACUCCACGAAUCUGCAGAUUGUGAACUAGCUUUGACAAACUUUGAAAAAAAAAAAUGUUCAAUUAGUAAUUUAUUCUACAACGAAUUGCCAAAAUGGAGGAGUUUAUUGACAGGAAACAUAAAAACCAUUAGUGAAAACUCGAUGCGUGCUUUCGCCAACAUUACCCUUCUCUCUUGUACCGAACUUUCUGAAUAUACCAAGCUAAUAAAUUCCUUCAAAUCUCUUCUUGCUUAUUAGACAACGUACUUUUUCUUAUUUUCAACUAAUACAAGUAAUCAAACCAUGCAGUUAUCUUUAAUCAGUGUUUUGAUUAUUUAAAAACUUACUCGAUUACCUAAAAAAAAGUGAUUAGAACAAACAAACUACUGAGAUAAUUAAUUUAGUCAUCAAUUAGAAGCCAAGAAAAUGUCCAUACUCCAAUUUUACAUAUCUUAGUUUAUAGGGAAUGUAAUAAUUCCGAUUGAUUAUUUGGUGAAAUUAAGCAAAACUUUCUUGAUAUUUUAUAAUACAUUCAAAUCCUCUUAUUGUUAUAACAGUGUUGACUUUAUUGAUCAUUUUAUUUGGUGAAAAGGGUAUAUUUAAGAUUAAGUUUCCAAAAUUAUCUAACAUUUAUAUACUAUAUAUAUGCCAUGAUAGCAUCAAUGAUAAUAUUAAUUAAGGAACUUUUUACAAAAAGGGAAAAAGUUACUUUUAAUUAAAAAAAAUAUUUAGACUAAUUUUAAAUUUGUUUGGUUUACAAUUAGGAAUCUACUGCAUCAACCUAAAUUAUUUAUAUUGUUACAUAGCUUAAAUUUCUAUACAAAUUCUGCUAGUAUUUAUAGUAAGAAGUCUGUUGUAACCAACUUAAAUCAUUUCUUUUCUUUCUUUUAAUAAAAAGGGGCUCUAACAAGAAAUAGGGCAAAACUAAAUAGGAAUAAGCAACCCCAUAAUUUCAUGAGUAACAAAAGCACCCACACUAGAAAGGGGAAGAAAAAAGAUGAAAGCCUAAAGGAGGAAAUAAGGCAUAAUUUUGAAGAAAGCUAGCGGUAAAAAUAUAGUAAAAGUAACAAAUUCACAUAUUGCUAUUAACACACCAACCUGGGUGAUUUCCCUGCUGAAAAAUUAAGUGUAAAUGUAGCUAAUGAUUUAUCUUUACAUGCCAAAAACGUGUUAGACCACUUGGUUCCAAAAGCAAUGUUCCUCAGAAGAAGAGAAUGAAAAAAUUAGGAUCCACUUGCAAAUAAUAAUAAUGUAGUGAAGCAACUGUUGGGGAAUAAUCAGGUUUUUAAAUUUUUUUAUAAAACCUUUAAAGGACCGCUCUCAUAUAAUAUAUAAGAAUUUGUAUUCUAGAAAUCGUACCUUGAAAAUCCGAGUUGGCUUUUUCCGCUGAAGUGAUUUAGGCUCCUAGAUCACGAUCCGCCACCACCACUCCUGUUAGAUCACGAUCCGUCACCACCACGCUUGUUAGAUCACAAACUGUCACCAAUGAUCUUCCAGGUUAUGACUCAGAUUCGAUCUGCACUUGACGUGUGGGCGCCUUUAUCACUACCAAAAGCAACUAGCACGAGAAAAUUUUUCUCUCAAUAAUAGAGAGAAAAAUCUUAUUCUCUGAUCUGUAUAAAGUGGCUUCUCUUUUUUCUUUAGAGAAAAUAAGCCUUAUAUAUCUCCCUUUAGUGAAAACUCUAGGCUCCAAAUAAUGCCCUAAAUAAAACUCACGUUAUUUUCUUUUUCAAUAGGGGACCCACCUUGUAAAAUAACAUAAGGCUCCUUAUACAAAAGCUAAUUAAAUAGAGCCUCCCACUAAAUGAUAUAUUUAGGCUUUUGACCCAAAUAACUAGUUAUCUUACUUAUUAGUCCAGUAGUGGUGCAGUCAAUUAAAUGAGCUAACCCAGGGAUCAUUUGGGAACAUACAAUAGUGGCUACAAUAAUUAGGCCUGUAAUUAAACUAGCCUAAUUAUUUAAUUCCAAAUCUACUCCACUAAAAGAUUGGAACUGACUUCCAUAAUUGUAUGCUCGAAUAAUAAUUCGUCCCAAGCCACAUUGAUUUCUUUACUGCACAAUCCUUUGUACCACAUCGUUAAUUAAAUUGAUAUCUCAACUGUCCAAUCAAUUUAAUAACAUCUUAUUCCUUGAUCCUUACUGGUUUUCUCUAAUGAUCAUUUUCAACAUACUAAAUAUAUUGACACACUCUGGCCAGAGAAUUCUAUGAUCAAGUGCCGAAAACCUAUUAAGAGAUGUGUUGUACAAAUUCUAUAUUGUUAAUCCAUAACUCCAAUACUCAUAAUUGCUCCCACCAAGAUACCGAGUAAUCUUGACCACAAGGAUGUGUCGUGCCCAUUGGUAACUCAAAUGGAAUAACAAUUACAAUCAUGAAAUCAUAAUUAACUCAAGAUUAAGAUUACAGUAAAAUCAAUGCCUAUGAGAUUUAAUAAGUCUGACAGUUAUUACAAAGUUAAUUAAAUCUCACAUGUGAUCCUGUUCAAUGUAGUCGUACUACAUCAAUAAAUUCAUACAUGAUUAAGACAAAUCAUUCAAUGAAUUUAUUACAGUCUAUACCUAAAUAAAGUGCCCAACUUUAUUUAUCAACUGCGAACUAAAUUUAUUUAAUCAUAAGAUAACUUGUGUUUAUGUCUUCUGUGAAUCCACAUGGUGAUCACAUAAAUACAUAUAAUAUGAUUAAAUGGACUUUAAUACAAAUAUUAAUGCAAUUAAGAUAUUUGAAUAAAAUACCUCAUUUAUUUUAUUAAUCAGAAAAAUUGUUUAUUACAAUUAAAUAAACACAUAUGCUUUUAAAGAGCAUAUUUUCCCAACAAUCUCCCACUAGCACUCAAAGCAUAUUUGGCAUCUCACGCAUGCCCAUGGAUUCCAAGUGCAAGUUAAAAGGUUUCCCGGGUAUGGCCUUAGUAAAAGGAUCUGCCAAGUUUUGCUGUGACGCAAUCUGAGUAACCUCCACAUCACCUCUCUGCACUAUAUCCCUUAUAAGAUGAUACUUCCUCUCAAUAUGUUUUUGUUUCUUGUGGUUCCUUGGUUCCUUAGAUUGAGCUACCGCACCACUAUUAUCGCAAAAUAGUUUAAGGGGUGCAGUUACAGCAGGUACCACCUCAAGAUCUUGUAGGAACUUGCGGAGCCAUACAGCUUCUUUUGCAGCUUCGGAUGCAGCCACAUAUUCAGCUUCAGUUGUGGAGUCUGCGAUACAAGAUUGUUUCACACUCCUCCAACUAAUAGCUCCACUUCCCAAUGUAAACACAUAGCCGGAAGUUGAUUUUCUGGAAUCCUUAUCUGACAUAAAGUCAGAAUCAGUAUAACCCACUGGAAUGAGUUCAUCACCAGAAUACACAAGCAUAUAAUUUUUAGUUCUUUUCAGAUACUUCAUUAUAUGCUUGACCGCAGUCCAGUGUUUAGGUCCAGGAUUAGAUUGAUAUCUACUAACCAUCCCUACCGCAAAACAGAUGUCUGACCUAGUGCAAAGCAUGGCAUACAUAAGACUUCCCACAGCUUCUGCAUAGGGAACUCGUCUCAUUCUCUCCAUCUCUUCAGAUGUUUUAGGUGAUUGAUCCUUAGAGAAUGUAAUUCCAUGUCUGAAUGGUAAUAAACCAGUCUUGGAAUUUUCCAUGCUAAAUCUAGCCAAUAUCUUAUCGAUAUAGACCGCUUGAGACAAGGCUAAAGUUUUAUUCUUCCGGUCUCGUAGUAAUUUGAUACCAAGAAUAUAACUUGCCUCUCCCAGGUCUUUCAUAUCAAAUUGUUUUGCUAACCAACUCUUUAUUGUAGUCAAUACUCCUAUAUCGUUUCCAAUUAGGAGAAUAUCGUCUACAUAAAGAAUUAGGAAGGCUACAGAUUUUUCUUGAAUUUUCUUGUGCACACAUGGUUCAUCAAUGUUCUGAAUGAAUCCAAACGAUUUAAUCGCUUGAUCAAAUCUGAUGUUCCAUGACCGGGAUGCUUGUUUCAAUCCAUAAAUGGAUUUCUGCAACUUACAUACCAUGUGUUCUUGGCCUUUUUGUAUAAAUCCAUCUGGUUGCUGCAUGUAGAUGUUUUCUUCAAGAUGCCCGUUAAGAAAGGCAGUCUUGACAUCCAUUUGCCAAAUUUCAUAAUCUAGCAUUGCAGCAAUGGAGAGCAGAAUCCUGAUGGAUUUAGGCAUAGCAACCGGAGAAAAAGUUUCCUCAUUAUCGAUUCCCUCUUUCUGAGUAAACCCGUUGGCUACUAAUCUUGCUUUAAAUGUUUCCACCCUUCCGUCUACUCCUCUUUUUCUCUUGUAGAUCCACUUGCACCCUAUAGGUUUUACCCCAUUUGGUGCCUCUACAUGUUCCCAGACUUUAUUGGAAUACAUAGAUUCCAUUUCUUGAUUCAUGGCCUUUUUCCAAAAUUCAACAUCUCUAUCUAUUAGAGCUUCGUUGUAACUAGUGGGAUCUUGUACAUGUUCAUCUGAGAUAGCCGUAUAGGUUUCUCCCAAAAGCAUGUAUCUCGCAGGUAACCUAGUUACCCUCCCACUACGACGAGGUUCUAAAAGUGAUGGAUGUUCAGGGUUAAUCCUGUGUUGAUCAUCUGGUUGUUGCUGUUCUUCCUGUUCUGUAACAGGCGUUGAAAGCUGAACAUCAACCUGAUCACCUGACAGCUCUUCAAGUAUUACCUUACUCUUAGGUUUGAAGUUAUUCAUAUAGUCUUCCUCAAGGGAAGUGAAAUGUGUGCUCAAGAUCACUUUCCUAUCUUGAGGACUAUAAAAUAAACCUCUCCUUGUUCCUUUGGGAUACCCCACAAACAUACAAACCUCAGAACGUGAAUCCAUUUUGUCUGCCUUUGGUUUCAGCACAUGUGCUGGUGAUCCCCAAAUACGGACAUGUCGUAAACUUGGUUUGCGACCUGACCAUAAUUCUAUUAGGGUUUUAGGCACUGACUUAGAUGGAACUAAGUUCAAAAGGUAAACUGCAGUUUCCAGUGCUAGUCCCCAAAAAGAGAUUGGUAAUGAAGAAUAACUAAACAUGGAUCUCACCAUAUCCAAAAGAGUUCUAUUUCUUCUUUCAGCUACCCCAUUGUGUUGUGGUGUUCCCAGGGCAGUCAAUUGAGAUAUAAUCCCAUUUUCAACCAGAUACUCUUUGAAAUCUCCUGAGAGAAAUUCACCACCUCGAUCAGAUCGAAGUUUCUUUAUGUUCUUAUCUAAUUGCUUUUCUGUCUCAGCCCUAUACUCUUUGAAUUUCUCAAGAGCUUCAGACUUAUGACGCAUCAGAUAAACAUAACCGUAUCUUGAGUAAUCAUCAGUAAAAGUGAUGAAAUACUCAUAACCUCCUCGAGCUUGUACAUUGAUUGGUCCACAUACAUCUGUAUGUACCAAUUCAAGUGGUACUGUUGCACGUACUCCUUUGGCCGAGAAUGGCCUUUUGGUCAUUUUCCCUUCUAAACAGGAUUCACAGAGUGGCAAUGAUUCAUUUUCUAAUGGACCCAAGAGCCCAUCUUUGAUCAUUCUCUGUAUCCUAUUUUGGUUUAUAUGACCCAAGCGUAAAUGCCAGAGGUAACAUUGGUUGGAAGAAAUAAUUCUUUUCUUAGAUAAAUGUGUAUGCUCAUCAUUAUUUAUCACUGUGUCAUGCAUAGAAUGGAUCAUUGGACGUAAAUGAUAUAAAUUAUCUUCCAAUGUACCAGAACAAAUAAGUCUCUUAUUAUGAAAAAUAGAAACAGAGGAUCCAAAAUUUACAGUGUACCCUUGCUUUGACAAACAAGCUACUGAAAUUAAAUUCCUCUUAAUGUCUGGAACAUAAAGACAAUUAUUCAAAACUAAAGUCUCAUUAUUAAAAGAUAAUAAAACAGAUCCAGUCUUUACUGCUGACACGAACUGUCCUGUCCCUAACUGCAGCUUGACGCUUCCUUCACUUAUUUUCCUGGUUUCCUGAAACCAAUAAAGUGAAUUACAAAUAUGAUUAGUUGCUCCUGAAUCCAACACCCAAGUGUCCAUAGGAUUCUGAACUAAACAGGCCUCAAUUACAAAAAGAUUUCCCAUACCUGAUUUCACAAUCUUAGGGCAAUCCUUUUUCCAGUGACCUUUCUGUCCACACUUGAAGCAUUUGCCUUUCGGCUUGCCAUCUUGCUUGGUAGACGGUCUCUUUCUCCCAGCUUUCUUCUUACCUUUGCCUUUCGGUUUAGGCCCAGAAGAUGAACUUUUUUCAGUAAUAUUUAUGCUUCCCAGAGAUUUCUCAGCACGAUAGAUCUCUUCAGCAGAAUGGAGUUCGUUCAUCAAUUCAGUUAAGGUCAUAUUUCUUUUGUUCAUGUUAUAAUUGACCUUAAACUCCUUGAAUGUUUCUGGCAGAGAUUCUAGCACCAUGUCAAUCUUUGAGUUAUCAUCGAUUUGUGCUCCCUGAAUCUCAGCCUCAUUCAAAUAGUCCAUCAUUUUGAGGACAUGAUCACGAACUCUUGUGCCCUUCCCCAUUUUACUGUUCAUAAUUCCUUUCAGCGCUGCUUGUCUCGCAGAGCGAGUACUCUGCCCGAACAUCUGUUGGAGACUAUCCAUUAUUUCAGUGGCAGUCUCCAAGUUCUGAUGUUUGGUCUGCAGAAUAUUAGAAAUCGAGGCUAAAAUGUAGCACUUUGCCAUUUCAUUGGCCUUUUGCCAUUUCUCAUAAAGCCUCCUCUGAUUUCUAUGAGCAUCAUCCGCUGGAAUUGGGGGGCAUGGCUGGGUUAAGACAUAUUUAUAAUUUUCAGCAGUCAGGACAAUGAAUAGAUUUCUUUUUCAAUCUAUAUAGUUCUCUCCAGUGAGUAUGUUUUGACUCAGAAUAAUAGUAAGUGGGCUCAGGGAAGACAUUUUCUGAAAAAUAAAACAUCCAUGCAUAAAUAAUUUGAAAUAAUAUUCACAAUAAAUGACAAAAAUGCAUAAAACCAUAAAUGUAUUUUAAUUUAUUGUAACGAUAAUCUAGUUCCGUUUUGACAAGCUAUCCGGUGGGGAAGUCAUGUCUAUACUUACUAGACCCAAUUACCCAUUGGAUUAUUUACUUUCAUGUAGAGACAUGAUAAAUAAUUAUCGUUAUCUUUUUGGGCCUAAAUUUGUUAACAGAGCUUUGUUGGGAAGGUUAAUAACAAAUUUUAGUUGAGUGUAUAACCAUUGUUUCAAUCUACGUAUUUUUCAUAUCAAUAGUCACCGUUGGGAUGAACAAUCGAUUGAAAAAUAUUUCAAUUUUAUCUUUGAAGAAGUUCAUCAAAUAAAAUUUCUAAUAUAUAUACCCUCCGAAGGGAGCAUCACCGUAUCAUGAAGUCGAGGUAUAUAUAUAAUUUUAUUAUUGAACUAACAAUGGAGCCCGUGGGAAAAUUAUCUUAAAUUUUCCCUCUCCCACUCAAUAUUUUAAAAUUGGUUUUUCCUUUUUAAAACAUACAUAUUGUUAAUUGCAUGCUUCCUAUAAUAUUAUCUAGAUGAUAUCAAAUAUUAUUAAGCAUGUGCAAAUUUCAAACAAUAUAAUGAAAUUCAUAAUUAAUGAAUUUCAUUAAUUAUGCAUAGAGUGGCACUACCUAUUCUAUAUGACAUGUUAUCAUGGCAUGUUAUCAUCCAAAACAUAACAUAUAGAAAAACAAUUAAAUAAUCUUAAUUCAUGGAUUUCCUAAUAAUGAAAAAUACAUUAACCCUAUGCCUAAUCUUCAUUGGGCUUCUUGUCAAUGUCCAUCUUCCAUAAGCUUGUUUUUGUUAAUGGACUAGGGGAAAUUGGGCUUUUAAAUUUAUAAUUGGUCCAAUUUUAAUUUUUGAAAAGAAAUAAAUAAUUAAUUAAUUUUUUUUAUUAAAAUAAAACUUUUGGACCAAAAAUAAAUUUAAUGUAUUUAAUUUUGUCUAUGCAUUUUUUAAUCCAUUAAGCCCAAUUGAAAUUGGGCCUAAAACUAGGAUUCUUUAAGCCCAAAAUUGUUUUUAAACUUGAAUGCAAAAAAUUAAAACUUGACUGCCCAAAUGAAAAAUUAUGGAACCAUAGGGACCUCCACGAUAAAAACCAUGAAACCCUAAAUCCAUAUUUUUCUUUCUUUCUUCUUCCCCAGCCGCCAUCUCCACAAAGCAGUAGCUGCUGUUCCCGGUCAACCGCCGCUGUUCAGAGAUGCCGGCCGGUCUCCGUUACAUCUCCGACGAGGAGCGACCGACCCGCGCGCACCUUGCUGCUGGCCUCGGCAGCGUUGCUUCCAGCUGCAGCACAUGCAGCGCGCGCUGCUGGCCACGCUGGCCGCGCGCGCUGCUUGCUGCGCACAGCGCAGCACGCGCCGCUGGCCAAUGCUGGCCGCGCGCACUGCUUUGCUGCGUGCAACGCAGCGUGCGCCGCUGGCCAUUGCUGGCCGCGCGCGCUGCUGCAGCAUGCCCUGGUGCCCUGCCGCACGCGUGUUUUUGCGUUGCUGGUUGGUGGCUGCUGCUGAAAAAAAAAUUCCGGCUUCCGUCGCUUUGAUCUCAUUUUCCAGCGAUGAAUUACAAAUUUCCUAUGUCAAUUUUGGCUUACAAAAUUUCUUUAAUAGUAAACUAAAUCAAGAGGGAAACAUGGUGAUAAAAGACCACCCCUCUUGUUAUAGAUCCAAAGAAAUAUUACAACGGAAAAUCUAACCAUGAAUCAAGACAAACCAUAACAUGCUUUAUUCAUAUAUUAAACAAAUAAUAUAUAUCUGAAUAAAAUGUGCCACUCUAAUACAUAAAUUUCAAGAUUAAUUUCAUACGAAAUUCUUAUAUAUUAAUAUGAGAUGGCUCUGAUACCAAUUGUUGGGGAAUAAUCAGGUUUUUAAAUUUUUUUUAUAAAACCUUUUAAGGACCGCUCUCAUAUAAUAUAUAAGAAUUUGUAUUCUAGAAAUCGUACCUUGAAAAUCCGAGUUGGCUUUUUCCGCUGAAGUGAUUUAGGCUCCUAGAUCACGAUCCGCCACCACCACUCCUGUUAGAUCACGAUCCGCCACCACCACUCCUGUUAGAUCACGAUCCGUCACCACCACGCUUGUUAGAUCACGAACUGUCACCAAUGAUCUUCCAGGUUAUGACUCAGAUUCGAUCUGCACUUGACGUGUGGGCGCCUUUAUCACUACCAAAAGCAACUAGCACGAGAAAAUUUUUCUCUCAAUAAUAGAGAGAAAAAUCUUAUUCUCUGAUCUGUAUAAAGUGGCUUCUCUUUUUUCUUUAGAGAAAAUAAGCCUUAUAUAUCUCCCUUUAGUGAAAACUCUAGGCUCCAAAUAAUGCCCUAAAUAAAACUCACGUUAUUUUCUUUUUCAAUAGGGGACCCACCUUGUAAAAUAACAUAAGGCCCCUUAUACAAAAGCUAAUUAAAUGGAGCCUCCCACUAAAUGAUAUAUUUAGGCUUUUGACCCAAAUAGCUAGUUAUCUUACUUAUUAGUCCAGUAGUGGUGCAGUCAAUUAAAUGAGCUAACCCGGGGAUCAUUUGGGAACAUACAAUAGUGGCUACAAUAAUUAGGCCUGUAAUUAAACUAGCCCAAUUAUUUAAUUCCAAAUCUACUCCACUAAAAAAUUGGAACUGACUUCCAUAAUUGUAUGCUCGAAUAAUAAUUCGUCCCAAGCCACAUUGAUUUCUUUACUGCACAAUCCUUUGUACCACAUCGUUAAUUAAAUUGAUAUCUCAACUGUCCAAUCAAUUUAAUAACAUCUUAUUCCUUGAUCCUUACUGGUUUUCUCUAAUGAUCAUUUUCAACAUACUAAAUAUGUUGACACACUCUGGCCAAAGAAUUCUAUGAUCAAGUGCCGAAAACCUAUCAAGAGAUGUGUUGUACAAAUUCUAUAUUGUUAAUCCAUAACUCCAAUACUCAUAAUUGCUCCCACCAAGAUACCGGGUAAUCUUGACCACAAGGAUGUGUCGUGCCCAUUGGUAACUCAAAUGGAAUAACAAUUACAAUCAUGAAAUCAUAAUUAACUCAAGAUUAAGAUUACAGUAAAAUCAAUGCCUAUGAGAUUUAAUAAGUCUGACAGUUAUUACAAAGUUAAUUAAAUCUCACAUGUGAUCCUGUUAAAUUCCUGCAAAAGUAACACCCAACGAAUUAGUCUAGCUUUUGCAUCUUUCUUUGUGAGAAGAUAUUUAAGAGCAGCAUGAUCUGUGAAUAUAAUUAUUUUAGAACCAAUGAGAUAAGAUCGAAAUUUUUCUAAUGCAAACACUACUACUAGCAUUUCUUUUUCAGUAGUUGAAUAGUUCAACUGUGCAUCAUUCAAUGUCAUACUAGCAUAGUAAUUAACAUGGGGAAUUCGAUCUACUCUUUGUCCUAACACUGCUCCUAUUGCAUAAUCAAAUGCGUCACACAUGAGGUCAAAUGGUAAGCUCUAGUUUAGGGGCUGAAUGAUGGGUGAUGAUGUCAACAACCGCUUUAAUUUUUUCAAAUGCCACAAGACAUGAAUCAUUAAAGACAAAAGGUACAUCCUUAGCAAGUAGAUUGCAUAAGGGUCUAGAAACUUUGCUAAAAUCUUUAAUGAAAUGUCUAUAAAAAUCAGCAUGCCCAAGGAAAGAUCUUACUUCUCUGACUGUUUUGGGUGGAGGAAGAUUAGAAAUAAGAUCCACCUUGGCUUUGUCAACCUCAAUACCUUUGCUCGAAAUGAUGUGACCGAGAACAAUACCUUGUUUUACCAUAAAAUGGCACUUCUCCCANNNNNNNNNNNNNNNNNNNNNNNNNNNNNNNNNNNNNNNNNNNNNNNNNNNNNNNNNNNNNNNNNNNNNNNNNNNNNNNNNNNNNNNNNNNNNNNNNNNNNNNNNNNNNNNNNNNNNNNNNNNNNNNNNNNNNNNNNNNNNNNNNNNNNNNNNNNNNNNNNNNNNNNNNNNNNNNNNNNNNNNNNNNNNNNNNNNNNNNNNNNNNNNNNNNNNNNNNNNNNNNNNNNNNNNNNNNNNNNNNNNNNNNNNNNNNNNNNNNNNNNNNNNNNNNNNNNNNNNNNNNNNNNNNNNNNNNNNNNNNNNNNNNNNNNNNNNNNNNNNNNNNCCUUUAUAAAUAUGCAUUUUCUAACACUCAACACACCCCCCAACCAGCUUAUUGCUAGUCCCUAGCAAAUAAAGCGAAAACAAAAUUCAAAUUCAAAAUAAUUUUUUUUUGUUUUAAUAGAAACACUCGUAUUUAUUCCAUCAGAUUAAUGAUAGCAAUCAAAUAAAAGUAUAAGCAUUAUCUCCAGUCUAAAGCAACAUCACACCCACAUCAACCAUCCACAUGAAUUAGCCCAGUAGACUUUGUUUUAGCUACUCUCAAGAAUGACAUGUCAAACCCCAAAAUCUCACUGGAAGUAGUGACACUCUCACAAAUAAAUUAAUCCCAAUAAAAAUAGUCACUCCAAUGAAUGGUAAUUGAGAGAGAAAAUAAUAAAGAAGUGAUAUCACAUGCUCUCACCAAGAUGAAAUAAAUAUGCCCUCAGCUUAGAAAUAAUACGAUCUCAAGUCAAAUAAAAUGUUAGUCAACCCACUUUAUUUAUCUUUUUUUUUUUUUAAUUAUGCAUCACUUCAUCUUUUUAGCCCAUAUAACUAGCUUCUACUUCAAACUAUAGUUCUCUAAAAUCAAGAAGGACUUUUAUUAGGACGAAACGUAGGCUAGGGACAUGGCUCACAAAGAAGGAAAAUAAGGAAAACAAAGUGUAUGUUUGAGAAAAAUGCAGAGAAUUUUUUUUUUUUUUUUUGGAAGUUGCAAGGUGGAUUUCACCUAUUUUUAUUCUUUUGAAACAACAACUUUUGUUUUUGUUUUUGUUUUUGUUUUUUUUUUUUUGCUUUUAUUUGGCAUAACUUCACUGAACAAAAUAAUUAUUUACAUUUUCUCAAACAUAAAUAGGUGAUGGAACUUAUAAGAUAUCGGGUAAUACUCCAAAUCGGAGUGGGUCAAGAUGAUAAGUUGACAAAGAAAAGGUUUUUUUUUUUUUUUUUUUUAAAGGCUCAAAAGGGUUAACUAUGGAUAUUAAAUAACCCAUCGUCUUUUAGGGCUCUAAAUAAUCUUCCAUAUCUACUAGUUAGAUGGGCCUCCAAAUGUAGCAACACACUCUUUUUUCUUUUUUUUUUUAUUUUACAAUUUUUUUUUUAAGGGUUAACUCAAAAGUAAUUUAGAGAUCGUGUAUAAAAUAAUAAACUGCUAAGCUGUAUAAAGAGUGGGCAAAAGGGUUAUUCUCCAAAAAAAAUAAUAGGCUCAAAAACUCACUUGGUACUUAUUAUGACAUGUUCAUUCCUUCAAGCAACUCACAUUUGUCUCCGACAUCAACAUGUAAAGUAGCAAACAUAGCGUAACAUCACUUAAGACCAAAGAUAAUACAAAUACUAAAAUUUGAAAUUAAUCAUGUCAUCCAAUGUUAAAACAAAUCACACAUUUUUUUUUUUUAAACAUCAUUCUACCCCCCAACCUAUUCUAAACAUGAAAGGAAAAUAUGCAUGCAGAAAUGUGAAAAUGAUGCAUAAAAACUAAUUAGAAAAGUUACACGUAAAAUGAUAGAAAACGAAAAUGAUUUUUUUUUUUUUAAAAGAAGAUGCGUUUCUAGAGGAACUACACUCCAUAUUCAGCCAUCUUCGACUCAAAAGUUGGAAAAUGUAUAUUUAUAGAGGAGAAAUUAAAAAGAAGAAAAAUAAACAUAAACACAUAAUAAAGAAAAAGAAAAUGUCUGAAUUUUUUUUUUUUUUUUAUAAACGAUGAAGAUGCGUUUCUAGAGUAACUACACUCCAUAUUCAGCCAUCUUCAACACAAAAAGUUAGCAACAGUUAGUUUCUACAACAAAAAAUUAGUAAAAACUUAACCAAAAUUCCACAAUUGUCGACUAUUCCCUCCCCCCAACCAGAACGAAACAUUGUCCUCAAUGUUUGAAAUGAAAGAAGUAGAGUUUAGAAGACAUCACCUGGGUGGUGCAACACAGAAGAAAAUAUUUACAGGCGGAGAGUUAAAUCUAAUUUGUACUUCUUACUGCGGCUACUGUUACCAUCAUUAUUUGGACGCUCCAACACAAAGGUCCAGGGGUCUGGCUCCGGUCGAUAAGCUUGUAACAUAUCAAGUAGCUCAUUAGCAGUGUGAGCACAAAUAAAGAGUUUUUUCGCAUUAGAGGGAAUGAAAUAGUUUUUUAUUGCAUGGUUAAGAAAUGCGAUAAAGCCAUCAUAAAAGUUAUUGACAUUUAACAAACCGAUGGGUUUCUGGUGGAUGUGCAGAUGGGCCCAAGAUGCUAGCGUGAUAAGUGCCUCUAGUGUUGCAAGAUCUCCUGGAAGGAAAAUAAAAGCAUCAGCAUGAUUAAGCAUUUCAGUUAUUCUUUCCUGCAUACCUGAGACGACUAACUCUUCUCCAGUUGAUGAGUCAGACGAACUGCCCAAUGGUUUUAGGACUCUUGGGAUGAUGCCUAACACUUGACUUCCUCUGAUAAAAGCUGCUUCUGAGACCAUUUUUGAUAACCCUCGAUUACCUCCUCCAUACACCAAGUGUAAUUUUCUCGCUGCUAUGCUUCGACCAAGAUCUAUGGCUGCCUCAACGAACUCUUUAUGUUUGCCAUAGGUAAAUCCAGAAAGCACACAAAUGUUCUUGAAUUGUCUAUUGGGAGUAGCUGCCAUUGUGAUACUUCUCAAAAACAAUUUGUGAGUGCUUGACAAAAAAGAAAUCACAUUUAAGAGUCUUGGUGAUAGUGGAUCAUGGUUGUGUAUGAGGUAAUAUGUCAGUGUCAAAUAACGCGUAAAGCACGUGGCUCGCAAGUCAAAAAGAAAACAGUAAAAAGAAAAAAAAGCAAACAGUAAUAAAAUUAUUAAAGACAAUAAUGCAAACAAUAAGACAAUAGUGAAAUAAUAAAGUAAAAGGAUAUUUACAGGUAGUUGCGACUGUGGCUCACAUCUUCCUCUGGUUUUACGUCCAGAAACGGCUUGAACGCCCUCUAUGGGUCGAGGAUAGGCUUCUUAUCCAGUUUUCUUAUAAACUGGCAAACAGGGUCGUUUAUAGUCAGAUUCCCGAGACUAUAUCGUGCAUGCUCUUUCUGGAAUAAUGACCAUAACUGGAGAAUCGCUCCUUGCACAUAUCCACUGGGAUGCGUUUCAAGAGACAAAAGGAUAUCAUCCAAUGACUCCUUAUUCAAGCCAUCCCUAAUGAAUUGAAUCUUAUCUUCCCUGUUAUCAGACAUCAUUCCUAAAGAACAUGGGUUUUUAUUGCAACUCAUUCUGGCACACUUAUGACAAGCAACAGAAAUUUUUCGAGCUCGUCGUUUUCUUGCAUAAUUUCCUUUACCACAACCAGGCAUGUAUGCAAUAAAUUUUGGAGGUAACUCACCUGCCGAUCGUACUUUAGCCUCGAUUAACCAACGGAUGUCAGCAGGUAUGUUAUUCCUCAUGAGUAAUCGCAUGCGUUCGGACCGAGCUUUAUAGAUCGUAAGGAGGGCAUUCUGAGGAAGUGAAGGGAAUCGCUUGUGAAGCUUCGCUAGAAUCUCGUUUCUGUCCAUACUUUCGCCUCAGAAUAUCAGUUAUUAUGGGAAACUGAAGUAACCGACUUGAUUGUCACGGAGUACCGUUAUCCGCCAUUUCACCGGGGUAACAAACUAAAGCACACAAAUAGAAAAACAAAUUAAAACACACAAAGAAAAUUAAAAUCGUCCUCUUAUUGAAUUUACCUCAAGCUCCAACUGGAUGUCGUAAACACUUCUCUCAAUGUCUCUGAGUUGGCUUUCUAAACCCUUAACAUAGGCUACUAACUCUGGUGGUUGUAGAGUCCAAAUGCGUUGUGUUUUACAAAAUUGAAUCUGUCUUUUGAGAUGAGUUUUGACACGUUGAAGUGGUUUAAGAAUGUUCAGGAGGAACGGUCUAAGUAUGAGACUCAUGAUUAAAAAUGAUAAGAGAAAACUUAAUGGUAAAAUAAACACACUUAUGCAAAAACAAUUUCAAUUAGCAAAAGAAUAAUAAUAACAAGAAAGAAAGAAAAAUCAAAUCAACGAAAAGAAAAAAAAAUCAAUUCAAAUUUGGUGGGUCACUCAAAUUUAUUUCGGUGUCUUCUUCAUGUGGUUGGUACUCUAGAUAUGGCUUUAAUCUUUGACCAUUAACUUUAAACGUGACACCGUUCUUUGGGUCUUUAAUUUCAAUUGCCCCAUGUGGAAAAACAGUAUGAACAAUAAAUGGGCCAGACCAGCGAGAGCGUAACUUACCUGGGAAUAGGUGCAAGCGAGAAUUGAACAAAAGCACUUUCUGACCUGGAGUGAACGAUUUUCUCAUAAUUUGCUUAUCAUGGAAGACUUUCAUUCGUUGCUUGUAAAUCUUGGCAUUUUCGUAUGCAUCAUUGCGAAUUUCUUCAAGUUCUGCCAGCUGUAAUCUUCUUUCUGAGCUGGCUUGCUGCAUGUCAAAAUUGAAUUUCUUGAUGGCCCAAUAUGCACGAUGCUCGAGUUCCACAGGUAGGUGGCAAGCUUUUCCAUACACUAGCCUGUAGGGUGACAUCCCAAUCGGGGUCUUGAAAGCCGUUCUAUAUGCCCAUAAGGCAUCAUCAAGUCUUAAUGACCAAUCUUUUCUAUCUGGCCUCACCGUCUUUUCUAAUAUGUGCUUUAUUUCUCGAUUGGAGAUCUCAACUUGGCCACUGGUUUGCGGAUGAUACGGGGUCGCCACUUUGUGUGUGAUUGAAUACUUUGUCAAAAGAGCUUUGAAUGCUUUGUUACGAAAGUGGGCACCACCAUCACUGAUUAUCGCUCGAGGGAAUCCAAAGCGCGAAACAAUGUUGCUUUUUAAAAAUGCUAUUACCACCUUGUGAUCAUUGGUCCUACAUGGAAUUGCUUCUACCCAUUUUGAUACGUAGUCAACAGCAACCAAUAUGUAUUGAUGGCCAAAAGAAGGGGGAAAGGGUCCCAUGAAGUCGAUACCCCAUACGUCAAAAAUCUCAACCACUAAAAUUGGAUUUAGUGGCAUCAUGUUCCUUCGUGUAAUGCUUCCCAUUCGUUGACACCUAUCACAUGAAGAACAGAAAGUGUAAGCGUCUCGAAAUAUAGAUGGCCAAUAGAAACCACAUUGUAAAACUUUAGUCGCUGUCUUCUUAGCACUGAAAUGGCCUCCACAAGCUUGUUCAUGGCAGAAUGAAAGGAUAUUCUGAAUUUCACUUUCUGGGACACAUCGUCUAACAAUUUGGUCUGCACAAUACUUGAAUAAAUAUGGGUCAUCCCAAAAGAAAUUCUUUAUUUCCGCAAAGAAUUUGAUCUUGUCUUGCUUGGUCCAAUGCUCUGGAAGUUUACCUGUAACAAGAUAAUUAACUAUAUCAGCAUACCAAGGUAAUACUUCCACACUCAUUAAUUGUUCAUCUGGAAAUGACUCAUUUAAUGGUAAUUGUUCUAUAAUUGUGUCAAAAUGGAGACGAGAGAGGUGAUCCGCCACAACAUUCUCUGUGCCUUUCUUAUCUUUGAAUUCCAAGUCAAAUUCCUGCAAAAGUAAUACCCAACGAAUUAGUCUAGCUUUUGCAUCUUUCUUUGUGAGAAGAUAUUUAAGAGCAGCAUGAUCUGUGAAUAUAAUUAUUUUACAACCAAUGAGAUAAGAUCGAAAUUUUUCCAAUGCAAACACUACUGCUAGCAUUUCUUUUUCAGUAGUUGAAUAGUUCAACUGUGCAUCAUUCAAUGUCAUACUAGCAUAGUAAAUAACAUGAGGAAUUCGAUCAACUCUUUGUCCUAAAACUGCUCCUACUGCAUAAUCAGAUGCAUCACACAUAAGCUCAAAUGGUAAGCUCCAGUUUGGGGCCUGAAUGAUGGGUGAUGAUGUCAACAAUUGCUUUAAUUUUUCAAAAGCCAUAAGACAUGAAUCAUUAAAGAUAAAAGGUACAUCCUUAGCAAGUAAAUUGCAUAAGGGUCUAGAAACUUUGCUAAAAUCUUUAAUGAAACGUCUAUAGAAACCAGCAUGCCCAAGGAAAGAUCUUACUUCUCUGACUGUUUUAGGUGAAGGAAGAUUAGAAAUGAGAUCCACCUUGGCUUUGUCCACCUCAAUACCUUUGCUCGAAAUGAUGUGACCGAGGACAAUACCUUGUUUUACCAUAAAAUGGCACUUCUCCCAAUUUAAGACCAAAUUCUUCUCGAUACAUUUCUGCAGAACUAGCGUUAGAUGAUGUAAACAUUGAUCAAACGAGUCACCAAAGACAGAAAAAUCAUCCAUAAAGACUUCAAGGAAUCGUUCCACCAUAUCAGAAAAAAUGCUCAACAUGCAUCGUUGAAAUGUAGCAGGUGCAUUACAUAAUCCAAAUGGCAUUCUCCUAUAUGCAAAUGUGCCAAAAGGGCAAGUGAAAGUAGUUUUCUCUUGAUCUUUUGGUGCUAUGGGAAUCUGAUUAUAUCCUGAGUAACCAUCUAGAAAGCAAUAAAAUUCGUGGCCUGCUAAUCUAUCAAGCAUUUGAUCGAUAAAUGGUAAAGGAAAAUGAUCUUUACGUGUGACAGAAUUCAAUUUUCUAUAAUCAAUGCAUACACGCCAUCCUGUAGUUACUCUAGUUGGUAUCAAUUCAUUAUCGGUAUUCGUAACUACUGUGACUCCUGACUUUUUGGGGACAACUUGUACAGGACUGACCCAUGAACUAUCAGAAAUGGGGUAAAUGAUACCUGCAUCUAAUAGCUUAAGGACUUCAGUUCUAACCACUUCUUUCAUAUUAGGAUUUAACCGACGUUGCAUUUCCCUAGUAGAUUUAGCAUUUUCAUCAAGGUGAAUGUAAUGCAUGCAGUCUACUGGAUUUAUACCUUUGAUGUCUGCUAUGGUCCAUCCUAAUGCUCCUUUGUGCUCUUUUAAAACAUCCAACAACUUACCUUUUUGUUCGUCAUUUAGGGAUGAUGAGAUGAUUACCGGCAGAGUACUUUCUUCUCCCAAAAACGCAUAUUCCAAAGUGUUGGGCAAUGGUUUGAGCUCGAGUUUCGGUGGUGAUUCUGAUGAUGGAAUGAGUUGCUUCUCUGAUGGUGCUAGUUGUUCAACUCUUGACUUCCAUUUAUUAGUGUCCAUAGAUGGUGCUGAGUCAAGCAGGGCGUUGACCUCAUCAACCGAUCUGUCAAUAUCAAAAUCAAAACCAAAGUGAGUUAAACAUGUUUGUAAAGGAUCAUCACUAAGGUUUGAAAGAAAAGUGUCAUCAACUAAUGCUUCGAUUAAAUCCACAUCAACAAUUCCAUCAUCUGCACUGUGAGGUUGUUUGGCAAUGUUGAAGAUGUUCAGCUCCAUAGUCAUGUUGCCAAAGGACAACUGCAUAUUUCUAGUCCUACAUUGAAUGUGAGCAUCCGCAGUUGCUAAGAAAGGUCGGCCUAGAAUAAUGGGGAUGUGCUUCCUUGAAUCCUGUAUUGGUUGAGUGUCAAUUACAAUGAAAUCAACAGGAAAAUAAAACUUGUCUACCUGGAUAAGCACGUCCUCCACAAUACCACGAGGUAUUUUCGUGGACCGAUCUGCAAGCUGUAACACCACUGGAGUUGGGUGUAAUUCUCCCAGUCCAAGUUUCACGAAUACAGAGUAAGGCAAAAGAUUUACACUAGCUCCUAAAUCCAACAAAGCAUUCUCAAUUGUGUGGUUCCCUAUACUACAUGAGAUAGUGGGGGAGCCUGGGUCUUUGCAUUUUAAAGGAAUUUUAUGUUGGAGUAUAGAACUAACGUUUUCUGUUAAAAAUGCCUUCUUUUGAACAUGCAUAUUUCUCUUUUUAGUACAAAGGUCUUUAAGAAACUUGGCAUAGGAUGGAACUUGUUUAAUAGCAUCAAGCAAAGGGAUGUUAACACUUACCUGUUUGAAGAUUUCAAGAAUCUCACCUGUGGAUUUUCCCUUCUUUCCUUUCGCUAACCUCUGAGGAAAUGGAGCUUUUGGAACAUAUUCUCGUGGGUUGGUUUCUUCUUUUUCCUCCGGUGAUGAGUCCUCAACAUUCACAGGUACAAUUUGAUUUUCUUUUGUCACUGGCAUCUCCACCUUGUUGUCGACUUCUUUUCCUUUUCGCAAGGUCAUUACUGCUUUGACCUCUCCAUGCUGUUGUGGUGAACUGGUACUUGCUUCAUGUACUCCUUUAGGAUUAGGCACUGGUUGACUUGGAAACUUACCUUUCUCAACGGUCAUUGCCAAGGUUUGAACUGAAGAAGCAAGUUGUCCCACCAUCUUCUCGAGGCUUGAAACCGAUUGAGCUUGUGAGUUGAAGCCUGCUCUCAAUUCAUUUCGUAGUCCAUCAAUGGUGCGGUUCUGUUGCUCAAUCGUAGAGUGAGUAACAUUCUUGAAAUUUUGGAAUGCAUCCUCCCAUGGUCUGGGUUGAGAGUAGUUCUGAUUCUGAUUGAAUGGUCUAAAUGGGGGCUGAGAGGCUUGAGGAAUUUGUUGCAUUGGUGGAGCUGGAGCUGCUGGUCCAUUUUGUUGGAAUCCUUGAGACCAUGAAAAAUUGGGGUGGUCUCUCCAUCCAGGAUUAUAUGUGUUGGAGUAUGGGUUGUAAUUCGAUGGUUUUCUCAUUACACCUAUGGCAUUGGCUUGAUCUGAGUAUGAGUCAUGGUCAUGUGGUUCUGUUGAUUUAGCAGUCGAUAACGAUGCUAUUUGUCGAGCAAGACCUUCAACCAUCUCCUUGACUUCUUUGAUUCCCGAAGUUGACUCGCCAAUUUGAACCUCAUUUACUCCCUUAAUUCGUCUAGUAUUCCUGAGUGAUCGACUCCGUUGUUGGGAAUUAUCCGCUUGUCGCUGGAAGAAUUCCCAAAUCUCUGAUGCACUUUUUGACAUUAGCUCUCCUCCACUUGUUGCCAUUAGCCAUUCUUGCACAUUUGGCAAUAAUCCCUCCAAAAAGUAUUGGCAUUGGUGCCAUUUCUCGUACCCAUGAUGUGGACACUUCAAGAGUAGCCCAUUGAAUCGCUCCCAUGUUUCGAAAAAUUGCUCGUCAUCUUUCUGGGUAAACUCCGAGAUUUCCCUGCGAAUAGCAUUGGUUUUAUGCACUGGGAAAUAUUUAUUUAAAAAUUUUGUAACCAUUUGUUCCCAUGAUGCAAUGCUAUUAGCAGGCAAUGUAUUAAGCCAUGAACGAGCUCUAUCUUUUAAAGAAAAUGGGAAUAGUCUAAGUUUAACAUCAUCAUCUGAAAAAUUCUCAUAUUUGAAUGUUUGACAAAUGGCAUGAAAAUCAUUCAAAUGAUUAUAUGGAUCCUCAUUUUCUAGGCCAUAAAAUGUAGGGAGACAAUUUAACACACUAGGUUUUAAUUCAAAACUCCUAGCAGCUACAUUUGGGUAUCUUAUGCAUGACGUGCUCAAAUUAGCUAAGGGACUAAAAUAGUCCUUAAAUGGCCUCUCCUGUGGUGCUUGUAAAUCCAUUUUAUUUUUAACGUGUUUGUGUGUGCGAAGUGUUUUUUCUAGUUCAAGGUCUAUAGGUUCAAGAUUAGGUAAUAAUGACCUACGACCAUGCAUGCAAAAUAAAUAAAAUAAAAAUAAAGAUGCAAACAAAACAAAAAAUAAAGAUGGGAACAAAACAAAUAAAAAUAAAGAAGAGGGAGAAAUUACGAUACUAACCUUAUUGCGCUAUUACAACCUUUCUAUAAAAAUACACAAAAAUAAAUACGUGAAAGAAAUUAACUAAAAAUUAAAUUAAUAAGAUAAACAAAAAAAAUUACAAAGAAAAAUAAAUGGAAAAUUAAAUUACAAAAUUUUAAAGAAGAGAAAAAGAAAAGAAAUACUAACCUUUAAAUGUAGAUUCACUUUUUUUUUCUUUUUUUUUUAAUAAUAAAAAAAAUACAAGAAAACAAAUAAAAGAAAUUAUUCACAAAAAUUAAUUCUAUGAAUUAAAAUUACUUACCUCCCCGGCAACGGCGCCAAAAACUUGUUGUGCAAAUUUUAAUGUACUCGCAAGCGCACGAAUCUAUUGUAGUAUAGAUCUAUGGUGACGAGUGUUGAUCCCACGAGGAGGUGGAUUUUAAUUGUGUAGAAUUAAUUUUGUAAAUGGGUGAUUGGAUUUAUGGUGGAAAUGAUUUGGAAUAUGCUAAAACUUAAAUUAAAAUGGCGAGAAUAAAUUCUAAAAUUGGAAUUGCAAUGGCGAGAAUAAAUUGAAGAUAAUUCUAUUGAAACGACGUACUUGGGUAUCUGGAUCCGUAUCAACAUGCAUCAUGGGCUAAAUAAUCCUUAUUAAUACCAAUUAAAUCAUGAGGGGGGAAUCCACACCGCAUGAACCACGCUCUAAUCAAUAUGGUGCUAAGGGCUUAUCGUGCCAAAUAAUAAUAACCUUAUACUAGAGAGCCGGUGUAACCAAGGCGGUAUCUAGACAAGACUAUUAUUAUUUGUCGACGAGAAGUCAAAACAUCCACAAAAAUUAAAGGGGAAGAGAAAAUAAAUUUACCAAAUUAAGCCCAUGACACAUGUUGAGACUUCACCUUCAACCCAAGCUUGAAAGAAAAUUAGCCACUCAUAGUUGAACUAGGGGCAAAAUGGGAAUUUAUUAAAAUACGAAGAAAAUACAAGAUGGAGAGGGAAUUACAGAAAAUGGAUCCCAAAAAUGGAUUCAGAGAUAUCAAAUUAGGGGGGGAGGCCCCCUUUUUAUAGAUACAUGGAGUAAAUCAUGGCCAUCGGAUUAAAAAUAAUUUGGACGCUCAGGAUUGCGCCACGUCAUCAGUCAACAGUCCACGGUUUGACCACGCGGAUGAACAGUAACACGGUUUGACCCGACUUUGAACAGUAACGCGGUUUGACCCGGAUGAACAGUAACGCGGUUUGGUUGAAAAUAAUCCUGUGUGAUGCAUGCACCGUACGCGAGAUUUUUCGUCCACUGAUAUGCUGCCACGUCACCAUCAACAGUACAUAAGAAUUUUAGUCCAACAGGAUCGUGACACCUCAUCAGUCAAUGCCACAUCAUCGGUCAAUGCCACGUCAUCAUCCGUCUAUGUGAACAGUGUCGUGAACAGUAACGUAUACAGUACCGUACACGUGAAUAGUACCGUACAUGUGAAUAGUGCCAUUUUUCCUUUUAUGCUCCUCCUAAGGUUUUCGACCGUCCUGAGUUCAAAAGUGAUGUCCGUUUUGCCGUCUGAUCCUCCUUUAUUGUGAAAUGACUAUAAUGCCCCUAAAAUACAUAAAAUACUUAAUUAAAAUAAAACACAUGUAAUUAAAUCACAAGAAGGUUAAAUAUAUAAAAGUAAGGGUUGUUAGUAAGACUUAAAAUGUAAAAUGACGGUUUUCUCCUUUAUAAAUAUGCAUUUUCUAACACUCAACACAUCUCUGCAAAACUAGUGUUAGAUGAUGUAAACAUUGAUCAAAAGAGUCACCAAAGACAGAAAAAUCAUCCAUAAAGACUUCAAGCAAUCGUUCAACCAUAUCAGAAAAAAUGCUUAACAUGCAUCGUUAAAAUGUAGCAGGUACAUUACAUAAUCCAAUUGGCAUCCUCCUAUAUGCAAAAGUGCCAAAAGGGCAAGCGAAAGUCAUUUUCUCUUGAUCUUUUGGUGCUAUGGGGAUCUGAUUAUAUCCUGAGUAGCCAUCUAGAAAGAAUAAAAUUUAUGGCGUGCUAAUCUAUCAAGCAUUUGAUCGAUAAAUGGUAAAGGAAAAUGGUCUUUACGUGUGACAGAAUUUAACUUUUCUAUAAUCAAUGCAUACACGCCAUCCUGUAGUCAUUCUAGUAGGUAUCAAUUCAUUAUCAGCAUUCGUAACAACUGUGACUCCUGACUUUUUGGGGACAACUUGUACAGGACUGACCCAUGAACUAUCAGAAAUGGGAUAAAUGAACCGUGCAUCUAAUAGCGUAAGGACUUUAGUUCUAACAACUUCUUUCAUGUUAGGAUUUAACCGACGUUGCAUUUCCCUAGUAGGUUUAGCAUUUUCAUCAAGGUGAAUGUAAUGCAUGCAGUCUACUGGGUUUAUACAUUUUAUGUCCGCUAUGGUCCAUCCUAAUGCUCCUUUGUGCUCUUUUAAAAUAUCCAACAACUUACCUUUUUGUUUGUCGUUUAGGGAUGAUGAGAUGAUUACUGGUAGAGUGCUUUCUUCUCCCAAAAACUCAUAUUCCAAUGUGUUGGGUAAUGGUUAGAGCUCGAGUUUCGGUAGUGAUUAUGAUGAUGGGAUGAGUUUCUUCUCUGAUGGAUCUAGUUGUUCAACUCUUGACUUCCAUUUAUUAGUGUCCAUGGAUGGUGCUGAGUCAAGCAAGGCGUUGACCUCAUCAACUGAUCUGUCAAUAUCAAAAUCCAAACUAAAGUGAGUUAAGCAUGUUUGUAAAGGGUCAUCACUAAGGUUUGAAAUAAAAGUGUCAUCAACUACUGUGUCUAUUAAAUCCACAUCAACAAUUCCAUCAUCUGCAUUGUGAGGUUGUUUGGCAAUGUUGAAGAUGUUAAGCUCCAUAGUCAUGUUGCCGAAUGACAACUGCAUAUUUCCAGUUUUGCAUUGAAUGUGAGCAUCUGCAAUUGCCAAGAAAGGUCGGCCUAUAAUAAUGGGGAUGUGCUUCCUUGAAUCCUGUAUUGGCUAAGUGUCAAUUACAAUGAAAUCAACAAGAAAAUAAAACUUGUCUACCUGGAUAAGCACGUCCUCCACAAUACCACGACGUAUUCUCGUGGACCGAUCUGCAAGUUGUAACACCACUGGAGUUGGGUGUAAUUCUCCCAGUCCAAGUUUCACAAAUACAGAGUAAGGCAACAAUUUUACACUAGCUCCUAAAUCCAACAAAACAUUCUCAAUUGUGUGGUUCCCUAUACUACAUGAAAUAGUGGGGGAGCCUGGAUCUUUGCAUUUUAGAGGAAUUUUGUGUUGUGAGUAUAGAACUAACGUUUUCUGAUAAAAUUAUCUUCUUUUGAACAUUAACGUUUCUCUUUUUAGUACAAAGGUCUUUAAGAAAUUUGGCAUAAGAUGGAAAUUGUUUUAUAGCAUUAAGUAAAGGGAUGUUAACACUUACUUGUUUGAAGAUUUCAAGAAUCUCACCUGUGGAUUUUCCCUUCUUUCCUUUAGCUAACCUUUGAGGAAAUGGAGCUUUGGGAACAUAUUCUCGUGGGUUGGUUUCUUUUUUCUCUUCCGAUGGUGAGUCCUCAGCAUUCACUGGUACAAUUUGAUUUUCUUUUGUCACCGGCAUCUCUACUUUGUUGUCGACUUCUUUUCCUUUUCACAAGGUCAUGACUACUUUAACCUCUCCAUGCUGCUGUGGUGAACUGGUACUUGCUUCAUGCACUCCUUUAGGAUUAGGCACUGGUUGACUUGGAAAUUUGCCUUUCUCAACAGUCAUUGUCAAGGUCUGAACUGAAGAAGCAAGUUGUCCUACCAUCUUCUCGAGACUUGAAACUGAUUGGGCUUGUGAGUUGACGCCUGCUCUCAACUCAUUUCGUAGUCCAUCAAUGGUGCGGUUCUUUUACUCAAUCGUAGAGUGAGUAACAUUCUUGAAAUUCUAGAAUGCAUCUUGUUGAGUGUUAGAAAAUGUAUAUUUAUAAAGGAGAAAAUCGUCAUUUUACACUUCAAGUUUUACUAACACCCUUACUUUUAUGUAUUUAACCUUCUUUUGAUUUAAUUCCGUAUGUUUUAUUUUAAAUAAGUAUUUCAUGUAUUUUAGGGGCAUCAUAGUCAUUUCACAAUAAACGAGAGAUCAGACGACAAAACAGACAUCACUUUUGAACUCAGGACGGUUGAAAACCUUAGGAAGAGCAUAAAAGGAAAAAUGGCACUGUUCACAUGUACGGUACUAUUCACGUGUACGGUACUAUCUAUGUUACUGUUCACGACACUGUUCACAUAGACGGUUCAAUGACGUGGCAUUGACCGAUGAUGUAGCAUUGACUGAUGAGGUGUCACGAUCCUGUUGGACUAAAAUUCUUAUACACUGUUGAUGGUGACGUGGCAACAUAUUAGUGGACCAAAAAUCUCGCGUACGGUACAUGCAUCAUGUUGUGCAAAUUUUAAUGUACUCGCAAGCGCACGAAUCUGUUGUAGUAUAGAUUAAUGGUGACGAGUGUCGAUCCCACGAGGAGGUGGAUUUUAAUUGUGUAGAAUUAAUUUUUGUGAAUGGGUGAUUGGAUUUAUGGUGGAAAUGAUUGGAAUAUGCUAAAACUUAAAUUAAAAUGGCGAGAAUAAAUUCUAAAAUUGGUAUUGAAAUGGUGAGAAUAAAUUGAAGAGAAUUCUAUUGAAAUGACGUACUUGGGUAUCUGGAUCCGUAUCAACAUGCAUCAUGGGCUAAAUAAUCCGUAUUAAUGCCAAUUAAAUCAUGAGGGGGGAAUCCACACCUCAUGAACCACGCUCUAAUCAAUAUGGUGCUAAGGGCUUAUCGUGCCAAAUAAUAAUAACCUUGUACUAGAGGGCCGGUGAAACCAAGGCGGUACUAGACAAGAUUAGUAUUAUUUGUCGACGAGAAGUCAAAACAUCCACAAAAACUAGAGGGGAAGAGAAAAUAAAUUUACCAAAUAAAGCCCAUGACACAUGUUGAGACUUCACCUUCAACCCAAGCUUGAAAGAAAAUUAGCCACUCAUAGUUGAACUAGGGGCAAAAUGGGAAUUUAUUAAAAUACGAAAAAAAUACAAGAUGGAGAGGGAAUUACAGAAAAUGGAUCCCAAAAAUGGAUUCAGAGAUAUCAAAUUAGGGGGGGGAGGCCCCCUUUUUAUAGAUACAUGGAGUAAAUCAUGGCCAUCGGAUUAAAAACAGUUUGGACGCUCAGGAUUGCGCCACGUCAUCAGUCAACAGUCCACGUUUGACCACGCGGAUGAACAGUAACACGGUUUGACCCGACUUUGAGCAGUAACGCGGUUUGACCCGGAUGAACAGUAACGCGGUUUGGUUGAAAAUAAUCCUGUGUGAUGCAUGCACCGUACGCGAGAUUUUUCGUCCACUGAUAUGCUGCCACGUCACCAUCAACAGUACAUAAGAAUUUUAGUCCAACAGGAUCGUGACACCUCAUCAGUCAAUGCCACAUCAUCGGUCAAUGCCACGUCAUCAUCCGUCUAUGUGAACAGUGUCGUGAACAGUAACGUAUACAGUAUUGUACACGUGAAUAGUACCGUACAUGUGAAUAGUGCCAUUUUUCCUUUUAUGCUCCUCCUAAGGUUUUCGACCGUCCUGAGUUCAAAAGUGAUGUCCGUUUUGCCGUCUGAUCUCUCCUUUAUUGUGAAAUGACUAUAAUGCCCCUAAAAUACAUAAAUUACUUAAUUAAAAUAAAACACACGUAAUUAAAUCAUAAGAAUGUUAAAUACAUAAAAGUAAGGGNNNNNNNNNNNNNNNNNNNNNNNNNNNNNNNNNNNNNNNNNNNNNNNNNNNNNNNNNNNNNNNNNNNNNNNNNNNNNNNNNNNNNNNNNNNNNNNNNNNNNNNNNNNNNNNNNNNNNNNNNNNNNNNNNNNNNNNNNNNNNNNNNNNNNNNNNNNNNNNNNNNNNNNNNNNNNNNNNNNNNNNNNNNNNNNNNNNNNNNNNNNNNNNNNNNNNNNNNNNNNNNNNNNNNNNNNNNNNNNNNNNNNNNNNNNNNNNNNNNNNNNNNNNNNNNNNNNNNNNNNNNNNNNNNNNNNNNNNNNNNNNNNNNNNNNNNNNNNNNNNNNNNNNNNNNNNNNNNNNNNNNNNNNNNNNNNNNNNNNNNNNNNNNNNNNNNNNNNNNNNNNNNNNNNNNNNNNNNNNNNNNNNNNNNNNNNNNNNNNNNNNNNNNNNNNNNNNNNNNNNNNNGUCAAGUUUCCAAGGGCGCAGCAACUAAUGCUGGGUUAUAUAUGCCGCUACCGAUUCCAACACAACCUUGGGCUGACAUUAGCAUGGAUUUUGUUUUAGGAUUACCCCGCACUCAGAGGGGUAUGGAUUCAAUAUUUGUUGUUGUUGAUCGAUUCUCGAAAAUGGCUCACUUCAUUGCUUGCAAGAAGACUACAGACGCUUUGACUGUUGCUCGCCUAUUCUUCAAGGAAGUCUAUAGAUUGCAUGGUUUACCAAGUUCUAUAGUAUCUGACCGGGAUACACGAUUUCUUAGCCAUUUUUGGAAGACAUUAUGGAAAUUGACUAACACUCGCCUGAAUUUUAGUAGUGCUUACCACCCACAAACAGAUGGUCAAACUGAAGUUGUCAACCGCUCUUUAGGAAACCAUCUACGUAGUCUAGUUGGCGAUAACUUGAAGAUGUGGGAUCAAAAGUUAUAUCAAGUCGAGUUUACUUAUAACCGUGCAGUUAAGCGUAGUACUGGUUUAAGCCCUUUUCAGGUAAAUUACGGAUAUAAUCCACGAGCUCCCAUUGACCUGGCUCCGGUUCCAAAUUUAGUUCGCAAAAGCGGUAAAGCAAAAGACUUUAUUGAGCAGCUUCAGAAGAUUCAUGAAACUACGCAAGAGUCUUUGAAGCAGACGACCGAAGGUUAUAAAAUUAUGGCAGACAAAAAACGUCGAGCUUUGGAAUUUCAAGUGGGAGAUUUUGUUUGGGUUAUCCUAACUAAAGAUAGAUUCUCAGUUGGUGAGUAUAAUAAACUUUCUGCCAGGAAAAUCGGCCCUUUAGAGAUUAUAGAGAAGAUAAAUCCUAAUGCCUACAGAUUAAAGCUUCCUAGUCAUAUCCGCACUGCAGAUGUAUUUAAUGUUAAGCAUCUUAUUCCUUACAGAGGUGAUCAUGAUGAAGAUGUUGCUGACAAUCCGAAUUCGCGGGCGAAUUCUCUCCACCCUGGGGGGAAUGAUGAAGAGUAGGAAUCCAUAUUAUACUAGGAUUAGUUUCCUUAUUAACUAAAGUUUAAGACUUUUAAAUUCCUUUCUAAUUUAGAAUUUUGUUUCCCUUUCAAUUUAGGAUUUUGUUUUUCCUUCAUGAAUUAGGAUAAUUACUACUACUAUAAAUAGCUCCCUCUUGUAACCUUUGAAGGAGAGAAUUUUGAGUUUAAUAAUAUUUCAAUUUUCAAAUCUCUUUGUGAGUNNNNNNNNNNNNNNNNNNNNNNNNNNNNNNNNNNNNNNNNNNNNNNNNNNNNNNNNNNNNNNNNNNNNNNNNNNNNNNNNNNNNNNNNNNNNNNNNNNNNCCAUUCCUAAAGAACAUGGGUUUCUAUCGCAACUCAUUCUGGCACACUUAUGACAAGCAACAGAAAUUCUUCGAGCUCGUCGUUUUCUUGCAUAAUUUCCUUUACCACAACCAGGCAUGAAUGCAAUAAAUUUUGGAGGUAACUCACCUGCCGAUCGUACUUUAGCCUCGAUUAACCAACGGAUGUCAGCAGGUAUGUUAUUCUUCAUGAGUAAUCGCAUGCGUUCGGACCGAGCUUUAUAGAUCAUAAGGAGGGCAUUUUGAGGAAGUGAAGGGAAUCGCUUGUGAAGCUUCGCUAGAAUCUCGUUUCUGUCCAUACUUUCGCCUCAGAAUGUCAGUUAUUGUGGGAAACUGAAGUAACCGACUUGAUUGUCACGGAGUACCGUUAUCCGCCACUUCACCGGGGUAACAAACUAAAGCACACAAACAGAAAAACAAAUCAAAACACACAAAGAAAAUUAAAAUCAUCCUCUUAUUGAAUUUACCUCAAGCUCCAACUGGAUGUCGUAAACACUUCUCUCAAUGUCUCUGAGUUGGCGUUCUAAACCCUCAACAUAAGCUACUAACUCUGGUGGUUGUAGAGCCCAAAUGCGUUGUGUUUUACAAAAUUGAAUCUGCUUUUUGAGAUGAGUUUUGACACGUUGAAGUGGUUUAAGAAUGUUCAGGAGGAACGGUCUAAGUAUGGUACUCAUGAUUAACAAUGAUAAGAAAAAAAAACUUAAUGGUAAAACAAACACACUUAUGCAAAAAUAAUUUCAAUUAGCAAAAGAAUAAUAAAAAGAAAGAAAGAAAAAUCAAAUCAACAAAAAGAAAAAAUCAAUUCAAAUCUGGUGGGUCACUCAAAUUUAUUUCGGUGUCUUCUCCAUGUGGUUGGUAUUCUAGAUAUGGCUUUAAUCUUUGACCAUUAACUUUAAACGUGACACCGUUCUUUGGGUCCUUAAUUUCAAUUGCCCCAUGUGGAAAAACAGUAUGAACAAUAAAGGGACCAGACCAACGAGAGCGUAACUUACCUGGGAAUAGGUGCAAGCGAGAAUUGAAUAAAAGCACUUUCUGACCUGGAGUGAACGAUUUUCUCAUAAUUUGCUUAUCAUGGAAGACUUUCAUUCGUUGCUUGUAAAUCUUGGCAUUUUCGUAUGCAUCAUUGCGAAUUUCUUCAAGUUCUGCCAGCUGUAAUCUUCUUUCUGAGCUGGCUUGCUGCAUGUCAAAAUUGAAUUUCUUAAUAGCCCAAUAUGCACGAUGCUCGAGUUCGACAGGUAGGUGGCAAGCUUUUCCAUACACUAGCCUGUAGGGUGACAUCCCAAUCGGGGUCUUGAAAGCCGUUCUAUAUGCCCAUAAGGCAUCAUCAAGUCUUAAUGACCAAUCUUUUCUGUCCGGCCUCACCGUCUUUUCUAAUAUGUGCUUUAUUUCUCGAUUGAAGAUCUCAACUUGGCCACUGGUUUGCGGAUGAUACGGGGUCGCCACUUUGUGUGUGAUUGAAUACUUUGUCAAAAGUGCUUUGAAUGUUUUGUUACAAAAGUGGGCACCACCAUCACUGAUUAUUGCUCGAGGGAAUCCAAAGCGUGAAACAAUGUUGCUUUUCAAAAAUGCUAUCACCACCUUGUGAUCAUUGGUCCUACAUGGAAUUGCUUCUACCCAUUUUGAUACGUAGUCAACAGCAACCAAUAUGUAUUGAUGGCCAAAAGAAGGGGGAAAGGGUCCCAUGAAGUCGAUACCCCAUACGUCAAAAAUCUCAACCACUAAAAUUGGAUUUAGUGGCAUCAUGUUUCUUCGUGUAAUGCUCCCCAUUCGUUGACACCUAUCACAUGAAGAACAGAAAGUGUAAGCAUCUCGAAAUAUAGUUGGCCAAUAGAAACCACAUUGUAAAACUUUUGUAGCUGUUUUCUUAACACUGAAAUGGCCUCCACACGCUUGUUCAUGGCAGAAUGAAAGAAUAUUCUGAAUUUCAUUUUCAGGGACACAUCGUCUAACAAUUUGGUCUGCACAAUACUUGAACAAAUAUGGGUCAUCCCAAAAGAAAUUCUUUAUUUCUGCAAAGAAUUUAGCCUUAUCUUGCUUGGUCCAAUGCUCUGGAAGUUUACCUGUAACAAGAUAAUUAACUAUAUCAGCAUACCAAGGUAAUACUUCCACAUUCAUUAAUUGUUCAUCUGGAAAUGACUCAUUCAAUGGUAAUGAUUCUGUAAUUGUGUCAAAAUGGAGACGAGAGAGGUGGUCUGCCACAACAUUUUCUGUCCCUUUCUUAUCUUUGAAUUCCAAGUCAAACUCCUGCAAAAGUAACACCCAACGAAUUAGUCUGGCUUUUGCAUCUUUCUUUGUGAGAAGAUAUUUAAGAGCAGCAUGAUCUGUGAAUAUAAUUAUUUUACAACCAAUGAGAUAAGAUCGAAAUUUUUCUAAUGCAAACACUACUGCUAGCAUUUCUUUUUCAGUAGUUGAAUAGUUCAACUGUGCAUCAUUUAAUGUCAUACUAGCAUAGUAAAUAACAUGGGGAAUUCGAUCAACUCUUUGUCCUAAUACUGCUCCUACUGCAUAAUCAGAUGCAUCACACAUGAGCUCAAAUGGUAAUUUCCAGUUCGGGGGCUGAAUGAUGGGUGAUGAUGUCAACAAAUGCUUUAAUUUUUCAAACGCAACAAGACAUGAAUCAUCAAAGACAAAAGGUACAUCCUUAGCAAGCAAAUUGCAUAAGGGUCUAGAAACUUUACUAAAAUCUUUAAUGAAACGUCUAUAGAAACCAGCAUGCCCAAGGAAAGAUCUUACUUCUCUGACUGUUUUGGGUGGAGGAAGAUUAGAAAUGAGAUCCACCUUGGCUUUGUCAACCUCAAUACCUUUACUCGAAAUGAUGUGACCGAGAACAAUACCUUGUUUUACCAUAAAAUGGCAUUUCUCCCAAUUUAAGACCAAGUUCUUCUCGAUACAUCUCUGCAGAACUAGUGUUAGAUGAUGUAAACAUUGAUCAAAUGAAUCACCAAAGACAGAAAAGUCAUCCAUAAAGACUUCAAGAAAUCGUUCAACCAUAUCAGAAAAAAUGCUUAGCAUGCAUCGUUGAAAUGUAGCAGGUGCAUUACAUAAUCCAAAUGGCAUUCUCCUAUAUGCAAAUGUGCCAAAAGGGCAAGUGAAAGUAGUUUUCUCUUGAUCUUUUGGUGCUAUGGGAAUCUGAUUAUAUCCUGAGUAGCCAUCUAGAAAGCAAUAAAAUUCAUGGCCUGCUAAUCUAUCAAGCAUUUGAUCAAUAAAUGGUAAAGGAAAAUGGUCUUUACGUGUGACAGAAUUCAACUUUCUAUAAUCAAUGCAUACACGCCAUCCUGUAGUUACUCUAGUGGGUAUCAAUUCAUUAUCAGCAUUCGUAACUACUGUGACUCCUGACUUUUUGGGGACAACUUGUACAGGACUGACCCAUGAACUAUCAGAAAUUGGAUAAAUGAUACCUGCAUCUAAUAGCUUAAGGACUUCAGUUCUAACAACUUCUUUCAUGUUAGGAUUUAACCGACGUUGCAUCUCCCUAGUAGUUUUAGCAUUUUCAUCAAGGUGAAUGUAAUGCAUGCACUCUACUGGGUUUAUACAUUUAAUGUCUGCUAUGGUCCAUCCUAAUGCCCCUUUGUGCUCUUUCAAAACAUCCAACAACUUACCUUUUUGUUCGUCAUUUAGGGAUGAUGAGAUGAUUACCGGCAGAGUACUUUCUUCUCCCAAAAAUGCAUAUUCCAAUGUGUUGGGCAAUGGUUUGAGCUCGAGUUUCGGUGGUGAUUCUGAUGAUGGGAUGAGUUUCUUCUCUGAUGGUGCUAGUUGUUCAACUCUUGACUUCCAUUUAUUAAUGUCCAUGGAUGGUGUUGAGUCAAGCAGGGCGUUGACCUCAUCGACUGAUCUGUCAAUAUCAAAAUCCAAACCAAAGUGAGUUAAACAUGUUUGUAAAGGAUCAUCACUAAGGUUUGAAAGAAAAGUAUUAUCAACUAUUGUUUCUAUUAAAUCCACAUCAACAAUUCCAUCAUCUGCACUGUGAGGUUGUUUGACAAUGUUGAAAAUGUUUAGCUCCAUAGUCAUGUUGCCGAAGGACAAUUGCAUAUUUCCGGUCCUACAUUGAAUAUGAGCAUCUGCAGUUGCCAAGAAAGGUCGGCCUAGAAUAAUGGGGAUGUGCUUCCUUGAGUCCUGUAUUGGUUGAGUGUCAAUUACAAUGAAAUCAACAGGAAAAUAAAACUUGUCUACCUGGAUAAGCACGUCCUCCACAAUACCACGAGGUAUUUUCGUGGACCGAUCUGCAAGCUGUAACACCACUGGAGUUGGGUGUAAUUCUCCCAGUCCAAGUUUCACAAAUACUGAAUAAGGCAACAAAUUUACACUAGCUCCUAAAUCCAACAAAGCAUUCUCAAUUGUGUGGUUCCCUAUACUACAUGAGAUAGUGGGGGAGCCUGGGUCUUUGCAUUUUAAAGGAAUUUUAUGUUGGAGUAUAGAACUAACGUUUUCUGUUAAAAAUGCCUUCUUUUGAACAUGUAUAUUUCUCUUUUUAGUACAAAGGUCUUUAAGAAACUUGGCAUAAGAUGGAACUUGUUUAAUAGCAUCAAGUAAAGGGAUGUUAACACUUACCUGUUUGAAGAUUUCAAGAAUCUCACCUGUGGAUUUUCCCUUCUUUCCUUUAGCUAACCUUUGAGGAAAUGGAGCUUUGGGAACGUAUUCUCGUGGGUUAGUUUCUUCUUUCUCCUCCGGUGAUGAUUCCUCAACAUUCACAGGUACAAUUUGAUUUUCUUUUGUCACCGGCAUCUCCACUUUGUUGUCGACUUCCUUUCCUUUUCGCAAGGUCAUUACUGCUUUGAUUUCUCCAUGCUGCUGUGGUGAACUGGUACUUGCUUCAUGUACUCCUUUAGGAUUAGGCACUGGUUGACUUGGAAAUUUGCCUUUCUCAACAGUCAUUGCCAAUGUCUGAACUGAAGAAGCAAGUUGUCCCACCAUCUUUUCGAGGCUUGAAACAGAUUGAGCUUGUGAGUUGAAGCCUGCUCUCAACUCAUUUCGUAGUCCAUCAAUGGUGCGGUUCUGUUGCUCAAUCGUGGAGUGAGUAACAUUCCUGAAAUUCUGGAAUGCAUCCUCCCAUGGUCUGGGUUGAGAAUAAUUCUGGUUUUGAUUGAAUGGUCUAAAUGGGGGCUGAGAGGCUUGAGGAUUUUGAGGAAUUUGUUGCAUUGGUGGAGCUGGAGCUGCUGGUCCAUUCUGUUGGAAUCCUUGAGACCAUGAAAAAUUGGGGUGGUCUCUCCAUCCAGAGUUAUAUGUGUUGGAGUAUGGGUUGUAAUUAGAUGGCUUUCUCAUUACACCUAUGGCAUUGGCUUGAUCUGGAUAUGAGUCAGGGUCAUGUGAUUCUGUUGAUUUAGCAGUCGAUAACGAUGCUAUUUGUCGAGCAAGACCUUCAACCAUCUCCUUGACUUCUUUGAUUCCCGAAGUUGACUCGCCAAUGUGAACCUCAUUCACUCCUUUAAUCCUUCUAGUAUUCCUGAGUGAUCGACUCCGUUGUUGGGAAUUGUCCGCUUGUCGCUGGAAAAACUCCCAAAUUUCUGAUGCACUUUUUGACAUUAGCUCUCCUCCACUUGUUGCCAUUAGCCAUUCUUGCACAUUCGGCAAUAAUCCCUCCAAAAAGUAUUGACAUUGGUGCCAUUUUUCGUACCCAUGAUGUGGACACUUCAAGAGUAGCCCAUUGAAUCGCUCCCAAGUUUCGAAAAACUGCUCGUCCUCUCUUUGUGUGAACUCUGAAAUUUCCCUGCGAAUAGCAUUGGUUUUAUGCACUGGGAAAUAUUUAUUCAAAAAUUUAGUUACCAUUUGUUCCCAUGAUGAAAUGCUAUUAGCAGGUAAAGUAUUUAACCAUGAACGAGCUCUAUCUUUUAAAGAAAAUGGGAAUAAUCUGAGUUUAACAUCAUCGUCUGAAAAAUUCUCAUAUUUAAAUGUUUGACAAAUGGCAUGAAAAUCAUUCAGAUGAUUAUAUGGGUCCUCAUUUUCUAAGCCAUAGAAUGUGGGGAGACAAUUUAGCACACUAGGUUUUAGUUCAAAGCUCCUAGCAGCUACAUUUGGAUAUCUUAUGCAUGACGUGCUCAAAUUAGCUAAGGGACUAAAAUAGUCCUUAAAUGGCCUCUCCUGUGGUGCUUGUAAAUCCAUUUUAUUUUUAACGUGUUUGUGUGUGCGAAGUGUUUUUUCUAAUUCAAGGUCUAUAGGUUCAAGAUUAGGUAAUAAUGACCUACGACCAUGCAUGCAAAAUAAAUGAAAUAAAAAUAAAGAUGCAAACAAAACAAAUAAUAAAGAUGGGAACAAAACAAAUAAAAAUAAAGAAGAGGGAGAAAUUACGAUACUAAUCUUAUUGCGCUAUUACAACCUUUCUAUAAAAAUACACAAAAAUAAAUACGUGAAAGAAAUUAACUAAAAAUUAAAUUAAUAAGAUAAACAAAAAAAAUUACAAAGAAAAAUAAAUGGAAAAUUAAAUUACAAAAUUUUAAAGAAGAGAAAAAGAAAAGAAAUACUAACCUUUAAAUGUAGAUUCACUUUUUUUUUUCUUUUUUUUUUAAUAAUAAAAAAAAAUACAAGAAAACAAAUAAAAGAAAUUAUUCACAAAAAUUAAUUCUAUGAAUUAAAAUUACUUACCUCCCCGGCAACGGCGCCAAAAACUUGUUGUGCAAAUUUUAAUGUACUCGCAAGCGCACGAAUCUGUUGUAGUAUAGAUUAAUGGUGACGAGUGUCGAUCCCACGAGGAGGUGGAUUUUAAUUGUGUAGAAUUAAUUUUUGUGAAUGGGUGAUUGGAUUUGUGGUGGAAAUGAUUGGAAUAUGCUAAAACUUAAAUUAAAAUGGCGAGAAUAAAUUCUAAAAUUGGUAUUGAAAUGGUGAGAAUAAAUUGAAGAGAAUUCUAUUGAAAUGACGUACUUGGGUAUCUGGAUCCGUAUCAACAUGCAUCAUGGGCUAAAUAAUAUGUAUUAAUGCCAAUUAAAUCAUGAGGGGGGAAUCCACACCUCAUGAACCACGCUCUAAUCAAUAUGGUGCUAAGGGCUUAUCGUGCCAAAUAAUAAUAACCUUGUACUAGAGGGCCGGUGAAACCAAGGCGGUACUAGACAAGAUUAGUAUUAUUUGUCGACGAGAAGUCAAAACAUCCACAAAAACUAGAGGGGAAGAGAAAAUAAAUUUACCAAAUUAAGCCCAUGACACAUGUUGAGACUUCACCUUCAACCUAAGCUUGAAAGAAAAUUAGCCACUCAUAAUUGAACUAGGGGCAAAAUGGAAAUUUAUUAAAAUACGAAGAAAAUACAAGAUGGAAAGGGAAUUACAGAAAAUGGAUCCCAAAAAUGGAUUCAGAGAUAUCAAAUUAGGGGGGGGAGGCCCCCUUUUUAUAGAUACAUGGAGUAAAUCAUGGCCAUCGGAUUAAAAACAGUUUGGACGCUCAGGAUUGCGCCACGUCAUCAGUCAACAGUCCACGUUUGACCACGCGGAUGAACAGUAACACGGUUUGACCCGACUUUGAACUGUAACGCGGUUUGACCCGGAUGAACAGUAACGCGGUUUGGUUGAAAAUAAUCCUGUGUGAUGCAUGCACCGUACGCGAGAUUUUUCGUCCACUGAUAUGCUGCCACGUCACCAUCAACAGUACAUAAGAAUUUUAGUCCAACAGGAUCGUGACACCUCAUCAGUCAAUGCCACAUCAUCGGUCAAUGCCACGUCAUCAUCCGUCUAUGUGAACAGUGUCGUGAACAGUAACGUAUACAGUACCGUACACGUGAAUAGUACCGUACAUGUGAAUAGUGCCAUUUUUCCUUUUAUGCUCCUCCUAAGGUUUUCGACCGUCCUGAGUUCAAAAGUGAUGUCCGUUUUGCCGUCUGAUCUCUCCUUUAUUGUGAAAUGACUAUAAUGCCCCUAAAAUACAUAAAAUACUUAAUUAAAAUAAAACACAUGUAAUUAAAUCACAAGAAGGUUAAAUACAUAAAAGUAAGGGUUGUUAGUAAGACUUGAAAUGUAAAAUGACGGUUUUCUCCUUUAUAAAUAUGCAUUUUCUAACACUCAACACAUCACACAGGAUUAUUUUCAAUCAAACCGCGUCACUGUUCAAUCCUCAGCGUCCAAACUGUUUUUAAUCUGAUGGUCAUGAUUUACUCCAUGUAUCUAUAAAAAGGGGGCCUCCCCCCCCCCCCAAUUUGAUAUCUCUGAAUCCAUUUUUGGGAUUCAUUUUCUGUAAUUCCUUCUCCGUCUUAUAUUUUCUAUGUAUUUUAAUAAAUUCCUAUUUUGCCCCUAAUUUAAUUAUGGGUAGCUAAUUUUCUUUCAAGCUUGGGUUGAAGGUGAAGUCUCAACAUGUGUCAUGGGCUUUAUUUGGUAAAUUUACUUUCUCUUCCCCUAUAAUUUUUGUGGAUGUUUUGACUUCUCGUCAACAAAUAAUACUAAUAUUGUCUAGUACCGCCUUGGUUUCACCGGCCCCCUAGUACAAGGUUAUUAUUAUUUGGCACGAUAAGCCCUUAGCACCAUAUUGAUUAGAGCAUGAUUCAUGAGGUGUGGAUUCCCCCCUCAUGAUUUAAUUGGCAUUAAUAAGGAUUAUUUAGCCCAUGAUGCAUGUUGAUACGGAUACAGAUACCCAAGUACGUCAUCUCAAUAGAUUUCUCUUCAAUUUAUUCUCGCCAUUUCAAUUCCAAUUUUAGAAUUUAUUCUCGCCAUUUCAAUUCCAAUUUUAGAAUUUAUUCUCGCCAUUUCAAUUCCAAUUUUAGGAUAAUCCAAAUCAUUUUCACUACAAAUCCAACCACCCAUUUACAAAAUUAAUUCUACACACAAUUAAAAUCCGCCUCCUCGUGCGAUCGACACUCGUCACCAUUAGUCUAUUCUACAAUAGAUUCGUGCACUUGCGAGUUCAAAAAAAUUUGCACAACAAGUUUUUGGCGCCGUUGCUGGGGAGGUAAGUAAUUUUAAUUCAUAGAAUUAAUUUUUGUGAAUAAUUCUAUUUAAUUGUUUUCUUGUAUUUUUAAAAAAAGAAAAAAAAGAAAAAAAAAGGUGAAUAUACAUUUAAAGGUUAGUAUUUCUUUUCUUUUUCUCUUCUUUAAAAUUCUGUAAUUUAAUUUUCAAUUUAUUUUUCUUUGUAAAUUUUUUUUGUGUAUCUUAUUAAUUUAUUUUUAGUUAAUUUAUUUUCACGUAUUUUUUUUUAGUGUGUUUUUAUAGUAAGGUUGUAAUAUCACAAUAAGGUUAGUAUCGUAAUUUCUCCCUCUUCUUUAUUUUUAUUUGUUUUGUUCCCAUCUUUAUUUUUAUUUUAUUUGUUUUGCAUGCAUGGUCGUAGGUCAUUAUUACCUAAUCUUGAACCUAUAGACUUUGAACUAGAAAAAACACUUUGCACACACAAGCACGUUAAAAAUAAAUUUAGAAUGGAUUUACAAGCACCACAGGAGAGGCCAUUUAAGGACUAUUUUAGUCCUUUAUCUAAUUUGAGCACAUCAUGCAUAAGAUACCCAAAUGUAGCUGCUAGGAGUUUUGAACUAAAACCUAGUGUGCUAAAUUGUCUCCCAACAUUCUAUGGCCUAGAAAAUGAGGAUUCAUAUAAUCAUUUGAAUGAUUUUCAUGCUGUUUGUCAAACAUUUAAAUAAGAGAAUUUUUCAGAUGAUGAUGUAAAACUUAGACUAUUCCCAUUUUCUUUAAAGGAUAGAGCUCGUUCAUGACUUAAUACAUUGCCUGCUAAUAGCAUUACAUCAUGGGAACAAAUGGUAACUAAAUUUUUGAAUAAAUAUUUCCCAGUACAUAAAACCAAUGUUAUUUGCAGGAAAAUCUCAGAGUUUACCCAGAGAGAAGACGAGCAGUUUUUCGAAACAUGGGAGUGAUUUAAUGGGCUACUCUUGAAGUGUCCACAUCAUGGGUAUGAGAAAUGACACCAAUGCCAAUAGGUUUUGGAGGGAUUAUUGCUGAAUGUGCAAGAAUGGCUAAUGGCAACAAGUGGAGGAGAGCUAAUGUCAAAAAGUGCAUUAGAGAUUUGGGAAUUCUUCCAGCGACAAGCGGAUAAUUCCCAACAACGGAGUCGAUCACUCAGGAAUACUAGAAGAAUUAAGGGAGUAAAUGAGGUUCACAUUGGCGAGUCAAGUUCAGAAAUUAAAGAAGUCAAAGCGAUAAUUGAAGGUCUCUUUCGACAAAUAGCAUCGUUAUCGACUGCUAAAUCAACAGAGCUACAUGACCAUGACUCAUACUCAGAUCAGGCCAAUGUCAUAGGUGUAAUGAGAAAACCAUCUAAUUACAACCCAUACUCCAACACAUGUAACCCUGGAUGGAGAGACCACCCAAAUUUUUCAUGGUCUCAAGGAUUCCAACAGAAUGGACCAGCAGCUCCAGCUCCACCAAUACAACCAGUUCCUCAAAUUCCUCAAGUCUCUCAGCCACCAUUUAGACCAUACAAUCAAAACCAGAACUACUCUCAACCCAGACCAUGGGAGGAUUCAUUCUAGAAUCUCAAGAAUCUUACUCUACGAUUGAGCAACAAAACCGCACCAUUGAUGGACUACGAAAUGAGUUGAGAGCGGCUUCAACUCACAAGCCCAAUCAGUUUCAAGCCUCGAGAAGAUGGUGAGACAACUUGCUUCUUUAGUUCAAACCUUGGCAAUGACUGUUGAGAAAGGAAAAUUUCCAAGUCAACCAGUGCCUAAUCCUAAAGGAGUACAUGAAGCAAGUACCAGUUCACCACAGCAGCAUGGAGAGGGCAAAGCAGUUAUGACCUUGUGAAAAAAAAAAGAAGUUGACAACAAAGUGGAGAUGCUGGUGACAAAAGAAAAUCAAAUUGUACCUGUGAAUGUUGAGGAUUCACCAUCAGAGGAGAAAGAAGAAACCAACCCGCGAGAAUAUGUUCCCAAAGCUCCAUUUCCUCAGAGGUUAGCUAAAAGAAAGAAGGGAAAAUCCACAGGUGAGAUUCUUGAAAUCUUCAAACAGGUAAGUAUUAACAUCCCUUUACUUGAUGUUAUAAAGCAAGUUCCAUCUUAUGCCAAGUUUCUUAAGGACCUUUUGUACUAAAAAGAGAAACAUUAAUGUUCAAAAGAAGGCCUUUUUAACAUAAAACGUUAGUUCUAUACUCCAACACAAAAUUCCUCUAAAAUGCAAAGACCCAGGCUCCCCCACUAUCUCAUGUAGUAUAGGGAACCACACAAUUGAGAAUGCUUUGUUGGAUUUAGAAGCUAGUGUAAAUUUGUUGCCUUACUCAGUAUUUUUGAAACUUGGACUUGGAGAAUUACACCUAACUCCAGUGGUGUUGCAGCUUGCAGAUCGGUCCACAAAAAUACCUCGUGGUAUUGUGGAGGAUAAAAUUUAUCCAGGUAGAUAAAUUUUAUUUUCCUGUUGAUUUCAUUGUAAUUGACAUUCAACCAAUACAGGAUUCAAAGAAGCACAUCCCCAUUAUUCUAGGCCGACCUUUCUUGGCAACUGCGGAUGCUCACAUUCAAUGCAGGACUGGAAAUAUGCAGUUGUCCUUUGGCAAUAUGACUAUGGAGCUGAACAUCUUCAACAUUGCCAAACAACCUCACAAUGCAGAUGAUAGAAUUGUUGAUGUAGAUUUAAUUGAAGCAUUAGUUGAUGACACUUUUCUUUCAAACCUUAAUGAUGACCCUUUACAAACAUGCUUAACUCACUUUGGUUUGGAUUUUGAUAUUGACAGAUCAGUUGAUGAGGUCAACGCCCUACUUGACUCAGCACCAUCCAUGGACACUAAUAAAUGGAAGUCAAGAGUUGAACAACUAGCACCAUCGGAAAAGAAACUCAUCCCAUCAUCAGAAUCACCACCGAAACUCGAGCUCAAACCAUUACCCAACACUUUGGAAUAUGUAUUUUUGGGAGAAGAAAGUACUCUACCAGUAAUCAUCUCAUCAUCCCUAAAUAACGAACAAAAAGGUAAGUUGUUGGAUGUUUUAAAAGAGCACAAAGGAGCAUUAGGAUAGACUAUAGCAGACAUUAAAGGUAUAAACCCAGUAGACUGCAUGCAGUACAUUCACCUCGAUGAAAAUGCUAAAUCUACUAGGGAAAUGCAACGUCAGUUAAAUCCUAAUAUGAAAGAAGUUGUUAGAACUGAAGUCCUUAAGCUAUUAGACACAGGUAUCAUUUACCCAAUUUCUGAUAGUUCAUGGGUCAGUCCUGUACAAGUUGUCCCUAAAAAGUCAGGAGUCACAGUAGUUACAAAUGCUGAUAAUGAAUUGAUACCAACUAGAGUAACUACAAGAUGGCGUGUAUGUAUUGAUUAUAGAAAAUUGAAUUCUGUCACACGUAAAGACCAUUUUCCUUUACUAUUUAUUGAUCAAAUGCUUGAUAGAUUAGCAGGCCAUGAAUUUUAUUGCUUUCUAGAUGGCUACUCAGGAUAUAAUCAAAUUCUCAUAGCACCAAAAGAUCAAGAGAAAACCACUUUCACUUGCCCUUUUGGCACUUUUGCAUAUAGGAGGAUGCCAUUUGGAUUAUGUAAUGCACCUACUACAUUUCAACGAUGCAUGUUGAGCAUUUUUUCUGAUAUGGUUGAACAAUUCCUUGAAGUCUUUAUGAAUGAUUUUUCUGUCUUUGGUGACUCGUUUGACCAAUGUUUACAUCAUCUAACACUAGUUAUGCAGAGAUGUGUCAAGAAGAACUUAGUCUUAAAUGGGGAGAAGUGUCAUUUUAUGGUAAAACAAGGUAUUGUUCUUGGUCACAUCAUUUCAAGCAAAGGUAUUGAGGUUGACAAAGCCAAGGUGGAUCUCAUUUCUAAUCUUCCUCCACCUAAAACAGUCAAAAAAGUAAGAUCUUUCCUUGGGCAUGCUGGUUUUUAUAGACGUUUCAUUAAAGAUUUUAGCAAAGUUUCUAGACCCUUAUGCAAUCUACUUGCUAAGGAUGUACCUUUUAUCUUUAAUGAUUCAUGUCUUAUGGCUUUUGAAAAAUUAAAGCAAUUGUUGACAUCAUCACUCAUCAUUCAGCCCCCAAAUUGGAGCUUACUAUUUGAACUCAUGUGUGAUGCAUCUGAUUAUACAGUAGGAGCAGUAUUAGGACAAAGAGUUGAUUGAAUUCCCCAUGUUAUUUACUAUGCUAGUAUGACAUUGAAUGAUGCACAGUUGAACUAUUCAACUACUGAAAAAGAAAUGCUAGCAGUAGUGUUUGCAUUGGAAAAAUUUCGAUCUUAUCUCAUUGGUUGUAAAAUAAUUGUGUUCACAGAUCAUGCUGCUCUUAAAUAUCUUCUCACAAAGAAAGAUGCAAAAGCUAGACUAAUUCGUUGGGUGUUACUUUUGCAGGAGUUCGACUUGGAAUUUAAAGAUAAGAAAGGCACAGAGAAUGUUGUAGCUGACCAUCUCUCUCGUCUCCACUUUGACACAAUUAUGGAAUCAUUACCAUUGAAUGAGUCAUUGCCAGAUGAACAAUUGAUGAGUGUGGAAGUAUUACCAUGGUAUGCUGAUAUUGUUAAUUAUCUUAUUACAGGUCAACUUCCAGAGCAUUUGACCAAGCAAGACAAGACUAAAUUCUUUGCAGAAAUAAAGAAUUUCUUUUGGGAUGACCCGUAUUUGUUCAAGUAUUUUGCAGAUCAAAUUGUUAGGCGAUGUGUCCCAGAAAGUGAAAUUCAGAAUAUCAUUUCAUUCUGUCAUGAACAAGCUUGUGGAGGCCAUUUCAGUGCUAAGAAAACAGCUACUAAAGUUUUACAAUGUGGUUUCUAUUGGCCAACUAUAUUUCGAGACACUUACACUUUUUGUUCUUCAUGUAAUAGGUGUCAACGAAUGGGGAGCAUUACACGAAGGAAAAUGAUGCCACUAAAUCCAAUUUUAGUGAUUGAGAUUUUUUACGUAUGGGGUAUCGACUUCAUAGGACCCUUUCCCCCUUCUUUUGGCCAUCAAUACAUAUUGGUUGCUGUUGACUACGCAUCAAAAUGGGUAGAAGCAAUUCCAUGUAGAACCAAUGAUCACAAGGUGGUGAUAGGAUUUUUGAAAAGCAACAUUGUUUCACGCUUUGGAUUCCCUCGAGUGAUAAUCAAUGAUGGUGGUGCCCACUUUUGUAAAAAAGCAUUCAAAGCUCUUUUGACAAAGUAUUCAAUCACUCACAAAGUGGCGACCCCAUAUCAUCCGCAAACCAGUGGCCAAGUUGAGAUCUCCAAUCGAGAAAUAAAGCACAUAUUAGAAAAAACGGUGAGGCCGAAUAGAAAAGAUUGGUCAUUAAGACUUGAUGAUGCAUUAUGGGCAUAUAGAACGGCUUUCAAGACCCCGAUUGGGAUGUCACCCUACACGCUAGUGUAUGGAAAAGCUUGCCACCUACCUGUGGAACUCAAGCAUCGUGCAUAUUGGGCUAUCAAGAAAUUCAACUUUGACAUGCAGCAAGCCAGCUCAGAAAGAAGAUUACAGCUGGGAGAACUUAAAGAAAUUCGCAAUGAUGCAUACGAAAAUGUCAAGAUUUACAAGCAACGAAUGAAAGUCUUCUAUGACAAGCAAAUUAUGAGAAAAUCUUUCACUCCAGGUCAGAAAGUGCUUUUGUUCAAUUCUCGCUUGCACCUAUUCCCAGGUAAGUUACGCUCUCGAUGGUCUGGUCCCUUUAUUGUUCAUACCGUUUUUUCACAUGGGGCAAUUGAAAUUAAGGACCCAAAGAACGGUGUCACAUUUAAAGUUAAUGGUCAAAGAUUAAAGCCAUAUCUAGAGUACCAACUACAUGAAGAAGACACCGAAAUAAAUUUGAGUGACACACCAGAGUUGAAUUGAUUUUUUUCUUUUCGGUGGUUUGAUUUUUCUUUCUUUCUUUUUAUUAUUCUUUUGCUAAUUAAAAUUAUUUUUCCAUAAGUGUGUUUGUUUUAUCAUUAAGUUUUCUCUUAUCAUUAUUAAUCAUAAGUACCAUACUUAGACCGUUCCUCCUAAAUAUUCUUAAACCACUUCAACGUGUCAAAACUCAUCUCAAAAGGCAGAUUCAAUUUUGUAAAACACAUCGUAUUUGGGCUCUGCAACCACCAGAGUUAGUAUCCUAUGUUGAGGGUUUAGAAAGCCAACUCAGAGACUUUGAGAGAAGUGUUUACAACAUCCAGUUGGAGCUUGAGGUAAAUUCAAUAACAGGACAAUUUUAAUUUUCUUUGUGUGUUUUAAUUUGUUUUUCUGUUUGUGUGCUUUAGUUUGUUACUCUGGUGAAGUGGCGGAUAACGGUACUCUGUGACAAUCAAGUCAGUUACUUCAGUUUUCCCAUAAUAACUAAUAUUCUGAGGCGAAGGUAUGGAUAUAAACGAGAUUCUAGCGAAGCUUCACAAGCGAUUCCCUUCACUUCCUCAGAAUGCCCUCCUUACAAUCUAUAAAGCCCGGUCCGAACGCAUGCGAUUGCUCAUGAGGAAUAACAUACCUGCUGACAUCCGUUGGUUAAUCGAGGCUAAAGUACGAUUGGCAGGUGAGUUACCUCCAAACUUUAUUGCAUACAUGCCUGGUUGUGGUAAAGAAAAUUAUGCAAGAAAACGACGAGCUCGAAGAAUUUCUAUUGCUUGUCAUAAGUGUGCCAGAAUGAGUUGCGAUAAAAACCCAUGUUCUUUAGGAAUGGUGUUUGAUAAUAGGGAAGAUAAGAUUCAAUUCAUUAGGGAUGACUUGAAUAAGGAAUCAUUGGAUGAUAUCCUUCUAUCUCUUGAAACGCAUCCCAGUGGAUAUGUGCAAGGAGCGAUUCUCCAGUUAUGGCCAUUAUUCCAGAAAGAGCAUACAUGAUAUAGUCUCGAGAAUCUGACUAUAAACGAUCCUGUUUGCCAGUUUAUAAGAAAACUGGAUGGGAAGCCUAUCCUCGACCCAUAGAGGGCGUUCAAGCCGUUUCUGGACGUAAAACCAGAGGAAGAUGUGAGCCACAGUCUCAACUACCUGUAAAUAUCCUUUUACUUCACUAUUAUUUUAUUUCACUGUUGUUUUAUCUUUUCCAUUAUUGUCAUUAAUAAUUUUAUUUGACCAUUGUUUCUUUUUCUUUUUAUUGUUUUCUUUUUUACUCGCGAGCCAUAUGCUUUAUGCGUUAUUUGACAAUGACAUGCCACCUCAUACACAGUUGUGACCUACUGUCACCAAGAUUCUUAAAUAUGACUUUUUGUUAAGCACUCACAAAUUGUUUUUGAGAAAUAUUCCAAUAGCAGCUACUCCCAAUAGACAAUUCAAGAACAUUUAUGUACUUUCUGAAUUUAACUAUGGCAAACAUAAAGAGUUCGUUGAGGCAGCCAUAGAUUUGGUCAAAGCAUAGCAGAGAGAAAAUUACACUUGGUGUAUGGAGGAGGUAACCGAGGGUUAUCAAAAUUGGUCUCAGAAGCUGCUUUUGUCAGAGGAAGCCAAGUGUUAGGCAUCAUCCCAAGAGUCCUAAAACCUUUGGGCAGUUUGUCUGACUCACCGACUGGAGAAGAGUUAGUUGUCUCAGGUAUACAAGAAAGAAGUAACGAAGAUAAAAUACGAGCUUGUUUUAUAGCAAUAGUAAUUAAUCGUUGUUCUUUUAAGGUCAAUCUAUUCACCCGUCUAGAUAAUAUUUUUCCUUGUUCACUAAGAAAUCGACUAAUUAAAGUCAUGUUUCUAUAAUCAAUUCGAUCCCCUUUAAGAUCAAACAAUUCCAUUGAAUUGAGUAUGAUUGUAUGUGUGAUAGCAUCUACUAUACUAGGAAUAUCAAUGAACCCGAUUAUUGCAAUUGCUCAGGAUACCCUUUUUUAGCUUCUAGCCAGUUUCUAGAAUCGAUUUCUUAGUUCAAGAUCCCUCUUACUAACUGGAAUCAAGGAAUUAGUAGAUCUCAAAAUGGGAAUGGGCUAGGGUUAUGAACUUAUAAUCUAUAAUCUAAUGAUCGAGUCGAUUCCAUGAUUAUAAGUUCAUUCCAUACUGAAAUGCUUAAUCAUGCUGAUGCUUUUAUUUUCCUUCCAAGAGAUCUUGCAACACUAGAGGCACUUAUCACACUAGCAUCCUGGGCCCAUCUGUACAUUCACCAGAAACCCAUCGGUUUGUAAAAUGUUAAUAACUUUUAUGAUGGCUUCAUCGCAUUUCUUAACCAUGCAAUAAAAAACUAUUUUGUUCCUUCCAAUGCCAAAAAGCUUUUUAUUUAUGCUCACACUGCUAAUGAGCUACUUGAUCUGUUACAAGCUUAUAGACCAGAGCAGACCCCUGGACCUUUGUGUUGGAGUGUCCAAAUAAUGAUGGUAACAGUAGCCGCAGUAAGAAGUACAAAUUAGAUUUAACUCUCCGCUUGUAAAUAUUUUCUUCUGUGUUGUACCACCCAGGUGAUGUCUUCUAAACUCUAUUUCUUUCCUUUCAAACAUUGGGGACAAUGUUUCGUUCUGGUGGGGGGAGGGAAUAGUCGACAAUUGUGGAAUCUUGGUUAAGUUUUUACUAAUUUUUUGUUGUAGAAACUAACUGUUGCUAACUUUUUGUAUUGAAGAUGGCUGAAUAUGGAGUGUAGUGACUCUAAAAACGCAUCUUCAUCGUUUACAAAAAAAAUUAAAAAAAAUUAAAAAAAAAUCAAAAAAUUCAGACAUUUUCUUUUUCUUUAUUAAGUUUUGAUGUUCAUUUUUCUUCUUCUUUUUUAAUUUCUCCUUUAUAAAUAUACAUUUUUAAAUAUUUGAGUCGAAGAUAGCUGAAUAUGGAGUGUAGUGCCUCUAGAAACGCAUCUUCUUAGUUAAAAAAAAAACAGUUUUCUUUUUAAGUGUAACUUUUCUAAUUAGUUUUUCUGCAUCAUUUUCACAUUUCUGGAUGCAUAUUUUCCUUUCACAUUUAGAAUAGGUUGGGGGGUAGGAUGUUGUUUGAAAAAAAAAAUUGUGUGAUUUGUUUUAACAUUGGAUGACAUGAUUAAUUUAAAAUUUUAGUAUUUGUAUUAUCUUUGGUCUUAAGUGAUGUUAUGCUAUGUUUGCUAUUUUACAUGUUGAUGUCGGAGACAAAUAUGAGUUGCUUGAAGGAAUGAACAUGUCAUAAAUAAAUGUCAAGUGAGUUUUUGAGCCUAUCAUUUUUCUUGGAGAGUAACCAUUUUGCCCAUUCUUUAUACAGCUUAGCGGUUUAUUAUUGUAUACACGAUCUCUAGAUUUCUUUAGAGUUAACCCUUAAAAAAAUUUGUAAAAUUAAAAAAAAAGAAAAAAAAAUGUGUUGCUACAUUUGAAAGUCCAUCUAACUAGUAGAUAUGGAAGGUUAUUUAGAGCCCUAAAAGACGAUGGAAAUACCAUUUUUGAUCCGUUUGAGCCUUUCUAGUCAUCCCUUUUGUGAAAUAUCCAUAGUUAACCAUUUUGAGCCUUUUAAAAAAAAAAGAAAAAAAAGCCUUUUAUUUGUUAAACUUAUCAUCUUGACCCACUCCGAUUUGGAGUAUUACCCGAUGUCUUAUAAGUUCCAUCACCUAUUUAUGUUUGAGAAAAAUAUAAAUAAUUAUUUUGUUCAGUGACGUUGUGCCAAGCAAAAGCAAAACAAAAUUGUUUCAAAAAAAAAGAAGAAAAAAAUAAUAACAAUAAUAGGUGAAAUCUACCUUGUAACUUCUAAAAAAAAAAAAAAAUUCCUCUGCAUUUUUCUCAAACAUACACUUUGUUUUCCUUAUUUCCCUUCUUUGUUAACCAUGUCCCUAGCCUACGUUACGUCCUAAUAAAAGUCCUUCUUGAUUUUAGAGAACUAUAGUCUGAAGUAGAAGCUAAUUAUAUGGGCUAAAAAGAUGUAGUGAUGUAUAAUAAUAAAAAAAAGGGAAAUUAUCAUUUGUAUACCCUUAGUUUACUCCAUUAUCAAAAAUACUACAACACUUUGAAGGUGUAUCAAUCGUCCACCCUAAGUUGACAAAAUGUAUCAGCUGACCACUAAACCGUUAGUUGCCGUUUAAGUAUGAUGACGUCAUAAGGGUAAUUUGGUCUUUUCAUAUGAUACAAGUGAUAAUUUAAGGGUAUACAAGUGAUAAAAAGAGAAUUUAAGGGUAUACAAUUGAUAAUUUUCAAGGGUAAAAUCGUCAAUUCACUGUAACUCCGUUAACUUUCAAACGGAAACUAACGGUUUGGUGGUCGGCUGAUACAUUUUGUCAACUAAGGGUGGACGAUUGAUACACCCUCAAAGUGUUGUAGUAUUUUUGAUAACAGAGCAAAUAUAGGGUAUAUGAAUGAUAAUUUUCCUAAAAAAAAAGAUAAAAAAAGUGGGUUGACUAGCAUUUUUGUUUGACUUGAAAUCGUAUUAUUUCUAAGCUGAGGGCAUAUUUCUUUCAUCUUUGUGAGAGCAUGUGAUAUCAUUUCUUUAUUAUUUUCUCUCAAUUACCAUUUAUUGCAGUGACUAUUUUUAUUGGGUAUAAUUUCUUUGUGAGAGUGUCACUAUAUCUAGUGAGAUUUUGGGGUUUAACAUGUCAUUCUUGAAAGUAGCUGUGACAAAGUCUACUGGUCUGAUUCAUGUGGAUGGUUGAUGUGGGUGUGAUGUUUCUUUAGACUGGAGAUAAUGCUUAUACUUUUAUUUGAUUACUAUCAUUAGUCUAAUUGAAUAAACAUGAGUGUUAAAAAAAAAUUAUUUUGGAUUUAAAUUUUGUUUUCGCUUUAUUUGCUAGGGACUAGCAAUAAGCUGGUUGAGGGGUGUGUUGAGUGUUAGAAAAUGUAUAUUUAUAAAGGAGAAAAUCGUCAUUUUACACUUCAAGUUUUACUAACACCCUUACUUUUAUGUAUUUAACUUUCUUUUGAUUUAAUUCCGUGUGUUUUAUUUUAAUUAAGUAUUUCAUGUAUUUUAAGGGCAUCAUAGUCAUUUCACAAUAAACGAGUGAUCAGAUGACAAAACGGACAUCACUUUUGAACUCAGGACGGUCAAAAACCUUAGGAGGAACAUAAAAGAAAAAAUGACAUUGUUCACAUGUACGGUACUAUUCACGUGUACAGUACUAUCUACGUUACUGUUCACGACACUGUUCACAUAGACGGAUCGAUGACGUGGCAUUGACCGAUGAAGUGGCAUUGACUGAUGAGGUGUCACGAUCCUAUUAGACUAAAAUUCUUAUGUACUGUUGAUGGUGAUGUGGCAGCAUAUCAGUGGACCAAAAAUCUCGCGUACGAUACAUGCAUCACACAGGAUUAUUUUCAACCAAACCGUGUCACUAUUCAACUCGGGUCAAACUGUGUUACUGUUCAUCCGCGUGGCCAAACUGCGUACUGUUGACUGAUGGCGUGGCGCAAUCCUGAGUGUCCAGACUGUUUUUAAUCUGAUGGCCAUGAUUUACUCCAUGUAUCUAUAAAAAGAGGGCCUCCCCCCCUAAUUUGAUAUCUCUGAAUCCAUUUUUAGGAUCCAUUUUUUGUAAUUCCUUUUCUAUCUUGUAGUUUUUAUGUAUUUUAAUAAAUUCAUAUUUUUCCCCUAAUUCAAUUAUGAAUAGCUAAUUUUCUUUCAAGCUUGGGUUGAAGGUGAAGUCUCAACAUGUGUCAUGGGCUUUAUUUGGUAAAUUUACUUUAUCUUCCCCUAUAAUUUUUGUGGAUGUUUUGACUUCUCGUCGACAAAUAAUACUAAUCUUGUCUAGUACUGCCUUGGUUUCACCGGCCCUCUAGUACAAGGUUAUUAUUAUUUGGCAUGAUAAGCCCUUAGCACCAUAUUGAUUAGAGCGUGGUUCAUGAGGUGUGGAUUCCCCUCUCAUGAUUUAAUUGGCAUUAAUAAGGAUUAUUUAGCCCAUGAUGCAUGUUGAUACGGAUCCAGAUACCCAAGUACGUCAUCUCAAUAAAUUUCUCUUCAAUUUAUUCUCACCAUUUCAAUUCCAAUUUUAGGAUAAUCCAAAUCAUUUUCACCACAAAUCCAACCACCCAUUUACAAAAUUAAUUCUACACAUAAUUAAAAUCCACCUCCUCGUGGGAUCGACACUCGUCACCAUUAGUCUAUUCUACAAUAGAUUUGUGCGCUUACGAGUUCAAUAAAAUUUGCACAACACAUCCUCCCAUGGUAUGGGUUGAGAGUAGUUCUGGUUCUGAUUGUAUGGUCUAAAUGGUGGCUGGGAGGCUUGAGUAAUUGGUUGCAUUGGUGGAGCUGGAGCUGCUGGUCCAUUCUAUUGGAAUCCUUGAGACCAUGAAAAAUUGAGGUGGUCUCUCCAUCCAGGGUUAUAUGUGUUGGAGUAUGGGUUGUAAUUUGAUGGUUUUCUCAUUACACCUAUGGCAUUGGCUUGAUCUGGAUAUGAGUCAGGGUCAUGUGGUUCUAUUGAUUUAGCAGUCGAUAACGAUGCUAUUUGUCGAGCGAGACCUUCAACCAUCUCUUUUACUUCUUUGAUUCCCGAAGUUGACUUGCCAAUGUGAACCUCAUUCACUCCUUUAAUUCUUUUAGUGUUCCUGAGUGACCGACUCCGUUGUUGGGAAUUAUCAGCUUAUUGUUGAAAGAAUUCCCAAAUCUCUGAUGCACUUUUUGACAUUAGCUCUCCUCCACUUGUUGCCAUUAGUCAUUCUUACACAUUCGGCAAUAAUCCCUCCAAAAAGUAUUAGCAUUGGUGUCAUUUCUCGUACCCAUGAUAUGGACACUUCAAGAGUAGCCCAUUGAAUCACUCCCAUGUUUCGAAAAACUGCUCGUCUUCUCUCUGGGUAAACUCUGAAAUUUCCCUGCAAGUAGCAUUGGUUUUAUGCACAGGGAAAUAUUUAUUCAAAAAUUUAGUUACCAUUUGUUCCCAUGAUGCAAUGCUAUUUGCAAGCAAAGUAUUUAACCAUGAACGAGCUCUAUCCUUUAAAGAAAAUGGGAAUAGUCUAAGUUUAACAUCAUCAUCUGAAAAAUUCUCAUAUCUAAAUGUUUGACAAACAGCAUGAAAAUCAUUCAAAUGAUUAUAUGGGUCAUCAUUUUCUAGGCCAUAGAAUGUUAGGAGACAAUUUAGCACACUAGAUUUUAGUUCAAAACUCCUAGCAGCUACAUUUGGGUCUCUUAUGCAUGAUGUGCUCAAAUUAGCUAAGGGACUAAAAUAGUCCUUAAAUGGCCUCUCUAGUGGUGCUUGUUGUUGCAAAUCCAUUUCAAUUUUAUCUUUAAUGUGUUUGUGUGUGCGCAAUAUUUUUUCUAAUUCAAGGUCUAUAGGUUCAAGAUUAUAUAAUAAUGACCUUCGACCUUGCAUGCAAUGAAUACAAAAAAAUGAGAACAAAAUUAAUAAAAAUAAACAAGAAGGAGAAAUUACGGUACUAACCUUAUCACGCUGUUACAACAUUUCUAUAAAAAAAACACACUUAAAAAAAUUUGUGAAAUAAAUUAACUAAAAAUAAAUUAAUAAAAUAAAAAAAAAUUACAAAGAAAAAUAACUUAAAAAUUAAAUUGCAGAAUUAUAAAGAAUAGAUAAAGAAAAGAAAUUAUUACCUCUAAAUGCAGAUUCACUUUUUUUUCUUUUUCUUUUUUUUAAUAAUAAAAAAAUACAAGAAAACAAAUAAAAGAACUUAUUUACAAAAAUUAAUUUUACGAAUUACAAUAACUUACCUCCCCGGCAACAAUGCCAAAAACUUGUUGUGCAAAUUUUAUUGAACUCGCAAGUGCACAAAUCUAUUGUAGAAUAGAUUAAUGGUGACGAGUGUUGAUCCCACGAGGAGGUAAAUUUUAAUUAUAUGUAGAAUUAAUUUUAUAUGAGGGUGGUUGGAUUUGUGGUGAAAGUGACUUAGAUUAUCCUAAAAUUAGAAUUGAAAUGGCGAGAAUAAAUUGAAGAGAAAUAUAUUGAAAUGAAGCGCUUGGGUAUCUGGAUCCGCAUCAACAUGCACCAUGGGCUAAAUAUUCUUUAUUAAUGCCAAUUAAAUCAUGAGGGGGGAAUCUACACCUCAUGAACCACACUCUAAUCAAUAUGGUGCUAAAGGCUUAUCGUGCCAAAUAAUAAUAACUUUGUACUAGAGAGCCAGUGAAACCAAGACGGUAUCUAGACAAGAUUAUUAUUAUUUGUCGACGAGAAGUUAAAACAUCCACAAAAACUAGAGGGGAAGAGAAAAUAAAUUUACCAAAUAAAGCUCAUGACACAUGUUGAGACUUCACCUUCAACCCAAGCUUGAAAGAAAAUUAGUUACUCAUAAUUGAAUUAGAGGUAAAAAGGAAAUUUAUUAAAAUACUUAGAAAAUACAAGAUGGAGAAGGAAUUAUAGAAAAUGGAGUCCAAAAAUGAAUUCAGAGAUGCCAAAUUAGGGGGGGAGGCCCCCUUUUUAUAGAUACAUUGAGUAAAUCAUAGCCAUCAGAUUAAAAACAGUUUGGACGCUCAGGAAUACGCCACGUCAUCAGUCAACAGUACGUGGUUUGACCACGCGGUUUGAACAGUAACACGGUUUGACCCGGCUUGAACAGUGACGCGGUUUGGUUGAAAAUAAUCCUGUGUAAUGCAUGUACCGUACACGAGAUUUUUGGUCCACUGAUAUGCUGCCACGUCAUCGAUCAACAGUACAUAAGAAUUUUAGUCCAACAGGAUUGUGACACCUCAUCAAUCAAUGACACGUCAUCGAUCCGUCUAUGUGAGCAGUGUCGUGAACAGUAACGUAGACAGUACCAUACAUGUGAAUAGUACCAUACAUGUGAACAGUGCCAUUUUUCCUUUUAUGCUCCUCCUAAAGUUUUCAACCGUCCUGAGUUCAAAAGUGAUGUUCGUUUUGCCGUCUGAUCUCUCGUUCAUUGUGAAAUGACCAUAAUACCCUUAAAAUAUAUAAAAUACUUAAUUAAAAUAAAACACACGUAAUUAAAUCACAAGAAGCUUAAAUACAUAAAAGUAAGGGUGUUAGUAAAACUUGAAAUGUAAAAUGAUGAUUUUCUCCUUUAUAAAUAUAGAUUUUCUAACACUCAACACUCGCGAUCGAGGAAGCUGCUGGAACUGCUCGCGUUUGGCUGCUGCUUGUGCUCGCGUUUGGUUGCUGCUUGUGCUCGCGUUUGGUUGCUGCUCUUGCUUGUGGAAUCUCGCGUUUGGCUGUUGGAACUGCUUGCGUUUGGCUACUGCUUGUGCUCGUGUUUGAUUGCUACUCUUACUUGUGGAAUCUAGGGUUCAAUUCUCUUAAAACCUAUUUUAUCUCUUUAAUUUUCAUUUUUUUUUACUAAAUUAACUUCUCUAGCAUGUUUGAUGCAUAUGUGAUGUAUGUGCAAGAAUAUAAACAAAUGAUUACGAGAAUUUUUUUUUUUUUGGUUUAUGGUUGUUUGAUGAACAGAGUUCUUAAUUUUUCCGGUUUAUUGGAGAUUUUUUGCUAAUUACUUUUGUUAUUUCUUUUCUUUAUCAAGUUUUAGAUGUGCAUGGAAUAAAUGAAUCAAUUUUAUUUUGUUAUUCUUGAGCAAUGGAUUAAAUUUAUUUAGUUUGAAGAGAAAAUUUGAUAAAAAAUUAAAUGGAAAAAUUGGGUAAUGAAGGUAUAUUCGUAAUUUUAUUAAUAAUAUAGGGAUAAAUUGGACAAUGAACAAUUAUUUUUUAAUAUGCUAUAAGGGUAUAAUGGUAAUUGUACUUUAAAAUUAUAAUUUCUGUUAAAAGAAACGGUUUCUGUUAACCAAUGGGGGUCUGAGUGUCUUUUUUGAAGCAUUAAGGGAUUUUAUGUCUCUUAUUCAAACGUUGGGGUCUCUGUAUCCUUUUCCCUUAAUGUUUUUACAGUAUUUGUACUUAAAAUUUCAAUAUGAUAACCAUUUCAACAGAUAUUUUCAAAAUGCAAUAGAUUCUCCUAAAAGGGUUGAUUCUGAAAGAUGGGCUAGGGAUUAUGGAUUUCCAGGUGAUGUUUGGCUGCUUGAAAUUGUGGUUUUGGAGUAUUUGGUGGGUCAUUAUCCUUUGAUAGGUUUGGUGGAGAAGCUGGACUUGGUGGCAUUGAUAUGUGCUAUAUGCUUCAGAGAGAGGCUGGAGAUGUCAGAAACUACAUCAUGGAAGUCUUGUAGCUUUAUGAGAAGUUGUUUGGAGAACUUAAAAUUUACCAACUUAGAAACUACAUAACCAGACUGAGAGUGCGUUUGAAAUUGAGGUUAUGUAGCUAUAAUUUAAAAACUACAACACUAAAGUAUUUAGUAAACACUAACUGCUAUAACUUGUAAAUUAUGUUGAUAUGAUUUUUCAUUUAUAUAAUAGAAAAUCUAUUAUAUCCUUAAUAAUUUUGAUAAAAUUAUUAUUUAAAAUUUAUAUUUAUUAUAUAUUAUUAACUUUUGUUUGAUAUUUAUAAUUUUUUUUCCAUACCUCAAUUCCAAACGGGACCCGAAACAUCAAAACUUUAGACAGCUGCAAUUUGUAGUACGUUUAUUUCUUGGUCGCAUCAUGAAUCUCUCUACUGGCCAGUUCAUUUUACAGCAGCUUUAGCCAUGCAGACCAUAGCGCAAAAUCAAGAUUAUGACAACAAAUUCUUAAGUUUAAGAAACAAACAUCUUGAUUACUUUGUUUUUAUGAGAACCGUUAACAUUGUAAGAAAUUGAAAAUGGUCAAAAUCAAAAUUACAAUUGAAUAAGCACUGAUACCAAGUCGAAUAACCGUUUUACAGAAGAAAUGGAUAUAUCAAAGAAAUUUUGAUGGGGCCAAGUUCCGACUCUUUGAUGUCUCCAACUGCUUGUUCAGAAAACCACCUGAAAUNNNNNNNNNNNNNNNNNNNNNNNNNNNNNNNNNNNNNNNNNNNNNNNNNNNNNNNNNNNNNNNNNNNNNNNNNNNNNNNNNNNNNNNNNNNNNNNNNNNNCGUUCAGAAGGAUUAGAAGAUAAAAAGUUGCAGCGAUGAAAUAUGGGAAUUAUAAAGAGUUGGAACAGUAAUCAACAACAAGACAAGCUUCAGAUGCCAGAAAUCAUGUAUCACAUUUAUUUACAUUAAGGGACCUGAUAUAGCUAAAACACGAGGCCACCCAAAGGAAUAAACAUAAGCCCACAUUGUUGAAAAAGCUGGUGAAGAAGAAAUUUAACACCCUAAUUUUGAGUAGGGCUGUAGAUUAACUUACAAGGAAGGCUAGUACCGGUAAUUCAGCCAGGCAUGAUAAUUUGGGAAACAAGGAAGGCUAGUACCGGUAAUUCAGCCAGGCAUGAUAAUUUGGGAAAAGACUUUUGAUUUUAAAAAUACUUGGUUUUGCAUACAGUAUAUUCCAAAUACUGAUUACUUGGUUUUGCAUAUUAAAAACCUUUGACAAUGCUCACACAAAAGAACAUUAAGUAUCCCUUAUUUUACAUUACAUAGAGUAAGCUAUGAGUAUUCUCUCCGACUCCGAGCCUUUACAGCUGUAAAUACUGAGCUUAAAACAUCUACAGUGACUUCUCUAAACCACCCUACCUCCCUCUGUUUUUUCACGGAAUAUAUUCUUGAAUAUCUCUCUGAUUUUAGUUGGUUCUACAGGCCUAAGUCAAUUAAACCAACAGUCUGAACCACCAUAACCAUGCUACUUUAUGAAUGAUGCUCCAUUUCUUGGAAGCACUUCACUGACCAUUAUGCAAAGCAACAUGUAAUAAUCAGCAGAUUCAACAUAAAAGAAGGUUUUGCCUAACACCAUUAUAACUUUUACCUGAAAAGAAGACACAAUUAUUAAUUACAAAGAAUACUCUGGAAAGGCAUCAAUGUUUGAAAAAAGCGUGCUCUAACAUGAAAUGGAUUUAAAAAGUAGUUCACAGUGUUGCACUAAACAUAGUCGAGACAAUAUGUCGAAAAUGUGGAAGGAAGAAACAGUAAAAAAUUCCCUAGCACGAAUCAAAUAAUGCCCUCACGUAGUAUGCAAUGGAAAAAUAUUAAUUAAAAAGGAAACUGUUGUGAUUCUGGGGUUUUGAUUAGAGAAUUUAAGAGAGAAGAGAUGAAGAAUUUUAGAAUUCAAAGGGAAAGUGAAGAAUUCACUGGGGUUGAAAUUUACUUUAUUAUUACUUGCUCAAAAAACAGAAUAAGAACCACCUAUUUAUAGUAGCUCAACACGAUCCUAAUUCUAAUCUUAUUAGAACCUUAAAUAAUAAUUGCAAUAGGAAACAUAAUCCUAAUAGCAAAGAAAGAAAAAAAAAACUACUAGGAUCCUAACAUUCCCCUUGAAACACGCUUGCGCACAAGCCUUCUAGCCAGGAUCAAUAACCAAAAUUUUCCAAUUUAGACAGUUGUCAGGCAGCUUCCAAUCUAAAUAGUGUCCAGGCAGAAUGAAAACCACUGAAGUAUUGGACUGAUGAUAAGGGGAACAUCAGCUGCUAAAAGCCAUAGCUGAGGUUGUUUACAAUGAUGCUCCGGCUUAAGUUGCUCAUCACAGUUUGUAGAAUGUCUAUCGGCAUGCGUAGUUGGUGAUAAGGUUUUAGGUAAGGCAGAGGGUAUAUUAUUGGCUAAGGCAGAGAGUAUUGGUCCCAAUAAAGAAGGGGCUAGUGGACUAUGUCAUGUCUGGUGCAGGGUUGUGGAGGGCUAGAAUUGAAGGUGUGAAUCCUUGAUGAGUACAUGAAUUACCUCCUCCCCGAAACAAUGCUGGCUAAUGAUUAUCUCUUGUUUUGGGGAGUGCCAACAUUCUAACAUGCCAACUUCAAGUGGACUAGGAGAUGGUUGUGCUUCCUUGCACAACUGGCCCAAUUCUUCAAGAAUGUCUUGCAGAAGUACCUUAGAGUGUUACUAUGAGCAGUUGACUGCAAAAUUUUCAUCAAUUUGAGAUAGCUACACAAUGUUCAAGCACUAUAGAGAUAAAAAAUUUUGCACAAGUACUUCAAAUUUUGAUGAGAAGUUUAGAUCGAUUGAUUGGGCUUGCAAAUGGUGACUCACAAAAGCAAACUGAGUUGGUCACACGACAUUGGCAAAUAUUUUGACAAAUUUUCAGAUUUGCAGUGACAAGGAUUUUGGGGGGAAAAAAAAUUGUUUUGUAUUUUCAAGAUAAACGGAAAAAGUAAAUUGGUCGCUGGGAAAGAUAUGCUUUGAUACCAGAUGUUAGGGUUCCAAGGUUUUGAUUAGAGAAUUCAAGAGAGAAGAAAUGAAGAAUUUAAAAAUUCAGUGGGAAAAGAGAAGAAUUAACAGGGGUUGGAAUUAAUUUUAUUAUUACUUGCUCAAAAAAUAAUGUCAACCACUUAUUUAUUAUAGUUCAAUGCAAUCCUAAUUUUAAUCUAAUAGAACCCCUAAUCAUAAUUGCGAUAAGAAAAUAAUCAUAAUAGGAAAGAAAUUAAAAUAAACUACCAGGGUCCUAACAAAUACCGUACAAAAGACAGAAAAAAAAAAAAAGAAAUUAUCUACCGUCCACCCAUUUUUUCAUCAUUUUUCAAAAAUACACAAAUCUUUACAUUUGAGGGUUAAAAAGUCAUUUACACAAUAUUCCGUUAGUUUUGUUAACGGUCUCCAAACAGAAGUGGAAAAGUAAAAAGAAAUGUAACUUCAGGUGGAUUUUAACAAAAAAAAAAAAAGAAUUGUGUAUUUUUUAAAAAGUUAGAAAAAAUGGGUGGACGGUGGAUAAUUUCCCAAAAAAUAUAAUUAAAAGGUUCAACCAAUAAGCUUAAAAGCAUCCCCAAAAGGGCUCUUUAAAAUCAAAAUAUUACUUUCUCAUUUUGAAGAGCCCUUUGGAGCCCUUUAAUUUUAAUUAUCGUACUAUUUUUUUAUCUUUAUCCAUUUCUUAUAAAGGGGAGAAAUAUAUAAUUGUUAUUAUUUUGGUGAAGAAAAAAAUUUGACUAAACUAAUAGAAAAUUAUUUUUAUUUGAAGAGUCUUUUGGGAGGGGACUUACUUUUUCACACAUCCAUUUGCCACAUAAGUAAAGAAAUAAAUAGUUUAAAAGGAAAAUUAGAAGUCUUUUUAGUGAUGUUCUUAAAUCUACGGCAAGGUGAUUGGUUCCACUCUUUAGAACAAGACAAGGAAGAAAGAAUCAUAAUAUCUUUCAACACUGUCACAAUGACCUCGCACCCCCAUGCAUAAACAACCCAAUCUCAAACUUCAUUUGAUCCCUAAAUAUUUUUUAGACAAUAGAAACACAUUUUUCACCCUCCACAUAACAAAGUCUCAUCAUAAUUUGCACAAACAAGAGGGGAUAAAACCUCGUGCACAUAAGCUUAGGAGGGAGGGGGAAAAAAAAACAAUUUCUCCCACAAUAUUAUAAUUUCCAUGCACAAGCCAAAACAAAAAUACUCUCUAUUUUGGUUAGAUUUGGGCUCACACGAUUAUUUCCGAACAAUUCUAAAUAUCAUCACUAAGCCCUCUAGAUGUUGUUGGUAGGCCCCAUCAAGUCAGUAAUUCUAGAACUUGAAUGAAAUAUAUUACCAUAAGACAAUUGAAGAAUAUUUCAAUCUUCUUUGGCCAUAGAACAUUUUUAUCAUUGAUAAUCCUCUGACAAAACAAAAAUAAAUAGCACUCUGACAUAAUAUUGUCAUAUGCUCUUGCAAGAUCUUAGAAUGAUCAACUAAUCCUCAAAACAAUAACUUGUCCUCCAUCAGUUUUGUCACUGCCAUUUACUCUGCAAAAGUAGACGGGCUAUAAUAUAAACCUCGAACUAUUCAAACACGGAAACACCCCACUAGCGUACAUAAAUUUGUGGCAGACCACUGAAUCUACAUAGCAAGAAAUAUGUGAAUUUGAAGCACUAAUUCUCUGAUAAAACAAUCCCAUAAUUUUAAGUAUCACACAAAUACCUCAUCAAUCACCUCGCUACAAUCUGAUAGUAAAUUCUCUAAUCUACCACAUUAACAACAUGUAGAAUACUACUAUAGUGCAUACCAAGGCUCACAUCAAAUGGCCAAUUUCAAACCUUAGAUUCAAUCCAUAGAAAGAUUAUGUCGUGGAACAACACAUUUCUCCUUUUAUAUAGGCUUAUAAUAAUAUACAUAAGCUAAGCAAAAAAAUACAACCAUAACCUUCACAACAACAAAAUAAAGAGGUGGAUUGAGAAAAACCUGCUGUUGAUAUAAGGUGGAUAUGGGACCGAGGUCCUUCAAACAUCCAAUUAUCUUCAUCCAAUGAUUUAACUUCCUUAUUCAAAGCAGCCAUCAAAUCAGAUCUCAGAACUGCAAAGCAAAAAAUACUGAGACAUCCAAGACAUGAUAUUAACUUCCAUUACUAUAGAAAUAUCACAAAUACUAAGGAAAAGCUUCUGAAACCCUCAUAGAUAUUCGGUAAGCCCAAACCCAAAAAGACAAUGUGAGAAACCUUGGCUUUACAUUAAUUAAAAGAGCAAACAAAGAUAACUCAGAGAUGCUAAAAAUAAAAAGUUUCACAACCUUGCAAAGCUUCAUCCUUGCGGUCUUGAAUGGAGAUGAGAUCAGAAGGAAAAUGAAAUUCAUCGGUAGCAGUGUUGUUGCUGCUACUUCCUCCUCCAACUAAUGGUGUUGUUGAUAUUGAUGAAUUUGCUGGUGAUGUACUGCUCAUUCUGUUACUUUUUCCUCAAAACUAUCUAUCAAUCAUAUUUUGUUUCGCUUCAGUCAGAAUUGUAUAGUAUUGUCAAAAUAGAAAAUUCUUGGAUUUAAAUGCUUCAUUGCUGGUAACUGCUGACAAGUAUUGUCAAUGCUAAGAUUAAAGCACGGGCUAAGGGCUACUGAUAUCAUAAAGAGGGCUUUUGUGAGAGCACAGAGCCAAUCAUGUCUUGCCAAAUGUAAAAGAACAAACCAGGCAACAACACAGCAACUCCUUUGAAUGCAAAUUAAAACAAUUCAUCAAAAUAAAAUAAAAUAAAACACACACACACAACUUCUAGGCCUAUGAUGGAUUUUCUGGGUUCUUACUUUCGGUAGCCAUAACAGAAUGUUACAACAGAAAGCUAUUUGCUGAUAAUUAAUCAUCUAAAAUUCACAUGUUUAUUGAACAUGAUUCCACUCAUAUCUUGCAAUAAGUCAGAAAUAUUUUUAAAACUUUUCUCAACAUGUAUUUGUAAAUUUCGAAUAACAUUUUCGCAAAUAUUGGCAACAUAAUAUGAAAUAAACCAUGUAACGUUAACACUAUAGAUAAUAAAUUUAAGAAAAAAAAUUUCAAUUACCUUGCAAAAAAGGGAAUAACCAAAAACAACGGAGAGGUGGAUUCGAUUUUUAAUUUCAAAAAAUUCAACAAUCCUUGUCCCGCACGGAUACUCGCCGGCUUUGAUGAUUUAUAAUGAUCGGCGAUACGAUGUCGCGUACACUAGCACGCGGCGGCGCGUGGGAAAUUGGCGGCAAAUUUUAAUUUUGUUUUUUUUUCUUUUUUUGGGUUAAGACUGAGUAAAUUCUUGACUUCAGGGUUCCAAGCUUGAGAGUGCUGGAGCCUCGCGAGAGGCACCGUUGCAGGCGCUGGCUUCUUUAUGUUACACGUGUACCAAUGUUUUGGUUUUACCGGCAGUUUAUUUCUCAAAUACAAUUUUACCCUUAUUUUAAGAAAAAAUUUCAUAAAUUCUAACAAAAUCUAAUAAUUAUCAUCAUUGUAUCAAAGGCCCAAAAAAUUAAAUAAAAAUUUACAUUUACAUAAAAAAAAUGUUAACCUAAGGUUUAUUAUAAUACAUUAUCAUAAUUUUUUAUUCAAUUAAAUAUUAAUUUAGUAUUAAUUAUUAAUUAUCAAUAAAAUUAACAAAUCAUAAAUAAUUAACAAACGAACACACACACAAACACAUGUGAUAUACAUACAAACAAUCACAGACACCUCAAAAUAAUAAUUAAGUUAAAAUUUAUCUAAUUGAAUAAAAAAUUAUUUAGUAAUAUAAUAAAUAUUUAAUUAAUAAUCACUUUAAUUGAUAAUUAAUAGAUUUUUCCUUAAGGUUAAAAUUAGUAUUUUAUAUGUCAAUUAAUGGUCAACCAGCAAAAAGUAAUAAAAUAUAAAAUUUUAUAACUUUUUUAGUAGUAAAAUAUUAGGGUCCAAUAGUUGUUGCAUCUGUUUGUUAUUCACAAUAAUUUAAGCAGUAAAAAGAAAAUAAUCCUUUGUUUUAUUUUUGACAUGGUUCUUCCUACAAUUUAUUUAAUGAAGAAAAUAUUCUUUAUUUAAUUACUUUUUCCUUGGGGUUUAUUUGAAUAAACUCACCUACUUACACCAACUACUGUUUUUUUUUUAAAAAAAGAAAUUAUUGUUAAAAUAUGGUUAAAUAAAAUCUCCUUGAUGGCAUUACAAAAAUAAUUGAAUAAAUGAAGUUUUUACUCUUUUAAGGCUCUAUAUUUAGAUUUAAAUUAGUUUUCUUAAAUCCAAAAUUGUGAAUUUAUCAAGAUAUAUCAUAAUAUUCAAAAGUGGCAAAAUAAUCUCGAUAAAUUAAUUGUCUUGGGAAUAUUAAAAUUUAUUAAUUUAGCAAAUAUUAAUAGAGCAAUAAAUUAAUAAUUAAUGACUUAUCAAUAAAUUGAUAAUUUAUUAAUUUAUAAAAAUAUGGUGUGCAUAAUAGGAAUUUGUAUGAAGUAUAGAGGUAGUACAAUAAGAAAAUAUAGUGAUUUUGUAAAGCUAUAAGAUACGAUUUUGAUUUGACCUUGAUUGAAUAAUGAUAAGUGCUUAAUUUCACAUUAGUUUUUAAUUUUUUUUGCAAUUAUUUAAUAUUUUUCAUAAACUUCUUGAAUCUUUAUUAAUCUUUUAUAGGAACUUUUAAGCUAAUAAAACAAACACGACUAGAAAAGUUAUAAAUUGGUGUGAAGAAUAGCUAAAUUGUGACUUCAUGGAUUUUGAUUACUUCUGGGAUGAAUUUUAUCCAUUUUAUUGAGCUAUAUUAGAUAUGUAUUAAGAUUGAGGAUCAUAUUUGGGCCAUAAAAGAUUUAUUCUCGAAGGGUUGGUUGGAUUUCCAAAUUGGCCCACAAUAAAAAUAGAUUUUGGAGUUAUUUUAACAUAUAGGGCUAUUUCCUUGGCUCAAAAACCGAAUUUUAAAAGGAGAACAAGUUCAACUAGGUAUACAAGGAUUUGGAUAGCAACUCUAUAUAAAGAAAAUGAGUUAAACACUCUAGAGAGAGUAAUAAAAUGAAGAAUCAACACUUAAUAACAAUAAUAUUAAGAUAAGUUUUUAAGUGAUAUGCUUUUAAGCGAGAUCAAAUGUGUCAGUCAAUUGAUAAUCUUAAGAAAAGUGCAAGCAAAGAGAUACGUCCACAUUUUACAGAAGAUAGAACCAAUUUUGCAGCUGGUUUGAAGUAUGGUUUUCACAUGUUACUAAAAUUAUGAAAUAUGAAAGGUGCAUCUUGUUAGAUCAUUAGAUAAGAAAACCAUUCACUUAAAGAAAAAAUAAAUUAAUCAAAGAAAAUAAUUAUGAAUUAACAACCGAGAGCAAUAAAGAAGGUAGGGAAUGUUGGGGAAAGAUCGGUUUUUUAAAUUUUUUAUAAAACCUUUUUAAUAUCGCUCUCAUAUAAUAUAUAAGAAUUUGUAAUCUAAAAAUCGUACCUUGAAAAUCAUAUUUAAAUUUUUCCGCUGAAGUGAUUUAAGCUCCCAGAUCACGAUCCGUCACCACCACGCUUAUUAGAUCACGAACUGUCACCAAUGAUCUUCCAGGUUAUGACUCAUGUUUGAUCUGCACUUGACGUGUGGGCGCCUUUAUCACUACCAAAGCAACUAGCGCGAGAAAAUUUUUCUCUCAACAAUAGAGAGAAAAAUCUUUUUCUCUUAUUUGUAUAAAGUGGCUGCUCUAUAUUUUUCUUUAGAGAAAAUAAGCCUUUUUAUAUCUCCCUUUAGUGAAAAUCUUAGGCUCCAAAUAAUCAAAGUCAAAACUCACGUUACUUGUUUUUUCUAUAGGGGACCCACCUUGUAAAAUAACAUAAGGCCCCUUACACACAAGCUAAUUAAAUGGAGCCUCCCACUAAAUGAUAUAUUUAGGCUUUUGACCAAAAUAGCUAGUUAUCUUACUUAUUAAUCCAAUAGUGGUGCAGUCAAUUAAAUGAGCUAACCCGAGGAUCAUUUGGGAACAUACAUUAGUGGCUACAAUAAUUAGGCUUGUAAUUAAACUAGCCCAAUUAUUUAAUUCCAAAUCUACUCCACUAAAAGAUUGGAACUGACUUCCAUAAUUGUAUGCUCGAAUAAUAAUUCAUCCCAAGCCACAUUGAUUUCUUUACUGCACAAUCCUUUGUACCACAUACAUACUAAAUAUGUUGACACACUCUGGCCAGAGAAUUCUAUGAUCAAGUGUCGAAAACUCAUCAAGAGAUGUGUUGUACAAAUUGUAUAUUGUUAAUCCAUAACUCCAAUACUCAUAAUUGCUCCCACCAAGAUACCGGGUAAUCUUAACCAUAAGAAUGUGUCGUGCCCAUUGGUAACUCAAAUGGAAUAACAAUUACAAUCAUGAAAUCAUAAUUAACUCAAGAUUAAGAUUACAGUAAAAUCAAUGCCUAUGAGAUUUAAUAAGUCUGACAGUUAUUACAAAGUUAAUUAAAUCUCGUAUGUGAUCUUGUUCAAUGUAGUUGUACUACAUCAAUAAAUUCAUACAUGAUUAAAACAAAUCAUUCAAUGAAUUUAUUACAGUCUAUACCUAAAUAAAGUGCCCAACUUUAUUUAUCAACUGCGAACUAAAUUUAUUUAAUCAUAAGAUAACUUGUAUUUAUGUCUUCUGUGAAUCCACAUGGUGAUCACAUAAAUACAUAUAAUAUGAUUAAAUGGACUUUAAUCAAAAUAUUAAUGCAAUUAAGAUAUUUGAAUAAAAUACCUCAUGAAUUUUAUUAAUCAAAAAAAAAUAUUUAUUACAAUUAAAUAAACACAUAUGCUUUUAAAGAGCAUAUUUUCCCAACAAUCUCCCACUAGCUCUCAAAGCAUAUUUGGCAUCUCACGCAUGCCCAUGGAUUCUAAGUGCAAGUUAAAAGGUUUCCCGGGUAUGGCCUUUGUAAAAGGAUCUGCCAAGUUUUGUUGUGACGCAAUCUGAGUAACCUCCACAUUACCUCUCUGCACUAUAUCCCUUAUAAGAUAAUACUUCCUCUCAAUAUGUUUUUGUUUCUUGUGGUUCCUUGGUUCCUUAGAUUGAGCUACCGCACCACUAUUAUCGCAAAAUAGUUUAAGGGGUGCAAUUGUAGCAGGUACCACCUCAAGAUCUUCUAGGAACUUGCAGAGCCAUACAGCUUCUUUUGCAGUUUCGGAUGCAGCUACAUAUUCAGCUUCAGUUGUGGAGUCUGCGAUACAAGAUUGUUUCACACUCCUCCAACUAAUAGCUCCACUUCCCAAUGUAAACACAUAGUCGGAAGUUGAUUUUCUGGAAUCCCUAUUUGACAUAAAGUCAGAAUUAGUAUAACCCACUGGAAUGAGUUCAUCAUCAGAAUACACAAGCAUAUAAUUUUUAGUUCUUUUUAGAUACUUCAUUAUAUGCUUGACCGUAGUCCAAUGUUCAGGUCCAGGAUUAGAUUGAUAUCUACUAACCAUCCCUACCGCAAAACAAAUGUCUGGCCUAGUGCAAAGCAUGGCAUACAUGAGACUUCCCAUAGCUUCUGCAUAGGGAACUCGUCUCAUUCUCUCUAUCUCUUCAGAUGUUUUAGGUGAUUGAUCCUUAGAGAAUGUAAUUCCAUGUCUGAAUGGUAAUAAACCAGUCUUGGAAUUUUCCAUGCUAAAUCUAGCCAAUAUCUUAUCGAUAUAAACCGCUUGAGACAAGGCUAAAGUUUUAUUCUUCCGGUCUAGUAGUAACUUGAUACCAAGAAUAUAACUUGCCUCUCCCAGGUCUUUCAUAACAAAUUGUUUUGCUACCCAACUCUUUAUUGUAGUCAAUACUCCUAUAUCAUUUCCAAUUAGGAGAAUAUCGUCUACAUAAAGAAUUAGGAAGGCUACAUAUUUUUCUUGAAUUUUCUUGUACACACAUGAUUCAUCAAUGUUCUGAAUGAAUCCAAACGAUUUAAUCGCUUGAUCAAAUCUGAUGUUCCAUGACCGGGAUGCUUGCUUCAAUCUAUAAAUGGAUCUCUGCAACUUACAUACCAUGUGUUUUUGGCUUUUUUUGUAUAAAUCCAUCUGGUUGCUACAUGUAGAUGUUUUCUUCAAGAUGCUCGUUAAGAAAGGCAGUAUUGACAUCCAUUUGCCAAAUUUCAUAAUCUAGCACUGCAGCAAUGGAGAGCAGAAUCCUGAUGGAUUUAAGCAUAGCAACCGGAGAAAAGGUUUCCUCAUAAUCGAUUCCCUCUUUCUAAGUAAACCCUUUGGCUACUAAUCUUGCUUUAAAUGUUUCCACCCUUCCGUCUACUCCUCUUUUUCUCUUAUAGAUCCACUUGCACCCUAUAGGUUUUACCCCAUUUGGUGCCUCUACAUGUUCCCAGACUUUAUUGGAAUACAUAGAUUCCAUUUCUUGAUUCAUGGCUUUUUUCUAAAAUUCAACAUCUCUAUUUAUUAGAGUUUCGUUGUAACUAGUGGGAUCUUGUACAUGUUCAUCUGAGAUAGCCGUAUAGGUUUCUCCCAAAAGCAUGUAUCUCGCAGGUAACCUAGUUACCCUCCCACUACGACGAGGUUCUAAAAGUGAUGGUUGUUCAGCAAUAAUCAUGUGUUGAUCAUUUGGUUGUUGUUGUUCUUCAUGUUCUGUAACAGGCAUUGAAAGCUGAGCAUCAACCUGAUCACCUAACAGUUCUUCAAGUAUUACCUUACUCUUAGGUUUGAAGUUAUUCAUAUAAUCUUCAUCGAGGGAAGUGAAAUGUGUGCUCACGAUCACUUUCCUAUCUUGAGGACUAUAAAAUAAACCUCCCCUUGUUCCUUUGAGAUACCCUACAAACAUACAAACCUCAGGACGUGAAUCAAUUUUGUCUGCCUUUGGUUUCAGCACAUGUGCUGGUGAUCCCCAAAUACGAACAUGUCGUAAACUUGGUUUGCGACCUGACCAUAAUUCUAUUGGGGUUUUAAGCACUAACUUAGAUGGAACUAAGUUCAAGAGGUAAACUGCAGUUUCCAGUGCUAGUCCCCAAAAAGAGAUUGGUAAUGACGAAUAACUAAGCAUAGAUCUCAUCAUAUCCAAAAGAGUUCUAUUUCUCCUUUCAACUACCCCAUUUUGUUGUGGUGUUCCCAGGGCAGUCAACUAAGAUAUAAUCCCAUUUUCAACCAGAUACUCUUUGAAAUCUCCUGAGAGAAAUUCACCACCUCAAUCAGAUCGAAGAAUCUUUAUGUUCUUAUCUAAAUUCUUUUCUGUCCCAGCCCUAUACUCUUUGAAUUUCUCAAGAGUUUCAGACUUGUGACGCAUCAGAUAAACAUAAUCGUAUCUUGAGUAAUCAUCAGUGAAAGUGAUGAAAUACUCAUAACCUCCUCGAGCUUGUACAUUGAUUGCUCCACAUACAUCUGUAUGUACCAAUUGAAGUGGUACUGUUGCACGUACUCCUUUGGUCGAGAAUGGCCUUUUGGUCAUUUUCCCUUCUAAACAGGAUUCACAGCAAUGAUUCAUUUUCUAAUGGACCCAAAAGCCCAUCUUUGAUCAUUCUCUGUAUCCUAUUUUGGUUUAUAUGCCAAGCGUAAAUGCCAGAGGUAACAUUGGUUGGAAGUAAUAUUUCUUUUCUUAGAUAAAUGUGUAUGCUCAUCCUUAUUGAUCACUGUGUCAUGCAUAGAAUGGAUCAUUGGACUUAAAUGAUAUAAAUUAUCUUCCAAUGUACCAGAAUAAAUAAGUCUCUUAUUAUGAAAAAUAGAAACAGAGGAUCCAAAAUUUACAGUGUACCAUUGCUUUGACAAACAAGCUACUUAAAUUAAAUUCCUCUUAAUGUCUGGAACAUAAAGACAAUUAUUCAAAACUAAAGUCUCAUUAUUAAAAGAUAAUAAAACAGAUCUAGUCUUCACUGCUGACACGAACUGUCCUGUCCUUAACUGCAGCUUGACGCUUCCUUCACUUAUUUUCCUGAUUUCCUGAAAACAAUAAAGUGAAUUACAAAUAUGAUUAGUUGCUCUUGAAUCCAACACACAAGUGUCAAUAGGAUUCUGAACUAAACAGGCCUCAAUUACAAAAAAAUUUCCCAUACCUGAUUUCACAAUCUUAGGGCAAUCCUUUUUCCAGUGGCCUUUCUGUCCACAUUUGAAGUAUUUGCCUUUCGGCUUGCCAUCUUGCUUGGUAGACGGUCUUUUUUUCCCAGCUUUCUUCUUACCUUUGCCUUUCGGCUUAGGUCUAGAAGAAGAACCUUUUUCAACAAUAUUUAUACUUCCCAGAGAUUUCUCAGCACGAUAGAUCUCUUCAGCAGAAUGGAGUUCGUUCAUCAAUUUAGUUAAGGUCAUGUUUCUUUUGUUCAUGUUAUAAUUGACCUUAAACUCCUUGAAUGUUUCUGGCAGAGAUUCUAGCACCAUGUCAAUCUUUGAGUCAUCAUCGAUUUGUGCUCCUUGAAUCUUAGUCUCAUUCAAAUAGUCCAUCAUUUUGAGGACAUGAUCAUGAACUCUUGUGCCCUUCCCCAUUUUACUGUUCAUAAUUCCUUUCAGCGCUGCUUAUCUCGCGGAGCGAGUACUCUGCUCGAACAUCUGUUGGAGACUAUCCAUUAUUUCAGUGGCAAUCUCUAAGUUCUGCUGGCCGAUCGUUGCUGAAAUUUCCGGCCUCGAUUCUUUGAGCUCAUUUUCCAGUGAUUGAUUUACAAAUUUCCUAGGCCAAUUUUAGCUUAAAUGGACUUUGAUCAAAAUAUUAAUGCAAUUAAGAUAUUUGAAUAAACUACCUCAUUAAUUUUAUUAAUCAGAAAAAAAUGUUUAUUCCAAUUAAAUAAACACAUAUGCUUUUAAAGAGCAUAUUUUCCCAACAGAGAAAUCCACUAAAUUUAUUGCUAUGGUGCGAGCCUAAAGGAUGAAUGAUAGUAGGCGGCCUCAUAGCUUUAGCAUGGGUAUGGGACUUGUAGCAGCUUUACCUUUGCAGCGCUUGGUAAUGGGAGAUACUGCUUUGCAGAGGAAGGUGUCGUGCCUUCACAUGGCAAAUGAAGGUGCAGAGGAUAAAACUACGGCGAGGUGGAAAGUGGUUGCGGAAAAUGGAAAUCAAAUUUUGAGGGUAAGUUUUGCAAGUCGCAGUCGGCAUGUUAGGUUAUGAGGUAUUGAGGUAGUAGUUUUCUUUGGGUUUUUUUCUUGUUUUAAUUAGGGUUAAGUUAUUUUAAAUUUUGAAAAAUUCAUUUUUAAUUUGUUUAGUUAAUCCAAUCAUGUUGACUAUUUGGUUCAGUUUUAACUCGAACUAAAUUACAAUCUAGUUAGCUUCAAAGCCUUAACCCAAACCAAACCGAAUACCCACCCAUAAUUAAGCCAAUCUCUCUCAUAUUUCUCUUAACAUAACACAUCGAAUGUAACAAUGGCUUCAAGUUGAAAAGCAAGCUAAAAUCUUUUUCGAAAGCAUCAUAGACAUAUCGUAUGUAUCUAGCUUGAAAUUAGAUUAUUAAUUUAUGUAUUAAUUGGUUCCUAUAGAAAAAUAAGAUUUUUCUUUUUAGAAAUUUAUUAUCUAAUAAGUUCAUCAAAUUAUCAAUUUACCAUGUUGGUCUCUAGUUGGGAGAGAUAAAAAUUAUUAUUUUAUUGAAGUUAUCAAUUUAUUGAGUAUUAAUUUAAUGAUAUUCUACUUUAUUAAUUUUGGGAGGGGUUAUUUUAACUUAAUAUUCUGACUUAAUAUUCAUGUGGUGAGAUAAUUAUUUAUGUGACACUAAAACUCUAUUAAAUAUAUGACUCAAAAAAAUAAAAAGGCCUAGGUCACAUAUUAAAACUUUAAAUAGAAAUAAAGAGAAUCUUGACUCUUGAUAUACUUGCUUCUUCAGCAAAAUCUUUUCAUUCUGAAACUUUGAUAACAUUCACAUAUGAUGGAACCCCUCUAGAUCUAGCUAGAAAAAUCCACAUUUAGAUUGAUAAGAACCCAAGAAAGCCACUAUGAUCAGAAUUUGGAUAAAAGAUCCAAAUCCUUGGGAAGCUAAGUCUCAAGAACCCAGAUUGCUAAAUAAGACACCACAAAGGUUAGCAACUCUUUUGAUAAGUCGAAAGUUCUUUCAAGAACAAGUUGAGAAAAUCCUCUCCAAUGAUAUCAAACUCAAGAUUGGCAAAAGUGUGUUCAAAGAACAUAAAAGAGUGUUUAUAUAAGGUGGCUAACCCUAAUUUAAUUAAAAACACUAAAAAACCAUAAAAGUGUAUUCAAAGAACUCUUUCCUUUUAAGUCCUAGGCAGCCCUAAAAUGAAAUCUAUAGAAAUAUCUACACAAGGCUCCCUAUGAACUAGUAAAGGUGUAUACAAACCAUUUAGUAAAACCUUAGACUUGGCCUUUCUACAUGUAGUGCAUCUAUUACAUAUGCGCAUGACAUCCUUUUACAUCUUAGGCUAAUAAAAAUGCUCAUGCAAUGUCUCUAAGGUUUACUUAACCCCAAAAUAAUCCAUCAAGCCACCACUAUGUGCCUCUCUCACUAGCAACUUGCGUAUAGAGCUAUUAGGCACACAAAGCUUGUUUUCCCUAAACACAUAACCAUCAUGCUUAUAAAAUUGACCGAAUGAUCCUUUAUCACAUGUAGCAAAUACAUCAACAAAAUCAAAAUCAUUGGCAUAUAACUCCUUAACAUACUCAAAUCCAAGCAUUUUGGCACUCAAAGAAUUAAGAAGCACAUACCUCCAAGAUAAUGCAUCGGCAACUAUGUUCUCUUUACCUUGUUUAUACCAAAUGAUAUAGGGAAAUGUCUCAAUGUAUUCCAUCCAAGUAGCAUGCCUUCGAUUCAACUUACUUUGGCUCUUUAGAUGCUUUAAAGAUUCACGAUCAGUGUGUGUCACAAACUCCUUAGGCCAUAGGUAAUACAACCAAGUUUUUAAGGCCCUCACAAGCGCGUCGAGCUCUUUAUCACAGGUAGGAUACUGCAAGGCUGUUCCAGUCAACUUCUCACUAAAAUAAGUAAUGGCCCACUACAAGAAAACUACUAAUAGAUGACAAACAACUUAUGAUAGAUUCUGGGUAUAUCAUGAAUUAAUGAUGAUUUUGUGAUAGAAUUAUUUUCUAUCACGGAUUAAUGAUGGUUUUAUGAUAGAAUUAUUUUUUAUCAUGGAUUAAUGAUGAUUUUGUGAUAGAAUUAUUUUUUAUCACGAAUUAUUAUUUUUUACUUGACCACAUGUUGACUUAUAAUUCAUUACUUAAUAUGUGAACAAUUACACUACAUAAUUUAUAAAGUAUAAAAUGAAAAAGUGAACCCCAAAUCUAACCUAAUUAAACACACUACUUGUUAAGUUGCCGCCGCCUCUCCCCUGCUGCUCUUCCAUUUCACUGCUGCCACUGUUAUGCCGUCAUCAAGCUUCAGCCACCGACUACCAAACUGGCCACCAUUUUGUACGUCAUUGACUUGUUGCUGCCAUUUAUCUUGGUCAUCGCUGUCGCUCCUCUACCAUCACGUCAUGCUUCAGCCCAGCCAGUCGUCGUUGUUUUACCACCACUGUUAGUCUACUGCCGAGAUCAAUACCGUUCCUCAACGGCCUUUUAGAAUUUUCCUCUCACACUUUCCAUGGUCGUUAUUCUCCUUCUUCACUAACAUCACUUGCGAGAACGAGAUACCGAAGGAGUUGCAGAUAUGUUGCUGUGCAGGUAUGCUUUUCUAUGAAUUGACUCUUCUAGUUUGAUGAAGAAUGAGAAAUUCAGUUGUCGCUUAUUAAUGUCAAAUUUUAGUUUGUUGCAUUUGAUGGUGUUAAGCUAUUUUAAAUUCAGUUGUUGCUUAUUACUGUCAAAUUUCAAUUACCGGGAAAACAAACAAUCAUACAAUUCGGUACCAGUUUGUUCAUCUUCAUCUUAUUAUUGCAUACAUACACUGCAUCUCUCUAAUCAUUCAAAAGUCCAUUCUUUUCAUAUUCUUCCUCACUUUGAAAACACUCGAAAGGGAAUUAUAAUCACAAGUAAUUGAAACGAUUUUUUUUUAUCCUUUUCAUGUUAUUCAAAGAUUCAUUUUUUGAAAUUUAUAGUUAAUUGAAUUUUUUUAUUUUGGCAUUGAAUUUUGUGUUUCGUGUCAUUGUUAGUAUCCUAGGAGGCUUUUUUUUCCCCAAGGGAAACCUAGGGUUUCUUCCUUAAUUUCUUUGGUUUGGCGUUUUCUUAGCGACUAAGCUCGGUUACAUUAAGUUUUUUUUUUUGGGUUUGUUUAGAGUUGAACUGUGUAUCGUAAUUGUGCUUAUUUGUUGUUGCAUUGUACCCUCAUGAAUUUGGAAUUUUUAUACGCGAAAUUUUGUUUCCUGUAAUUUAAUUUCUGCAUAUCAAUAGCUCUGUAAAAUGGGUUUCAAUGCAGUUUAUCGGUGCUUAAUGGAGAUGUUUCCCCAAGUAUCAGUCUGUUCUACAAAUUAAACUCAUAACUAAGGCAUUACUAGUUUUUGCUUAUUUAUUUCUUCUUGGCUUGCAAUUGUAUACUUCAAAACCUUUUAUUGAUAUUUAAACGAGAUUUGUAUAUUAACCUAUGAUGCAUGUUAUAUUAAGGGCUUUAUGUUGUGUUAUUUUGCUAUUUUUUAGAGUACAAGAAAGCCAAUAGUCAUGUGGUAUAACUUUGAGUGAACUGUUCUUCUGUUAAAUUUUGGGAUUUAAUUAUUACUAACUACUGUAACUUCUCUUUUUAAUGUUUGAAUUCGCUGGAUAUAGAAAGGAAGACAACAUAAAUUUUCUUUAAUUGCUUUUUGCAUUGGAACCUAUGAAUUGUUGAAUAAUAGAAGCCCUCUGUAAUUCUUCACAAUUGUAUUUCCCCUAUGUUAAUUACUAAUUUGCAUUUCAUGUUGUAGUAGAAGAUAAAUCUGGAAUGUCCGCUAGGGUUAUUAGGUCAAAAUGAAUUUAUUAAGAGCUAUAACUUUGUUAGUUUAUUUUUUUGAUUCUUCGAAUUGAAAACUUAAUUCUCUAUUGUCAAAUUGUAGCCUUGGGUUUGUGAUCUUAGGCAAACCAUUUAAGGAAAAAUGACAAUUUUUUAGGGAAGGUCAAGAACUCAUUUUUGUGAAGCCCUGUAUAAACUGUUGGUGUGGGGCCUAUAUGCUAUACCUAAUGUGGAUGGAAGUUUGUUGAUAUGAAUUGAGAAACCCAUGGCUACAUCUUAUUUUCUAAGGAGUUGAAAUGAGACUCCGCUGAUUUGAGUUGUAAGGAAUUGUUAUAGCUAGAUGCAUCUACGUGGGUUUAGUGAGGUACUGUCUUAAACUGAUCGUUCUUAACUUGGUUUCUACUGGUGUGAUAGAGAGUUGCACCUGUGAUCCCAUGAUUCUACUUGCUGCUUUUACAAAUUAGUUUUUGAGAAUGAGUUCAAUAAUGAUUAAAAUAGUGACAUUGCUUGCUAUCAAAAGCUUGUCAUCUGACCAUGAAUAUACCCAAACAAAUUGAAGAUGGCUUCACCUUCAUAAACUUUGUGUUUGCUUAACUAUAACAUGCUAGGUCAUUAAGGACAAAAUUAGCAUCCUCUUUAACUCAAUCAUUCAUUCCAAUAGUCGAGCACCGAUUUUAUUUACCGAGUCUAUGCUUGAUUAUUUGUUGCUAUGAUCUAUUUUUGUCUCCUCACACUGGUCUAUUGUUGUGGCUUCCUUUGCAUUUUUAGCUAGCUUGUUGAAAUUUUAAUUCAUCAAUAAAUUAUAAUUAUAACUAUAAUAUAAUUUUAGAAAAAAAUCAAAACUUUAUGAUGGAAAAAGCCAUCAUAUAUUCUAUCAUAAGUAAUUUCCUGCCAAAAUUGAAUAAUAAAUUUUCAAAUAAUAAUUGAAUUUCCCACUAAAAAUUUAAAAAAAUUGGAUGAAAAUUUAAAUAAAUUUAAUUUAAUUAUUUUUUACAUUAAAAUAAUGUGUAACAGAUAUAUCACUAUGAAAUGCUAUCAUGAAUUCAUGACGGAAAAUAUUCUAUCAUAAAUUAAUGAGAGUGACAUAGAUGACGGAUGAACUGUCUGUCAUACACCCCCUUUUAUAACAGUUAUUUCCCGUCAUCUAUUGCCUGUUUUCUUGUAGUGGCCCUUUAAUCCUACGUCAAAAUAACUCUAAUUCUUAUUCUUGAGGCAUCGCACUCAAUCUCAAAAGUGCGGUUAAAAUCAUAUAAUGCUAAAACAUGUGCAGAACAUAAUCUUUCUUUUAGAUCAAUGAAUGCUNNNNNNNNNNNNNNNNNNNNNNNNNNNNNNNNNNNNNNNNNNNNNNNNNNNNNNNNNNNNNNNNNNNNNNNNNNNNNNNNNNNNNNNNNNNNNNNNNNNNCAAGCUAAAUCAUGAAAGCUCCUUACCUUAGUGAUUCCUUUAGGCAUCGGCCACUCUAUAAUAGCCCUAACCUUCUCUUGAUCCAUCUCUAUACCAUUUGCACCAACAACAAAGCCAACAACUUUUUCAAAGAAAAAAACACAUUUUUAAUAAUUAGUGUACAACCUUUCUUUCCUCAAAACAUCUAGCACGCACCAUAAAUGCUCAAUACACUCAUCUCAAAGUCUUGUUGUACACUAGAAGAUCAUUAAAGUGAACAACAACAAACUAACCUAUAAAUGCACAUAGCACAUGAUUCAUUAAUCUCAUAAAAAGUAUUAAGUGCAUUAGUAAAACGAAAAGUUAUAAUUAACCAUUCAUAUAAUUCAUACUUGGUCUUAAAGGUAGUUUUCCUUUCAUCACCCUCUUUCAUGCGAAUAUGGUGACAACAACUUUUAAAGUUAAUUUUAGAAAAUAAACAGAUUCCUUGCAAUUUAUCUAGCAUAUCAUUUAACCUAGGAAUAGGAUAGCGAUACUUUACCGCAAUAUUAUUGACGGCUGGGCAAUCAAUACACAUUCUCUAAUUUCCAUCCUUCUUUUAUACUAAUAGCAUUGGUACUACACAUGGGCUCAUACUCUCUCUCACGUGCCCCUUUCUCAUCAGCUCCAUAAAUUGCAUUUGAAGCUCUUUGGUCUCUUCGAGAUUACUUCUAUAGGCUAUUCUAUUGGGUAUGACAACUUCUGGUACGAAAUCGAUCUGAUGCUCAAUUCCUCUAAUGGGUGGUAAGCCCAUAGGCAUUUCCUCAAAAAACAUAUCUUCAAACUCCUGUAACAAAGAAAUAGCAACACUAGGGAGAGGAGGGUUAGUAUCAUCAAAAAUUAGAUAUGAUUCUUUGAAUACGAGCAAAACCAUCAAAUGACUUGAUUUAUAUGAUUUUUUUUUAAUCUCACCAACUCCUGCAAAGAAACUCUUUUUCACUCUUCCCUUUUUCUCACUCUUUUCCCCUCACUUUUGGCCUCACUUUUUUUUUUUUGGUUCUCAAAACUCUCGGUCUCACCUUUUUUGUGUUGUCCUUCAUGUUCUCUCAUCUUCAUUUACUCCUCGUAGACCUCUUUUGGUGUUAAAGGAACAAGCGUUACAAUUCUCCCAUCCUUGAAAAAACUAUAUCUAUUCCUAAACCCAUUAUGUGUCACCUUCCUAUCAUACUGCCAUGGCCUCCCCAACAUGCAUAAGAACUAUGUCACAAAGCACCUCAUUACUAUACUUCCCAAUAGUGAAAGUUACCAAUACUUGCUUAUUAACCUUGAUCUCUCCACAAUUAUUUAACCACUACAAUCUAUAAGGCCUAGGAUGUGUUAGCAAGGGCAACCCUAAUUUCUCUACAAGGGUAGUACUAGCUACUUUGGUACAACUCCCACCAUCUAUUAUCAUACUAUACACUUUGUUAUUCAUAAUGCAUCUAGUAUAGAAGAUUUUUUCUCUGUGCUGCUCCAUGUCAUCAACACUCAUUUGUGUACUCAAAGCAUGCGUAGCAACUAGGGAUUCACCUUUUGCAGGGUAUUGGACGCUGUCAUCAUCACUAACAUCAAUCAACUCUGGCAUCUCUCCACCAUCACUCGCACUCUUACUCACUACUUCCCUACCAUCUUGUAUCACCAUAACUUACUAAUUUGGGCACUGAGAAACAAUGUGUCCAGAACCUAAGCACUUGAAGCACUUGAUGUCCCGAUUCUUCUGUGGUUGAGAUUCAGCCUUAGGUUUGUUUUUUAUAUUGAAAUCUUCUCUUACCUUAGGUGGUUCAGUCUUGAUAGCUUCAUUUUGUCUCUCAUUACUACUCCACUUCGGUUUUCAUGGGUUUGAAGACACCGAAAUAUAUCUACCGGUACCCUUCUCCUUCAAUUGCCUCUCUACCUUCAUAGCCAUGUGGACUAUAUCCUCCAACUCCAUAUAAUAUUAUAGCUCCAUUACAUUGGCAAUCUUUAGAACAAGAAUGAAAAAUCUCAAACAAGAAUAAAAAAACAAUAAAGAUAUAUGAAUUUGACCUUAGUUCCUUAGCUCUGAUACCAACUGAUGAGAACCCUCUAAACUUAGAAAAGCCCACAACUAGAUUGAUAAGAACCCAAGAAAACCAAUAUUAUCAAAAUUUGGAUAAAAGAUUCAAACCCUUAAGAAGCUAAGUCUCAAGAGCGCGGAUUGCUAAAUAAGACACCACAAAGGUUAGCAAAUAACAACUCCUUUGAUAAGUAAAAAGUUAUUUCAAGAACAAAUUGAGAAAAUCUUCUUCGAUGAUAUCAAAGUCAAGAUUGUCAAAAGUUGUUCAAAGAACAUAAAAGAGUGUUCAUAUAAGGUGGCUAACCCUAAUUUAACUUAAAAACACAAAAAAAAACCCUAAAAUUAAAAACCCGGAGCCGCAUGGGCCCUAGCUUGAUGUCAGAUUUGGGCCCAAAAUAUACUAUUUUAAAGCUCUCAAUGUGAGGAAUGCAGCUACAACUUUAGAAUUGUUUUUCCUACCCUUUUUCUACUUCAAAAAUUAUUUGUCUCUGAUGCUCACUACCUCGUUAACUCGAAUCAAGUAUACCAAGGCUGGUUCCUCCUCUUUCAAGCUUAUCUUGAAUAUUGGUCUCUUGCAAAUUGAAUUCGAAUUGAAUUUGUCCAAAGUAUCUUAAACAGAUCCUUACAUUUCUUCCUUGAUCUUCUUAGCUUGUGCUUUCAUAAUUGGCCCUUCUAGAAUAAGCAACAAAUCUUUAAUGCUCUGAGCACUCUAGAUUACAUCAAUAUAUGCAUCUAGAAAUUGUUUCUAAUUUCCUUUUUCUUGUCCUAGCACUUAGCAGAUGAUACAUUUUUUAUUAUUAUGUCUUAAAGACACCUUAAUCAAACUCUUUAGUCUACCUUUACUAUUGAUACUUGAAAAUUUUCUUGAACCUUCAAAAUUGACUUUUGAUUCUCAUUACUGAAUUUAAAGCUCAUUUGAGAUUGUUUUGAAGAGGCUCAAAAGUGAUUUUGAAAAGCCAAAAGCUAAUUUUAGUAUUGUGUAAAUUUUGUUAAAAAUCACUUUUGAUAAAAUCAUCCUAUCCUAUAGCAGAUUUUGAAAAGUGAGGAAAAAAUAACUUUCCAAAAUCUGAUUUUGAUAAUCAAUGGUUAACACUAAAAAAUGUACAUUGAUAAUAUUAACAAUUUCAUUGAUUAUGUACAUUGAUAAUGCAGUUAAUAAAGGUUAACAUGAUCAUUUUUCACUAAUAGCAUUGAUAAUGUUAACAAUUUCAUCACAUUUACAAAUCCUUAACCUAUUUUAUACAUUGCCUAUAUUUAUUUUUAAUUAUGAUUUUUAGUAGGUAAAUCCCUAAAUUUAUGAUACUUGAUCUGAAGAACAUACAUGAUAUUUGGAUUCGAGAUUCACAAGUCUUUAGAAGCAUUGAUAGCCCUUCAAUCCAACACUAAUUCUAAGCGAUUGAGAUCGUGCCAUGUGUUUGAGCUCACAUGCACCUCAUUGCACUAGAUCUAAGAUGUGAUUUGCAAUGUUCCAUAUCAGUUGCAAUUUUAGACAUUUGGAUUGUAUUAGUAAAGGUCAUCUAAAGGUUGUGGUUGCAAACUCACCAAAACUAUCAUGUAAAUGCUCACACUUGAUCAACUUAGAAUUUCCCUAUAUAAAGAUAGGAGAUUACAUAAAUGGAGGUAGAAUUUGAAGGUAGAUUUUAGAUGUGUGUUUUGUUGAGAAAAUUAAUGUAAAUCUAAAGUGAAUUUUAGCAGAAAAUGCAGUUAAUGAGAAGAGAUUUUUCUUUUCUAUUUUGUUUUCAAUUUCUUUGUAUUGUACUUUAAUACAUUUAUUAAAUUAAAUGAGCAUUUUGCUAGUUAAUAUGAGUGACUAACUUUCUAAAGUAAGAUGAAAGACAAAACUCAAGGAUUCAAAUUAUGACUUUAAAUACUCUCAAGUGAGUUUCAAGUUUAUUGUUUUUAAUUACAUACUUAUAAAUUGUAUUUUCUACUGAAUAUUUAAUUCUAUAUUAAUUUGCAGAUCUAGAUUUCCUUGGAUCUAUGUUGGUAUUUUGAUCUAAUGUUGACACACUAAUACGUCUGGGAGAACACUCUAAUUAUGGCUUUGGGACAUUAUGUGCUUAACGUCUAUAUAUAUUCCUAGAGUGGUUAAUUAAUAAAUGAGUCACAUAAUUUUUAAAUUGGUAAAAAAUGCACAAUAUAAAUAUCAAAGAGUAUUAUGACCAUGAUUUAAAUAUUAACAGUGGAUCCUGUAACCUUAGCACCUUUUUUCUAGUUUAUACUAUUUCUUCUUAACUUUUUUGCUUACAAUUAUUUCAUUUAAUAAUUAAUAAUGAGAUUUUAACUCCUUGUGAUUCGACUUGAGACCUACCGGGUAAUAUUAUGACUAAAUACUCUUAUACUUAGGAAUAAUUAACUAUUUUUAAGUCGGGUCAUGCUUUUUGAAUAGUUGCUGAGGAGCUUCUAAAUUUUGUAUUAAUUUCAUUUUUAUUUUGUUUAUUUUUUCCUCAUUUUCAUUUUCUUUUUAUUUUUUCCCUCUGUCAUUUCUUUGUUUAUUUUUCAUAAAAUUUCAGUUAACGCCCUUCUUUUUCUUGAAAUUCCAAAAAUACCUACGAAGCUUGUCAAAAACUUCAUUUUGGUUGAGUUGCAAUAUUAUGUGGAGAUUGAGGAGAUGUUCUACAAAGCCAUCAAGAUUGAGAAGAAACUCAAGAGAAGGGGUGACACCCGUGCAACCCCAAGCUCGAGUUCUACUCUUUAAAAUUCGAGGUAUGUGAAACGAGAUGGGAGGCCACAAGCACCUAUUGUACCUAAGCUGAGAUCCAAGCCCUCCAAGCACAAUUCACAAGGUAACAUUGUGGCUUCCAUUACUAGGAAUCGUGACAUUAAGUGCUUUAAAUGUCAAGGUAGGGGACACAUAGCAAGUGAAUGUGUGAAUAAAAGAGUUAUUAUGUUGCCGGACAAUGGUGAGAUUGUAACUGGAGAUGAAAUGAAAGAAAAUAAGACGCCACCAUUAGAGGACAUUGACGAUGAAAGUAUACAGCCCUUGAGGCAUUGACUUUAGUAGCUAUGAGAGUUUUGAGUGUGCACGUAAAAGAAGAUGAAACAAUGCAAUGGGAAAAUAUGAUUAUUGAUGAAGGAAGUUGUACUAAUGUUGUUAGUACUAUCAUGGUGGAGAAGUUAGGGCUUUCGACACUUAAAUAUCUGCGGCCAUACAAACUAUAAUGGUUGAAUGAUAGUGGUGAGUUGAAAGUGAAGAAGCAGGUACUAGUGACUUUUUGAAUUGGCAAGUAUGAAGAUAAGGUGUUAUGUGAUGUAGUACCAAUGCAGGCUAGAAUGCGGCCAUUGAGAGAAAAUUAAAGGGAAAACAAAAGAAUUUCUAUUCAAGAGUGAGUGAGAUAAAAAGAGUGUUGUUUUCAUAUUAGCCAAUGAUUGUACUUUUGUACAAAGAGGUAUUUUUAAACACUAACGAACUCGACUUACUUUUCCUAGUUCUAUUACUUCUCUCUUCCAGGAAUAUGAAGAUGUCUUUCCCGAGAAAAGACCUCAUGGUUUACCUCUGAUUUGAGGGAUUGAGUAUCUGAUUAAUUUUCAGCCCCAUGCAACCAUUCUAAAUCGACCAGCCUAUAGGAGUAACCCCGGAGGAAUCAAAGGAUCUUCAAAGGCAGGUUAAUGAAUUGAUGGAAAAAGGGCACGUGAGAGAAAGCAUGAGUCCAUGUGCAGUUUUGGUUUUGUUAGUUCCUAAGAAGGAUGGAACGUUGAGGAUGCGUGUUGAUUGCCAAGCCAUCAUCAACAUAACAGUAAAGUAUCGACAUCCCAUUCCUAGGCUAGAUGAUAUGCUUGAUGAAUUGCAUGGGUCUUGUAUAUUUUCUAAAAUUAAUUUGAAAAAUGGAUAUCAUCAUAUUAGAAUAAAAGAAUGAGAGGAAUAAAACAAAAUAUGGUUUGUAUGAAUGAUUAGUCACGCUUUUUGAUCUAACUAAUGCUCCAAGCACUUUUAUGAGAUUCAUAAAUCAUGUUUUGCGACUUUUAUUGGUAAGUUUGUUGUUGUUUACUUUGAUGAAAUCCUCAUAUACAUUUGAAAUUUGCUUUCGAUGUGCUUAGGAAGGAAAAGUUAUUUGCUAAUCUGAAAAAGUGUACCUUUUGCACCGAUAAACUUGUGUUUCUAGGAUUUGUUACGAAUGCAUAUGAUAUACAGGUUGAUGAGGAGAAGGUACAUCCAAUCCAAGAGUGACCGAGUCCCACAAGCAUGCGUAAUGUAAGAAGCUUUCAUGGGCUCACUAGUUUCUACUAGCGGUUUGUGAAAAGCUAUAGCUCAUUGGUCACACUGCUUACCGAAGUAAUAAAAAUAGAUGUUUGAUUGAAAUGGGGAGAAGAACAAGAGAGUGCAUUUCAAAUGAUCAAGCAAAAGCUAAUCAAUGCUCCUUUAUUGUCCUUGCCUAAAUUAAAUAAAACAUUUGAAAUUGAAUGUGGUGCCUUAGGUAUUCGUGCAGGCGAGUCUUAAUGCAGGUGGGACAACCAAUUGCUUACUUUAGUGAGAAACUAAGUGGGGUAGCCUUAAACUACCCUAUUUACGAUAAGGAGUUGUAUGUGUUAGUUUGGGCAUUAGAAACAUGGCAACACUACCUAUGGCCUAAAGAGUUCGUGAUUCACAUAGAUCAUGAGUCCUUGAAACUAAGUUAAGAACAAAGUUGUUGUUUUCAACUACUUGUCACCCUCAAACUAACGGUCAAACAUAAGUUGUGAAUAGAACUUUAUCUACUCUGUUGUAAGCUAUCAUUAAAAAGAAAAUCAAAACUUGUGAAGAUUGUUUGCCAUAUGUUGAGUUUGCUUAUAAUUGUUCUGUUCAUUCUGCUACUAAGUAUUCACUCUUUGAAAUUGUUUAUGGUUUUAAUCCUUUAACCCUAUUGGAUUUAACUCCAUUAAAUAUUUUAAGCUUGUAAACUUAGAUGGCAAGAAAAAGGCUGAAAUUGUUAAGCAGAUACAUGAGACGGCAAAGUUCAACAUUGAGCGGAGAACUGAGCAAUAUGUUAAACAAGCCAACAAAGGGCGACAUAAACUAGUCUUUAAACCCGGCGAUUGGGUGUGGUUACACGUGCAAGGAACAAUUUUUGGAACGAACGAAAUCCAAGUUAUUGCCUUGAGGGGAUGGUCCUUUCCAAGUCUAGGAACGGAUCAAUGACAAUGCAUACAAGCUGGAUUUGCCCCGUCAGUACAAUGUAAGUGCUACUUUUAAUGUCUCUAUUUUUUGUACUUCUAAUGCAGGUGAUGAUUUGAGGACAACUCCUCUUCAAGAUGAGGGGAAUGAUGAGAUUUAGGACAAAACUAUCACAAGCGCAUGGGAUGAAGUAUAUUCAAAUCCUAUUCAAGUCCCCAUCGGACCCGCCAUAAGAUCUCGUGUAAAGAAAUUCAAAGAAGCGCUUAAUGGGUUUAUUCAAGUAACUUGGGCUCAAUCAAAUUCAUGGAGGCUCGUUGAAGGAAUUGCACAUGAUACUCAGACCACUAAAUGCGUGAUUUGGGCUCUUAAAAUUUCCAAAUAAUGACUUCCAUGAAAUCAGCAAGUUGGUUUGCACAUUAUGGCUAGAAAAUAUAUUAUUUUCCUUUUUGGAUACUUUCUAGUAUGGAAAAUAUGUUAUUUUGCUUUUUAGAUACUUUCCUGUUUGGAAAAUAUACUACGUUCCUUUUAAGAUACUUUCUCGUUUCUUAAGGAGGCAAGUGUCGAAACAAAUAAGUUAUUUCUCUUUUAAUUACCUAGUUUUCAUUUCAAUUGAUGUAAGUCAUUUAAGUCGAUUAUGAUUCUAAUUUGAUUUAGAUUCUUUCCUUAUUUGCUUUAGAUUGAGAUUAUGAUUUGAUUUUGGUCUAUGAUUUAUUUUUGAAAAUACCAAGGGCAAUUAUGGUGUGAAAUUUCUUGUAACCAACCCUAUAUAAUAUACUCGCAUCCAAUAAGAAGGACAUAUCAAUUUUGAUGGAAUUGGUACUAACUCCUUAAACUAAUUGGAUUUCCGUGGUAUUUAAACUCUUGACUUAUCAAUAAGAUCAUCCAUAACUGAUUGUGGUGUCCUCACAUACAUUAGUUCAUGCUUUUAUUGAGCAUCAGGUCAUGGUUCCAUUCAAUUCUAAGUUUAGAUCCGAUCUUAAAGACUAAAUUGAUUUGGGUCGCAUCAGUUCUUAGUGGGGUUCAUAUCAAGAUUUAGAGAAACUUCAAAAUAAGAAACCUUUGCACAUAAAACAAAGAUAUGAGUUUGACAAAGUUGUUCAUGAUGAUGCAAGUUACAAAGCUAAUGUUAUUGAGGAAACAAUGAAUUUGCUUCCCUUGUCAAUGUUACUCCAUCAAAAUAGAAUAUUAAUUGGCUGAUCACAUCAACCUCAGCUUUUCAAGAUCCUCUAAUUGAUUCAGAACCGCUAAAAUUUGAUAUGUUAAUAUUGUUGAGCAUGUAGAAGUAACUAUUGAUGCAUCUUUUGAUCUUGUGGAGCAAAUAGAGGUACUUCUUGAUACAUUCUCAUAUGGUUCUCUUGAUUUUCCUAAAGAAGACAAAAGAGGUUGUUGUGCUAUUUUUCAAUAGUUAGUAGAUUAUGAGAAGACAUUGUUUUUCCUCACCUAUGUUGAGUUUUGACACGAACAAUACGAGAAGGUAAUGUUGGAGAAUUUAUUGAUGGAGGAAUUUAUUUUACGGCAUUAGAGUGAUUGGAUGGACAUCAUUACAAAACUUGGAAAAUUUAAUAGUUCAUUGACUGGAUCGAAGCACUAAUUUGAAAAUUAAUCAUUGUAUAAAUGAAGUUGUUUUUGGAGAAUACAAUAAGAAAAAUUCGAUGACUAAUUUUCUCCAUUCUAGCUGGAAUAAUGCAAAGCAAGAAAACAAAGAGAGCCUUGGUUAUUUGUUAUUUGAUUAUUUUCUAGAAUAAACUCUUAGAUUGAGUUCUAUUCUUGUUAUUUCUUGGUAUUUUAUAUGAUGAUUACAAAACCGUAUGGUUGAUGAUGAUGAUGAUACUAAUGCACAAUCUAAAGGACAAUUUAACUAUUUGGCUGAUGAUGAUAAUUUGGUCCUAUCUUUUGUCAAGCAUAGGAUAAUGAUGAUAAUUUGCUUGAUGAAAUGUAUAAAAUCCUCAAUAAUAUGAAUUAGGAUAAUUGGCUAUUAGAUAAACUAUUUCUCUCCAUUGGUUAUAAAUGCCUAGUUGCCUACCUCUAACUAAUACAAAAAAUGCAAAAUGAUUACUUUCUACAUGAUCAUUAAUAUGUCUAAAAUAAUGCAUGAGUGCAUUGGCUACUUUUAAUUUAUAUUGUGGGUUAUUACAACUCUACAAUUUAAUGGUGAAGUAAUGCAAAUAACAGAAUGUAUAAAUAAAUACCAAUUAGAAUAAAUGGACAAACACAUGUAUUACCCUAAACAUUUGUUUCUAGUCGGAAAGUAUGAUAUAAGUUUAUUUUAGGAUUAAAUUUUAGGUCAUUCUAUAAUCCUGUGAUUAAAAUUAUGACAUCAAUACCGUAAUAGAUGUGGACCAUUAGAUUUAAAUAAAAGUCUCCACCAUUAAUUCUAAAUAAAUCGUAACCAGUUACCUAAAUAUAGGUAAUUAUCCUUUUUAGUUCAAAUUGCAAGUUACAAUUACUGGUCUUGUGUGUGAUUUGCAAAAUUAAAGUGUUAAAUGUUGACCCUACGUAAUAUAUACAAGUUUCAGUAUUAUUUAAAACUCUGAAGACCAAUGUACAACUCUAUCAUUAAUUUGCCCAUAUUUCCUUCGAUUUACUAGUCCUAUUUGUGGUAUACAAAAUUUUUAUUUCAUUCACUUAAUGUCAAUUAAUAAGUUCUAUGUCAUUUUCCCAGGUUUUAGUUUUUUACAAUUCUAAAGACUAAUUUACUAGUCUUAUUGGUGUUUUAUAAUUUUUUUUUCAUUUCACACUUAAUGUCGAAUGUCGAUUUAUAAGUUUUAUGUCAUAUUUCUAGGAAGAUCAAUUUACUACUAUAAUAUUAAUUUACCAUAUUUUCCUUCAAUUUACUAGUCAUAUGUGUGGUUUAUAAAUUUUAUGUUUCAUUUUACACUUAAGGUCAAUUUACAAGUUUUAUAUCAUUUUUCUAAGUUUUUGUAUUUUGUACAAUUCUGAAGAUUAAUUUACUAGUGUAACAAUAAUUUACCCCAUUUUCUUUCAAUUUACCAAUCCUAUAUGUGGUUUACAAAUUUUUAUUUCAUUUCACACUUAAAGUCAAUUUACAAGUUUCAUGUCAUUUUUCUAAGUGUUCCUUUUUUUACAAUUCCAGGACCGAUUUACAACUCCAACAUCAAUUUUCCAUAUUUUCCUUCAAUCUACUAGUCUUAUAUGUGGUUUACAAAUUUUUGUCUCAUUUCACACUUAAUGUUAAUAUAAAAAUUUUAUAUCAUUUUUCUAAAUUUUCACUUUCUUUUACAGUUCUGAAGAUCAAUUUACCACCCCAAUAUUAAUUUACCCAUUUUUCCUUUAAUUUACUAAUUCUAUGCAUGGUUUGUAAAUUCUUUAUUUUAUUUUACACUUAAUGUCAAUUCACAAGCUUUAUAUUAUUUAUUCAAUUUUUUUUACAAUUCUAAAGAUUAAUUUACAACUCUUACAUUAAUUUAUCAUUUUUCCUUCAAUUUAUAAGUCCUAUGUGUGAUUUAUGAUUUUUUUUUCAUUUCACACUUAAUGUCAAUUUACAAGUUUUUUGUCAUUUUUCUACAUUGUUUGUUUUUAACAAUAUUAAAGGCUAAUUUGUCACUCCAACAUUAAUUUACUAUUUUUCCUUCAAUUUACUAUUCCUAUGUAUGUUUUACAAAAUUUAUUGUUUCAUAUUACACUUGAUGUCAAUUUAUAAAUUUUUGGUCAUUUUUCUAAUUUUUUUUUUUUACAAUUCUGAAGACCAGUUUACGACUCCAACAAUCUACCCCUUUUCCUUCCAUUUACUAGUUCUAUAUGUGGUUUAUAAGUUUUUUUAUUUCAUUUCACACUUAAUGCCAAUUUACAAGUUUUCUAAGGACUAGUUUACCACUUUAACAUUAAUGAAAUUCUAAGUAGGCAACCCAAGAGGGGGUGCAAAUUGGGUUUUUAAAAGAUUAUUAAAAAAAAAACCAAUAAUAAUAAUACUUUCAACAACAAGUAAAUUUAAAAAGUUAAAGGUAGGGAAAACAAACACAAUAAUUUUAUGUGGUUUGCCAACCUGCCUACAUCCAUACCUCCAUGCAAACUAUGCUUGAGAAUUUCACUAACCAAACCUUACAACCUAAGGCUUCAAGAUGCUUACAAUUGAUUUCCAAGAUAUCAAUAAACCUUUAAAAUUCUAAAUGAUCCCACACCUCUUUUCCCAAGUGUUUCCCACACUUAUAAUCACUUGUUUUUUGAUGUUGAAAUGAAGAUUACAAGGAUCACUCUCCUCACAAGAAGCAAAUGAUAGUUCAAUAAUGAAUCAAUGUAUAUGAAGAAGCAAAUGAAAGCUCAAGAUGAUUUGUAUGAACAAGUUUAAGCUUGAUAAAGAUUGAAGAACUCUCUUGGAAAUGAACUUGAUUUAGCUUUUCAUAGUUUUAAAAGGACAACUAGUCGUUAUUCACUUUCUAGGCGUUGUCAAAUCACCGCUAAUUUUGGAAUAGAUCAUCGUUUGACUAACGUUGCAAGUUACCACAAUUUGAAAUUUUAUAGUAAUCGGAUUGUUGUUUAAAAUUAUUGGCUAGUCAUUUGAAUUCCAAAAACUAUCAAAAAAUUAUUGGUUAGCCUCAAAAUUUUCUAAAAUUAUGUUAUGACCCAAAACUUUAUAAAAUUUUGAAUAAGUCAGUCCACUUCAAGAAUUUCAAACAAUACUUGCUGAUUUCAAAGUUCUCAUAACUUUUUCAAUUGUCUAUAAACUUGAAAACAACCAAUUUCAUAAAAUCAUUUUUCUUUAUGCAUAGAAAGCAUUGUGGGCAUUAUUCAAGUUCUUGGGUAGUAAAAUACACAAUUUAGGUCAAACGUAAAAAGGGUAAAUUCAGAAUAAAACUAGUAUUGAUUGAGCUGGAACUAAUGUGCAAACUAUAUAAUAUUGGAAAUAUAAUUAAGUUAACUUUUGAAUGCAAUUUAUUUUGUUUAUUUGACUUUAUUUAUUUGUUUUGUUUCAAGUUUGUCAAUGUGUUAGGUAAGUCUACCAUCAAUGAUGGUGGGCUUUUAUUAAAUUUGUCAAUGAUAACAUUAUUUAUGGUAAGCAUUAAGUUUGUCAAUGACUAACAUUACUAAUGGUAGGCUAACAUUAAGUUUGUCAAUGACUAGCAUUAAUAAUCGUGGGUUGGCGAAGUCUUUUGAAGCAUCCUUUGACAAACCUAUGCUUGGAGGGUUGUUCCAAUGUUUCCAUUUGUAUUUUUAGGAUCUUGGGUUUCUCUUAGUGUUAAAGAUUCAACUAAUCCUUUGCACAUUCAUGGAGGCCCAAUUAUAAGAGCUAGAGCCAAAAAGAUGCAAGCUGCUUUAAAUGGAUUAGUUGAAAAAAUAUGGAUUAAAAAUACAAUUUAAGAUGCAAGACAUCAUGAAUUGGGCUUGGAGAGAAGACAAGGCAUUGUGGGCAUUAUUCAAGCUAUUGGGCAACCAAAUACACAAUUUGGAUCAAAUGCAGAAAAGGAAAAUUCAGAAUAAAACUGGUAUUGAUUGAGCUAGAGGUAAUUUGCAAGCUAUAUACCAUUUAGAAAGAUAAUUAAGUUAAAUUUCCAAUGCAAUUUAAAGAACUAGAUUUGGAGUUCUCUAGAAGGAGUUAUGACCAAUUUAUUACAACUUGUUCAGACUUGGGAUUUCCAAUGACUCCUUUUGUUUAUUCAAUUUCAUUUGUUUGUUUUGUUUCAAGUUUAUCAAUGUGUAAGGUAAGUCUAACAUCAAUGAUGGUGGGCUAACAUUAAGUUUGUCAAUGAUAGAAUUAAUUAUGGUAGGCUAGCAUUAAGUUUGUCGAUGACUAGAAUUAUUGAUGGUGGGUUGGUGAAAACUUUUGAGCAUCAUUUGAAAAACUUAUACUUAGAGGGUUGUUCCAAUGUUUUCAUUUGUUUUUUUAGGAUCUUGGGUUUUUAUUAGUCUAUUUACACUUAGCAACCUUGCUAUGUAAGAUAAUUAGAGAUGAAUGUUAUUUUGAAUUUGAAAGAUAAUUCUUUCUUUGGUUCUUUUGAGAACUAGUGAACUUAUUAAGAAUUUACAUUCUUGUGGCGUUUCAAAAUAGACUUAUCACUCACAUUCUCAUCUAAAUCUUGAGUGUGACAUCCAUAUCCUUCUCUAUACCUCAGGUUCAGGUUUUCUUAAACAUUGGGUCAAGGUUUUGUUUCACUUAAAUAUGUUUAGAACUUUCUUGAGAAGUUGAAACUACAAAUUUAAUGUGGGUUUCAAAGUUUCAUUGUGGGCUUUGCAUCAAUUAGCCUAUUUAAACUCAGCAACCAUGCUAUAUAAGACAAUUGAAGAUGAGAUGGUAACUAGUCCUGGGCAACUAUGAUUGCCCCAUUGUCCAUUCUUUUAUGUUCAUUUGAGAUGAAGGGAAGAGUAUGGUAAGUACCAAUUAAUUUACCUUUUUUUUCCUUAACAAUUUUCCCCCAAUUUUGUACUAGAAAUAAGAUUUCAAAGUUCGAAUCGCUCUCAUAGACAACUUUAAUUUGGAGGAACACUACCAUUUAAUGGAGAAUGCUACUUUCAUUCUUUUUAUGGUUUGGUUUUACCGCUUGGUCUUUGAUAAAUGUAAAAUACAUCAUUUUAUCUUUCGUGAUAAAAUGGUAACAAAUGAAGGAUAAAUGUGGUAUUUUUACAUACAAAUUGAUUAUUUGAGAGUUCUAUAAAUGAAAGUUAGUUAAUUUAUUAAUUAAAUAUUUACCCUUAGACAAUGUAAUUUUUUUCCUUUUUUUUGUUAUUGUAUGUUUUCAUUUCAAAGAUGGAAUGAAAUAUUAAAAAUUUAUCAAUUAAGAACAUAAAUUGUAAAAAUAAUUUCUAAAAAAGAUAAAGUGUUAUUCUCGUAAUUAGUGUUAUUGAAUCCUUGAAGAAGAUUGUUUUAUCAAAUUGAUCCUCUCUCUUGGUCUCUUCCCUUUUCCAAAAAUCGAUAAGAGAAGGUAGCAAGUAGCAACUGAGAUGAAGGUGAAAAAUGAGAUUGUUACAAUUGUAAGUGUUAGUAAUAGCCAUAGGUGGAACACGCAUGCAUUGAGUAUUGAAUGCGGAAUCUUUGUAUGAUUGCUAAAGUAAUAGCAGGCAUCCUCGCUAUAUAAUGCGGUCUACUUCACUCUUCUCUUAUUAAAGAUUGGCCAAUGACUACAUUUACUCUCUCAACCAACUUUUCUUUGUUUGCUUCCGAGUUCCGACUAUGAAUUGAAGGGAAUCGAAGCAGGUAAAUAAAAAAAAUAUUGUAAUAUUAUAACAAUAAUGGAAAUAACUUAAUCCAACAAGUGAGAUGACAUGUUACUGAAUGACGGAUUUAGUUACCAUUUUUCAAACUAACUAAUCGUGACGGUGACAGUGAUACAAUUUUAUUUGGUGUUUGUGAUAAGAUGGUCUUAUUCAUAUAACAUUUCUCAAGCUAUAAAACGUGUCAAAUAUCUAGAGUACAUGCCUCCAUAUUUAAGGAUAUAAAUAUCAUAUCAUAUAUAUGGAUCAACUUCUCAUUUGACAUAAUCUUUUGCUCGUGUAAAUAAAGUUAAGAUUGAUUGUUAACAAAAGAAAAAAAUUUUGUCACUGUUAUAGAUACUCUAGUUUAUAGUGUGUGUGUUUGCUGAACAAAUUAAUGCUAUGCUCUAGUUUCCAGGGCAUGUAGUAAAUAUUAUAAAAACUCAUACCUUUUCCUUUAGGUUGCUGCGUUUAUAUAUAGUAUUUCAAAAGAACCAUUUAAGUCAUAAUAGACAAUUGAUUAAGAUAUUAGAAAGUUGAACUAACUGAAAAGUUCUCAAUAGGCAGUUACAAAUAUUAAAUUAAGUGUAAAGUUCAUGACUAUUUAAUUAGUUAAUGUAACAAUCAUUCCAACUAUUUUCAGGUAACUUUAUAUAAUUGGACACCUGAGUUUGAAUCAUAAGAGAAAUUUAGACUAAAAAAUUAAAUUGGACUUAACCUACCUCCUCUCCUUUUUAAAAUAACUAUUUUAAUAAAAUAAAAAAUAGCUAAGUGGGAGUAUUAUCCACACGUCUGGAAAUGUAAAUAUGAGGCGGGCCGGAUUGUAAUGUCAAUUUAGAAUAUAGUGUUAAAUUAUAUUUAGAUAGUUAUCUAGCUUCAAAUUGAAAAUUUAAAAUAUUAGCAAAACAACAUUAUAAAACCCUUAGUCAUUGUGUAAUUUAAUUUUAUAAUGAAAGGAAUUUAGAUCUAUCACAAAUAGAUGUAGGCACUUAAAAACAAAAAAUUAACAAAUUGAUUAAUUUUUCGGAAAUACUGUUCACUAUUACUAUUCACCACAACUGUUUACGGUUACUGUUCAACUGCAUAAAAAAUAUUAAUUUUCCAAAAACACAAUAAAAGGCAGAAAAUACAUGACACGACGAUUUUUACAUGGUUCGAAUUAAGCAAUCCUACAUCCACAAGGGCAUGCCCAGAUGAAAAGCAAUUAACCUAUGAAUUUACCAAACUUAAGACUCUCACUUACAGUUUAUCACCAUACAGUUUACUCAACCUUAGACUAAAUCUGCUUCUCUUGAAUAAUCGCUACCCCUCUUGAUCCACGAUCCUCAAGGCACUUCGCAAAGUGAUCAAUAGCAAUUCUUCAAUUCUUCAAUGUCUAGUGAUCCAAGAUCCACAUAGACUCUCCACGGAGAUGAAAAAGAAGAUAAGAAACAAAUUAACACAACACGAUGCGCUAAAUCCAGAUUCUCUAGGGAGGAGGCCGAAUUUUGCUUCUUUACUUUAUGCUAUGUGUUGUGCGUGCCUUCAAUUGUGAAAUACUUCUCUUUAAAUAGGCACUAGGGUUUCACCAAAAUAGCAAGUCUUAAAAGACUUGGAUUCUUUCCAAAUAAGAUUUUUUUCCUCAUGAAUCUGAAUAGGAAUAAAUAUGAUCUUCUUGCCUUGCUUGUCUCCGAAGAAAUAUAUAGAGCAUUUAAUGAACUUCCUGUUUGAACCAACUUCUCGGCAGGAAACCAAUGACAUAUAUUCUAAUGGUCAUCCCGAAUGGGGACUAGACCAGUUUGCACUACUGGUAUAACAAGCCACGUACAAUUAUUUUCUAUCUUUGAGCAUAAUGCUUUUUAUCAGAGCCAACCAAAAUGUUUUGCGCACAAGCUAGAAUAUUAUUGUAUAUCGGCGGGAAACCAGUGACAUAUUUUGAUGGUCAUCCCGAAUGGGGACUAGAUCAGUUUGCACUACUGGUAUAACAAGUCACGUACAAUUAUUUUCUAUCUUUGAGCAUAAUGUUUUUUUUAUCAAAAUGAAGUGGUAAAUAUGAGAUUUGUUCGUUUUGAAUAGGGAAAUAAAGGAAAAACUGAAUCUAAGAUGGCAUCUUCAUCAAAAAAUCUAGAUAAUCUUGCUCCUGUUACUCUUUCUUCAACUCUCUCACUUCCUAAAUCUUGUUCUAAACACCUGGCUUCAAAAAUAGAAAACCUUGUUGAGUAUUCGUAUGUUCCAGAGUCAUCCCAAAUUAGUGAAUCUUCCAUGCCUCUCAUCAGCCCAUAUGAGCUGUACCAACGACCAAAUUCCUUGACCAGAAGUAUUAGAACCCUGAUUUCAACCAAAAGACCUGCUCCAAAAGAAUAUAUCCAGUCAUCACGACUAGAUCAGUGUACUCUUCAAGCAUCACAAGCAGAGCAAUAUGUCACCCUUGAAAUUCCACCAGAACUUGUUAUCCAGUGGAAAAGAGAAAGAUACACACACUCCAUCUUGGAGGAGUUCGUUUAAUUGUCACCCUUCACAGGAGAAAAGGCUUACCUGUCACAGCCGAACUAGCUUUGCUAGAUACCCGAUUCAAGGAAUAUCAGCAUGCAGUUAUAGGAACAGUCCUGACUAGUCUUCAUGCAGGAAGUGUUCUUUUGACCUUCUACCCAAAUUUCAACCUCUCACUAGAUGAUCCAAACCUACCCACUACUCUGAAGGUUCAAAUCCAGAUCCAAGGCGUUGAACAAAUAGUCUCUUCAAAAAUGGCAACCUUACACCAUCAGUUGGUGUACUGCCUGCAAAAUCAUGCCCUUGAUCUUCCCACGCCUCAAACCACAUCAGAUGCACUAAUGAUUCUUGCAGAUUCCUCAGAAAGCAUACAUUCCACAGUCCAAAUCCCAAGACAAAUACAAAAGCAAGAUCGUCUUAAGCUCCAUGCCCCUGGAAUGGCUUUCCAAUUAUGAGAAAUUCCAUCAAAACUCCCAGCUGGUCCAAACAACUGAUGCUCAUUUUGAAAAAAGAGCAGAUGGAACUGUAAAGUUGACUUUUCAGUCACCAUCCACUUCCCAGACACCCAUUGUUUCUCAUCCACCCUUUGAACAAUCAACACCCAAAAACUCCUUUUCAUACUCCUCUAUGAUCACAGCCGUAUCUACGGCACAAGAAAAACUCCCCAUCCACGAAUUUGCCUCAGAUGGCUAUCUGAUCUACCUAGACAAAAUCAAUGGUAAUUUUUUAUGGGAUGUUCCAGGUUCCCAGAUGUGUGAUGUAGAUUGUCUUUGCCUCGAAGAAGAAGAUGACAAUGAUGAUUUCAAUAGGCGUCCCAGGUGGCAUAAAAAGAAAAGUCACAAGCUGGAUCCGUGUUACAAAAAACCUCAUUUUCUCCCUGAUGACCCAGACAAUGUAGCACCUUUGCAUCUCUAUAGGAAAGGCCUGAGCCUCAUACAGAACGAGUAUAAACAAAGAUCAUGCAGACAAGAGACAGCCUUAUUCUCAUCUCCUGCUAUGCCCGUCCAACCUUGCAUGAUGUUCUCAUCAAGCUCUUAUCAAGAGUAGUUCCCAGUUCCUUCCUCUAGAAAAACAAAUUGAUCAAUAGACAAAGGUCACCACCAAACCUUUUGUCCACUCUCCCGUUACACCAAAUGGCCAGCUUAAAGAACCAAAACCUUUUGAAGCUGUACUAAACUGGCAAACUCAAAAUGCCAAGGCUCAGAAUUCAGCUUUCAGAUCUCUUGAUGAGAAAAUUGAAAGAGUGGCAUUUCAAGUCAAACAGACGGACACAAAGGUAGACAAGAUCACAUCUCAGCUUGAACAGAUGUAUCUUGACAUGCAAAAUCGAGUUACCCAACUUGAUUCAGAUCUGCAGUUAUGAUCCAAAACAGAUAUUGGGGUCCAGAAUUUAACCAAAAAGAAGCAGAAAUUUGGCAGUUAAAAGCUGAACUUGCCAUGAUUGAUAUUGACAAACAACAACCGUCAUUGUUUGCAAAAUCCCCUGCUCUACCCUUACACACACCAACUUUCAGCACUUACCAACCUUUCUACACAUCAUCCACCUCUCGACAACCUGUAGACUAUGCCAAAUUCUUUGGCCUGUCCCAUCUCAAACAUGCUCCAACUAUUACUCCUCCAAAACCACGGUCCAGACCUCCUAAGCCUAAACCACCUCCAACUUACUACCAACCUUUUGAUCCUCAAUCUACUCAGAAGAACAAUGAACUUAUGCACCAAUACUCAUCUCAGGUCUUGUCUCACCUUUCAGAAUUAGAAGAAACCUCAACUGAUGAAGAAUCUUUUUCUUCAGAAUCCUAUUCUACCUCCUCCAACUCUAAAAAAAGCUUCACUGAUAUCUCUAAGCUUCUGAUGGUCCAGCCAUCAACUGGGUCAAAUGAUCAUUCUCCCUCCUCACCUCCUCAAACACUUAUAGUUGAGAAAGCAGAUUCUAAUACCAAUCCCAUCAAGAAAAUGCGAGCCGUGGCCGGUAACCCUUUUCUCCCAUGAAGGGUAAGGAUUAAUCGGAUGCCUCCAAGAUGGAGAUGGGUAAAACCUUCUCUUUUCCAAUUAGAAAGCAAUUCGGAGGGUAUUUCCAAAGUGACAUAUUGCUCAGCAGAGGUUGCUUGGAGAGCACAUUGCUCCAAGCGAGAAGACUGGAUAUAUUUUUUAGGGUGUGGCCAUCUGGUAGAGAUCAGGGUACGAAUACUAUGGGUAAAGGAACUGGGGCGUUUAUAUAGCUGGUAAAGGCUGAUGAGAGGAUAGGAGGACUCACUGAUUUGGAUUGAUUUAGGGAUGUAGGAAUAUUCUACAAGGUUUUCGAUCUUAUUGGUGGUAUGAGAAGUGCAAGAUCUGAGCAAAGAAAGGGUAGAAGAAAGAGUAACAGGAUUGGAAGAAGUUGAAGAUGAAGUGGAAGCCAUGAAUAAGAAAAUCUCUCUCUGCUCCUGAAGCACUAGAAAUCAAAGGAGAACAAAGAAUUAAAUCAUACCAUUUUGGUUAUGAAAAAAUGAGAUUUAGAAAACAAAAGUUCAGUGAGAAAGCAGAUUAUGAUAAUUCCAUGACUUAUCAUCCAUUUGCCUCUAUGCUUUCCCCCAUCAAGCAGUAUGAUCCCUCCAAGUUAUUUGGCAUGACUCAUACUCUUUUCCGAGACAAUCCAUUGCCACCACCACCUAAGCCUAAACCACAAUCGCGACCCGUCACAAUUCAUCAUUCAUCCAUUUCCAUCCCUGGCCAACAAUCCCCUGGUUAUACACCGGCAUCACCACCAGCACCUUCACCACCUCCUUUAUCCCAACCUCCUCCUCAAUCCAAGGAUAAAGAACCCAUGCACCAGUUUAGUGCCCACACAGCCGACCAUUCACUUACUACAGAUGACCAAACUUCUGAUUCAAAUCUAGCUGUUUCUGAUAGCCAUACCGAACCUGACACAGAAUCUUCAGCAUCCACCAGUGACUUUGAAAAGUCCUAUAUUGAUAUCACCAGAAUCUUAAUGGCUCAACCUGAUCAACUUGCCCAAGGCCAAACCUCUCAUACAUAACCCUAUGUUGAUAUUCCCUCAAAAGUUGAGGAAGAAAUGCCUGAAUCUUUGGCCACAAACCAACCCCCUCCAGCUCAAGCCCAGACUGGUUCCACAAGCCAAAAAUCGUCAAAUGGUCCAUGGUUCACAUUUGAUGAUCUUCCAUCUCAUAAAUGGCGUGACCGACUUAAUGAAAUGUCUGCCUUGAUUGACCUCCAAAUGCUAAGGCCAGGAGCCACAACUGAAUCCGUCUUUAGAGAAUUUGCUACUCGUUUUACAGGUGCUCUAAGAGAUUGGUUUGAUUCUUUAGGCCACUACCGACAGUUACAGUUUGUUCAAUUACCAGAGGUCUCAAGUGCCCUUGCGGUUAUCCAUGAUUAAUUCCUUGGAGACCCUUCUGCAAUUUUUGAAGCUGCACACCGAGACUAUCUCAACAUGAAAUGUUGUUCACUCAAUGCUAAGGAUCUUGACUUCCAUUAUAAACGAAUGUCCCUGCUGUUCUAUAAGCUUAAUGGAUUCAAUGAGCCGACAUUAAAGCAUGUCUUUCUAGCUUCCCUUCCAGAUGAACACUAACCAGACAUACAAAGACAACUCACCACAUCCAAUCUUGCCCUUGACAACAUCUCUCUUGGUAAAAUCUUCCAACUUGCCAAAACUUGUCUUGACAAACUUUGCGAACAGAAACAGUUUUUCAAAGAACUGUUGAAAGAUAAAGAACCAUUCCAGAGUGCUUGCAAAAAGCCUUACUUGCAGAUCAAAUGUCAGAAGAAAAAGGAUUGUGAUUGCAGUUCUAAGAAGAAAAGGCAUUUUCGAAAAUUCAAAAAUCUAGAAUUUUCAUCCAGACCUCGCAGAUCCUGAAAGCCUUACAGAUUCUUCAAAAAGAAGUCAUCGUCCUCUUCUUCCAAAGACUUUAAAUGGAGAAAAUCAAGCAGAUGUUUCGUCUGCAAAAGAAAAGGUCAUUUUGCCAAAGAUUGUCCCAACAAAAGGGAAAAAUCUAUUCGACUAGUUGAGCAUCUUCAAGCCACUAUAGACUACUCUCCCGAGAAGGAUGAACUAGAAUUCUAUUUCUCUGAACAAGAUGAACCCACUAAUGAAACUGUGUUCGCACUGCAAAAUUCCUUUGCUGAUUCAGACAGUGAUCAAUCCCAAGUCAUUUUCCACCAACAGUUACUGUCCCUUGACACUACUGUCUCUAUACCAUCCAUCAAACUCCAGAUCUUGCCCUCCAAGUUCCAAAGGCCCAUUCCAGCAAUUGGUCUCAUUGACACCGGCGCCCAACGCAGCAUGUUAAACCCACAUAUUCUUCCUCAUCAAGAAAAUUCUUCUUCUAAACCUUCCAAUGGCCCAUGGUUUACUUUUGAUGACAUUCCAAGAGUAAAAUGGCCAGUCAGAUUUCAAGAAUUUUCUACCUGAAUUGAUGUUCAAAUGCUCAGAACUAGAGCAACAACCCAAACUGUCCUUAAGGAGUUCAGUUCUCGUUUUACUAGAUCUUUAAGAGAUUGGUUUGAAAGUCUAGGUCCAUACAGACAACUCCAAGUAAUUCAAGCCUAGAUUUUAGAAGUCCUAGGAAUAAUUUAUGAGUAGUUCUUUGGAGAAGCUACAACUGCUAACGAACAAACAAGAAGAGAGUUCCAUCUAAUGAAGUGUUGUUCUCUCCAGAUAAAAGAUCUGGAUUUUCACUACAAGAGAAUGUCUACAAUGUAUUACAAGCUCAAUGGUUUUAAUUAUCCCUCAUUAAAACAUGUCUUUGUAGCAUCUCUUCCGAAGGAGAUCCAACCAAAGCUUCAGAGACAGUUCACAAUCCACCAGCUGGACAUAGCCAACCUCUCCUUGGGGAAAAUCUAUCAAUUAACAACCAACUAUCUGGAAAUACUUUGGGAACAGAAGGAAUUCUUCAAAGACCUCAUAGAAAACAAAUAGCCUUUCAAAAGUGCUUGUAAAAAACCCCAUCUUUCCAUCAAGUGCAAAAGUGAGAAGGAUUGCACUUGCUCAACCAAAAAGAAAUCUCACUUCCAAAAAUUCUGAAAUUCAGAAAAGAAAAGCCAAAACACCUUCUAGAUCCAAAAAACCUUAUCGAUUCUUUAGAAAAAAAGAACCCUGAUGAGUCCUCUAAAUCUAAAGGCAACCAUUGUUUUAUUUGUAAAAAGAAAGGACAUUUCGCAAGGAAUUGUCCAAACAGACCUGCAAAAUCAGUCUGGCUUAUUGAGCAUCUCCAGGAUUCCAUGUUACUUUCAGAAAGUGAUGAUGUUAAAUCCUUCUUCUCUGAACAAGAUGAAUAUAAUGAACAAACAGCCUUUAUCCUUGCUGAAACAGAAGAUCAUUAUGAAUCUGAGAAUGUUUCUGUAAUUCAAACUGUACAGCAAAUUCAGAAAGUACAACCAGCCGUUCCUAUCCCUUCAAUCAAAAUUCACUUCCUCUCUGGAAGAUUUGAUAAACUAGUUCACAUCAUUGGUUUUGUUGAUACUGAAGCUCAGAAGAGUAUACUUAAUCCUUCAAUCCUUCCAUCCCAUUUUUGGGAAAAACAUACAGAAUAUUUCAAAGCUGCUGAUGGAGAAUUGUUUCAUACAAAUUUGAUUACCAAAAAACCCAUUGGUAUUCAAUUCUUUCCAGGAUGUAUCCUUUGGACCAAGCUUGUUGGAUCCAAUCUUCCUGACAAAGAUCUUUUAAUCGGGGUUUGAUGUCCUUCACCUGGUUAAAAAACUUCAUAUAACAGCUUAUGGAAUCCAUUAUAAACAUAUGUUUCAGCCUUAUAGGGAUUCCCUGAAAUUGUUCUCUAUCUCAAGCUCUCCUCCUUCAUAUGAUCCUCUCAAAUCCCAUUUUCUUCUUCACUGUCCAGAAAACCACAGUCAAUUUCUUUAUUCUACCCCUCUCUGGAAAAAUGAAAAUUUCUUCAUUAAGCUCCCUUUUAAGCUUAACGAAGACAUUAACCCAACCAAGGCUACCCAUCUAGGAAUGACCCCAUCUGACCUGAAACUAGCCCAAGAAGAAUGCUCUCAGUUGCUAAAACAAGGCCUUAUUGAGCCCACAAAUUCAGAAUGGGUUUGUCAAGCUUUUUAUGUGGAAAAAAGAUCUGAAAUAGUUAGAGGCAAAAAACAUCUUGUUAUUGAUUACCAGCCUCUCAACUGUUUUCUUAGAGACGAUAAGUUCCCCUUGCCAAAAAUCCAAUCCUUGUUUGUUCAUAUCCAAAAUGCUAAGGUCUUCUCAAAAUUUGACCUUAAGGCAGGUUUCUGGCAAUUAGGAAUCCACUCUGAUGACAGACCUAAAACAACUUUUUGCAUACCAAAUGCCCACUACUAAUGGAAAGUAAUGCCAUUUGGCCUUAAGGUAGCCCCCUCACUUUUCCAAAAGGCCAUGAUCAAGAUCUUUGAACCAAUCCUUCAUCAUGCACUUAUCUAUAUAGAUGACGUGCUAUUAUUCUCCAAAGAUCAUGAUUCCCACCAACAAUUACUUUCCCACUUUCUUGAGAUAAUGGAAACAUAUGGCAUAAUGUUGUCUGACAAAAAGAGUAUCCUAGGCCAAAACAUUGUUACCUUUCUUGGCAUAACUCUAAAAGAUGGAUACUAUAGUCUUGGGCCACACAUAGCCCAGGAACUCAUUCAUUUUCCAGAUGAACAUUUGUCAAAAAAGCAAAUCCAACAAUUCCUUGGUAUUGUGAUCUUCAUAUUGCAGUCCUUAUCAGAUCAAAUCCAAGACUUUGCAAAGAAAUUCCUUUUUCGAUAUUUCAUGAAUAUAUAUUGUACCCAGACAUCCAGAUUUCCAAGCGUUCAUCCAGAUCACCUCUUCCUUACAGGCCUAAAGAUUAAUCCCUCCAGGGACGUCACAGAAGAUGAACUGUGGUAUAUAUGGUGUCUCACUAUCUUAUAUGCCACCAAACUAAUCUUUCCUGUACAUCCAAUGUUUCAGUGUCUCAUAGAUCCUAACCAGGCUCACUCUCUCACAAGGACUCUUUUUGAAUGGUUUUCUCCUCUCUCUUGGUGGAGAAAACAACUUGACUUCAUUAUCAAACUCCACCACAUCAAUCUCCUCCCUGAUCAAGAAGGAGAACAAUUCACCUCAGUCUUCAUUGUCCAUCGUCCUUAUUUCCAGCACCCUGUUACCAAACUCUUUUGGAUUUAGGACCAAGCUUAUGAAUGGAAGACUGUUCCUCAUAGUUUUCCCCUGUAUCAUGACCCAAACCUUGUCUUUACCCUGAAACAAUACCUCUUCGAACUAAAUAAUGUCCAAUCCUCUCCUAUUGACAUCCAGCACACCUCCCUUGGACCACAACAUGAACUCAUGAUUAUUCCAACCACCAGGUCACCAUCAUCUAGUAAUCCUCCUCCCUCUGGAAUUUUGAUCAAAGAAAAAAAGCCUGAUUUCACAAACAUCCUCUUCCAGGAUUCACAAGACCCAUGGGAAGAAUUCACCUCAAUUUUGCAUCCCAUUGAAACAUCACAUGCACCCUCUAUAAGUACUGUUCCACCAACAAUGACAGAUUCACCUACUUGACAAUAUUAUGAGAACUUGCCUUGGUGGAAAGAGCCAUUUGCUGAAGUUGACAGCGAUGUUGACAACUUAUCUCCCUCACAGUUUUUAAAGCACUUUGUAAUAAUUGCUUUUUCUUUUGUAAAAGCAAAGUGUUUGCUUUACUUAAUCUUUACUUUAAAGCAUCUUCCUUUUGCUUUGUCUUUAGCUUAAAGUCCAAAAGACAGGGGUCCUGUCUUGUCGAGAAUCUUUUGCUUUUGCUUUAUCCUCUUCCUUUGAAUUUUCCUUUAUAAGGAGAAUUCAUUCACAUUUGUAAGGAUCUUAGAUUUUAAAAAAUAAGAUUCCGAGUUUUCCAAUAUCAUAAUUCUCUAAACGUUUCUCUUUUCCUUUAUUUCACUAGGAAGGACAACAUGUUCUUAUAAUAGUUCACUUCAAUCUCUUUUAAUUAGUAUGCUCUGCACUCGCCUCUUUGUAGGAUCUUGUGCAUCAGAAAGUUGUUUGGCUUUGAGAUCGAUCCAACCAACCACAUUUCAUCCUGUAUUAUAGCCAAGGACUGGCUUCACUAUUGGGUGGUAGUGGUUUACCGAUGGUAUCAGAGCCUAGGUGUUCACCAGGGGGUAUGAGUGUGUGAAAGAUAAGCACCUCAUCCCACAUUGGUUGGGAUCCUGGCUGUGUGCUGGCUUAUAAGUGUUGGGCAGUCCUCACCUCUCAGGACAUCUUUUGGGGCUGAGUUAGGCUUCGGCCCAAGAUCGUAUCAGAGUCCCACCAUUAAUUCACUUGCUAAAUUAGACAUCUAAUUAAAUUAGGAAACAAAUAUUCCUAAUAAAUUGGAAUCUCACUAAAUUAGGGAAUUAAUAAAUUAAUCCCUAUUACAAGAUAUGUAAUAAAUAAACUUCCAAUUUAACUAGACUUGCCAUAAAAUGCCAACUCUAUACCUUAACAAUCUCCCCCUUUGGCAUUCUUGUGGCAAAAGCAAUCCAACACAAGUCUUCCAUGAACUUUGGCGCUAAGAUAUGAACCUGAACAAGCAUAAACAACAACAAGGAACUAACCAAAAUAAUUGGCAAUUAGCAUGUUAGUUCAUGUAAAUAAACCAAGGCAAGAAUUAAAAUAAAAUGCUAAUUUUAUUGAUCAAUAAAUGGAAAGACAACAUUAAGCCACAAAUUAAGGACAAGAAAAUAAUUAAACUCCCGCUAAGAACUAGAAUCCAAAAAUAAAAAAUUCUCGAACAAAAAUAAAAUCUCCCUAGAAUUGAAAAUACUACUCCUCCUAACUUAUUGCAUUGAGACUAUUACUACCAAAUUUAAAACCUUACUACUAGUAUAAAUAAUUAGUACAAAGCGAGUAAGGAUCUAUCCUACAGAGAAAAUGCCAACUAAAAAUAAUUAUUAUCAACUCUAAAACAGAACUAAAAAUAGAUUAAUAUAACUAAAGAAAAUGCCAACUAAAAAUAGAAAAGGAAUAAUAAUAUAAAUUAAUCUAACUAAAGAAAAUGCCAACUAAAAAUAGAAAAGGGGGGAUUUUUGAAUUUUUAACUAAAUAGCAAGAAAUAAAGAAAUUAAAACUAUGAAAACAAUAAUUUAAUAGAAACUCUAAUUAAAGGAGAAAGAAAUAAUAAUGAUGAAAAACUUUGGUUAAAGGAUCAUUUGCCACCACCAAACAUGCACAUAAUAUAUCAAUUCUAUCAUCAAUUUCUAUUAAAACUAUCAACCGUAGACAACAAUAAGCUUUGUUAGUCUCAAUCUUUCCUUACUGUGUCGUUAGGCAAAACAAGCUCUUCACCUAAUCUCUAACCAUUAAAUAAUUUAAAACAAGCUCUUUAAAUUUAAGAUAAUGGAAGCAUUAAGUAGAGAAAGAUGUUAGGUUGAUCUAGACAAUAAACACAUAAGUUUGGAUUAUUUAAUCUAGGAUAUAUUCUCCAAUCGAAAACACUAAUUCCAACCUGCUACUAAUGAUUAAAAUAUCAAGACAAUUAAGGAUCAAGAAUUUUAAUCUAACAAUAGAAUUUAUUCAAGUCCUAUCUAAUUGGCCACUUAAAUAAAACAAGAAUAAAAUCAUAAACAUUAAUUAUAGAAGAACAAUCUCAAUUAAAUAAAUUGAAUGAUAGAAAUUGAACAUUAAUCAUAUGACAUGUUUGGGGUUUUGAAUUCACCCUAAACCAAAUAGAAAAUCUAGCCUAACAUAAUUGAAUUGGGAAUAAGAGAAUUGAUCAAACCAAUUAUGGAGAUUAAUUCAAGUGGCUGCCUUUUCUUCAAUUCAUUUCGGUUUCUCCCUUGUUUUUUUUUUCCUUCUUGCGGCUGCUGGUUUCUCAAAUCCUCUUGGCUCCAAAAAAAUUCCUUUAAUCAAAAGCCAAAAGUCGGCUUUUAUAAUGCCCAAGAAUGGCCGAAUCUUUAUUGGGUUUUCUUUCCAAUUUAAAGGCAAUUGAUUUCCUUCCCUUGCCAUGCACAUGCCGCCCACUUUGACACUUUCCUUUUUCUUCAAUUUGCUCUCCAUAAUUAAAGCCCAUGAACGUGAACUUAAGCUUUGGAAAGACAUACAUGCAAUCUUUUUAAAUUGGUCAAGUAAACCCAUGCACAUUAAACAAGUUUCCAUUUUAUGCAUGCUUGUUCCCAAAGUCUUUAUUAAUCUCCAUGAAAUCUCAUAUGCUUCCGAAUGUGUAUCCAUUAGUUAAUUAACUUCCAAGAAUCAUCAAUUAUUUCCUUUUCUAAUUCCUUCAAGCAGAUUUCUUCUUAAAUGCUCCGAUUUAAUUUCUCUUUAAUCUCAAAAUAUACCUAAAAUAACAAAAUAAAAAAAAACUAAGAUAAAAAUUAACAUAAUAAAAUAUAAUUUACUAAAUUAUAAAUUAACUAAAAUAACUAGAAUAUUUAAGACCCAAAACAAGAAAAAGAUGGAGAAAUUAAUAGCAAAAUAUAUGGAAAAUAUACACUUAUCAAAUUCCCCCACACUUACCCUUUGCUCAUCCUCGAGCAAACCUAGAACCAAAAUAAAAUAAUAUAAAAUAAAAUCUAAACUAGUCCACUUUCGUAGGAAAUCACAAUUGCAUUUAGCGUAUGCAACAAGCCUUUAAACCCUUAGGCAGCCCUAGUGGACGAGUUAUAGUCUCGUGAGGGUUUCAACAAUGAUACCCAUAAACAUCAUUUCCUUUUUUUUUUUUCAGAAAAAGAACAAAAGAAUUUAAAAUAACACUAGCCUCAAAGAUUGCAUAAGUCAUAUAGCUCAAAGAAAAUUUGAAAUAUUAUCGAAGUUCUAACUUUAAUUCAAUAGUCAAUCACAUCUCUCUUUUGAUUCUCAUAGUGUGUGUGUGAAUCAAUUCAAUCAAAAUCCAUUCUCAAAAUCUUCAAUAUCAACAACCUUUGCCUUNNNNNNNNNNNNNNNNNNNNNNNNNNNNNNNNNNNNNNNNNNNNNNNNNNNNNNNNNNNNNNNNNNNNNNNNNNNNNNNNNNNNNNNNNNNNNNNNNNNNNNNNNNNNNNNNNNNNNNNNNNNNNNNNNNNNNNNNNNNNNNNNNNNNNNNNNNNNNNNNNNNNNNNNNNNNNNNNNNNNNNNNNNNNNNNNNNNNNNNNNNNNNNNNNNNNNNNNNNNNNNNNNNNNNNNNNNNNNNNNNNNNNNNNNNNNNNNNNNNNNNNNNNNNNNNNNNNNNNNNNNNNNNNNNNNNNNNNNNNNNNNNNNNNNNNNNNNNNNNNNNNNNNNNNNNNNNNNNNNNNNNNNNNNNNNNNNNNNNNNNNNNNNNNNNNNNNNNNNNNNNNNNNNNNNNNNNNNNNNNNNNNNNNNNNNNNNNNNNNNNNNNNNNNNNNNNNNNNNNNNNNNNNNNNNNNNNNNNNNNNNNNNNNNNNNNNNNNNNNNNNNNNNNNNNNNNNNNNNNNNNNNNNNNNNNNNNNNNNNNNNNNNNNNNNNNNNNNNNNNNNNNNNNNNNNNNNNNNNNNNNNNNNNNNNNNNNNNNNNNNNNNNNNNNNNNNNNNNNNNNNNNNNNNNNNNNNNNNNNNNNNNNNNNNNNNNNNNNNNNNNNNNNNNNNNNNNNNNNNNNNNNNNNNNNNNNNNNNNNNNNNNNNNNNNNNNNNNNNNNNNNNNNNNNNNNNNNNNNNNNNNNNNNNNNNNNNNNNNNNNNNNNNNNNNNNNNNNNNNNNNNNNNNNNNNNNNNNNNNNNNNNNNNNNNNNNNNNNNNNNNNNNNNNNNNNNNNNNNNNNNNNNNNNNNNNNNNNNNNNNNNNNNNNNNNNNNNNNNNNNNNNNNNNNNNNNNNNNNNNNNNNNNNNNNNNNNNNNNNNNNNNNNNNNNNNNNNNNNNNNNNNNNNNNNNNNNNNNNNNNNNNNNNNNNNNNNNNNNNNNNNNNNNNNNNNNNNNNNNNNNNNNNNNNNNNNNNNNNNNNNNNNNNNNNNNNNNNNNNNNNNNNNNNNNNNNNNNNNNNNNNNNNNNNNNNNNNNNNNNNNNNNNNNNNNNNNNNNNNNNNNNNNNNNNNNNNNNNNNNNNNNNNNNNNNNNNNNNNNNNNNNNNNNNNNNNNNNNNNNNNNNNNNNNNNNNNNNNNNNNNNNNNNNNNNNNNNNNNNNNNNNNNNNNNNNNNNNNNNNNNNNNNNNNNNNNNNNNNNNNNNNNNNNNNNNNNNNNNNNNNNNNNNNNNNNNNNNNNNNNNNNNNNNNNNNNNNNNNNNNNNNNNNNNNNNNNNNNNNNNNNNNNNNNNNNNNNNNNNNNNNNNNNNNNNNNNNNNNNNNNNNNNNNNNNNNNNNNNNNNNNNNNNNNNNNNNNNNNNNNNNNNNNNNNNNNNNNNNNNNNNNNNNNNNNNNNNNNNNNNNNNNNNNNNNNNNNNNNNNNNNNNNNNNNNNNNNNNNNNNNNNNNNNNNNNNNNNNNNNNNNNNNNNNNNNNNNNNNNNNNNNNNNNNNNNNNNNNNNNNNNNNNNNNNNNNNNNNNNNNNNNNNNNNNNNNNNNNNNNNNNNNNNNNNNNNNNNNNNNNNNNNNNNNNNNNNNNNNNNNNNNNNNNNNNNNNNNNNNNNNNNNNNNNNNNNNNNNNNNNNNNNNNNNNNNNNNNNNNNNNNNNNNNNNNNNNNNNNNNNNNNNNNNNNNNNNNNNNNNNNNNNNNNNNNNNNNNNNNNNNNNNNNNNNNNNNNNNNNNNNNNNNNNNNNNNNNNNNNNNNNNNNNNNNNNNNNNNNNNNNNNNNNNNNNNNNNNNNNNNNNNNNNNNNNNNNNNNNNNNNNNNNNNNNNNNNNNNNNNNNNNNNNNNNNNNNNNNNNNNNNNNNNNNNNNNNNNNNNNNNNNNNNNNNNNNNNNNNNNNNNNNNNNNNNNNNNNNNNNNNNNNNNNNNNNNNNNNNNNNNNNNNNNNNNNNNNNNNNNNNNNNNNNNNNNNNNNNNNNNNNNNNNNNNNNNNNNNNNNNNNNNNNNNNNNNNNNNNNNNNNNNNNNNNNNNNNNNNNNNNNNNNNNNNNNNNNNNNNNNNNNNNNNNNNNNNNNNNNNNNNNNNNNNNNNNNNNNNNNNNNNNNNNNNNNNNNNNNNNNNNNNNNNNNNNNNNNNNNNNNNNNNNNNNNNNNNNNNNNNNNNNNNNNNNNNNNNNNNNNNNNNNNNNNNNNNNNNNNNNNNNNNNNNNNNNNNNNNNNNNNNNNNNNNNNNNNNNNNNNNNNNNNNNNNNNNNNNNNNNNNNNNNNNNNNNNNNNNNNNNNNNNNNNNNNNNNNNNNNNNNNNNNNNNNNNNNNNNNNNNNNNNNNNNNNNNNNNNNNNNNNNNNNNNNNNNNNNNNNNNNNNNNNNNNNNNNNNNNNNNNNNNNNNNNNNNNNNNNNNNNNNNNNNNNNNNNNNNNNNNNNNNNNNNNNNNNNNNNNNNNNNNNNNNNNNNNNNNNNNNNNNNNNNNNNNNNNNNNNNNNNNNNNNNNNNNNNNNNNNNNNNNNNNNUACCAGAGUAAGAAAGGCCUCAUCUUAUCACUUUAAUCUCCAAUUUUUUUUUUCACAGGCAUUUGUGUGCAUUUUCUUUUGAUUUUUCUCUUUUCCUUUUUUUCUUUUUUUUUUCCAUAGACAAGAGCUUUCACUCUACCCCUUGAGGAAGUGUUCAAAAAAAGGUAGAUUAUCCUCUACAUACUGGGGGUACAUAGGCCCAAAUUACUCAAGGAUAACUUCACUCUUAAGGGUUAUAUAUAGCUAUUUCUGACUAUGGGGCCUGUGUAUAUAACACUGUAUUAUGGAGAUAAGAAUCAAGACAAGCAGUCAUUUACUCAAUCUAAAAUUCUCAACUCAGGUAGCAUCAAUCUCAAAUUCUAAGUCAAAACUAUGAAAGAGUUGAUAUUAGUGCUCAUGGUUUAAGAAUCUCAAUUAAGAGGAAAUCAACACAAGAAUUAAGUAUAAACUAUGGUAAUAUUCAACCAUUUCGAAGAGCCAUAUUCAUUGUCAAUCAAAUUUUUAUCAUUGGCUAAUAUUCAAAAUAAUUGUUUUUAGAAAAAGAAAAAGACAAAGCAACAAAAACUAAGUUCGAAAUCCACCAUGCACACUUAAUUCUUACAUUGUCUUCAAUGUAAGCCUAAGCUAACAAAAGACAAAAUUAAACAUAGGGAAAUGAGAUGAGACACAAACAGAAACAAACAAAAUUCAACACAGAGUUAAUAAAGUAAAUGAGAAUGAGAGGGAGAAAGAUCAAAUAUGUUAUGACGUGUUCUCAAAAUCUUUUCUCCAGCCAUUUGAUUGCCUCCCAAUAAGCGCUUGGUUUAUUGUUGAUGCGAAUCCCACAAUGAAACUUUCAAACCCACACUUAAUUUGUAGUUUCAAUUUCCUACGAAAGUUCUAAAUAGAUUUAUGACAAACAAAACCUUGACCCAAUGCUUAAGAAAACAUGAACCAAAGGUAUAGAGAAUGAUAUUGACGCCACACUCAAGAAAUAGAUGAGAAGGUGAGUGAUAAGUCUAAAUUUAGAACGCCACAAGAAUGCAAAUUCUUGAUAAGUUCACUAGUUCUCAAAAGAACCAAAGAAAGAAUAAUCUUUCAAAUUCAAAUAACAUUAAUCUCUAAUUUUUUAUUACAUAGCAAGGUUGCUGAGUUUAAAUAGGCUAAAAAGAAACCCAAGAUCCUAAAAUUACAAAUGGAAACAUUGGAACAACCCUCCAUAAUUAAUGCUAUCUUUCACAAACUUAAUGCCAGCUUACUAUAAUUAAUACUAUCAUCGACAAACUUAAUGUUAACCCACCAUCAUUGAUGGUAGACUUACCUUACACAUUGACAAAUUUGAAACAAAACAACCAAAUGAAGUUGAAAAACAAAGGAGUCGUUGAAAAUCUCAAGUCUAAACAAGCUGUAAUGAAUUGGUCAUAACUCCUUCUAGAAAACUCCAAAUCUAGCUCUGUAAAAUGCAUUGGAAAGCUAACUUAAUUAUCGUUCCAACGGUAUAUAGCUUGCACAUUACUUCUAGCUCAAUCAAUACCAAUUUUAUUCCGAAUUUGACCUUUUUACAUUUGCUACAAAUUGUGUAUUUGGCUGCCCAAUAACUUGGAUAUUGCCCACAAUGCCUUGUCUUCUCUUCAAGUCCAAUUCAUGAUGUCUUACACCUUGAAUUGCAUUUUCAAUCCAUAUUUUCUCAAUUAAUCCAUUUAAAGCAGCUUGCAUCUUUUUUGCUCUAGCUCUUGUAAUUGGGCCUCCAUGAAUGUACAAAGGAUUACUUGAAGCUUUAAUGGUAUUCCCUUGAAGGUUCUCAUCAAUUGUUCUCAGCCUGACAUGGUUCUCAAGUUUCACUCAUCAACGUACGCAGGUUCAUAAAGUUGAGUCUCCUUGUUGGUCCCUUGUUGGUCGAUUUCUAUAAUCAAUUAUUAUCAAUGCCAAUGUGCAAGUAUACACAACAAGUAAUAAAGUGAUAAGUAUUCAAGAUCGUCUCCACAGGGAUUGAUGUUACUCAAAAUGUUAAAGCAAUCACAAUAGUGCAAAUCAACUAAAGACCGAAACAAACAAUUGUCAAAUAAUUCUAUCGUAACUAAUAAUGGAAAUAAACAAUACUGUAAUGAAAUAAACUAAGUUAAAUGUGUCUAAGAUUCAAUUGAGAAUAUAGUAGUUGAAUGAUCAAACUCUCCUAAUGGGGUGAUUGUUGUUUACCAAAUUAGCACCAGUUGUUACAAUAAGUGCUGCAGCAAUGGGUAGAAUAAAUCUGCAUCUGCAGCUAUCGCAUGUUGGAAAUCUCAUACCUUUAAAUCUACUAACAAUGACCAGUUGCUCAUAUAUUUAUGGUACGACAUUAUAACCUUUAAUCUCUCCACCCUACAAGGUGAACACCUAUGUUUAGAGUGUCACAAAUCUUAACUUCAAGUAUUGCCCUUAUGCGAUUCAAGGAAACCUAAUCCAGGAAACUCGACUUAAGAACAAGUAAUACUCUAAUAAUGUCCGCUAAGACAUGCCCUUUUUCUGCUCUAUCUUAACUGAAACUAUUAAAUGGGUGGUCAACUAUAGAGUAUAAUGCUACAGCAUUACUAUAACAACAUACAAGAACAGUCAAGAACCCAUUGGAUUAUUUGUCACUCAACCACAAGUAAAUUUAGUUCACAAUCUGGAUGAGAAAAAUAAACACAAAUAUAUUGAUCUUGGAAUACAUCUAAAUAAUUGAAGGAAGAAGAGAAAAUAUAAGUUGAGCACGAUGAAAAACAAAAUAAUUCUGCACGGUUCUUUUCUUUGUUUCCGAAUAGCACUCCUCAAUCUUGAUCUCCUUCUUCUCGCCUUUUUAAUUAUUUUUUAUGAUAAUUCCCAGCCGCCUUUCUAUGUGGUGCACGCCUCCUUUUAUAUUGCAAAUUAGGGUAAAAGACCCAAAGUCCAUGCGCGUGCAUGCGUUUAAAUUAGGAAACAUGCAGAUCACAAUUUUGUGGCUGACCCACGCUUUAAGCUUUCUCCUGCUUUGCUCUCUGAUUGCUGCAGCACUGGUUGCUCUAGCAUCCACAACAGCACUGCAUUAUUCUCGAUUGUGCUUGUCUUCUUUUGUGGCCAUCUUCUUUCCUCGUCUUGCUCAUCUAAUGUCUUAGCAUCCCCUUAUGAAUUUAAAACCUACAAUUAUGCACUUGUUUUUAGCACAAAUUACUUGAUUUAAACAAAACUUAUUAAAACCCAACUAAAAUGAAUGUUUAUGCAAAAGGUAAUCAAAAUGUAAUAAAAACACCUUAUUUGCUCUCUAAAUGAUCUUGAUUUAAGUCUAGAAUUGAUGUAAUAACUCUCAUUCCCUAAAGUUAUCACACCCCCAAACUUAAACUAUUACUUGUCCUCAAGUAAUGACACAUACUAACACUUCACACAAAAAAAAAUCAUUCACGCAAAUUUUGCUCUUUUAUCAACUUUGCAAGGAUUCUUCCACCUUCAGAUCAUAUUCUCAAUCAUCCAAGAUGACUAUAGUAAAUUAGUCUGAGACUUAAGCUUCUUUCUAUCCAUAGUGUGUGUGUGCUCUUUCAGUUCCAGAAUCUGCUCAAAUCAAUGAGUCCCAGUUUCCCAUCAUGAGUCCUUACAAUCUCUACAAACAGAAAACUUCUUUCACUAGAAGUAUUCGGACCCUCAUCUCCACUAAAAGACCACUCCCAAACUUCUUUCACAUACUCAACUGUGAUUAUUUUAGGAUUGACAAACUAGGGAAUAUUUAACCUCCUCACUGUAACAUUUAUCUUUCAUGUGAAUGCCAAUCAAUUGUAAUGAUGACACCCAACUAUUCAAACCAUGCCCAGAUUAGAGUUGUUGCAGCAGUAAUUGUAAUGUAAUCUUAUCUAGAAAUAUCUUUUACUCAAGGCUGAACAUGGGGCUCAUGAACAAACCUGGCUACUCAAUGCCUUAGACAGAAGAUUUUUUUUUUUUUUAUGUAUGCUAGCAUUGCUCAUAACUCUCGUUACCUUUGAACAUAAGUCUGCAUAUGGGGUACAUACUCAGAUCUGGUUACUCAGCAACUCGAGCCAUUAGAACAGAUUGUAUUCCAUAGAUAUCACAGUUAUUCAAACUUGCUUCUUCCCACCCCCCAAACUUGAGAUCUUUUCUCUUCUUUCGGCUUUGCUCUAACAGUCUCAUAUAAUUCAACCAAAGUCUAAGUGUCGGGACAGAAUGUCACUUUCAUCUAUAACUAUCUCUACUUGGCAUAUAUAUAUUGAAUAGCACUCAAUUUAUCUUCAUUAGGCUUUCAAAUCCAUACACAAAUAUUAGAUAAUAGAGCUCCACACCACACAAACAUAAACACAUGCAUACAAACCUAAACAUAUGCAUUCGGGAACACAACCCCCCCCCCCCCAAACUUGAGAGUUGUUGUGUCCUCACAAGCAAACAUAACAAAUGCACACAACUGGACAAGGAUAUGGAAGACCUUAGAAAAUACCACACAAAUUGAAAAACAAUUUUUUUUUUUAGAAAAACAAACUAAUAAGGAAAGAGUACUCCCCUGUGGUGGGGACUAUAGCACAUGAUGGGAUACUAUCAGUGCUUCUUGGAUGCAUUGCGCAACUUAUCCUUUGGUGAAGCUUUUGGAGAAGUAGUUGGCAAUGGCUUUGUCUUUUUCGCUGCGGGGCUAGCGAGAGGAGUUGGGGUUGGGGUUGCUGUAGCCGUACCUGUAGAUGUACUGCCUUUGCGUUUACUGGAUUGUCUUGGACUGGUGCGAAUAGGCUGGCUAGGAGUUUGCUGGAGAGGCUUUGUAGUUAAUGCAUCCGCUGCCUGACCCUCAGUCGUGAUGGCAGCAAUGACCGCAAGUAGUUGCUUGGCUUGCUCAGGUGUAGGCAUAGCUCUGGCUGCUGUAGCAGCUAGUUCAGCAUCGACUUGCUCCAUUUCAUCUUCAGAGGCUGGAGGUGUUGCCAUUUUUGCUUUGCCCUUGGCCUUUCUCUUGCUCGCGAGGACUGGAAUAGACAGCUCCUCUUCAAAGUCUUCCUCUUCCUCUUCUUGAAUAAUGUGCUUUUUCCUGGUUUUGGGCUGGGCUGGAAUGGUUGGUUCCUCACAUUCCUGCUCCGAAUUGUCCUCUACUUCUAUGGGUGAGCUAUCAGUCUCAAACUUGUCACAUUUUUCCUCAGGCUGGUCAAAUGGUUCAGCAUCUUUUGAUUCUUCCUUUGCUUGUGGUUCGGCUGCAGCAUCUUCUGCUGGGUCCUCUAUGGCAGUGGCUUCUGCACUAGCCUCUGUUGGAGCAUCUGCGGUGUGGGUGUCAAAAUUAAACUGUUGGAACAGUGCAUCAGGGAAGUUCCGGUGAGUGCGUUUCAUGUACAGAGCAAAUUGGUGUAGUUGGUUGUCCAGGUGCUGUAGAUAACUCCAAAACCAACCAUUUUCCCUCUGCUGAGCUUCCACACAUUGAGUUAUACUGUUGAUGGUGCCUGGAUAGUCUAUUCUAAGCCAAUAACUCAUCUUGCUCCUAUGACAACAGCUGGUUCAGUAGUUGUUCCAACACUCUCACCAGCAACUCUCUCAAUGGUACGUGCCGUAAAGGCACCAUCAUUUUUUACAUGUUCAUCGCUGGCGUCAAGACGAACACCUGAAACUACACAAAUGCUGGUGACGAGUGAGGGAAAUAACAAGGCAGCAGUUCGGUGAGUUUUGACUGCACAAUCUCGAAUUUCUUUCGCAUUGAUGCUACCUAUGUCUAUAGGAAGCCCUCAAACUAUGACAUAUAAUAAGACCAACCUUUCUUGCGAAACUGUAGUAGUGUGAGUGGUGGGCAUAAGCCUAGAUUUCAGAAAUUUCACCCACACCUUAGCAAUAGGUUUCAAAUCUAUCCUAUUAACUACACGCCCUUCCUCGUUAGCCCAUGAUGCCCCUUCAAUUGUAAGAGUUAUGAAAAUGGUGUUCCACUUUUUCGGGGUUAACUUAUCACGCAACUUAGCAUACUCACAAGUAAUUUCAGUAGGUAAGUCAUAGAAAGCAUUGAUAACGCGAGAGUCUAAUGGGACAAGUGUAUUUCUUACCCAAAUGUUGUGCUGAUCAGGGCUUACCAAAUUAGCGUAAAAUUCUUUGACUACAGGCAGCACAGGAUCUCGAGGGUGGUUGUAAAACUCUAGCCAUUCUCGCUUUGCUACAGCAUUAUGAAUUGUUUGCACAAUUCCCGCGAGUUGGUCUGGGAAUUGAAACCCUUUUUCUUCCAGAAUCCGACGCGGCUUUAUGAAUUCCUCAUAUUUUUCUUCAGCGUGGUAACUCUAGAAUCGUGACGAAUCUUUGAGGCGGCUUGUUGUUUUCUUGUAUCUCGGCAUUACUGUAGCAGUAACAAAUUGAGGCUACUGUUCCUGAAAGUAAAAAGAGAAGAAGAGGUUAAGAAGUAGGAGAGUUGGAUUUGUGAAGGAGAUGGGGAAUAGUGGCAUAGAGAACUAAGCACAGUGACUCCUUUUUAUAGUGGACUAGUAAUUGGAGAUAAAUACGGUAAUUUGAAAUAAUUAACGGAAUAAAAUAUUUUGAAUUAAAUGUGCAUAUCCCAAAAUCAUCGGCCAGUGAAUUUAAAGCUUUAAUUUCGGAGAUUUGUUUCCGCAAUUUUUAUCCAUAUCCAUGCAUCCAUCUGUCACGAUUUUAUCUCCAACGGUAAGUGAAAGGCUCCAGCUUUUAAUUUACUGUAACGGUAAAAUUAGCUGUUGCAGCAUCCAUUCGCUUAUUCUAACAACGGAUACAUACUCCCCACGAAAGCUUCUGACGCGUGGUUCACCUCUGAAUUCUGCCACCAUACACUCUCACGUGUCAAUAUGGAAUUCAAUUGUCACACUUACUAAAAUUAAGUCUAAAAUUAUUAAAAGAAAUAGAUAUAUCAAAUUAAAGUGAAAAUAAAGUAUGUAAUAAUGGAAAAGGAUAAAAAUAAAUGGUUAAUAUGGAAAAACAAGAUUAAAUAAAAUGUAAAAGAAGAAGAACAAUUGCUAUCUUGUGUCUGACUCCAUAUUUUAUCAUUGUUACAGCAAAGAUUUUAUUGCAAAAAUGUGUGCCUUCAUCACUGAUAAUUGCUCUAGGAGUGCCAAACCUGGAAAAAACAUUUUUCUGAAGAAAAGUCACCACGGUUUUAGCAUCAUUGGUAGGGAAUGCUGCAGCUUCUACCCACUUGGAGACAUAAUCCACAGUAACAAGGAUAUAUAAGUUCCCAAAGGAUUGGGGAAAAGGUCCCAUGAAAUCUAUUCCCCAAACAUCAAAAACUUCCACUUCCAGUAUGUUAGUCAAUGGCAUCUCAUGUCUGCUAGUUAUGUUCCCAAUCCUUUGACACCUGUCACAACAUUUAACAAAUUCAUAAGCAUCUUUAAAAAUAGUGGGCCAAUAAUAACCUGAUUGCAUAACUUUUGCAGCUGUUCUGUGACCACCAAAAUGUCCUCCAUAUGCUGCAGCUUGACAUGACUCCAGUAUAUGAGGUAUUUCUUCUGCUGCAACACACCUUCUUAUUACUUGAUUUGAGCAUAGCUUAUAUAAAUGUGGGUCAUCCCACUGAUAACUUCUAACAUCAUGAAGAAAUUUCUUUUUCUCUUGAAACUUCAACUCAGGUGGUAGUAACCCACUUACUAAGUGGUUAGCAAAGUCUGCAUACCAAGGAGAUUCUGAUUGCUGCAGCAUCUGUGCUUGCUGUACUACCAAUAGUUGUUCAUCAGGAAAAGUUUCGGUGAUGCCCUUCCUUGUCAAUGUACUAGAGUUUGCUUCCAGCCGUGACAAGUGGUCUGCCACUUGAUUCUCAGUCCCCUUUCUAUCUUUAAUUUCCAGAUCAAAUUCUUGAAGCAAUAAGAUCCAUCUGAUUAAUCUUGGUUUGGCAUCCUUCUUUGAAAUUAAAUAUUUGAUGGCUGCAUGGUCUAUGUAAACAGUUACUUUAGUACCCACCAGGUAAGCUCUGAAUUUGUCAAAAGCAAAAACUACUGCUAGCAACUUUUUCUUUGUAGUGGUGUAAUUGAUCUGAGUUGGAGUGACUGUUUUGCUUGCAUAGUAUAUGGAAUGAAAAACCUUAUCCUUUCUUUGCCCUAAUACUGCUCCCAUAGAAUGAUCACUAGCAUCACACAUCAAUUCAAAUGGUAAAGCCCAAUCUGGAGAUAUAAUUACUGGAGCAGUGAUCAGAGCUUUCUUUAAUUCUCCAAAUGCUUGAAGGCACUCUUUGUCAAAGUGAAAUGGUUUGUCAUGCUCUAGCAAUGAACACAGAGGCUUAGCUACUUUGGAAAAAUCCUUAAUGAAUCUUCUGUAGAAUCCAGCAUGACCUAAAAAACUCCUAAUACCCUUUACUGAAGUUGGAGGUGGCAGUUUAUCUAUUACCUCUAUCUUGGCUUUGUCUACCUCAAUACCAUCCUUGGAUAUCUUGUGACCCAUCACUAUUCCUUCUUGCACCAUAAAAUGGCACUUUUCCCAAUUGAGUACUAAGUUGGUCAUCUCACGUCUUUUAAGAACUUCUUCCAAGUUGUAUAAACAAUCCUUGUAUUUUUCCCCAAAAACUGAGAAGUCAUCCAUGAAAGCUUCCAAGGUCUGCUCUACCAUAUCAGAAAAUAUAGACAUCAUGCAUCUCUAAAAAGUUGUUGGAGCAUUGCAUAGCCCAAAUGGCAUUCUUCUGAAGGCAAAUGUUCCAUAGGGACAAGUAAAUGUAAUCUUUUCUUGAUCCACUGGAGCUAUAGCAAUCUAGUUGUAGCCUGAAUACCCAUCUAAGAAGCAGUAGUACUGUUUUCCAGCAAGUUUGUCCAACAUCUGAUCUAUGAAUGGAAGUGGGAAAUGGUCUUUCCUUGUGGCUUUGUUGAGCUUCCUGUAAUCCAUACACACUCUCCAUCCAGUCAAUGUCCUUGUAGGAAUAAGUUCAUUCUUCUCAUUAGCCAUUAUUGUUAUCUCUCCUUUCUUUGGAACACAUUGAACUGGGCUUACCCAUGAACUGUCUGAUAUUGGGUAUAUGACUCCAGCAUCUAACCAUUUGAUGAUUUCCUUCUUCACCACUUCUUUCAUAAUAAGAUUCAGCAUUCUCUGGUGCUCCACCGAAUUGCUGGAACAAUUCUAUAACAAGAUUUUAUGCAUACAUAUGGAUGGGCUUAUCCCCUUUAUAUCUGCCAUGGUCCAUCCAAUUGCUUUUCUGUAUUUUCCCAGCAAAUCUACUAGACUCUAUUCUUGACCUGCAUCCAAAGUAGAAGAAAUGAUUACAGGGAGUGUGUUGUUUUGACCAAGAUAAGCAUACUUUAAAUGUGAAGGUAACAGUUUUAAUUCAAAACUAGGAGGUGAUUCAAUAGAUGGUAAAGUUGUUUUUACUUCCCUGUCUGAAAGAUUCAGAUGUUCAAUAAACCUAUUGUGCCUAUCAGAUUGCUGUUUAUCCAUCCAAUCUAUUUGGAUUGUUGUAACAUCUUCCUCUUCAACAUCCUCAAAGGUUGUGACUUUGUCAAGUACAUUACUGCAGCAUCUGUCUAUUUUUUUUGCUACACCAAGAUCUACUACACUUAGGAAAUUGUAAUCUUUUACUUCAUCAGGGUUCCUCAUAGCCUCUAGUACAUUAAAUGUGACUUGCUGAUCAUUCACUCUCAUGGUGAGCUCACCUUUCUGCACAUCUGUCAAAGUUUUUCGAGUGCUAGAAAAGGUCUCCAAGUCUAAUGGGUACCUCUUUGUCAGCUUCAAAGUCCAGCACAAUGAAAUCCACUGGAAAGAUGAAUUUGUUCAACGUUCACCAAUACAUCCUCUAUCUUUCCUUCAGGGUAUGCAUGAGAUCUGUCAGCUAAUGCAGAGUGACUGUUGUUGGUCUGCACUCCCCUACUCCUAGCUGCUUAAAUACAGAUAAUAGCAUCAAAUUAAUACUAGCUCCCAAGUCACAAAGUGCUCUGCCAGUAUACCUAGUCCAUAUAGAACAUGGUAUUGUAAAACUCCCUAGAUCUUUCAAUUUUGUGGGAAUUUUACUCUGGAGCAUAUGACUGCUUUCCUGUGUUAAAGCAACAGUUUCAAACUCUCCCAGCCUUCUUUUUCGUGCCAAGAUAUCUUUUAGAAAUUUCACAUAAUUUGGCAUUUGCUUCAAAGCUUCCACAAAAGGUAUAUUUAUGUGCAGUUGCUUCAACACUUCCAGGAAUUUGUUGAAUUGCUUGUCUUGUUUUUGCUUCUGGAACCUUUGUGGGAAAGGUGGUGGAUGUCUAAACUGCUGGGUAGCUUUAGGAGAUACCAAACUUUGUUUGUUUGAUUUGGUGCAAGUUGUAACUACUGGUGUUGUGACUUCUUUUUCAGCAUGUUCUGAUUGAAUUUCCUCUGUAGUUGUUGUAGCUUGGCCCAUGUAACCAGUGUCUUGAAUAGGAGUUUGCUGUAACAAGCUUCCCUUUUGAGUUGGUUCUUGUGCUGAAUUGUAUUCCAUCCCUUUUUUGGUCACCUUUGGUUCUUGUGCUGAAUUGUAUUCCAUCCCCUUUUUAGUCACCUUUGGUUCUUGUGCUGAAUUGUAUUCCAUCCCCUUUUUGGUCACCUCAACUAGGAUAUCAACAUUCUUUCUAGAUCUCAAACUAAUUACUUUGCAUUGUUCUUUGCUCUCUCUCCUAGGGUCUUCUGUGUUGCUAGGUAGGCUUCCUUGAGUUCUGCUGCUCAUUGCUGUAGCUAGUUGUCCCAUUUGGUUCUCAAGGUUUCUCAAGGACACAGCUUGACUUUGCACAAUUGCUUCAUUCUUUACAAUAUACUUCUUGAUCAGUGCAUCCAGUGAAGUAAUUGGAUCCUGACUAAUAUGCUUUUGCCCUUGAAUUUGUUGUGAAAACNNNNNNNNNNNNNNNNNNNNNNNNNNNNNNNNNNNNNNNNNNNNNNNNNNNNNNNNNNNNNNNNNNNNNNNNNNNNNNNNNNNNNNNNNNNNNNNNNNNNAUUGCAUCAAUGUUAUGUACCCUGCUGAUCCUCUUGCUGCUGGUUGCCUGGUUGAAGGCCACUGGUAAUUAUUGUUGGCAAUUCUUUCUAGAAUUUCAUAAGCUUCAGUGUAAGAUUUGGAUAACAGAGCUCCAUUUGCUGAAGCAUCUACCAUUAACCUUGUACUUGGAUUUAACCCAUUGUAGAAAGUUUCCAAUUGAAUGCAACAAGGGAUGCCAUGAUGAGGACACCUUCUGAAUAAUUCCUUGAAUCUUUCCCAUGCCUCGUACAAACUUUCAUCUUUAAGUUGAUGGAAGGAAGUAAUCUCAUUCCGCAGUUUUGCAUUUUUUGUUGGUGGGAAAUAUUUCAUUAGGAAUUUAUCAGCCAAUUCAUUCCAUGUAGUGAUGGAAUCAGAGGGUAACGAAUUUAACCAUGCUCUUGCUCGAUCUCUUAAGGAAUAAGGGAAGAGCCUCAGCCUUAAGGCAACUUGUGUCGCACCAGCAAUCUUGAAAGCAUCACUUACUUUCAAGAACAAUUUAAGAUGGAGAUGAGGAUCUUCAUUAGGCAAUACAUUGAAUUGUCCCACUGUUUGUAACAUUUGAAACAUCACUGGUUUCAACUCAAAAUUUGCUGCUUCUACCUCAGGUCUGAUGAUCCCAGGGUGUACAACUUGCGGGGUUAGUACAGCAUAAUCUCUUAUAGCUCUGUCUCUAUCAUCAGCCAUGUAAAUAAUAUUUUUGUUGCCUUGCUGUCUCCCGUUGGCAUGUUCAUUCUGCUCUUCUUGAAUGUUGACUGGUUGUAGGGGCCCGUGAUGAUUCAAAUUUUGCGCAUCCUGUAAAUUAUUCAUGCUUGGAGCACUUUCUGAAUUCCUUUGUUCUCUUCAUAGUCUCCUGACAGUCCUUUCAAUCUCAGGAUCGAAUUGGAAUGCCACAAAUCUGUCUUUGCACAUGCAUGUACCGAUCUGCCAAUAAAUAGAAUAAAUCAAAUCAAAUUUGGUGCUAUCAAGAUUUACUUCACACUAAAAAAAUAAAUAAUCAAUCCCCGGCAACAGCGCCAAAAACUUAUUGGUUGAUUUCUAUAAUCAAUUAUUAUCAAUGCCAAUGUGCAAGUAUACACAACAAGUAAUAAAGUGAUAAGUAUUCAAGAUCCUCUCCACAAGGAUUGAUGUUACUAAAAAUGUUAAAGCAAUCACAAUAGUGCAAAUCAACUAAAGACCGAAACAAACAAUUGUCAAAUAAUUCUAUCGUAACUAAUAAUGGAAAUAAAACAAUACUGUAAUGAAAUAAACUAAGUUAAAUGUGUCUAAGAUUUAAUUGAGAAUGAUCAAACUCUCCUAAUGGGGUGACUGUUGUUUACCAAAUUAGCACCAGUUGUUACAAUAAGUGCUGCAGCAAUGGGUAGAAUAAAUCUGCAUCCGCAGUUAUCGCAUGUUGGAAAUCUCAUACCUUUAAAUAUACUAAAAAUGACUAGUUACUCAUAUAUUCAAGAUCGUCUCCACAGGGAUUGAUGUUACUCAAAAUGUUAAAGCAAUCACAAUAGUGCAAAUCAACUAAAGACCGAAACAAACAAUUGUCAAAUAAUUCUAUCGUAACUAAUAAUGGAAAUAAAACAAUACUGUAAUGAAAUAAACUAAGUUAAAUGUGUUUAAGAUUUAAUUGAGAAUGAUCAAACUCUCCUAAUGGGGUGACUGUUGUUUACCAAAUUAGCACCAGUUGUUACAAUAAGUGCUGCAGCAAUGGGUAGAAUAAAUCUGCAUCCGUAGUUAUCGCAUGUUGGAAUCUCAUACCUUUAAAUAUACUAACAAUGACCAAUUGCUCAUAUAUUUAUGGUACGACAUUAUAACCUUUAAUCUCUCCACCCUAUAAGGUGAACACCUAUAUCUAGAGUGUCACAAAUCUUAACUUCAAGUAUUGCCCUUAUGGGAUUCAAGGUAACCUAAUCCAGGAAACUCGACUUAAGAAUAAGUAAUACUCUAAUAAUGUCCGCUAAGACAUGCCUUUUUACUGCUCUAUCUUAACUGAAACUAUUAAAUGGGUGGUCAACCAAAAUAACAGUUGUAUUCAUAAAAACUACUAGAGUAUAAUGCUACAACAUUACUAUAACAACAUACAAGAACAUUCAAGAACCCAUUGGAUUAUUUGUCACUCAACCACAAGUAAAUUUAGUUCACAAUCUGGAUGAAAAAAAUAAACACAAAAAUAUUGAUCUCGGAAUACAUCUAAAUAAUUCAAGGAAGAAGAGAAAAUAUAAGUUGAGCACGAUGAAAAACAAAAUAAUUCUGCACGGUUCUUUUCUUUGUUUCCGAAUAGCACUCCUCAAUCUUGAUCUCCUUCUUCUCGCCUUUUUAAUUAUUUUUUAUGAUAAUUCCCAGCCGCCUUUCUAUGUGGUGUACGCCUCCUUUUAUAUUGCAAAUUAGGGUAAAAGACCCAAAGUCCAUGCGCGUGCAUGCGUUUAAAUUAGGAAACAUGCAUAUCACAAUUUUAUGGCUGACCCACGCUUUAAGCUUUCUCCCGCUUUGCUCUCUGAUUGCUGCAGCACUGGUUGCUCUAGCAUCCACAACAGCACUGCAUUAUUCCUGAUUGUGCUUGUCUUCUUUUGUGGCCAUCUUCUUUCCUCCUCUUGCUCAUCUAAUGUCUCAGCAUCCCCUUAUGAAUUUAAAACCUACAAUUAUGCACCUGUUUUUAGGACAAAUUACUUGAUUUAAACAAAACUUAUUAAAACCCAACUAAAAUGAAUGUUUAUGCAAAAGGUAACCAAAAUGUAAUAAAAACACCUUAUUUGCUCUCUAAAUGAUCUUGAUUUAAGUCUAGAAUUGAUGUAAUAACUCUCAUUUCCUAGAGUUAUCACUCCUCUACAUUGAGUGUCCGAUAGUUUUCAUAGUAAGGCUUCAACCUAUGACCAUUAAACUUGAACUCUUUACCUAUCUUUAAGCUCUCAAUCUUAACUGCACCAUGAGGAAAAACAUUAAUAACAAUAAAAGGCCCAACCCAUCGAGAACGUAGCUUACCUGGAAACAACUUAAGGUGAUAAUGGAAUAACAAAACUUUCUGUCUAACUUCAAAGUUCUUUCUCAAGAUCUGCUUGUCAUGAAAAGCCUUAGUCUUUUCCUUAUAGAUUCGUGAAUUCUCAUAGGCAUCAUUUUAAAUUUCCUCUAAUUCUUGCAAUUGGAGCUUUUUGUGUUGGUCAGCAGUGUCUAGUUUCAUGUUACAGUGUUUCAUAGCCCACCAUGCUUUAUAUUCAAGUUCCACUGGAAGAUGACAAGGCUUACCAUAUACCAAACUCUAGGGUGACAUACCAAUAGGUGUUUUGUAUGCGGUCUUAUAUGCCCAACCAAAGUGCAUCAUCAAGCUGUAGGCUCCAGUCCUUUCUAUUCGAAUUAAUUGUCUUUUCAAGGAUUGAUUUCACUUGCCUAUUAGACGCCUCAGCUUGCCCACUAGUUUGUGGAUGGUAGGAUGUAGACACCUUGUGAGUGAUGUUGUACUUUCGAAAGAGGGCUUAUACUGAUCUGUUACAAAAGUGAGUGCCUCUAUCACUGAUAAUUGCCUUCGGCGUUCUAAGCCUUGCAAAGAUGUUACACUUUAUAAAAUCUACCACAACCUUAGAAUCAUCAGUUCGGGUGGCUUUUGCUUCCACCCAUUUUGAAACAUAAUCAACCGCAAGAACAAUAUAGAGAUUACCAAACGAUGAAGGAAAUUAUCCCAUGAAAUCAAUGCCCAAACAUAAAAAAUCUCAACUAUAAGAAUGAGAGAUUGUGGCAUUUGAUUUCUAGGUCCCAAAUUACAUGUUCUCUGACAAUGAUCACAAGAUUUGCAAAAUAAAUAUGCAUCCUUAAAUAAUAAUGGCCAAUAAAAACCACUCGCAAGUACCUUAAGGGCUGUUCUGUUAGGUCCAAAAUGUCCUCCAUAAGCCAGAGUAUGACAAAAUGUGAGAGUAGAAGAAAAUUCAGUUUCGGGUAUGCACCUUCUAAUAACUUGAUCAGAACAAUGCUUCCACAAGAAUGGCUCAUCUCAUACAUAGUACUUGGCAUCACUCUUGAUCUUGGUCUUUUGUGCACAGGUUAGCUCUUCUGGUACUGUCCUGGUAACUAAGUAAUUGCCAAUAUCUGCAUACCAAGGAGUAACUGUACCUAUCUGUAAUAUAUGUGCAUCUUCGUUAUAGGUAAGUCGACUCAAAUGGUUUGCCACCAAAUUCUCAGAACCUCUCUUAUCUAGAAUCUCUAAGUCAAAUUCUUACAAUAAAAGUAUCCAUUAAAUAAGGUGCGGUUUGGCAUCCUUUUUGGUGAGCAAGUACCUAAUAGCUGCAUGGUCAGAGUAAACAAUUACCUUAGAUCCAAUCAAAUAAGAACAAAAUUUUUCUAAGGCAAAGAAAACUGCUAAAAGUUCUUUCUCUGUGCUGGAGUAGUUGAGUUGUGCAUCAUUCAAUGUACGAGAGGCAUAAUAGAUGACAUGAGGAAGCUUGCCCACACGUUGGCCUAACACGACUCCAACAACAUAGUCACUGGCAUCACAUAUGAUCUCAAAUGGUAAAUCCUAGUUCGGUGGUUGAAUCACAGGGGCCAAUGUCAAAACCUCUUUUAACUUCUCAAAUGCUCUUUAGCACUCUUCAUUGAAGUCAAACGUUGCAUUCUUUUGAAGUAAGUUACAAAGGGGUAAUGCUAUCUUAGAGAAGUCCUUGAUGAACCUACAAUAGAAACUUGCAUGACCAAGAAAAGAACGAACCUCCCUCACGCUAGUGGGAGGUGGUAAAGAGCGAAUAAGAUUUAUCUUAGAUUUAUUAACUUCAAUUCCCCUUUCAGAAAUAACAUGGCCUAGUACAAUUCUUUGAUUAACCAUAAAAUGACAUUCUUCCCAAUGAAGCAUAAGGUUGGUGUCAAUGCAUCGUUUAAGCACAAGUAUAAGGUUAUCUAAAAAUCUGUCGAAAGAAUCACCAUAAAUCGUAAAAUCAUCCAAAAAUACCUCAAUGAUGUUUUCCACAUAAUCAGAAAAAAUACUCAUCAUACACCUUUGGAAAGUGGCAGGAGCAUUACAGAGACCAAACGACAUGCGUCGGUAAGCAAAUGUGCCAAAGGGGCAUGUGAAGGUCGUUUUCUCUUGGUCUUCCGGAGUGAUAACGAUCUGAUUAUAACAUGAGUAACCAUCAAGAAAACAAUAAUGAGAGCGACCACUUAACCUUUCAAGCAUUUGAUCAAUGAAUGGCAAAGGAAAAUGAUCCUUGCGAGUGGCUGCAUUCAGUUUACGAUAGUUAAUGCAAACUCUCCACCAGUUUGAACUCUUGUUGGCACAAGCUUGUUUUCUUCAUUCUUGACCACUAUGAUACUUGAUUUUUUUGGAACUAUCUGCACAUGACUCACCCAUUUACUAUCAGAAAUGGGAUAAAUAAUCCCCACAUUAGGAGUUUCAGUAUCUCCUUUUUUACGACUUCCAUCAUCGGUGGAUUAAGGCGACGUUGUGCAUCUUUCGUUGGUUUAGACCAUUCCUCUAGUAAAAUGUGAUGCAUACACAUAGAAGGACUAAUUCCCUUGUAAUGCCGAAGAACCCUAAUUAACUUUUUUUGUUGAACUAAAGUGAGGGUUUUAACAAUUAUGACUAGAAGUGCUUCAUUCUCACCCAAGAAAAUAUAUUGCAGGUGCUCUGGGAGUGACUUAAGUUCUAAGGUAGGUGCCUGCAAAACUGAAGGUAAAAGUUUCUCGUUUACUAAUGGCAAUUCAAGGUAAGAAACAUUAUACCCAUUGGUGGGUAAUGGGACUGCUCCAUCUAAGAUCGCCAUAGCUUCCUUUACCUUAUCAUUGAACUUUAUCAAAUUUGUCUGUUCCUUAGAAUCAUCUUUCGUAAGAUUUUUGCGUAUGGCAAUUUCAAAACUAUCAUUACUAGAUAACUCAAAGAAAUCCUGCGCCAAAGUAUUAAUAUCAUCUAUGGUAAAGACAGAAAGUACAUCACUGGGAUACCUUAUUGCCUCAAAGAUAUUGAAGCGGAUCACUUCACCAUCGAAUUCCAUUGUGAGGGUUCCAUUGUGAACAUCAAUCUUGGUUCAGAAUGUCUUAAGGAAUGGUUGCCCCAACAGUAUAGUAGUGGGAUUGGGCAAUGACUCAUCCUCCAUUUCAAAGAUAUAAAAAUCAGCUAGAAAGACCAAUUCAUUGACCUGCACAAGAACAUCUUCCACAACCCCUUUGGGGUAAGCAUUAGAUCUAUCGGCCAAUUGAAUAAUUAUACCAGUUUCUUCCAUUGGACCUAAAUUCAAGGAGUUAUAAAUCGAAUAUGGCAUGACACUGAUUAACGCCCUUAAAUCUAGCAUACAUCUUUCGAAUAUAGUAUUGCCAAUAGUGUAGGGGAUAGUAAAAGUAUCUAGAUCCUUGCACUUAGGAGGAAGUUUUCUUUGAAGUAUAGCAGAAACAUUCUCUUCUAGAUUUACCUUUUCGUUACCGCUCAACUUUCGCUUGUUGCUACAUAAUUCCUUCAAAAACUUUAUAUAACGCAGCACCUGUUUAAUAGCAUCAAGUAAUAGAAUAUUUACCUCUACUUUACGAAAGGUCUCAAGGAUCUCCUUUUCUUGCUCCUCUUUCUUGGAUUGUUUAAACCUACUAGGAAAUAGUGGAGGAAUGGAAAGGGUCUUAAUUUGAGGUGAAUGGGUACUUACUUGGCUAGAUAGGUUGACUGGCAAUGCAGAGUGGUAAUCAUCUUUGUUAAAGGAAGAGCCUCAGGGGAGAGAUUGGUCACAGAGUACGAUGAUGUUGUGGACACUUUUGAUGGCUUAGCUAAUAAUAGUUCCAACUACUUUCCGCUCCUAAGAAACAUUGCAUUAGCAUUCUCCUUUGGAUUAAUUUAUGGUUGAGAAGGUAACUUUCCUAAUGUUCUAGCCUCUAUCCUACUCAUAGAUGUGGCCAGUUGGCCAAUUUGAUUCUCUAAAUGUUGGAGCUGUGUCUGGGUAGUCUGUUGGAACUGCAUAGAGUUUUGAGGAGGUGGAGGUGGUCGAACUUGGUAAGGUCGUUACAUCUGCUGUUGGGGGUAGCUCGGUGGUCGAGACGGUGCCACAUUAGGGAUGCCUUGUUAUUGGUUUCCAUACCUAAAAUUAGGGUGAUCCUUCCACCCUUCCUUGUAAAACCUUAGAGUAGGGAUCAUACUUUUGUCUUGGUUGGCCUAGGAACCCCUCAACUGCGUUGGCCUGCUCAUGUGAACCCUCUUGGAGAGCAGGGCACAUAUCAGUCGCAUGCCCGACCAUGGAACAAACGCCACACAAUCUCACUUGUUGCCCCAGGGCUAAUUAUUGCACCAAAGAAGUAAGAUUUGAAACUUGUUGUUCGAGGGAAGUAGUACUUACCUCGUUGACUCGCUUAAGUGGCUGCAGUAGAUUGUUCCUAGUGUUGAACUAUUGGGAAUCAGCAGCCAUGUUAGCAAUGAGAUUUUGGGCUGCUUCUAGUGUCUUAUCCAUGAGUGCUCCUCCACUAGAGGCAUCAAUCAUACUCCUAUCCAUAGGCAGUAGACCCUCAUAAAAGUACUGAAUAAGGAGUUGAUACUUAUCUGAUGGUGGGGCAGCUAGCACAAAGCUUUUUGAAUCGUUCCCAGUAGUCAUAAAGUGACUCUCCAUUAUAUUAUAGGAUUCCACAAAUUUCUUUUUGAAUGCUGCCAGCUUUUGAUGCUGGAAAGUAUUUCUCCAAAACUAGUCGAUGCAUCUCAUUCCAUGUAGUGACAAUACCAGAGGGAAGAUAGUACAGCCAUUCCUUGGCAGAAUCUGCCAAAGAGAAUGGGAAGACCAUUAGCUUAACUUGCUCUUUAGAAACUCUGGCUGGUUUCAUUGUGGAGCAUACCACAUGGAACUCCUUCAAGUGCUUAUUUGGGUCAUCUUCUGCAAGACCAUGAAAAGUAGGAAGAAGAUGAAUCAUCCCAGAGUUGAGUUCAAAGUUUACCUAAGGAUUUGGAUUCUCAAUGCAUAAUGGUUGCUGGUCCAAGUUAGGAGCUGCCAACUCUUUAAGUGUUCGGUUGUUGUUUUGAGCCAUUGGUUCGGGUUCUAGGCUGCUUGGCUCUGUCUUCGGGAGUGUGGAUGGCAAAAUCGAGUUCUGAAUGUGAUGAGGUUGCUCUAAGUUGUUCGAGUUUCAGUCAAAUGUCCUCUAUGCUCAUGAAAAUCUAAAUAUAGAAAGAAAAUAACUAAUUAAAAUAAAAUGAGAGAAAAAAUAAGUAAAAACAAUAAAAUAAAACAAGUGAUAAUAAACAAACUAGACGCUAGUCCUCGGCAACGGCGCCAAAAAUUUGGUAAUGUCAUUAGGGUGCACCAAAUUAAAAUCUUACUACUAGUAUAAAUAAUUAGUACAUACCAAGUAAGGAUCGAUCCCACAGAGACUAUGGUAGAUGUAUUUAUUAUCAACUCUAAAGCAAGACUUAAAAUAAAAUAAUAAUAGGAAUAAUAAUAUAAAUUAAUCUAACUAAACAAAAAUGCCAACUAAAAAUAGAAAAGAGGGGAUUUUUUUAAUUUUUAACUAAAUAGCAAGAAAUAAAGAAAUUAAAACUAUGAAAACAAUAAUUUAAUAGAAACUCUAAUUAAAGGUGAAAGAAAUAAUAAUGAUGAAAAACUUUGGUUGAUGAAAAACUUUGGUUAAAGGAUCAUUCGCCACCACCAAACAUGCACAUAAUAUAUUAAUUUUAUCAUCAAUUUCUAUUGAAAAUAUCAACCGUAGACAACAAUAAGCUUUGUUAGUCUCAAUCUUUUCUUAGUGUGUCGCUAGGCAAAACAAGCUCUUCACCUAAUCUCUAACCAUUAAAUAAUUUAAAACAAGCUCUUUAAAUUUAAGAUAACGGAAGCAUUAAGUAGAGAAAGAUGUUAGGUUGAUCUAGGCAAUAAACACACAAGCUCGAAUUAUUUAACCUAGGUUAUAUUCUCCAAUUGAAAUCACUAAUUCCAACCUACUACUAAUGAUUAAAAUAUCAAGACACUUACGGAUCAAGAAUUAUAAUCUAGCAAUAGAAUUUAUUCAAGUCCUAUCUAAUUGGCCACUUAAAUAAAAUAAGAAUAAAAUCAUUAACAUUAAUUAUAAGAGAACAUAAACAAUCUCAAUUAAAUAAAUUGAAUGAUAGAAAUUGAACAUUAAUCAUAUUACAUGUUUGGGGUUUUGAAUUCACCUCAACCAAAUAGAAAAUCUAGCCUAACAUAAUUGAAUUGGGAAUAAAAGAAUUGAUAAAACCAAUCAUGGAGAUUAAUUCAAGAGGCUGCCUUUUGUUUAAUUCCUUUCGGUUUCUCCCUUGUUUUUUUUUCCUUCUUGCGGCUGUUGGUUCCUCAAAUCCUCUUGGCUCCAAAAAAACCCCUUUAAUCAAAAGCCAAAAGUCGGCUUUUAUAAUGCCCAAGAUUGGCCGAAUCUUUAUUGGGUUUUCUUUCCAAUUUAAAGGCAAUUGAUUUCCUUCCCUUGCCAUGCACAUGCCGCCCACUUUGACACUUUCCUUUUUCUUCAUUUUGCUCUCCAUAAUUAAAGCCCAUGCACGUGAACUUAAGCUUUGGCAAGACAUACAUGCAGUCUUUUUAAAUUGGUCAAGUAAAUCCAUGCACAUUAAACAAGUUUCCAUUUUAUGCAUGCUUGUUCCCAAAGUCUUUAUUAAUCUCCAUGAAAUCCCAUAUGCUUCCGAAUGUCUAUCCAUUAAUUAAUUAGCUUCCAAGAAUCUUCAGUUAUUUCCUUUUCUAAUUCGUUCAAGCAGAUUUCUUCUUAAAUGCUCCGAUUUAAUUUCUCUUUAAUCCUAGAAUAUACCUAAAAUAACGAAAUAAAAAAACUAAGAUAAAAAUAACAUAAUAAAAUAUAAUUUACUAAUUAUAAAUUAACUAAAAUAACUAGAAUAUUUAAGACCCAAAACAAGAAAAAGAUGGAUAAAGUAAUAGCAAAAUAUAUGGAAAAUAUACACUUAUCAAGUCCAUGUCAGACCCAUCACAAGUGCUCAUGCAAGAAAUUCAAACAUGUGCUUAAUGGGUUGAUCCAAGCAUCUUGAGCUCAAUCAAAUUUGUGGAGGCCUGUCGAAGGAAUAGCACAUGACAUUCACAACACUAAAGGCAUGAUUCAGCCUCUUGAAGUUUCCAAAUAAUCAUUUCCAUGAAAUCAGCAAGUUGGCUUGCACAUUAUGGCUAGAAAAUAUAUUAUUUUCCUUUUUGGAUACUUUUCGUUUGGAAAAUAUAUUAUUUUUCUUUUCCAAUACUUUCCCAUUUAGAAAAUAUACUACUUUCCUUUUCAGAUACUCUCCUAUUUCUUGAGGAGGUAAAUGGGGAAACAAACUAGUUAUUUCUCUUUUAAUUGCCUAGUUUCUAUUUUAAUUGAUGUAAGGCAUUUAAGCCAAUUAGGAUUCUGAUUUAAUUUAAAUUCUUUCCUUAUUUGCUUUAGAUUAGGAUUCUAAUUUGAUUUUGGUUUAAGAUUUAUUUCUGAAAAUACUAUGGGCAAUUAUGGGGCUAAAUUUCUUGCACCAACCCUAUAUAAUGUACUCUAAUUCAAUAAAAAGGACAAAUCAGGUUUGAUGCAAUUGGUGCAAGAGGUAAUUCUCUUUGGUUCUUAAACUAACUCUUUGAACUUAUCAGAUUGUUGUGGCAUUCAAACUCUUGACUUUUCAAUCAAAUUAUCCAUAGCUGAUUGUAGCGUCCUCACAUACCAAGGUUCGUGCGUUCAUUGAGCAUUGGGUCCCAGUUCCAUUCAAUUCCAAGUUUAGAUUUGAUCUUGGAGACUAAAUUAAUUAGGGUCGCGUUAGUUCUUGUUAGGGUUCAUAUCAAUUGGAAUUAGAGCAGAGUUCUGACCUGGUUUUGCUUAUCUUUAUCUUUAGUUUUCAAUCCCUAUUAAUCGUAAGUCUUAAUUUCCAUUCUUCCAAAUUUGGUUAUGAAAAUCCUUAGAAUUUUUUGGCUGAUGUUUUUGCACUCUUUCUAAAAUUAUUGAGUCUUUUUGUUUCAAUUCAUUGAAUUGUGAGUCUUGCUUUAAUUUUAGAGUUUCAUUAGUCUUCUGUACUGAUUUAUGCUAAAAAAAUCAAAAAGGGAGGGAAACAAAGAAACAAGAGAAGAAUGAAGGGGAUAGUAAGAGUUUAAAAAAAAAAUAGCUUUGGUGUCUUUUGUUCAUUUUGUAUUAUUAGUGUCUUGGAGAGUCCAAAAUUGGUUUUACCAUAGAUGAAAAAUUUUGCUUGAAAUUUUGGUAAUUUAUGCUUCUGAAACCCCAUCGUACGUACGCAUUGUAUUCUUGCUUUUGAAAUCCGAGUCUCUCUGGUGUAAUCUUUGUGAAUUAUUGCUGGAAUCUUGAUAUUGGUUUGAUUAUUUUGAUAAGAGGUGAAUGAGAACUACUACAAGUGGAAAAAAGCAAGAGAGUGUGAGCAUAUUAGAGGGUAAAAGCCAAUAAAUUUGAGUGAAACAUGAGUGGAAUUGAGUGAAUCAUUUUCUUGAAUGAAACAUGCAAGGGAGAGUGGUGACGAUGUCAGCCAUGUCUCACAAUCAAGUACGAAACACAAAUGAAGAGGAUCAACCACCAAUUACUUAGAAUUUGUAAAUUUAAGCAUUGAUGGGAGAGUUGAGAAGGAUGAUGAGGGCAUGCUUAGAGCACAUGCAUGAGCAUUUAGAUCAAGUAGAGAACACAAGUGUAGGGCAGCGACAACCCUGUUGAGUGUUAGAAAAUGCAUAUUUAUAAAGGAGAAAACCGUCAUUUUACAUUUCAAGUCUUACUAACAACCCUUACUUUUAUGUAUUUAACAUUCUUGUGAUUUAAUUACGUGUGUUUUAUUUUAAUUAAGUAAUUUAUGUAUUUUAGGGGCAUUAUAGUUAUUUCACAAUAAAGGAGAGAUCAGACGGCAAAACGGACAUCACUUUUGAACUCAGGACGGUCGAAAACCUUAGGAGGAGCAUAAAAGGAAAAAUGACACUAUUCACAUGUACGGUACUAUUCACGUGUACGGUACUGUAUACGUUACUGUUCACGACACUGUUCACAUAGACGGACCGAUGACGUGGCAUUGACUGAUGAGGUGUCACGAUCCUGUUGGACUAAAAUUCUUAUGUGCUGUUGAUGGUGACGUGGCAGCAUAUCAGUGGACGAAAAAUCUCGCGUACGGUGCAUGCAUCACACAGGAUUAUUUUCAACCAAACCGCGUUACUGUUCAUCCGGGUCAAACCGCGUUACUGUUCAAAGUCGGGUCAAACCGUGUUGCUGUUCAUCCACGUGGUCAAACCGUGGACUGUUGACUGAUGAUGUGGCGCAAUCCUGAGCGUCCAAACUAUUUUGAAUCCGAUGGCCAUGAUUUACUCCAUGUAUCUAUAAAAAGGGGGCCUCUCCCCCCUAAUUUGAUAUCUCUAAAUCCAUUUUUGGGAUCCAUUUUCUGUAAUUCCCUCUCCAUCUUGUAUUUUCUUCGUAUUUUAAUAAAUUCCCAUUUUGCCCCUAAUUCAAUUAUGAGUGGCUAAUUUUCUUUCAAGCUUGGGUUGAAGGUGAAGUCUCAACAUGUGUCAUGGGCUUAAUUUGGUAAAUUUAUUUUCUCUUCCCCUCUAGUUUUUGUGGAUGUUUUGACUUCUCGUCGACAAAUAAUACUAAUCUUGUCUAGUACCGCCUUGGUUUCACCGGCCCUCUAGUACAAGGUUAUUAUUAUUUGGCACGAUAAGCCCUUAGCACCAUAUUGAUUAGAGCGUGGUUCAUGAGGUGUGGAUUCCCCCUUCAUGAUUUAAUUGGCAUUAAUACGGAUUAUUUAGCCCAUGAUGCAUGUUGAUACGGAUCUAGAUACCCAAGUACGUCAAUUUAAUAGAUUUUCUCUUCAAUUUAUUCUCUCCAUUGCAAUUCCAAUUUUAGAAUUUAUUCUUGUCAUUUUAAUUUAAGUAUUAGCAUAUUCCAAAUCAUUUCCACCAUAAAUCCAACUACCCAUUUACAAAAUUAAUUCUAUAUAUAAUUAAAAUCCACCUCCUCGUGGGAUCGACACUCGUCACCAUUAGUCUAUACUACAAUAGAUUCGUGCGCUUGCGAGUACAUUAAAAUUUGCACAACAAACCCGUUUUCCAAGCACAUGGGAAAGGGCUUUGGCUAGAGGAGAGAUUAAUGACUAUUAUAAGGAUGAGUGUGAUGAAGGGGAUGACUCAAUGGGUAGUUAUAUGAGAGAUAAAUGAGGUAGGAGAGAUAGGAAUAGGGAUGAUGGUUUGAGUGGCAUAAACAUGAAGAUAACAUAAUUUAAGGUAAAUCCAACUUGGAAGCAUACCUUGAAUGAGAGAAAAAAAAAAGGAGUUUGUGUUUGAUUGCCACAACUAUUUAGAGGUAAAAAAGGUAAAAUUGGUUGUGAUUGAGUUUUUUUACUAUGCCAUUAUUUGGCGGAAUAGGGAAUGUCUAGCUGAGACGUGGGGUGAAAUGAAAACAUUGAUGAGAAGACAUUUUGUACCCAACUACUACUAUCAAGACUUGUACCAAAAAUUACAAAGUCUUACACAAGGUAGCUGAAGCAUGGAGGAUUAUUACAAAGAAAUAGAGAUUGCCAUGAUUAGAGCAAAUGUGGAGGACGAUAGAGAAGCUACUAUGGCACGAUUCUUGAAUGGCCUUAAUCUGGAGAUUACAAAUAUGGUUGAGUUGCAACAUUAUGUGGAGAUUGAGGAGAUGUUCUACAAAGCCAUCAAGAUUGAGCAGAAACUCAAGAGGAGGGGUGACACUCAUGCAACCCCAAGCUUGAGUUCUACUCCUUAGAAGCCAAGGUAUGUGAAACGAGAUGGGAGGCCACAAGCACCUAUUGUACCUAAGCUGAGAUACGAGCCCUCCAAGCACAAUUCACAAGGUAACAUUGUGGUUUCUACUAUUAGGAAUCCUGACAUUAAGUGUUUUAAAUGUCAAGGCAGGGGACACAUAGCAAGUGAAUGUGUGAAUAAAAGAGUUAUUAUGUUUCCGAACAAUGGUGUGAUUGUAACUGAAGAUGAAAUGAAAGAAAAUGAGAUGCCACCAUUAGAGGACGUUGACGAUGAAAGUAUACAACCCCUGAGGAAUUGACUUUAGUAGCUAUGAGAGUUUUGAGUGUGCAAGUAAAAGAAGAUGAAGCAGUGCAAUGUGAAAAUAUGAUUAUUGAUGAAGGAAGUUGUACUAAUGUUGUUAGUACUAUCAUGGUGGAGAAGUUAGGGCUUCCGACACUUAAACAACAAUGGUUGAAUGACAGUGGUGAGUUGAAAGUGAAGAAGCAGGUACUAGUGACUUUUCGAAUUGGCAAGUAUGAAUAUAAGGUGUUAUGUGAUGUAGUACCGAUGCAGGCUAGACGCUUGUUACUUGGGUUCACCAGCAAGUAUUCAUUUGUGUUUAAUCAACACAACAUCACUCUUGUUCUAUUAACACCAAAGCAGGUUUAUGGAGACUAAGUGAGCCACAGAGAAAAAGUGAUCAAAAGAAAGAAAGUGAGCAAAAGAAAAAGGGAGAAAAAGUGAAAGUCAGAAAAAAGCCGAGGAAAAUGAGAGAAAAAAGCAAAGAAGAAUGCAGCCAUUGAGAGAAAAUUAGAGGGAAAACAAAAGCAUUUCUAUGCAAGAGUGAGUGAGAUAAAAAGAGUGUUGUUUUUAUAUUAGCCAAUGAUUGUACUUUUGUACAAAGAGGUAUUUUUAAACACUAACGAACUCGACCUACUUUUCCUAGUUCUAUUACUUCUCUCUUGUAGGAAUAUGAGGACGUCUUUCUCAAGGAAAGACCUCAUGGUUUACCUCCGAUCCGAGGGAUUGAGUAUCUAAUUAAUUUCGAGCCCCGUAAAAUCAUUCCAAAUCGACCAACCUAUAGGAGUAACCCCUGAGGAGUCAAAGGAACUUCAAAGGCAAGUUAAUGAAUUGAUGGAAAAGGGCACGUGAGAAAAAGCAUAAGUCCAUGUGCAAUUCGUGUUUUGUUAGUUCCUAAGAAUGAUGGAAUGUUGAGGAUGUGUGUUGAUUGCCGAGCCAUCAUCAGCAUAACAGUAAAGUAUCGACAUCUCAUUCCUAGGCUAGAUGAUAUGCUUUAUAAAUUGCAUGGGUCUUGUGUAUUUUCUAAAAUUAAUUUGAAAAGUGGAUAUCAUCAGAUUAGAAUAAAAGAAUGAGGGGAAUGGAAAACUACCUUUAAAACAAAAUAUGGUUUGUAUGAAUGAUAAGUCAUGCCUUUUGAUCUGACUAAUGCUCUGAGCACUUUCAUGAGAUUCAUAAAUCAUGUUUUAUGACUUUUAUUGGCAAGUUUGUUGUUGUUUACUUUGAUGAUUUAUAUAGCAAAAUCUUGGAUGAACAUGAAGUACAUUUGAAAUUUGCUUUCAAUGUGCUUAGGAAGGAAAAGUUAUUUGGUUAUCUAAAAAAGUGUACCUUUUGCACCGAUAAACUUGUGUUUCUAGGAUUUGUUGUGAGUGCACAGGAUAUACAGGUUGAUGAGGAGAAGGUACAUUCAAUCCGAGAGUGACCGAGUCCCACAAGCAUGCGUAAUGUGAGAAGCUUUCAUGGGGCUCACUAGCUUCUACUAGCGGUUUGUGAAAAGCUAUAGCACAUUGGUCGCACUGCUUACCGAAGUAAUAAAAAUAGAUGUUUGAUUGAAAUGGGGAGAAGAACAAGAGAGUGCAUUUCAAAUGAUCAAGCAAAGCUAAUCAAUGCUCCUUUAUUGUCCUUGCCUAAAUUAAAUAAAACAUUUGAAAUUGAAUGUGGUGCCUUAGGUAUUUGUGCAAGCGAGUCUUAAUGCAGGAGGGACAACUAAUUGCUUACUUUAGUGAGAAACUAAGUAGGGUAGCCUUAAACUACCCUAUUUACGAGAAGGAGUUGUAUGAGUUAGUUUGGACGUUAGAAACAUGGCAACACUACCUAUGGCCUAAAGAGUUCGUGAUUCACACCGAUCACGAGUACUUGAAACUAAGUUAAGGACAAAGUUGUUGUUUUCAACUACUUGUCACCCUCAAACUGACGGUCAAACAGAAGUUAUGAAUAUAACUUUAUCUACUCUGUUGUAAGCUAUCAUUAAAAAGAAAAUCAAAACUUGUGAAAUUUGUUUGCUAUAUGUUAAGUUUGCUUAUCAUUCUGCUACUAAGUAUUCACUGUUUGAAAUUGUUUAUGGUUUUAAUCCUUUAACCCUAUUGGAUUUAACUCCAUUACAUGUUUUUAAGCAUGUAAACAUAGAUGGCACAAAAAAAGCUGAAAUUGUUAAGCAGAUAUAUGAGAUGGCAAAGUUCAACAUUGAGCAGAGAACUGAGCAAUAUGUUAAACAAGCCAACAAAGGGCAACAUAAGCUAGUCUUUAAACCCAGCGAUUGGGUGUGGUUACACAUGUGCAAGGAACAAUUUUUGGAACAAACGAAAUCCAAGUUAUUGUCUUGAGGGGAUGGUCCUUUCCAAGUCUAGGAACGGAUCAAUGACAAUGCGUACAAGCUGGAUUUUUCCCGUCAGUACAAUGUAAGUGCUACUUUUAAUGUCUCUAUUUUUCGUCCUUCUGAUACAGGUCACGAUUUGAGGACAAUUCCUCUUCAAGAUGAGGGGAAUGAUGAAAUUGAGGACAAAUCCUAUUCAAGUCCCCAUCGGAUCCAUCAUAAGAUCUCGUGUAAAGAAAUUCAAAGAAGUACUUAAUGGGUUUAUUCAAGUAACUUGGGCUCAAUCAAAUUCAUGGAGGCUCGUUGAAGGAAUCGUACAUGAUAUUCAGACCACUAAAUGCGUGAUUUGGGCUCUUAAAAUUUCUAAAUAAUCAAUUCCAUGAAAUUAGCAAGUUGGUUUGCACAUUAUGGCUAGAAAAUAUAUUAUUUUCCUUUUUGGAUACUUUCUCGUAUGGAAAAUAUGUUAUUUUGCUUUUUAGAUACUUUCCUAUUUGGAAAAUAUACUAUGUUCCUUUUCAGAUACUUUCCCGUUUCUUAAGGAGGCAAGUGCCAAAACAAAUAAGUUAUUUCUCUUUUAAUUGCCUAGUUUUCAUUUCAAUUGAUGUAAGUCAUUUAGUCGAUUAGGAUUCUAAUUUGAUUUAGAUUCUUUCCUUGUUUGCUUUAGAUUGAGAUUAUGAUUUGAUUUUGGUCUAUGAUUUAUUUUCGAAAAUACCAAGGGCAAUUAUGGGGUGAAAUUUCUUGUAACCAGUCCUAUAUAAUGUACUCGCAUCCAAUAAGAAAGACAUAUAAGUUUUGAUGCAAUUUGUGAGAGAGUUAAUUCUCUUUCGUUCUUAAACUAACUCCUUGAACUAAUUGGAUUUCUAUAGUGUUCAAAUUCUUGACUUAUCAAUAAGAUCAUCCAUAGCUAAUUGUGGCAUCAUCACAUACCAAGGUUCAUCCUUUUAUUGAGCAUUAGGUCAUGAUUCAAUGCAAUUCUAAGUUUAGAUCCGAUCUUGAAGACUAAAUUAAUUUGGGUCACAUCAGUUCUUGGCGGGGUUUAUAUCAAGAUUUAGAGAAACUUCAAAAUAAGAAACCUUUGCACAUGAAACAAAGAUAUGGGUUUGACAAAGCUAAUGUUAUUGAGGAAACAAUGAAUUUGCUUCCCUUGUCAAUGUUACUCCAUCAAAAUAGAAUAUUAAUUGGCUGAUCACAUCAACCUCAACUUCUCAAGAUCCUUUAAUUGAUUCAGAUGAACCGCUAAAAUUUGAUGAUAUGUUAAUAUUGUUGAGCAUGUAGAAUUAAAUAUUGAUGCAUCUUUUGAUCUUGUGGAGCAAAUAGAGGUACUUCUUGAUACAUUCUUAUAUGGUUCUCUUGAUUUGCCUAAAGAAGACAAAAGAGGUUGUUGUGCUAUUUUUCAAUAGUUAGUAGAUUAUGAGAAGACAUCAUUUUUCCUCACCUAUGUUGAAUUUUGACACGAACAAUGCGAGAAGGUAAUGUUGGAGAAUUUAUUAAUGGAGGAAUUUAUUUUCCGGCAUUAGAGUGAUUGGAUGGACAUCAUUACAAAACUUGGAAAAUUUAAUAGUUCAUUGACUGGAUCGAAGCACUAAUUUGAAAAUUAAUUAUAAAUGAAGUUGUUUUUGGAGAAUACAAUAAGAAAAAUUCGAUGACUAAUUUUCUCCAUUCUAGCUGGAAUUAGGCAAAGCAAGAAAACAAAGAGAGCCUUGGUUAUUUGUUAUUUGGUUAUUUCCUAGAAUAAACUCUUAGAUUGAGUUAUAUUCUUGUUAUUUCUUGGUAUUUUAUAUGAUGAUUACAAAACCGUAUAGUUGAUGAUGAUGAUGAUACUAACAUGAUAAUUUGGUCCUAUCUUUUGUCAAGCAAAUUCUGUUGCUUCAUGAAAUGUAUAAAAUCCUCAAUAAUAAGAAUUAGGAUAAUUGGCUAUUUGAUCAACUAUCUCUCUCCAUUGGUUAUAAAUGCCUAGUUGCCUACCUCUAACUAAUACAAAAAAUGCAAAAUAAUUACUUUCUACAUGAUCAUUAAUAUGUUUAAAAUAAUGCAUGAGUGCAUUGGCUACUUUUAAUUUAUCUCGUGGAUAAUUACAGCUCCNNNNNNNNNNNNNNNNNNNNNNNNNNNNNNNNNNNNNNNNNNNNNNNNNNNNNNNNNNNNNNNNNNNNNNNNNNNNNNNNNNNNNNNNNNNNNNNNNNNNNNNNNNNNNNNNNNNNNNNNNNNNNNNNNNNNNNNNNNNNNNNNNNNNNNNNNNNNNNNNNNNNNNNNNNNNNNNNNNNNNNNNNNNNNNNNNNNNNNNNNNNNNNNNNNNNNNNNNNNNNNNNNNNNNNNNNNNNNNNNNNNNNNNNNNNNNNNNNNNNNNNNNNNNNNNNNNNNNNNNNNNNNNNNNNNNNNNNNNNNNNNNNNNNNNNNNNNNNNNNNNNNNNNNNNNNNNNNNNNNNNNNNNNNNNNNNNNNNNNNNNNNNNNNNNNNNNNNNNNNNNNNNNNNNNNNNNNNNNNNNNNNNNNNNNNNNNNNNNNNNNNNNNNNNNNNNNNNNNNNNNNNNNNNNNNNNNNNNNNNNNNNNNNNNNNNNNNNNNNNNNNNNNNNNNNNNNNNNNNNNNNNNNNNNNNNNNNNNNNNNNNNNNNNNNNNNNNNNNNNNNNNNNNNNNNNNNNNNNNNNNNNNNNNNNNNNNNNNNNNNNNNNNNNNNNNNNNNNNNNNNNNNNNNNNNNNNNNNNNNNNNNNNNNNNNNNNNNNNNNNNNNNNNNNNNNNNNNNNNNNNNNNNNNNNNNNNNNNNNNNNNNNNNNNNNNNNNNNNNNNNNNNNNNNNNNNNNNNNNNNNNNNNNNNNNNNNNNNNNNNNNNNNNNNNNNNNNNNNNNNNNNNNNNNNNNNNNNNNNNNNNNNNNNNNNNNNNNNNNNNNNNNNNNNNNNNNNNNNNNNNNNNNNNNNNNNNNNNNNNNNNNNNNNNNNNNNNNNNNNNNNNNNNNNNNNNNNNNNNNNNNNNNNNNNNNNNNNNNNNNNNNNNNNNNNNNNNNNNNNNNNNNNNNNNNNNNNNNNNNNNNNNNNNNNNNNNNNNNNNNNNNNNNNNNNNNNNNNNNNNNNNNNNNNNNNNNNNNNNNNNNNNNNNNNNNNNNNNNNNNNNNNNNNNNNNNNNNNNNNNNNNNNNNNNNNNNNNNNNNNNNNNNNNNNNNNNNNNNNNNNNNNNNNNNNNNNNNNNNNNNNNNNNNNNNNNNNNNNNNNNNNNNNNNNNNNNNNNNNNNNNNNNNNNNNNNNNNNNNNNNNNNNNNNNNNNNNNNNNNNNNNNNNNNNNNNNNNNNNNNNNNNNNNNNNNNNNNNNNNNNNNNNNNNNNNNNNNNNNNNNNNNNNNNNNNNNNNNNNNNNNNNNNNNNNNNNNNNNNNNNNNNNNNNNNNNNNNNNNNNNNNNNNNNNNNNNNNNNNNNNNNNNNNNNNNNNNNNNNNNNNNNNNNNNNNNNNNNNNNNNNNNNNNNNNNNNNNNNNNNNNNNNNNNNNNNNNNNNNNNNNNNNNNNNNNNNNNNNNNNNNNNNNNNNNNNNNNNNNNNNNNNNNNNNNNNNNNNNNNNNNNNNNNNNNNNNNNNNNNNNNNNNNNNNNNNNNNNNNNNNNNNNNNNNNNNNNNNNNNNNNNNNNNNNNNNNNNNNNNNNNNNNNNNNNNNNNNNNNNNNNNNNNNNNNNNNNNNNNNNNNNNNNNNNNNNNNNNNNNNNNNNNNNNNNNNNNNNNNNNNNNNNNNNNNNNNNNNNNNNNNNNNNNNNNNNNNNNNNNNNNNNNNNNNNNNNNNNNNNNNNNNNNNNNNNNNNNNNNNNNNNNNNNNNNNNNNNNNNNNNNNNNNNNNNNNNNNNNNNNNNNNNNNNNNNNNNNNNNNNNNNNNNNNNNNNNNNNNNNNNNNNNNNNNNNNNNNNNNNNNNNNNNNNNNNNNNNNNNNNNNNNNNNNNNNNNNNNNNNNNNNNNNNNNNNNNNNNNNNNNNNNNNNNNNNNNNNNNNNNNNNNNNNNNNNNNNNNNNNNNNNNNNNNNNNNNNNNNNNNNNNNNNNNNNNNNNNNNNNNNNNNNNNNNNNNNNNNNNNNNNNNNNNNNNNNNNNNNNNNNNNNNNNNNNNNNNNNNNNNNNNNNNNNNNNNNNNNNNNNNNNNNNNNNNNNNNNNNNNNNNNNNNNNNNNNNNNNNNNNNNNNNNNNNNNNNNNNNNNNNNNNNNNNNNNNNNNNNNNNNNNNNNNNNNNNNNNNNNNNNNNNNNNNNNNNNNNNNNNNNNNNNNNNNNNNNNNNNNNNNNNNNNNNNNNNNNNNNNNNNNNNNNNNNNNNNNNNNNNNNNNNNNNNNNNNNNNNNNNNNNNNNNNNNNNNNNNNNNNNNNNNNNNNNNNNNNNNNNNNNNNNNNNNNNNNNNNNNNNNNNNNNNNNNNNNNNNNNNNNNNNNNNNNNNNNNNNNNNNNNNNNNNNNNNNNNNNNNNNNNNNNNNNNNNNNNNNNNNNNNNNNNNNNNNNNNNNNNNNNNNNNNNNNNNNNNNNNNNNNNNNNNNNNNNNNNNNNNNNNNNNNNNNNNNNNNNNNNNNNNNNNNNNNNNNNNNNNNNNNNNNNNNNNNNNNNNNNNNNNNNNNNNNNNNNNNNNNNNNNNNNNNNNNNNNNNNNNNNNNNNNNNNNNNNNNNNNNNNNNNNNNNNNNNNNNNNNNNNNNNNNNNNNNNNNNNNNNNNNNNNNNNNNNNNNNNNNNNNNNNNNNNNNNNNNNNNNNNNNNNNNNNNNNNNNNNNNNNNNNNNNNNNNNNNNNNNNNNNNNNNNNNNNNNNNNNNNNNNNNNNNNNNNNNNNNNNNNNNNNNNNNNNNNNNNNNNNNNNNNNNNNNNNNNNNNNNNNNNNNNNNNNNNNNNNNNNNNNNNNNNNNNNNNNNNNNNNNNNNNNNNNNNNNNNNNNNNNNNNNNNNNNNNNNNNNNNNNNNNNNNNNNNNNNNNNNNNNNNNNNNNNNNNNNNNNNNNNNNNNNNNNNNNNNNNNNNNNNNNNNNNNNNNNNNNNNNNNNNNNNNNNNNNNNNNNNNNNNNNNNNNNNNNNNNNNNNNNNNNNNNNNNNNNNNNNNNNNNNNNNNNNNNNNNNNNNNNNNNNNNNNNNNNNNNNNNNNNNNNNNNNNNNNNNNNNNNNNNNNNNNNNNNNNNNNNNNNNNNNNNNNNNNNNNNNNNNNNNNNNNNNNNNNNNNNNNNNNNNNNNNNNNNNNNNNNNNNNNNNNNGUUUUUUUACAAUUCUGAAGACUAAUUACCUGUCCAAUAAUAAUUUAUCCAUUUUUCCUUGAAUUUAGUAGUCUUAUUUGUGUUUUACAAUUUUUUUUUUCAUUUCACACUUAAUAUCGAAUGUCGAUUUUUAAGUUUUAUGUCAUAUUUCUAGGUUUUUUUUUUUUUUACAAUUCUGAAGACCAAUUUACUAUUAUAGUAUUAAUUUACCCUCUUUUCCUUCAAUUUACUAAUCAUAUGUGUGGUUUAUAAAUUUUAUGUUUUAUUUUACACUUAAUGUCAAUUUACAAGUUUUAUAUCAUUUUCUAAGUUUUUGUAUUUUGUACAAUUCUAAAGACUAAUUUACUAGUGUAACAAUAAUUUACCCCAUUUUCCUUUAAUUUACCAAUCCUAUAUGUGGUUUACAAAUUUUUAUUUCAUUUCACACUUAAAGUCAAUUUAUAAGUUUCAUGUCAUUUUUCUAAGUGUUCCUUUCUUGACAAUUCUAGGGACCGAUUUACAAUUCCAACAUCAAUUUACCACAUUUCCCUUCAAUCUACUAGUCUUAUAUGUGGUUUAUAAAUUUUUGUCUCAUUUCACACUUAAUGUUAAAAUAAAAAUUUUAUAUCAUUUUUCUAAGUUUUCACUUUCUUUUACAAUUCUGAAGAUCAAUUUCCACCCCAACAUUAAUUUACUAAUUCUAUGCAUGGUUUGCAAAUUAUUUAUUUUAUUUUACACUUAAUGUCAAUUCACAAGUUUUAUUUCAUUUUUUCAAUUUUUUUUUUACAAUUCUAAAGAUAAAUUUAUGACUCUUACAUUAAUUUAUCAUUUUUUUCCUUCAAUUUAUAAGUCCUAUGUGUGGUUUAUGAUUUUUUUUUUCAUUUCACACUUAAUGUCAAUUUACAAGUUGUUAGUCAUUUUUCUACAUUGUUUUUUUUUUACAAUAUUAAAGGCUAAUUUGACACUCCAACAUUAAUUUUCUAUUUUUCCUUCAAUUUACUAUUCCCAUAUAUGGCUUACAAAAUUUGUUGUUUCAUAUUACACUUGAUGUCAAUUUAUAAAAUUUUUGUCAUUUUUCUAAGUUUUUUAUUUUUUUUACAAUUUUGAAGACCAAUUUACCACUCUAUCAACAAUCUACCCCUUUUUCUUCCAUUUACUAGUUCUAUAUGCGGUUUAAUUUUUUUUUAUUUCAUUUCACACUUAAUGCCAAUUUACAAGUUUUCUAAGGACUAGUUUACCACUCCAACAUUAAUGAAACUCUAAGUAGGCAACCCAAGAGGGGGUGCAAAUUGGGUUUUUAAAAGAUUCUUCAAAAAACAACCAAUAAUAAUAAUACUUUCAACAACAAGUAAAUUUAAAAAGUUAAAGGUAGAGAAAACAAACACAAUAAUUUUAUGUGGUUUGCCAACUUGCCUACAUCCAUGUCUCCAUGCAAACUAUGCUUGAGGAUUUCACUAGCCAAACCUUACAACCUAAGGCUUCAAGAUGCUUACAAUUGACUUCCAAAGUAUCAAUAAACUUCUAAAAUUCCAAAUGAUCCCACACCUCUUUUCCCAAGUGUUUCCCACACUUAUAAUCACUUGUUUUUUGAUGUUGAAAUGAAGAUUACAAGGAUCACUCUCCUCACAAGAAGCAAAUGAUAGCCCAAUAAUGAAUCAAUGUAUAUGGAGAAGCAAAUGAAAGCUCAAGAUUAUUUGUAUGAACAAGUUUAAGCUUGAUAAAGAUUGAAGAACUCUCUUGGAAAUGAACUUGAUUUAGCUUUUCAUAGUUUUAAAAAGACAACUAGCCGUUAUUCACUUUCUAGGCAUUAUUAAAUCAUCGCUAAUUUUGGAAUAGAUCGUCGUUUGACUAACGUGGCAAGUUACCACAAUUUGAAAUUUUAUAGUAAUCCGAUCUUUGUUUAAAAUUAUUGGCUAGUCAUUUGAAUUCCAAAAACUAUCAAAAAAUUAUCGGUUAGGCCGCUAUAGUGAAAUGGUUAGCCACAAUUUUUCAAAAUACUAGUUUAGCCCCAAAAUUUUCUAAAAUUAUGUUAUGGCCUAAAACUUUAUAAAAUUUUGAAUAAGUAAGUCCACUUCUAGAAUUUCAAACAAUACUUACUGAUUUCAAAGUUCUCAUAACGUUUUCAAUUGUCUAUAAACUUGAAAACAACCAAUUUCAUAAAAUCAUUUUUCUUUAUGUAUAGAACCUUUAUAUUAUGAAAAUAAUGAUUUAUUUAAAAUGUCAUGAAAAUAAGUUGAGCUUUUAAAUGCUUCAUCAUGCAAACAUUUAAUCAUAUUACCCUUACAAGAAAUGUAACAAGAGAAAUCACCUCAGCUAGUACCCUUGUGGCUUGUCCUUGACUUGAUGAGCUUUAUGCCUCUGCCCAUUUGAGUGUCUUGAACUUGAUCUUACAUGAAUGAGUUUUAUCCUUCAAGAGCUAGUGAGAUUGUGAAAUAUAUAUGCAUACCAUUUUGACAUCAUCAAAGUGGCAUAUUACUUUGUUUCCCCUUUCGACAACAAAAAUGUUCAAAAUGCAUGUUACUAAAAUGGAAGCAAUAAGAACUAGGUAGGAUUGCCAAGGCAGCUCCCCCUAUCAAUAAUCUACAAAUCAAGUAAUAGACCAAACAAAGGCAUGCAAAGUCAUAGGACAUAAUAUCAACUAUCCAAUCUCCAAAAUUAAUAACCACAUUUUAGAAAUCGAGACAAGUAAACUUAUCAAGGUUCUAAGUGACACUUCAAUAUAUCUUAUAUAUUAUCAUGUGCACCAAUAUCUAAAAGUACAUGUGUUUCUCCCCCUUCCAACAAAUUGUCAAUGCCCCUCCUUUUGGACUAUGCGGAAGAUAUUGUCAGAUGGGGAGUUUGGCUGGGACGACACAUCUGUUAAAAGCUAACGCAAUUAUCCUAAGAUGAGCUCAAUGAGAACAGAAAUCUCUUGUGGAACAAAAUGGUAAAAGGUCAUUUGAUUCUGAUUUUCAGUACGAGUACGAACUCUGAAAGUGUAAGUUCAAAAAAUGCAUCCAUUCACCAAUCAUAGAUCUCAUAAGAUCAAACUUCAUUGAAUGCAAUGUAAUCAUCAAAGCACAUUCUUUAUAAAAAAAAAUUAAGCAAAACAUAAAUACAUAAUGGCAAUAUAUAGAUCAUCAAAAUCAAUAUAGCUAUCAAGAUAAGCCAUCAUUAUGAGUUAAAAUAAUAAGUAAUCAAAUCCAUAAUUACAAAAAAUCAUAUAUGCACAUACAUAAGUGAUGAAAAAUUGUUGUUUAAGUGAUGGGCAAUGAUCUAGAUGAUGAGAACCAUCAAGAGAAUACCAUUAAAACUUUAAGUGAUCCUUUGCAUAUUCAUGGAGGCCCAAUUAUAAGAGCUAGAGCCAAAAAGAUGCAAGUUGUUUUAAAUGGAUUAAUUGAGAAAAUAUGGACUGAAAAUGCAAUUCAAGAUGCAAGAGAUGAUGAAUUGGGCUUAGAAAGAAGUCAAAGCAUUGUGGGCAUUAUUCAAGUUGGGCAGUCAAAUACACAAUUUGGGUCAAAUGCAGAAAGGGUAAAUUUAGAAAAAAAAACUAGUAUUGAUUGAGCUAGAACUAAUGUGCAAGCUAUAUACCAUUGGAAAGAUAAUUAAGCUAACUUUCGAAUGCAAUUUACAGAGCUGGAUUUGAAAUUCUCUAGAAGGUGUUAUGACCAAUUUAUUAUAGCUUGUUCACGCUUGGGAAUUUGAAACACUCUUUUGUUUAUUUAACUUUAUUUAUUUGUUUUGUUUUAAGUUUGUCAAUGUGGGCUGGUGAAGACUUUUGAAGCAUCCUUUGACAAACUUAUGCUUGGAGGGUUGUUUCAAUGUUUCCAUUUGUAUUUUUAGGAUCUUGGGUUUCUAUUAGUGAUGAGAACCGUCAAGGGAAUAUUGUUAAAGCUUCAAGUGAUCCUUUGCACAUUCAUGGAGGCCCAAUUACAAGAGCUAGAGCCAAAAAGACGCAAGCUGUUUUAAAUGAAUUAGUUGAGAAUGCAAUUCAAGUUGCAAGACAUCAUGAAUUAGGCUUGGAGAGAAGACAAGGCACUGUGGGCAUUAUUCAAGCUAUUGGGCAGCCAAAUACACAAUUUGGAUCAAAUACAGAAAAGGAAAAUUCAGAAUAAAACUGGUAUUGAUUGAGAUAGAGGUAAUUUGCAAGCUAUAUACCAUUGGAAAGAUAAUUAAGUUAACUUUCCAAUCCAAUUUACAGAACUGGAUUUGGAGUUCUCUAGAAGGAGUUAUGACCAAUUUAUUACAGCUUGUUCAGACUUGGAAUUUCUAACGACUCAUUUGUUUAUUCGAUUUCAUUUGUUUGUUUUGUUUCAAGUUUGUCAAAGUGUAAGGUAAGUCUACCAUCAAUGAUGGUGGGCUAACAUUAAGUUUGUCAAUGAUAGAAUUAAUUAUGGUAGGCUAGCAUUAAGUUUGUCAAUGACUAGAAUAAUUAAUGGUGGGUUGGUGAAGACUUUUGAAGCAUCAUUUGAAAAACCUAUACUAGGAGGGUUGUUCCAAUGUUUUCAUUUGUUUUUAGGAUAUUAUCUUUUUACUACCAAAGUUAUUCUGAUAUUUCAUGUCAGUACCAUGGUUUGCCGAAAAGUGCAUUUUUACUACCAAACGUUUGCGUCGUUAUCAAUUCACUACCAUUCCGUUAAGAACGUUAAAAAUUUGCUGAUGUCAUAAGGGUAUCAAAGACAUUUCCAGCUAUAAGAGUAAAAUUGUCUGUUAAUUUGAUAGAUAAAUUAUCAUUUUACUACCAAGCUUUUAGGGGCAUUAUCAUUUUACUAUCGAUUUUUUAGGGAAAUUAUCAUUUUACUACCAAAUUCUUGAGGGUAGAAUCGACUUUUAACUCAAUUUCAGUUAAACAUUAACUUUUUCUUAACGGAAUGGUAGUGAAUUGAUAAUGACGCAAACGUUUGGUAGUAAAAUGCACUUUUCAGCAAAUCAUGGUACUGACAUGAAAUGUCAGAAUAACUUUAGUAGUAAAAUGAUAAUUUCCCUUUAUUUUUUUAGGAUCUUGGGUUUUUAUUAGUCUAUUUAAACUCAACAACCUUGCUAUGUAAGAUAAUUAGAGAUGAAUGUUAUUUUGAAUUUAAAAGAUAAUUCUUUCUUUGGUUCUUUUGAGAACUAGUGAACUUAUUAAGAAUUUACAUUCUUGUGGCGUUCCAAAAUAGACUUAUUACUCACCUUCGCAUCUAAAUCUUGAGUGUGGCAUCCAUAUCCUUCUCUAUACCUCUGGUUCAGGUUUACUUAAACAUUGGGUCAGGUUUUGUUUCACUUAAAUCUGUAUAGAACUUUCUUGGAAAGUUGAAACUACAAAUUUAGUGUGGGUUUCAAAGUUUCAUUGUGGGGUUCGUAUCAAUUAGCCUAUUUAAACUCAGCAACCUUGCUAUGUAAGACAAUUAGAGAUGAAUGUUAUUUUGAAUUGGAUUUUACAUUCUUGUGGCAUUCCAAAAUAGACUUAUCACUCACCUUCUCAUCUAAAUCUUGAGUGUGGCGUCAAUAUCCUUCUAUAUACCUUUGGUUCAUGUUUUCUUAAACAUUGGGUCAAGGUUUUUGUUUCACUUAAAUCUGUUUAGAACUUUUUUGGGAAGUUGAAACUUCAAAUUAAGUGUGGGUUUCAAAGUUUCAUUCUAGGGUUCGCAUCAUUUGGUAUCAGAGCAAGUUUCUAAUCAGGUUUGAAUGUCUUAUUUAUUUUAUUAUGAAAAAAAAGGAAAAAACAUACAGAAAAAAAAUUGGAUUGCAAAAAAUUAGUUAUUCAUUUUCCUUGACAUUGUUUACACAAAAUAUCAAUUGUGUUCCUUUGCUUGCUUGUUUUUCUUUCCUUAAAUUUCCUUUGUUGUUCUUUGUGUCCUCUUAAUUCGUUUUCUUUGUUUAAUGUGCUGGUUUGUCAUAUUUAGUGUGCCACCUGGGUUUUUCUUGAUUUUGUUUGAUUAGUUUGUGAGAUCAUUAGAGGAUAAAAGCCAAUUUGAGCACAUAAAUAUGAUGUUUGGAGAGAUCCGUGACAAAUUGGAGAGGCAAGACACUGUCAUUGCCAAUCUACAAAGGGGUCAACAGCCAAUAGCUCCUAAUGUAAGAAGUAAUAAAGGGUGUUGUUGGGUAUAAACUCAAAUGCUAUUGGUGUCAAUAUUCAAGUGUACACAACAAGUAAUAUAAUGAUGAGUAUUCAAGAUCAUCUCCACAGGGAUUGAUGUUAUCAGACUUGCUACGGCAAUCUUAACAGUGCAGAUUUUGUUCUAAAUUAAAAUAAAAUAAUUAAUGAAACUAAUAUACUAAUUAAAAUCAAAAUGCAAUAAAUAAAAUGCAACAAAGUAAAUUAUCACGUCAAACUCAAAUAUAAAACUAAUAGGAAUAUAGAGUAGUUGAGUGAAUAAACUCUCUUAAUGGUUUUACUAUUUUUCUAAUGUUUGGCUCGGUUGUUGCAGCAUCUGCUAUAGCACUGGGCAAAAUUCUUAUGUAUCCUCAGCCAUCGCAUGUUGGAUAUCUUAUAUCUAUAUGCAACCUAACAGUGAUUAGUUGUUAUGCCAACAUAAGAUAUAACAUUACAGGUUUAGGUUCUAUUUUCCCUACAAGAUCAAAUUCAGGACCCCAGUAUCGUUGUUGGAUCAUCUGUCUGAGUUCAGAGUCAAGUUGAGUAACUCUGUUCUUGAGAUCCGUAAACUCCAAGCAGAAUUAUCCAGAAUUGACUCUGAAAAACAGUAACCUUCGCUGUUUGCUCCUACACAACCUUUGCCCAGACAUACAUCCCUAAAUAUGUAUCCACCUUUCUACACUUCGUCCUUAUAUAGGAAACCCCAUGAUUAUUCCAAAACAUUUAGCUUUAGCUACAGGUUAUUUCAGUCAUCUUCAAAAACACAAGUCUCAACCUCUGUACCGUCUUCCUCUACAACACCUCCUAAACAACCAACCAGAGCAAACACUCCUCCAGCUUCAAAUCCUCCCUCACAAGUUAAGGAUAAACAUCCUAGCCAACCCAGUCAACAAUAUGCUGCCCAUUCAGUCCAUUUACUACACGUAACUUCUCCUUUUGAAUCUUCUCAUUCUAUAUCAAAAUCAGUAAGUGAAUCUGAUUUUGCCUCAGAUUUGGAAGCUGAAUUUGCUGAUAUUACCAAAUUACUCAUGGCCAUACCAUCCAUUGGUUCCAAUGAUCCUUCUCUAUCAGAAUUCCCACCUGAUACACCCAUAGUAGAGGAAUCAGAUGAAACGAGCACAAUUCCUCAUAAUCGACCUGACACGGCCAAAUGGUCCUUGGUUCACUCUUGAUGACAUCCCUAAGGUGAAAUGGCCCUCACGGUUAUAGGAAUUUACGGCCUGGAUUGAUGUCCAAAUGCUCAGGCCUGGUUUAUCUGUCCAAUCAGUCCUGAGAGAAUUUAGUUCCAGAUUUCUUGGUUCACUAAGAGACUGGUUCGACAGUCUUGGUCAAUACAGACAAUUGUAGUUCAUACAAAUUCCUGACGUGGCCACAACAUUAGGCCUCCUGUAUGAACAAUUCAUCAGAGAAGCUGUCCCAGCAAAUGAAUUGGCACGAAAAAGAAUAUUUUCAAAUGAAAUGUUGUUUACUUCAAUAAAAAGAUUUGAAUUAUCAUUACAAGCGCAUGUCAGCCCUGUUCUAUAAGCUAAAUGGGUUUAAUGACCCAAUACUCAAACAUGUGUUUGUAGCCUUUUUGCCAAAGGAACUUCAGCCUGAAUUACAACGGCAAGUGAACCUCCACCAAUUAGACAUUUCCAACAUGUCUUUUGGAAAAAUUUAUCAACUAGCAGUGAGCUGCCUUGAACGUCUAUGUGAAUAAAAAGAAUUUUUCAAAGACUUGAUGGAAAACCAUCAACCACUCAAAAGUGCAUGUAAGAAGCCUCAUCUGAAGAUUAAGUGUAAAGAUGAAAAAGAUUGCACCUGCUCCUCAAAGAAGAAAUCCCAUUUCAAAAAAGUCUUCUCCAACAAGAACUCUUAUUCCAGACCAAAGAAACCCUAUUGGUUCUUCAAAAUGAAAGAUCCAUUCUCUUCCAAAAACCCAAAAAAUAGCUAUUGUUUCAUAUGCAAAAAGAAAGGGCAUUUUGCAAAAAUUUGCCCAAAUAAGCUGGCAAAGUCUAGUCGUCUUCUCCAUCAUUUACAAACCUCCUCUGUCAUAUCUGCCCAUGAUGAUAUUGAGUCCUUGUUUUCAGAACAAGAAAGUGCCAAUGAAGAAACAAUCUUUGCUCUUGAAGAGACAGAUACAAAUUCUGACUCUAACUCAGAAAAAGUCCAGAUAAUUGACAUGGUCCACAUUCUCCGAGCAUCUGUUGCUCAAUCUUCCAUAUCCAUACCCUCCAUCUCAGUCCAUAUUCUCCCUGCAAAAUUCCAUAAACCCAUCUCUGUCAUUGGCUUCAUAGACACUGGUGCCCAGAAAAGUAUGUUACACCCUACAAUCCUCCCUCCAAACUGUUGGGUAAAACAUAUUGAAAUUUUUAGAGCUGCAGAUAGCCAGAUCUUUCAAACCAGCCUUAUCACUAAGGCUCCCAUUGGGGUACAAUUUUUCCAAAUUGUGUCAUAUGGUCAAAGAUUAUUAGCUCAGAGCUUCCAGAUAAGGAUUUACUGAUUAGCUUUAAUCUCUUGGCCUUAUCCAAAAAACUGUAGAUCACAGCUGCAGGGGUCUCCCACAAAAGACAAUUCAAGCCAUAUAAAAACAUUUUACGUCUAUAUAAACUUUUAGAGACUACGCCAUCAUACCAGCCUUACAUCCAAAAAUUUCUCCCCUUUUGUCCAGAAUCUCAUACUGAAUUCAGUCAUUCAAACCCUCUCUGGAAAAAUACUCAAUUCUUCAUUAAGCUUCCCUUCAAGCUUAACGAAGAUGUUAAUCCCACCAAAGCCACGCAUCCAGGUAUGUCUCCUACAAAUCUUAAAUUGGCUCAACAAGAAUGUUCAGACCUCCUCCAACAAUGUCUCAUUGAACCCACCAAAUCAGACCGGGCGUGCCAAGCAUUCUAUGUGGAAAAACGAUCUGAAAUCAUUCGGAAAAAGAAGACUUAUCAUUGAUUACCAACCCUUAAACUAUUUUCUUCAAGAUGACAAGUUCCCUUUACCCAAAAUUCAAUCUUUGUUCGUCCACCUCCAUGAUGCAAAGGUAUUAUCAAAAUUUGACCUUAAAGCAGGUUUUUGGCAACUAGGCAUUGAUCCCAGUGAUAGACAUAAAAUUACUUUUUGCAUACCCAAUGGCCAUUAUCAGUGGAUUGUCAUGCCAUUUGGCUUAAAGGUAGCCCCUUCUCUUUUUCAAAAAGCUAUAACCAAAAUCUUUGAGCCAAUCCUCCAUCACACACUAGUCUAUAUUGACGACAUCCUCCUAUUUUCCAAAGAUAACGUGACUCACCAAAAAUUGUUGGACCACUUCCUCACCCUAGUGGAAUCCCACGGUAUUAUGCUUUCUGAAAAGAAAAGCACCCUAGGUCACUCCACAAUUGAGUUUCUUGGCAUGAUCCUCGAAGAUAGACACUACCGUCCAGGUCCCCACAUAGCACAAGAAUUGUUACACUUUCUAGAUGAGCACCUGACCAAAAAAAAGAUCCAACAAUUCCUCGGGAUAAUCAAUUAUCUUCGCGAUUUCCUACCACAUGUAUUGUCCAUACAAGCCAGCUGUCUAAAAUAUUGAGGAAGAAGUCCCCCCUUUGAGGUCCAGAUCAGACAUCUGCUGUCCAAUACCUAAAGCUGAUCGCUCAAAAUCCACCAGCUUUAAAAAUUCCAUCCACUGGUCAAAGAAUUCUCCAAACCGAUGCUAGCGACGAAUACUGGGGUGUCAUUCUACUCGAAUUGAUAGAUGGCAAAGAACUUUUUUGUGCCCAUGCCAGCGAGCAAUUCAAGGAUUCCGAAAAGCACUACCAUGUGAUACAUAAAGAGAUCUUGGCUGUUAAGUAUGGAAUUAAAAAAUUCGAGUUCCACUUGAUUUGUCAUCAUUUUCACAUCGGUCUUGACAACUCUUCGUUCCCCAAGAUCCUUGAAUUUAAAAACUGAACCCUCCCUGAUAAAAAGCUGCUGAUAAACCCUCUCAAUAAAACACAUAAAGGGAAAUCAAAACCUCAUCCCUGACCUCUUGUCCAGACCGCACAAAAUCUUGCUAAUCACCUCUCAGACAUACUUUCCUGUCAUAGCCAUGACGACCUCUUUACCUAACCAAGCUCUUAUCCAGAAAUCCUUUCUUUUAAAUCUUACCUUCACCACUCUUAACCAGAUCAAAGACUUCACCUAGAAAUUUAUCUAUCGCUAUAUGUUUAAAGUCCACCAAACUAGUCCUGAUAGUUUCAUGCAUUUUCAUCCUGACUGUUUAUUUUUUUACAAGUCUUUUAGUUAGUCCGUUUAAGGAUAUCUCCGAAGAUGAGUUAUGGUGCAUAUGGUGUAUAACGGUUCUCUAUGCUACAACACUAGUAUUUCCAGUCCAAGCAAUGCACCAACAUCUCGACACUCCUGAGAAUGCUAGUUCUAUGUUAUGGACUCUUCUUGAGUGGUUUUCUCUCAUCCCUUGGUGGAGAAAAGAACUCACCUGCAUUCACUACCAGAAUCACUUUCACUUAAUUCCAACAAGUGAAGCCAAUCAGUUUACAUCAGUCUUCAUCAUCCAACGUCCUUAUUUUCAACAUCCUGUCACCAACCUCUUUUGGACUCAGGAUCAACUCUAUGAAUGGAAGACCUUGCCCACUUCUUCUCUCCUAAAACAUAAUCCCACUAUUGUUUCAGCCUUAAGGAAUUUCCUCUUUGAUAUCAACCAUUACCAACCACCUUCAACUCCCAUCCGGCACACCUCACAAGGUCCUCAACAUGAAAUUCUCAUGUUACCUCCACCUGGUGUAAGCAGUACUCCACCCACUAGCGGAAUCAUCAUAAAGGAAGAAAGACCAUACUACACAGACAUUCUAUUCCAAGACUCUCAAGAUCCUUUGGAAGAAUUCAUGUCCCUCCUCUCCUUUCCAGAAAUUUCGCAAAAGACUCCAAGCACUCACCUUGCAUCAAGCUCCUCUGCCCCACCAAACAAGACAUGUCAACUCUCGUGACAACUCUUCUAAUAAUUCUCCAACACGACAACCUAUGUCCCUGUUUGAUGAAAUAGACAGUGAUGUAGACAACUUGUUGCCAUCUCAGUAGUAAAACCUAAAACAUUUCUUUUAAGGUCAUAUAACCCAAAACAGACUUUCCUUAGUCUUUAAAACAGGGUACCAAACCGUUUAAGAAAUCAUCAUAAGUUUUCUGAUGCACAGGAUCCUUACUGGAAGGCAAGUGCAGAGCAUACUUCCUUAAAGUUUCAAAAUGAACAAAUUUAAUUCUUUAUUCCUCUUCUUUCUCUAGAUCUUCAUUUGCAGAGAGAGAAAAGAGUUUAGAAAUUCAUAGUUUUAGGGAAACACAAGAGAUUUUUUUUUUCUUUCGAAAACGUCUAUCUUACAAAUGAAGGGAGAAUUCUUUAUAUAGGAGAAUUCUCGGAGAAGAUAGGACAGGACCCCUAUCUUUUACAAAAGCAAAAGGAAAAGACAUAUCAUGACAGCUUUAAUGAUUACAAAGGAUAAAGCAAGCCUUAAUAAUUAUACAGGACAAAACCAUAAAGUAGAACAUAAUUAUUACAACAAGACAAACUACUUUAUGGAGAGCAACAAGACAAACUACUUUAUGGAGAGCGGAGAUUCAUGUAGUCGUCUUCGGAUGAGCUUUCUGUUUCAUCUGGGUCAGUGUCAUGGUUGUAUUUUGGGAAAAAGGUUUUGGAGAGCUUUGGAUGCUUACAGUGGGGACCACAGCAAGGUGGAUAAGGGCAAUCUCUUCGGUAUCCCGGCUUGGGGGGUGAUGACUGGGACUUGGGGCUUGGCAUCUGAGUGGCCUUGUCAACUUUGGAGGGUUGGGAUGAUGAUCCUGGUUCAUACAUGGUUGGUUGUGGAAACUGUUGGACAUGUUGGCUUAGAGGAAGGAAUUCUUCCCAUGGGUCUUGGGAGUCUUGGUAAAGGAAGUCAGUGUAGUCUGAUUUUUCUUCUUUGAUGAUGAUUCCUGUGGACUUUGGUUUGGAUAUGGCGGAUGGAGUGGGGAUCAUGAUGAGGUCAUGUUGUGGUCCUAAGGAGGUGUGAAAGAUAUCUCGGUAUGGUGGAGUUUGGUGGUUCAAUUGACAAAGGUAGUUGUGCAGGUUAGAUUGGAUUUCAUUGUCAAUGACAGCUGGGUGAGGUGCGGUAAACCAUUCAUAUACCUUGUCUUGAGUCCAAAAGUGAUUUGUGUCUGGAUGUUGGAAGUAUGGCCUGUGAAUGAUAAAUACUGAUGUAAACAAUUGUGCUUAAGAGGCAGGCAUACGUUCAAGAUUGUAAAUCUCUGACAGUUGUUGUAGCUUCUGUCUCCACCAUGGUAUUGGGGAGAACCAUUCAAGUAAUGUCCAGGUAAGAGAGGUGGUUUUGUCUGGAUUAAGGAGAUUGUUCAAAGUGGGAGUGAUUGGUAGGACUAGCUUGGUUGCAUAAAGAACAGUUAGGCACCAGAUGUACCAUAACUCAUCUUCAGUGAUUUCGCUGGAUGGAGCGAGGGUUAAACCUAUAAGGAACAGAUUUUCUAGGUGGAAGGUGGAAAAUGGAAAUGAGUCUGCCAAAAGGUAGGCUUUCAUGAAGAAGCGGAAAACUGCUUUCCUUGCAAACUCUUGUAUAGCAAAGACAGAAGAGAAAGUUUUGUCAAGGGAAAAAGUUUUCUUGGUGAGAGCUUCUGGUGGAAGUGUUGUGGCUAUGGAGAUGAUCGGAAAUUGGUAUAUUGUGGAAAUCAAGGUUAGAGGGUUUUCUGGUUUUGAGAGUCUGGAUAGCAUAUUAGGGAUGAGGUUCUAGGACCCCUUUAUAUGCUUAACCGAAAAAUCAUAUUUGGAAAACCAAUCUUUUAAUUGGAGUAACAUCUUUUCUGGGACAAUUUUACCUUUAAAAUUAAGAAUAUUAGGGAAGGCUAAAUUGUCCAAUCAGAUGAGAAAAUGAUGUCCAAUAAGAUGAUACUCAAAUUUUUUGAUGCCAUUCUUUACCACUAAGAUUUCUUUGAACACGCUAUGGUAAUGCUUCUGUGUGUCAGAAAAUUGUCCACUAGCGUAAGCGAUAAAGUAUUCUUUGCCAUUGAUCUCUACGAGGAGGAUGGCACCCCAUGAUUCAUCACUUGCGUCUAUCUGUAGUAUGCGCUUUCCAUCAGUAAUUAACUUUAAGGGAGGUAGAUUUUGAGCGAUUUGCUUGAGGGUAGUGACAGCAGUUGUGUGGUCAACAUUCCACUAUGGGGCUUUUUUUUCAAUAAAGACGAGAGGUGGUGAGUAUAGCGGUCCACAUGCAGGAUGAAGUCUCUGAUGUAAUUGAUAAUGCCGAGAAACUGUUGAACUUGCUUUUUGGAAAGUUGCUGAUCUGGAAAGUGAAGCAACUCUUGGGCAAUGUGCUUUCCUGGCUGAUAAUGGCCGUCCUUUAUGAUCAUACCAAGGAAUUCAAUGUUAUCCGUGGCAACGGUGCUUUUCUUGGCAGACAACAUGAUUCCAUGACUUUGGACAAUAUCAUAGAAUUGAGUUAACAACUGGUGAUGUUCAUCAUGUGAUCCUGAAAAAAGCAAGAUAUCAUCAAUAUAAAUUAAUGCAUGAUGUAGGAGAGGGUGAAAGAUUUUGACCAUGGAUUUUUGAAAAAUGGAUGGGGCAGUUUUGAGGCCGAAGGAUAGGACUGUCCAUUGAUAAUGGGCAUUUGGGAUACAAAAGACAGUUUUGUAACGCUCCGAGGGUUCAAUGCCUAAUUGCCAAAAACCUGAUUUUAAAUCAAAUUUGGAAAAGAUCUGGGCAUUUUUUAGAAAAGUAAACAUGCUUUGUCGUUGGGGCAAAGGAAAUUUGUCAUCUUGCAAAAACAUAUUUAGUGGCUAAUAGUCAAUGACUAAGCGUUUCUUUCCUCUAACAAUUUCAGAAUGCUUUUCAACAUAAAAGGCUUGGCAAGCCCUUUGAGAAGUUGUGGGCUCGAUUAGACCUUAGGCUAACAGUUGUGAACAUUCUUUUUGGGCUAGGAGUAAGUCAGAAGGACUCAUUCCGGGAUGAGUAGCUUUGGUCGGGUUAAUGUCUUCAUUGAGUUUGAAAGGUAACUUAAUAAAGAGAGACGGGUUUUUCCACAAUGGAGUUGGAUGGGUGAACUCAAAAUGAGACUCUGGACAGAAACACAAAAGAUGGGAUGAAAUAUCCUGGUAGGACUAGGGAGUGUCAGACAAAUUGUAGAGUUUCAUAAUGUCUGUGAAAGGUUUGAACAUGGACUUGACUUGGAUUCCAGUGGGAAUGAUUUGGAGGUGUGUGAUGUGGUGAAGUAUGUCAAAUCCUAACAAGAUAUCCUUAUUAGGAAGGGUUGAAUCGAUAACCUUGGUCCAAAUGACACAAUUUGGGAAGAUUUGAAUACCAAUGGGUUUGUUUGCAAUCAAAGAGGUAGUGAAAAAUUUGCCAUUAACGGCCCUAAAAUUUUCUUCGUACUUUGUCCAGUAUUUAGGUGGAAGGAUAUUGGGGUUUAACAUACUGCGUUGUGCGCAAGUAUCUAUGAGACCAAUUACUAGAAUGGGCCUUUGGAAUUUUGAGUGCAAGAUAUGGAGUUUGAUGGAGGGUAUAGGAACAGUAGUGUCAAGGGACAAUAAUUGUUGGUGGAAGAUAACUUGAGACACAUCACUGUCUGAGUCAUCAGAGGAAUUUUGUAUUGCAAACACGGUUUCAUCAUUGGGUUCAUCUUGCUUAGAGAAAUAGAAUUCCAGUUCAUCCGUCGUGGGAGAGUAGUCUGUAGUGGCUUGAAGAUGUUUGACUAGCCGGAUGGAUUUCUCCCGUUUGUUGGGACAAUCUUUAGCAUAAUGACCUUUCCUCUUGCAGAUGAAACAUCUGCUUGAUGAUUUUCGCUUGAAUUCUCUAGAGGAAGAUGAUUUUUUUCUGAAGAAUCGGGAGGGCUUUCUGGACCUGCGGGGUUUGGAUGAAAAUCUCAAAUUUUUAAAUUUCUGAAAAUGCCUUUUCUUCUUAGAACUGCAAUCACAAUCCUUUUUCUUUUUGCAUUUGAUCUGCAAAUAGGGCUUUUUGCAGGCACUCCUGAACGGUUCGUUAUCUCUCAACAGGUCUUUGAAAAAUUAUUUCUGCUCGCAAAGUUUGUCAAGGCAUGUUUUGGCAAUCUGGAAGAUUUUGCCAAGAGAGAUGUUGUCAAGGAUGAGAUUGGAGGCGGUGAGUUGCCGUUGUAUAUCGGGUUGGAGCUCUUCUGGAAGGGAAGCCAAAAAGACAUGCUUUAAUGUUGGGUCAUUGAAGCCAUUAAGCUUAUAGAACAGCAAAGACAUUCGUUUGUAAUGAAAGUCAAGAUCCUUAGCAUUGAGUAAGUAGCAUUUCAUGUUGAGAUAGUCUCGUCGUGCAGCUUCAAAAACUACAGAGGGGUCUCCAAGGAAUUGAUCAUGAAUAACCGCAAGGGCACUUGAGACUUCUGGUAAUUGAACAAACUGUAAUUGUCUAUAUUGGCCUAAAGAAUCAAACCAAUCUCUUAGAGCACACGUAAAACGAGUAGCAAAUUCUCUAAGGACUGAUUAAGUCAUUGCGCCGGGCCGCAGCAUUUGGAGGUCAAUCCAAGCAGACAUUUCAGUAAGUCUCUCUCGCCAUUUAUGAGAUGGAAGAUCAUCAAAUGUGAACCAUGGAACAUUUGAUGAUUUUUGACUUGUUGGACCGGUCUGGGCUUGGGCUGGAGGGGGUUGGUGUGUUGCAGAGGAUUCAGGUAUGUCUUCGUCAACUUCUGAAGGAAUAUCAACAUAUGGUUCUGUGUGGGAGGUUUGGUCGAGAUUAGGUUGAUCAGGUUGGGCCAUCAAGAUUCUGGUGAUAUCAGCAUAGGACUUUUCAGAGUCACUAGUGGAUACUGAAGAUGCUGUGUCAGACUCAGUAUGGCUGCAGGAAAUGGCUAGAUUUGAAUUAGAAGUUUGAGCAGAAGUUUGAUCAUCUGGAGUAGAGGAUGGAUCUACGGUGUGGGCACUAUACUGGUGCAUGGGUUCUUUGUCUUUGGACUGAGUUUGAGGUUGGGAUUAAGGUGGUAGUGGAGGUGCGGGCGGUGGGGACUGUUGUCCAGGAAGGGACAUGGAUGGCUGAUGAAUUUUGACGGGCCGCGUGGUUGAGGUUUAGGCUUUGGUUUAGGUUUAGUUGGUGGUGGUAAGGAUUGUCUCUGAAAAGGGUAGGAGUCAUGCCAAAUAACUUGGAAGGGUCAUACUGUUUGAUGGGGGAAAGCAUAGAGGCAAAUGGAUGAUAAGUUGGACCUAUAGAAGGGAUAAGAGGUGAUGUGGUAAAAAGGGUAGGUCUUUGUUUUUCAGAUUCAAUCUAAUCAAGCUCAUCUUUUAAGCGUCUGAUUUCCCUUUCUUUUUGGUCAAAUUCUGGGCCAUAGUAUCUUUGAGCAAGCAUGGUUCGUAACUCUGAAUCUAGUUGAGUAAUUCUGGAUUGAAGAUUGUGGUGAAUCUGCUGCAUCUGUGCAGUAAUGGAGUCAACUUUCGUCUCAAUCUGUUCAGUUCGUAAACUGAUUUUCUCAACUUUUGAAUUGAUAUGCAACAAAGUCUCAUUCUGUGCUAUGGCAUUUUGGGUUUGCCAGUUAAGGACUGAUUCAAAAGGUUUGGGAGGUUCUAGGUGGCCAGUUGAGGUAAUAGCUGAAGGGAUAAAAGGUUUGGAUACCACAUUUCGUUGGGAAUCUGUGUGAGUUUCUAAUGGAGGAAAGGAGGAAGGGUAGGCUGAAGAGGUAGAAGAAAACAUCAUACAAGCUAUUGGUUGUACGAUAGGUGUUGAGUUUGGGAGGGGGGAUGGAAUCUCAGGUUGGCAAUGCUUUGCAAUCCAUUUGAGUUCUGUUUUGUAGAUGGGUAAUGGAGCUGGUGGAGGUGGAGGAUCUCUUGGUGAUUUGGGUUCACAGUGUUGACAUGAGACUGAAGGUUUUUUCUUUUUGGGUCUCUUUUUGGUGACGUAAUCAUCGUCCUCUUUCUUUAAGCUCCCAACUUUUUCUUUAAGCUCGUACUUUAAAAAAUGUUGUAAUAAUUGUGGUUGUUUUUUGACUUUUCCUUUAGCCCAUGUGUGUUUGCCGGGCUCUUGUCAAGAAAGUGGUUGCUUGCCGGGCUCUUGUCAAGAAAAGGCCCAUGUGUGUUUGCCGGGCCCAUGUCUGUUUGCCGAGCUCUUGUUAGAAAAGUUUGUCGUUUUCUUAGCUUCUUCCUAUAUAUAAAGGGGGAAGUCUUUUGUUGAAAGAAAUAAGAAAGUUUGAAAGUUUUAAAAAAUUAGCUUUUGCAAAUUUAUGGCUUUCUAAUCUCCUUCCCUGCUUUCUUGAAAUCCUGAUAAAAAAAGGAAAGACUAUCAUCAUCGUUCAUUUCUACCCAUACACUAAGUAUGCUCUGCACUUGCCUCUUCAAUGAUCCUGUGCAUCAGAAAAUAGUGUUAUCACCACCAAUAAGAUAAAAACCACUACAGUCCACCCUGUGUGUCACCCCUUCCACCCUUUGGUAUUCGGUGUUUUUGGGUGAAGUAGUGGAUAACCGAGUGGUAUCACUAAUUUUGGACUAAGCAUGACCCUUUUGGACUCAAGUUGAACUCAAUCCAGGAAACCCAAUCUAAAACCAAGUAUUGCUCUUAUAUGUUCUAGUAAGAUAGACUAUUUUGUAGCUCUUUCUUAGCUAGUAUCAUUAAAUGGGUGAUUAGCCAAAAUAAUGAAUAGAAAUAAUACUACCAAAAUAAAAUGCUACAGCAAACAUGUAGAAACACAAAUUUUCAGUCAAUAAACCAUCAAGAUUAUUUAUCACUCAACCAUAAAUAAAUUUAGUUCAUGGUUUGUAAAAGAAAAAUAAAGAAGGACUGAGUUCCCAAAUGAAUUCUACAAAUUCUUCUCUUGUGCAGCCCUAAAUCUCUCUCUUGAAUCUUGUUUUUCUUUUGUUUCUUUGUAGUUUUUCUCCUUGGGUGACGGCUCGCUUUUUUUCCUUAUGAUGUGUGCUCUUUUUUAUAGUUGAAAAUUAGGAUAAACGGAAGCCUAAGUCGCGUGUCUUCCAAAUUAGGAAACUAUAGAUCGUAAUAUUUUGCUAAAUUUUCUCUGUCGUUGUUCUAGAAUUACUACAACAAUGGCAAUGGUUACUACAACAACGAUUGCUAUAGCAACAACUACAAAAACUGCACUGUUCCAGAUUUGUUUUAAUUCUUCUGUAGCCAAGUUCUUUUCCAUCUUUUGCAAGCCUAUUGCAUUAGCAUUCCUUCCUUAAAAUUUGAGCUUUCGGUCACCUACAAUUAUGCAUAUGAUUUAAGCACACAAUUUAUUAUAAAUCAAACAAAAUUUAUGAAGAAUAAACUAAGAUGAAUGAUUAUGCAAAAAUAUAACAAAACUGCAAUGAAAACACAUCAUUUAUUCUCUAAGUGGUAUUGAUUUAAGUCUAAAUAGUGCUAUAAUAACUCUCAUUUCAUAGAGUUAUCAGGUGUGCUGCCAUGGGAGAAGAAGAUGGCGAUGACCUAGAUAAUUUUAAUGAUCAGGCCACCAUUGACAUGCAUGGAAGAGAUGAUGGAAGGGCAAGACAUAUAGAUCGUGACUUGGGGAGUAUCAAACUAAAAAUUCCUUCUUUUCAAGGUAAAAAUGAUCUGAAAGCUUAUUUGGAAUGGGAAAAAAAUGUGGAGCCAGUAUUUGAUUUCCACAACUACUCUGAGGAGAAAAAACUGCUGUUGAAUUUACUAAUUAUGCUAUUAUUUGGUGGGAUCAACUCAUUUUAAGUAGGAGACAAAAUUGUGAAAGGCCUAUAGACACUUAGGAGGAGAUGAAGGCCAUCAUGAGGAUGAGAUUUAUUCCUAAUUAUUAUUAUAGAGAGCUGAACCAAAGGCUUCAAAGUCUUACACAAGGUUUCUAGAAGUGUGGAAGAUUACCACAAGGAGAUGGAAAUAAUCAUGAUUCGAGCCAACAUUGCAGAAGAACGAGAGGCCACUAUGGCCAGAUUUUUACAUGGUUUAAAUCAAGAUAUUGCUAAUGUGGUUGACUUGCAAGUGGAACGAUAACCAAAAAAGAAAGGUUCAACUAGAGCCAAUUUGGGUUCAUCUUCCUCGUGGAAGUCAAAUUGGAGCAAAGAUGAAAAGGUUGUUUUAAAGCCUAAAAUUGAGCCAUUCAAGGAUCAUAAAGAGGGAGGCAACCAAACCAAAGGUAAAUCUGAUUCUUAACACUAUAGAAAUAGAAAUAUUAAGUAUUUUAAAUGUUUGGGGACAUGUCAUAUUGCAUCUCAAUGUCUAAAUAAGAGAGCAAUGAUCUUGAGGGAUGAUGGUGAUGUUGAAACCGAGAGUGAAUCAGAUGAUGAUCCUAUGCCACCUUCAGAGGAUGCUAAUGAUGGUGUUGAGUAUCAUGUUGAUGGUAAAUUGAUAGUUGCUAGGCGUGCUCUCAACAUGCAAGUAAAAGAAUAUGCAGAGGUACACGUGAUAACAUCUUUCAUACUAGAUGCCACAUCAAAGAUAAGGUAUGUAGUAUGAUAAUUGAUGGUGAAAGUUGUACAAAUGUAGCUAGCACUAGUUUAGUUGAAAAAUUAAAUUUGAAAACUUUGAAACAUCCUAGGCCAUAUAAGCUACAAUGGUUGAAUGAUUGAGGGGAAGUUAAAGUAAAUAAACAAGUGUUGAUUUCAUUCUCUAUUGGGUGAUACAAGGAUGAGGUUUUAUGUGAUGUAGUACCCAUGCAUACUGGACACAUUCUUUUAAGGGGACCUUGGCAAUAUGAUAGGCGUGUGACAAAUGAUGGUUACUUAAAUAGAAAUUCUUUCUAUGGUCAUUCUCUUUGGUCUCCACACUUUUGGCAAAGAUUUAAUAAUUUUCUUCACUUUUUCACUAUUAGUAAAUGUGAAAACACUUUCAUUGUAGAGAAAUCGGUUUUGGAGGAUAAACAGGACCUUUCUAAUGCACAAGAUCCUCAGGCUUGAGGCAAGUGCAGAGCAUACUCAGUUUAGAAGUUUUGAGGUGAGCGUAUCAUUUUUAAUUCGAAUAAUUUCUUCGAUUCCUAGAAGAGAGAGAGAGGUUUAGGGAAACAUGAUGUAUAAAACUUAAGCUUUUAUUUUUCAGAUUGGCUCCCUUACAACUGAGACCAAAGGUGCCUUUUAUAGACGAUCAUUGAGAACAGGACCUCUCGAAUGAUCAUAUCACAUAGCACACCUUUUUUGACAGCAAAACAUGCCGAUAGGGACUUUGACAAAAGGGAAAGCAUACUUACAAGGACUUUAACAAAAGUAAAGCACACCGACAAGGAUUUUAACAAAAGUAAAGCAUACCGACAAGGACUUUAGCAAAAGUAAAGCAUGCCAACAAGGACUUUAACAAAAGUAAAGCAAAAGACAAACGGGAGUCACAUGGGUUGUGCUAUCAAAACUCGUGCGACAAAGAUAAGGCGUUGUCAUGGAGUGGAGGGAUAACGAGAUGGUGACACAUCGCCUGUGUCUUUUUCAUAUUGGCGCUUGUGCCGACGCCUCUGCCUCUGGUCGAGAUACGCCUCAGCUUGCUGAUACUUUUCUUCAUCAACUUCAGACAUGUGCUGUGAGGUAGAUGGAGCAGGAGAGUUUGGGUUUGUGAUAGUAUAACGGGGAGUGUCAGUAUGGAGAAGGGACUGAAAGUCUUUCCAUGGGUCCUGAGCAUCUUGGAAUAAGACAUUAGUAUAGUCAGGACGUUGUUCCAUGACAAGGAUUCCGUGAGGACUUGAACUUGAACCUGGAGUACAGCCUUGUGUUUUUGGAAUUAUUUCAAGGGUGUGUGAUGGUCCAAUGGAGGUGUGGUGAAUAUCUGUGGCAGGUGGAGGAACAUUGUUAAGUUCCAUGAGAUAGGCUUUGAGAACGGAGGUGACCGAUGUAUCAUGGAUGAAGGUAUAAGGAUGAGGGUAAGUUCUCCAUUCAUAUGCCAUGUCCUCUGUCCAGUAGUCCCGUGUUUCUGGAUGCUGAAAAUAAGGCCUGUGGACAAUGAAGGCUAUAGUCCACACGUUAGCUUCUUGUUCUGGCAUUUUGUUUAAUCCAUGAAAGGUACACAAAUGUUGGAGUUGCUUGCGCCACCAAGUGAGGGGAGAAUACCAUUCAAAGAGAGUCCAAAGAAGGUCAGGUGAGAACUCUGGAGUAGUAAGGUGAGUCAGGACUGGUUUGAUGGGAAAAACUAGCUUUGUAGCAUACAAGGUGGUGAGACACCAUAUAUACCAAAGCUCAUCUUCAGAGAUGGACAGAGAGGACAAAGUGAGGCUUGUGAGAAACAGGUGGUCCAUGCAAAGAUUAGGAAAGCGGUCAGGGUUUUUGGUCUGAACAUUAAAGAAAAACCUGUAAAGGAAUUUCUUUGCAAAAUCUUGAAGUUGGUAAGCCGAUUGGAAAGAGAUGUUCAUGGGGAAAUUUCUUUGGUUGAGAGCUUUGAAAGGAAGUUGGCUAUUCAUGGCUAUAACUGGAAUGGUUUGAAUUGAGGAAAUGAGUGCGGGUUUAUUUAUAGCUGGACGGGUGAGGAAGUCUGGAAUGAGGUUUUGGUUGCCUUUUAUGUGUUGAACAGUGAAAUCAUACUGAGCAAACCAGGUUUUGAGGCUGAGUAAUUGCUUGUCUGGUAGCAAUUUGUUCUUGAAGUCAAAGAUGCAGGGAAAAGAAGAGUUAUCCAUGUUGAUAAGGAAUUUGUGGCUGAUGAGAUGGAAUUCAAAUUUCUUAAUUCCAUAUUUGACUGCCAAAAUCUCUUUGUAGAUCACAUGGUAGUUCUUUUCAGAGUCUUUGAAUUGUCCGCUUGCAUGUACACAGAAAUGAUGCACGCCAUUGAUGUCUUCAAGGAGAAUGGCACUCCAAUAAUCGUCGCUGGCAUCAGUCUGGAGGAUGCGUUGUCCACUUAUGGGAAUUCGAAGUGGAGGAGGUGCUUGUGCUAUCACCUUUAGCUGCUUGACAGCUUCUGUCUGAGCAGGGCCCCAUGGAGGGCACUAUUUCUUGAGCAUGCGUGACAACUGGCUAGUGUGGAUUGUAACUUUUGGGAUAAAAUCACGGACAUAAUUAACAAUCCCGAGGAAUUGUUGUAUCUGCUUUCUAUUGAGAUGUGUGUCCGGAUACUUGAGUAAUUCGAUUGCAAUAUGGGGACCAGGCUGAUACUGGCCGUCUUUAAUCACCAUGCCAAGAAAGUCAAUUGAUUCCUUUCCUAUGCUGCUUUUCUUUUCGGAAAGCAUGAUGCCAUGUGCCUGCACAAUGUGAAAGACAUCCAAAAGGAGCUUCUGGUGGCUCUCAUGGUCAGAAGAAAAUAACAAGAGAUCAUCAAUGUAGACCAAUGCAUGAUGGAAAAUAGGACUAAAGAUUUUUGUCAUGGCUUUUUUAAAUAAGGAGGGAGCGACUUUGAGACCAAAAGGCAUAACCGUCCAUUGGUAAUGGGCAUCAGGG